UCAUCAAAUCUAAAAAUACACAAGAAAUUCGUGACGUAUAUAUAACAAUAGACCUCUCAUUGAGUCAUAGAUAUUGAGAAUAAAAUGUCAAAAUGCAUACAAAGAGCUUAUACAGAAAAUGAAUUUACACACAUUUAGAAUAAACUGUCUUUGAACUUCCGAUGGUCAAACAAAGGAAACAGACAGGAAAUGACACACACUAUCAUAUAUGUAGGGACACGAUGAAGUAAAUCACAUGAAGAUGGAAACGGAACCCCUCACAACAUAAAAUUUGAAUAAAGGGGGAAAAAAAGGCUUCAUUUCAAAUGUUGCACAGAAGAAGAGUGACUUGAAUCUCCAUCAGUAUCCAGACAUUCUACAAACACAGUGCUGAGAAUUUUAACAAGAAUAACAGACAAAAUAUUGUGCUUCUAUAUUUUUCACAGAACUAGACCAAAUCAGUUCCCUUUUUGGUUUGUGAAAACUUGAUAUUUUUGAAAAUUCUAUCCAAUGCUUUCAAACAAUAUUUCCACAAUAUAGUUGUUCAUAGCUAACCUUUGAUGGUGUAAGGAUUUGUUGUAGGCAUAAUGGGCUAAUUAUAUAUAUAUAUAUAUAUUUUACCCGCUGAAUGAUAUUCAGCUUCCAAGUUUCCAAAGAACAAACAGAGCAGAAACAAAUAUAACGGAACAGCAAUGAUGACGAUAAAUGAUUGGCAAAGAAAGAAAGAAAAAAGUUCGCAUGAUUUCAAGGAAUUAUAAUAUCUGAAGACAUUCAACAUGCAAGUGUUGCCCCUUUUAAUGAAAUUUCAUCAUAAAAUGCUUGCAAGGAAUUAUAAAAUUUUAGAGAACAAGCGAAUUCUCAAACAAAAUACUCAAAUUAAAUUAAAUUAGACCAAAAGACAAUCAAUGACGCAAAAUCUGCCCAUAAAAGCCUGAACGAAUCAUGAAAAGUGCAUUCCAUAUUGACAGUAAACCAAGUGACCCAUUCUAAACAAUUGAGAUGAAAUUGUGAAACAACCCACGAGAUCAAAUAAAUAAAAUAAGAAUUAAUUACCAGCUGGGACUUUCUUCUUCAAAUUCGUAACUCCAAGUCAUAAGAAGGCUAUGAAAUUAGUCGUAAUCCACAGAGUAUGACGACGACCCCGCCAACAGCUGAAAAUAAAAUUCUUAUUCAUCAAUUUAAACUAACUUUAUAACAAAUAUCUUAUCGAUAUUUUAUUUAAAAAGAAAAAGCAAAUUUUGUAAAAUUUUUCUAUGGGAGAUAGAGAGUAACAUGUAUAUCCGUACCUUCUCAGCAUGUAAUUGUUGUAUGGUCGUGUUAAGAUCAUUAUUAGCCCAACGCCGUUGAUCCGCUGUCUCUCCAUAGCAGACGUUUACUCUUAGAGUCGUGAUUGAUUCUCCUGUAGUGAAAAUCUUCAUCUUGGGACAACCAAUCACCCACAAAUCUUGCAAAGAUGGGAAUUUGAAGGUGUAAUUGGCAGAGCAGAAACUUGUGAGGCUGUCUAAAUCACGCAGGUCCAACGCCUUCAAUUUGGGGAAAACAAUCUCUUCUUUUUCAACCCCGUCUUUGUCAUUUAUUACCACGUCUGACAUUGCUCUGCAUCCGUAUACACAAAGUGAUACGAGUCGCACUAGAGUUUUUGCUGUGGAGGAUGUUACUAAGUGUAUCAAUUUCUUGCAAUCGAAAGCUACAAGUUUUGUUAGGUUCCCAAAAGAUACCGACGAUGAUGGCAAUAGAAUUAACAGACUUUGACAAUGAUAUACUUUUAGAAUUUCAAGAUGCUGAAAAAUGGGGCCAAGUUUGGAAUCUUGUUUGCACAGCUGCUUCAGAUGAUAGUGCCGAUGCAGCUUUAAUUCUUUUAUCAUUGCCAACUUCCCCACAUGUUUCUCUAAGCUUCGAGAUUGUGAAAUCUCUCCAGUACGUUCCAGAUUGGAAAACCAGCUGAGUCAUCUGCAGCAAUCUCUAGUUCUCUAAGACUGCCAAAAAGGUGUUGUGGGAAAUCGGCCUGCAAAAUCAUCUUCACAUCUUUUCCACUUAGUGAUAGUUCCUUCAAGUUGGGUACGAUCUGAUCAUCAUCAAUCAUAAUAACUAAUGAGGUCAAUUGAUGAUCUACGGUCACACACAGUGACUUUAUAGUAUUUGUUUUAUAUUAUAUUUUUAAAAAAAUUGAAUUAUUGAUAAAAUUUAUUUUAUAUGUUAAUUUUAGAGGUAAAAAAGAAAUUAGAGAAAAAGGUUGAUUUAUACUGGCUCGAAAUUAUUUUAUUGCACAAUAAUAAAUUACUAAUUUAUUUUGUAAGUUCUUCUAUAUGGAAAGACUAAGGAUUUUUUUAUAAAUGCUAUACCAAAAAAAGUUCAUAUAAUUAUUAAUCUACCACAUUGAUCUCUUAAUCUAGACUAGCAAAGAUUAUUGUAUAAUAAAAGUUUUCAAUUUAUUGAGUAUUAAUUUAUCGAUGCUUUGUCAUAUUUUUCAAAGUUAAAAAUAAGCUAUAGACAAAAAAUCUAGAAAAUGGUUUCAUACCUUUUCCAACGGCAAUGGGGGCUGUUGUGCAGGAAUGCCAAGUUGAUCAUUCUGCGAUAAAUCUGCAGUGAAUAUCUUUAAUUUGUCACAAAAAUACACAAAAAGAAUUUCUAGCGCGGGCCAUUCCGAAGUAUGCAUUCCAGGGUACAAACAUCUAAGUUUUGGUAGACCUUCGAGUCUCAGAGUGGUGAGCUGUGGAAAGACAAAAUAAGGGAUAACUUCAUCUGCUCUGUUCUCAGAAAUGAUCUCCUGGAAAUCCUCACAGAAGCGUACUUCUAGGUGUUGGAGCUGCUUAAGGCUUCCGAUCAUAGACGCUGAAAAUAUGUAUUUUAAUUUGUUACAACGCCACACAAUCAAUCGUGUUAAAUUUUGAAAGCGAGGAAACAUGACCGGAAGAUGAUUGUAGUGCCAAAUCUUGUCGACAUUAAUUGCAGAUAUCUCCAAAGCCUCCAAGUUGGGCAACGCAACCUAAAAAAAUAAGAAUUUCUCGUUAGAUCCAAUAUCCAAAUGGGAAGCACUUGUUGAAAUUUUCUUCUUUGAUUACAAAUUAAUGCAAGUCUGAAUCAAUUUCCAACUGACAGCUGAGUAUGCAUUCUAAUUCAUACUACUUGUUAAGAGCUCAAUUAGUGAGCGCGUGAGAUUCUUUUUAUCCUUUUUUCCAUUUUCUUUCAAUUCUUUAAAUGAUUUAAUUAUUUCCACGUAUGACGUCAAAAGAGAACGUUAUAUAUGAAUAAAAUCUGUUAUAUAUGAAGAAAAUGUUAGCCUACGCACCUUCUCGUUGAAAAGCAGAGUUGAAGUAUCCAAAGUGAUUUCGCUGGAGCAAUACGUAGUCGUCGAUUCCUCUUGCGACGCUGGUCUGUUCGGUGAUGCUGAAGGAGUCUUUACUUCACGGCAGAAAUUUGUAACCUCUGGAAGAUUCCCCAGACUCAAAGAUCUUAAUUGAGCAAACUCUAUCUUCUCAAUUGCAUUAUCAACUUCAUCCCCAAUUGAAAAAAUUUCUUUCAUCUUGCUGCAAUUAAUAACUGCAAUUCUCUCAAGUCUUGGAAGGCAUUUUGUAGUGGAGAGCCAAAAGAUAUUGCUUAACUUAUCACAAUUAUAUGCUUCUACGGUUUUGAGUUUGUUGAAAGACUCUACUUUGAGCCGAUCAAUACAUAUCCUCUCCAUGUUGAUCAAAUUGUGAAGGAUAAGUGACUCCAAAAGAGGAAAGGCAUCACAAGCGACCAUCGCCCUUGAAUCGACGAUGCAAAAGAAGUCAGGAUUAUUUUGAACCCAGAGAAGCUUCAAUUGUGAAAAGCCCUCCGUGUCCAAAUUGAAAAGAACAUCCUCGAUGCCUUGCAGCUUGUCCAACCAUAAGUAUUCAACGUUAUUGAUGCCCUGCAAUUUCAUGGAGCAAAUGUUCAUAAAAUCAAGCUUGAGCUUCAAUGCUCUUAAUCUCUUCCGAUCACUGUUGAUCGAAAAGUGCAGCUGACUUUUGAACCAAUUUUGUCUAACACUCUUGGGAGGCAUGAACGACUCAUUUGCAAUAGAUAUUUUGAACCUUUCGAGCUUUCUGGCCAAAAAACCUUCUGGUAAAAUACUGUCAUUUUUAACGUCAAUUUCUAGAGUGGUUAGCCGAGGUAAAUGCAUCAAUUCGUCAAGGCUAGCAUUACUUCUUUUGCUGUUGGCUCUUUCAACCUCCCAUUCAAUGAAGCAAUUACCCAUAUACAGCUCUUCUAGUCGAGUUAAGCUUGCAUGAGAUUGGGCGCAAUAACUUUUAGAUGGAAACAAUUGGGUUAAAUCUAACAAUCUCAACUUAUUCAAUUGACCUAGUUCUUCUGGCAACUGCAUAAUAUCAGACAUCAAAAAGCUAAGGACUUCUAGAUUCUUCAACUUCCCAAUGAUUGCUAUGUCGCCCAACGCACUUUGAUCCAGACAUAGUGGUGUGGAAGAUUUACUAGAAGAUCAAUUGAAGGAUGGAAAAGAAGGACAAUAACCGCAUUCCAGUAAAANNNNNNNNNNNNNNNNNNNNNNNNNNNNNNNNNNNNNNNNNNNNNNNNNNNNNNNNNNNNNNNNNNNNNNNNNNNNNNNNNNNNNNNNNNNNNNNNNNNNNNNNNNNNNNNNNNNNNNNNNNNNNNNNNNNNNNNNNNNNNNNNNNNNNNNNNNNNNNNNNNNNNNNNNNNNNNNNNNNNNNNNNNNNNNNNNNNNNNNNNNNNNNNNNNNNNNNNNNNNNNNNNNNNNNNNNNNNNNNNNNNNNNNNNNNNNNNNNNNNNNNNNNNNNNNNNNNNNNNNNNNNNNNNNNNNNNNNNNNNNNNNNNNNNNNNNNNNNNNNNNNNNNNNNNNNNNNNNNNNNNNNNNNNNNNNNNNNNNNNNNNNNNNNNNNNNNNNNNNNNNNNNNNNNNNNNNNNNNNNNNNNNNNNNNNNNNNNNNNNNNNNNNNNNNNNNNNNNNNNNNNNNNNNNNNNNNNNNNNNNNNNNNNNNNNNNNNNNNNNNNNNNNNNNNNNNNNNNNNNNNNNNNNNNNNNNNNNNNNNNNNNNNNNNNNNNNNNNNNNNNNNNNNNNNNNNNNNNNNNNNNNNNNNNNNNNNNNNNNNNNNNNNNNNNNNNNNNNNNNNNNNNNNNNNNNNNNNNNNNNNNNNNNNNNNNNNNNNNNNNNNNNNNNNNNNNNNNNNNNNNNNNNNNNNNNNNNNNNNNNNNNNNNNNNNNNNNNNNNNNNNNNNNNNNNNNNNNNNNNNNNNNNNNNNNNNNNNNNNNNNNNNNNNNNNNNNNNNNNNNNNNNNNNNNNNNNNNNNNNNNNNNNNNNNNNNNNNNNNNNNNNNNNNNNNNNNNNNNNNNNNNNNNNNNNNNNNNNNNNNNNNNNNNNNNNNNNNNNNNNNNNNNNNNNNNNNNNNNNNNNNNNNNNNNNNNNNNNNNNNNNNNNNNNNNNNNNNNNNNNNNNNNNNNNNNNNNNNNNNNNNNNNNNNNNNNNNNNNNNNNNNNNNNNNNNNNNNNNNNNNNNNNNNNNNNNNNNNNNNNNNNNNNNNNNNNNNNNNNNNNNNNNNNNNNNNNNNNNNNNNNNNNNNNNNNNNNNNNNNNNNNNNNNNNNNNNNNNNNNNNNNNNNNNNNNNNNNNNNNNNNNNNNNNNNNNNNNNNNNNNNNNNNNNNNNNNNNNNNNNNNNNNNNNNNNNNNNNNNNNNNNNNNNNNNNNNNNNNNNNNNNNNNNNNNNNNNNNNNNNNNNNNNNNNNNNNNNNNNNNNNNNNNNNNNNNNNNNNNNNNNNNNNNNNNNNNNNNNNNNNNNNNNNNNNNNNNNNNNNNNNNNNNNNNNNNNNNNNNNNNNNNNNNNNNNNNNNNNNNNNNNNNNNNNNNNNNNNNNNNNNNNNNNNNNNNNNNNNNNNNNNNNNNNNNNNNNNNNNNNNNNNNNNNNNNNNNNNNNNNNNNNNNNNNNNNNNNNNNNNNNNNNNNNNNNNNNNNNNNNNNNNNNNNNNNNNNNNNNNNNNNNNNNNNNNNNNNNNNNNNNNNAUGCUUCUCCUUUCAUCCUUGAGCUUGUCUAUUUCUGCCUUGAGAUUCUCAACGUUGGCUUUAUAGUUACGCAAAUAACCAAAUCGGCGUUCUAUUGGAGGAGCCAAGCAUUUCAAAAAUUGUAAAACAACAGUAACAAUGCUUUCCACCAUCCUGGAUCCUUUUUUUUUUUUUUCAAAGUUCUGACAAGAAAAUAAACAAGGAGCGAAACACAGAGAGAGUGAAAAAAAAAAAAGCGAAACAACGAAGAUGGACAGUUUAUCCGGUUCUGGAAGCGGAGAAAUGAAAGAAAGAGUAAAAGCUGUUAUGGAUCUGGUGAGAAGAUGGAAACAAGGAAAAGGUUUCUAGUUCGAGAACUGAUUGAGUUAAUAUAAGGAAUGAUUUAGAUAAUAGAGGCAAAGGGAACCAAUCAAAAUAACUGAAGUAUUGUGCAGAAGAAAGACGGAAAAAAUAGACUGGUAAUAGAGAUGGAAAAAAUGAAGAUAUCUUGACACGGUAGAAGUACAAAGGGUAGAUAUGGAACCAAACAGAGACAACAGCAGGCCACAACAAGAUUGGGAAUGGAGAGAAACUAAUUAACGAAGACUGGAGAUUACAACAAAACAGAUGCCAAGAGAAAACUUGAUCCUGUGAAAUUCAAGUUAGCUGACGAAUACGGGGAUCAAGAGGGAAAAACUGCUUGCUCGUAAAACUACUUUCAAGCGAAUCUGAUAAAAUUAAUUUUUAAACUGCAGAACAGGUAGAAUAUCAGAUUGAUUAAUUUAAGAAACCCUUGCUUCAGUUUUAAGUAAGAUCUUUUUUUUUUUUUUUAUAAUUUCUCCGAAUGCUCUUUCAAUGGAAGGCAUAUGAUCAUUUUGUAUUCAGUAUACAAAGAUUAAAGAUGAUCCUUUUUCUAAUUUAUUAAUUAAAUAAGGUUCUCUGACAUCUUCUUGCAUGAGUUGUCCCCCUGGUUUGUUAUCAUCUUAUGAAAUUCUCGCAUGCCCGAUUUUCUUUUAUUAAAUUAUAUAUUAAAGUUUUCAAUGAUGAAAUUAAUCGUCAUCAUGUGCCGGCAUGCAUGUAUUGGUUGAUGUCACGUUUUGCAAGUAUGCUGGAUAAAAUUAAUUUUCAAAAUUAAUUAAUAAAAUGUAACGUAAGUUGUUGAAAGAAACUUCAUAUUUAUCCUGAAGCAUUCAACUCAGUUCUUUUACUCUAUGAUAAAUGUAUUUUAAAAAUUACCAAUAAUUGAGAAUAAAAUAAGGACAAAACAUUAAAAAUCGAACACAACUCAUGUUUUACUUGAGUUUUAUAUUUAUGCUGAUACAUACUUUGGACACAUUCUUUGGAAAAGACAUUGACAUUGGCGUGCAUCAUCAAAUUUGUUAGUGAAAAACCAUAAUUAUAUAUUACUACAUUUACAAAUUUUGUAUAAAAGGUUUUAAAGGUUUGCUACAUAGACCUCUAAAAAUUCCAGAAAUGAUUAUAUAUACCUUUUUACAAUUAUAUCAUUUGGUUAUAAUCAAAUUUUUUACAAUAAAUACAAAUAACAUAUUAAGAUAACUAUGAGUAGCAAAAUAGUAUUUCAAAUAUGAAAACAUAUUAAAUGCAUAUAAUUAAUAAAGUAAGAAAUAUAAAGAGUAAACUAUUAUCUAUAUGUCCAGCCAGAUUUAUUAAUACUAAUCCAUUAACCCAAAGAUUGACUUUAAAAUUCAUACUAUACAUAAUAUUCACAUAAUACAACAUAAUUUUUUUAAAUUAAUUAUUUUGAAUGUUAAAUAUAACUAUUUUUUUAAUUUAUCUUCUAUGAAUUCAAAUAUCCCCUUUAAACUGCAGAAGGAGAAAAAAGAAAUGUUCUGAAUUUCAAUGUAUUAAUUUUAACCUAAUUUAGUUGAGACUCGUAAUCUCGUCUCAAUGAUUAAUUAGUAGAUAAUCUUUCUAAUAAAUAUAUGUUGAAUAGAUAUAUUUCUUGACUAUUAAUAGGUUAGAUAUAUUUUAGCAUAGGAAUGAAAGUACAAGUUGUGUCAUAUUACCAGGAAAGUGUAUCAAUUUCUUGCAAUCGAAAGCUACAAGUUCUGUUAGGUUCCCAAAAGAUACCGAUGAUGAUGGCAAUAGAAUUAACAGACUUUGACAAUAAUAUACUCUUAGAAUUUCAAGAUACUGAAAAAUGGGGCCAAGUUUGGAGUCUUGUUUGCACGGCUGCUUCAGAUGAUAGUGCCGGUACAGCUUUAAUUCUUUCCCACAUGUUUCUCUAAGCAUCCUUCCUUCGAAAAUUCCUCUUCGUUGAAUGAAAAAUAAACCAGUGCGAGUAUUUCGAGAUUGUGAAAUCUCUCCAGUACGUUCCAGAUUGGAAAACAAGCUGAGUCAUCUCCAAAAAUCUCUAGUUGUUUAAGACUGCCAAAAACGUGUUGUGGGAAAUCGGCCUGCAAAAUCAUCUUCACAUCUUUUCCACUUAGUGAUAGUUCCUUCAAGUUGGGUACGAUCUGAUCAUCAUCAAUCAUAAUAACUAAUGAGGUCAAUUGAUGUUCUUUCAAAUGAUUUUGAGUAAUCCAAUCACAAGCAGUGACUUUAUAGUAUUUAUUUUAUAUUAAUUUUACCCCUAAAAAAAUUGAAUUAGUGAUAAAAUUCAUUAUAUGAUUUUUUUUAUAUGUUAGUUUUAGAGGUAAUAAAGAAAUUAGGGAAAAAAUGAAAUUAUUUAUGCAUGANNNNNNNNNNNNNNNNNNNNNNNNNNNNNNNNNNNNNNNNNNNNNNNNNNNNNNNNNNNNNNNNNNNNNNNNNNNNNNNNNNNNNNNNNNNNNNNNNNNNNNNNNNNNNNNNNNNNNNNNNNNNNNNNNNNNNNNNNNNNNNNNNNNNNNNNNNNNNNNNNNNNNNNNNNNNNNNNNNNAAGUAUUAAUUUAUCGAUGCUUUGUCAUAUUUUUCAAACUUAAAAGUAAGCUAUGAAAAAAAAAUCUAGAAAAUGGUUUCAUACCUUUAUAUAUAUAUAUAAAGAAAAUGUAAGCUUACGCACCUUCUCGUUGAAAAGCAGGGUUGAAGUAUCCAAAGUGAUUUCGCUGGAGCCAUACAUAGUCGUCGAUUCCUCUUGCGACACUGGUCUGUUUGGUGAUGCUGAAGGAGUCUUCACUUCACGGCAGAAACUUGUAACCUCUGGAAGAUUCCCCAGGCUCAAAGAUCUUAAUUGAGCAAACUCUAUCUUCUCAAUUGCAUUAUCAACUUCUUCCCCAAUUGCAAAAAUCUCUUUCAUCUUGCUGCAAUUAACAACUGCAAUUCUCUCAAGUCUUGGAAGGCAUUUUGUUGUAGAGAGCCAAAAGAUAUUGCUUAACUUAUCACAAUUAUAUGCUUCUACGGUUUUGAGUUUGUUGAAAGACUCUACUUUGAGCCGAUCAAUACAUAUCCUCUCCAUGUUGAUCAAAUUGUGAAGGAUAAGUGACUCCAAAAGAGGAAAGGCAUCACAAGCGACCAUCGCCCUUGAAUCGACGAUGCAAAAGAAGUCAGGAUUAUUUUGAACCCAGAGAAGCUUCAAUUGUGAAAAGCCCUCCGUGUCCAAAUUGAAAAGAACAUCCUCGAUGCCUUGCAGCUUGUCCAACCAUAAGUAUUCAACGUUAUUGAUGCCCUGCAAUUUCAUGGAGCAAAUGUUCAUAAAAUCAAGCUUGAGCUUCAAUGCUCUUAAUCUCUUCCGAUCACUGUUGAUCGAAAAGUGCAGCUGACUUUUGAACCAAUUUUGUCUAACACUCUUGGGAGGCAUGAACGACUCAUUUGCAAUAGAUAUUUUGAACCUUUCGAGCUUUCUGGCCAAAAAACCUUCUGGUAAAAUACUGUCAUUUUUAACGUCAAUUUCUAGAGUGGUUAGCCGAGGUAAAUGCAUCAAUUCGUCAAGGCUAGCAUUACUUCUUUUGCUGUUGGCUCUUUCAACCUCCCAUUCAAUGAAGCAAUUACCCAUAUACAGCUCUUCUAGUCGAGUUAAGCUUGAUAUGAGAUUGGGCGCAAUAACUUUUAGAUGGAAACAAUUGGUUAAAUCUAACAAUCUCAACUUAUUCAAUUGACCUAGUUCUUCUGGCAACUGCAUAAUAUCAGACAUCAAAAAGCUAAGGACUUCUAGAUUCUUCAACUUCCCAAUGAUUGCUAUGUCGCCCAACGCACUUUGAUCCAGACAUAGUGUGUGAAGAUUUACUAGAAGAUCAAUUGAAGAUGGAAAAGAAGAAACCUGCAUUCGGGUAAAAUCCAGAACUCUAAGCUUUUUCAUCCCUACAAAAAAGUUCUCAGGAAUAUUGAUUUCAAGAGAAGAAUCUUUGAGAGAGAUAAAUAAAAGUUCAAGGUUUGGGCAUUCUAAUCCUUCAGGAAAUUCACGAUUACUAUUAUUUAUUAAAGAGAUAGCAUUGCAUUUUCGUAGUGCAUCCUCAUCUGGCCAGUCCCACACAUCCUCAUCAUUUCUCACCGAAAACACGUGUUGGUGGCGGCAUGCAAUUGAUAUUGCGACAUCGCAAACAACAUCAUGCAUUGAAAAUCGUUCAUUGCUAUCACCCUCAAGCAACAAACAAGAGUCUCUAAGUUCAUGGACCAAUGCAUAUAAUUUGUCUCGUGCAUCUUCCAUCUUAUUGACUCCUUUAAAUAUACCCAAACCCAUGGAGUACUUGAACAAGUCCGAAGUAUUAUGGCUCUCCAUUAGACUACAGAGCAGAAAAAUUUUCUUGAGUUGCUCACCUUUUAAAUGGUUGAAACUGAGCUCAAUACUUGAAUAAGUCUCUGCAGAUACCCCUUCGAAGUUUACCAUUGAAGGCGUUUGGAGUUCUCGCAAGGAAUUCUUCCAUUCAUGCAGACUCUUGCCUCUCAGUGCCUUUGCUACUGUAGUCAAGGCAAUGGGCAAACCUCCACAUGCCCUGGCGACGUCUAUUGCUGUAGAUUUCAACUCACGAUUUUCAACAUCAUCACCGGCCAUCAUCUUAAACAAUCUCCAGGCUUCUUCUUCAUUUAAAUUGUUUAUCAAAAAGUUGUCUUUAGAACCCAUUUUUAAGAGGACACUACGAUCUCUUGCCGUUAGCAGUAGUUUGCAGCCUUUAUGAUCUUCUCCAAAAGGAAUUCCAACUGUCUCCAAAUCAAGGUGUUUCCAAAUGUUAUCUAAAACCACAAGGAUCUUCUUGUGAUUUCUCAAUCGCUCAAAUAGUCUACUUGCUCUUCUAGAUUCAACUUCCUCGUGCAGCUCCAGGCCCAACUUCUCGGCAAUUUCCUGUUGAAUCUUUUUUAUGUCUGGAGUUUGGGAAACCUCUGAAAAGACCACCAUAUCAAAGAGCUUGUCUUCCAUAGCUUGCCUGGCGACCUUCUUCACCAGUGUCGUCUUUCCAAUGCCGCCCAUGCCGUACACCCCAAUGAUGCUGACAUUAACAUCGAUCAAUGCUUUUUUUAUAGCCUCAAAAGUAGAACGUCUUGAUUCGAAGGCCUCGUAGCCUUUGUGAGACUUGAGCCAAAUCUCCUCCGGAAUGGUACGGUAGGAAAUUCUAUCAUCAAAUCUCCCAGCUUCUUCUCGGAGUUUAAAAAGGGCCUCCUUCUCUGUUUCUGCUUUCUUUCCAUGCUGAUAGCGAGUAAUCCAAUUAGGAAACAGCCCCAUGAGACAUCGUUCAUUUGCUUUCUCUUCGUCGAAAAUGAAUUUGGCUGCCUCCUUAAUGCUCUUGUUCGCAUUAACCAGCCAUUUCUCAACCUUCUCUUCAAUCUUUUCACUUUUUCUUUCAGCCUCAGAAACUCUGCGCUGAAUGCUUUCUCUUUCAUCCUUGAGCCUAUCGAGUUCUUCCUUGAGAUUCUCAAAGUUGGCAGCGGAGUUAUACCAAUAACUAAAUUCGCGUUGUGCGUGAGGAGACAAGCAGUUUACAACUCCUGGAACAAUGCUUUUCAAAAUGUCCAUUCUUUUUUUUUUUUUGGGGGAAGGGAACGAAAUAGAAAUAGAACAGGGUCAACGGCUGUGCAAUUGAUAAUCAAGUAGAAGCAAAACAAGGCAAAAUUGAAAAAAGAAAUUAUAUUUGUACAAAACAAGGAGAAAAUCAGUGUAACAGAUUGAGCGUGGGCGACUCCUUUUUAAACCGCAGAAGGAAAAAAAAAUUAUUCUGAAUUUCAAUAUAUUAAUUUUUAUGCUAAUUUAUGUUGAGAUUCGUAAUCUCGUCUCAAUGAUUAAUUAGUAGAUAAUCUUUCUAACAAAUAUGUGUUGAAUAGAUAUAUUUCUUGACUAUUAGAAGGUUAGAUAUAUUUUAGCAUAGGAAUGAAAGUACCAAGUUGUGUCAUAUUAGAAUAAAAAUUUGAGCUGAAAAUAUUGUUAUAUGACCUUUUAAUUAUUUGUCAGCAAAUAAUUAAUUCAUAUAAAAAAAUUAAUAAUCUGAAUUAGUCUUUAAGUAUUAUAAAUAUUUUUUUAUUUUUAAUUAUAAUAUCAUUAUUUAAAAAUAAUUGCUUGACUUAUAUUAGUAACAUUACGAUUGUCAUAAAACAUGUGAUCCUCAUCCAAUAUCCAUUAUUUGUGAUCCUUAAUCAAUAAAAUAUCUAACACUCCAGUCCAAUGCUGCCGUCAUUAUCGAACGGUCGAUAUCCAACACUCGCACGAAGAUUCCAAGAAGUUGCGUGGCUGCCGACUUUUAGAUGCAAAGCCUCAUUGUGUCGAUGUUACACAAAAGAGAGCAGUCCGGGUAAUUGCCAAAACUUAGAACUAAACAGUAGCUUAGUCAGAAAAUCAAAUGCCAGUACCGUUAAAAUGACCGAUAAAAAUAUAAAGAAACCAAAGCUUUAAAAGAAAUCAGCCAAAUCACGAAGAUUGAAGAGUAAAUCUAUGGUUUUAGAUUUUUAUUUUAUUUUUUUAGAUAAUAGAUAUUAUUUUGAUGAAUUUUUAAUAUUAGAAUAAUGUUAGGAAUUUCGAUAGUAGAAUUCUAACUUGAGAUCCAAUUGUUAUGUAUCAUUUUUUUAUUGGAUAAUGAAUUUCAUAACUAGUAAAAUUAAUAUUUUGAUCAUCUAAUAAAGGACUAUCAUAUCAGUUGAGACUCAAUUAUUGGGAUCCUUAACAUUGCUCUUAGUAUUAAAUUGGACAUCUUAGCUAAAUCAAAUUAAAAAUCAAAUUAGAUUUUAGGCUUUUAUCCAACAUCUCUUUUUUUUUUUUUUGGGUCUAUUUGAAGUGAACGAAAUAAAAAUACAACAGGUUCAACAACUGGGCAAUUGAUGGUCAAGUAGAAGCAAAUCAAGGCUAAAUGGGAAAGAGAAAUGAUAUUUGUGCAAAACAAGGAGAAAAUCAGUGUAACUGAAGAGAAUCAAAGUGCUUUUGAGAUCAAAAAUUGAGGCAAGNNNNNNNNNNNNNNNNNNNNNNNNNNNNNNNNNNNNNNNNNNNNNNNNNNNNNNNNNNNNNNNNNNNNNNNNNNNNNNNNNNNNNNNNNNNNNNNNNNNNAGAAGCUUAAUUAAGAACUUAAAACAAAAGAAUUAGAUUGAGAACAGUCAAGCCUUAUUUUUUCAAGGAUGGAGCUUAUAAAUCUUCAAGUACCAACAUACGCUUGGCCCAAUUGUUGUUAUUAAAAUUUCAAUAUACAUAUAUAAGUAUGAUAUAGGAAAAAUUUGAUGGUACAUAUGUCGGAAUAUACUAGUUCAUGGGUGCAUUUGAUUAUUGUUUCCAUAAAUUUGAACCAGGAAGGACGACACGAUAAAAUUUGAUUUUAUGGUAUGGUUGAUUUCAUAGCUCAUGCACUCAUUUCUUAAGAUAAUCAAAUUUUCUCUGGCAUCUUUUUCAACUGUCGAAAUAUCAAUUAUGAUCAAUCAAAACGAUUUCAAAACCUUUCAUCGAGACAUAUUUUUAAUACAAUAUUGUGAAAAUUACACUAAAAAUUUAAUUUAUUAUAUAUUAUUAUCCAACGAGCACACAAAAAUGAUUUCGUACAAAUCUAAAAUACUAAGCAAUUUUCAAAUAGAAUUUACCAUGUACUAAUAGAAUUUACCAUGUACUACAAGAAAAUAGGGUAUAUGUGACCCCUACUGUGAAUGCAAAAGCAGCCAUUACGCAUAACCCCGAGUUGCUUUUGUUACCCUUUAUGUGACGGCCACACUGCUGUCACAUAUGUUACGAACCGCGUGACGGUGAAGAGCCGUUCGGUAUACUAAUAUUUUAGAAUUUUAAAUUUAUUUCCAGUUAGAAAACUAUUCGCUGGACUCCGUGUUGCUGGCCACCAUCGUAAACAUAACUGGUUGCCAGCGAACGGCGUAAAACGCCGGCCAUCUUCUUCUUCAUUGUAUUCUCCCUUCAUCUUUUUAGGUAAGCUUGUGAUUAUGAGUUUCUUCUCUUACUUAGCUUGUAAUUAUAGAUUUUGAUUUUUUUUAAUUCGUAUUGUAGCCGUUAUUGUCAAUUUUUGUCCCGCCAGCAAUAUUUUUUUAUUCCUACAAGUUGAAGCCCCUGUGUUCUUGUUCCAUUGGUGAGUUUGCUCACUCAAAUUAAUUUUGUUCUGCGGAAUUUACAAAGUUCAAAUGGAUUCAUUUGAAUUACUAUUGAAUUUAGCUUUAAUUUCAACAUCCAUUCUAAUGUUUUGCAAUUAGAUUUAAUUUAAUUUUAUGUUUAAAGCUUCUACAAUGAAUAGCGGAGCUUGGGUUUUAGUUUCAUUUUCUGGAUAACUUGUUUUAGUUUAUCUUGUAUGCUCACCAAAUGCUUGUUAUAUUGUCUGAUAAGUUAUAUACAUUGCUGAUUCUACAUUAAUAAUGUUACGUUGUAUUUUCAGAAAUUAUAAUACAAAAGUUUUUGCAAUGGCGUGCAUCUACAAACUGAAUUGACUUGUAGAAUAAGAGCUCGGAGUAGUGUUAUGUUCUUGAAUAAUUGAAAGUUCAUAUUGUGUAAGAGCAUGCAGAUGUAAAGCAUCAUUACCAUUUCUACAAAGUGCUUUCAUUCUGUUCAUAUGCUCUUCUUGAACUUUGAAAGGUGCCUCGUUCAAGUCCUAGCUAUAACUACUAGCUUUGAUUAAUUAAGUUCCUAUACUAGCUGAAACAGAUUUAUUUAAUUAAUUAAUUGUGUAUGUACUAAUUAUAUUGAAAGUAUAUGAAUUUUUUUUUUAACAUGAAUGACUUCUAAAUGACUUAAAAACCUAAAGGAUGUGUGAAACAAUGCUCAUUUCAUUUGAAUGAGCCCAUUAAUACUUUUAUGUCUAUGAUUUUCAAUAUUGGCUAAAGCAUUUCAGUUAAGUGGUUUACCUAACAGAGAAAAAAAUUUAAUAGAAAACUUCAGAGUUCUAACAGAAAUAUAGUUCACUAUGCAGAUAUAGUUAUUUUACGGUAUACAAAUCAAGUUGUCCUAAUCUCAAUGUCCUAUGACCGAUUUUAUUUUAUAUAGUCAUUAAUUUUUUCCUUGGUUUUUUGUGUUUAUGAGUAUGAAAUAGUGGGAUUUGGUGUACCUUAGCAUCUUUUGAAAAUUCUCUUUCAGUGUGGCCAACAGAAAUAUACAUAUAAUCAAGUUUCUUAAUCGUGUAUAUUAGUUUUGGGUAUGAAUGUUCCUAUUCUAGUUCUAGGCAAAGCUUCUUCGUUUUGGUCUUCAGAUUUCCAGUAGGUUAAGUUAAUCAACUAUCAUAACUGGCUAGCUAGUUAUUGUCUGCCUUGGCGCCAUUACCCAGGCCAUUAUAUUGCAUAGCAUAAGGAAUAGUGAUUAGGUGAUUAUUAGUGAUUUGUUGAGCUUAUUAUCGACCAAACAAACAUAUUCGCCUUUGCCCACAACUUAGUUUGAUUAGUUAUUAGACCAUAAAGAGCCUUGAUCUAUUCAUUGGCUUUAUUAUUUUUAUUUGGUUUUUCUUUCAACAAUAUUGUUGAUUUCUUAUAAAAAUAUUCAUUGGUUUUUAAACACCUAAUCAUUGGCUAUAUGAAGCUAAUUAAAACUGAGGCUUUGGAUCAAUUUCUUCUAACAAGAUACAAAUGAGCAUUAACCUAUCUCCUAUGAGUAAAUUUUUUUAAUAUCCUUGAUUUGUAAGGAUCUGGAGGCCUGAAAUCCUCUAGAUUUUUUUUAACACUGUCAAUGUUCUUUUUAUUCUGAGAAGGAAAUAAAAGGUUUUAUCUUUCAUACCCAAAUAGUAAGCUGGCCUUGUCUUAACAUGGCCUCCCGAGGACUUGCAAGAUUCAUAGUGCCCCCCACCCCAAAAAAUAAAAAUAAAAAACACAAAUAGGAAGAUUUUGCAAGAUUCACCACCAGGUUUUUUUUAAUUUGUUAAUUGUGUGUACGUGCUAGUUAUAUGUUGAAAGAAUAGGAAGAAGUAUUUCAACAUGAAUGACUUAAAACUUAUUGCUCAGUAAACAUAAUCUGCAUGUAUUUAUCGUUUGUAUUUUUUAUGGUUUUGCUAAAGAAAUGAUAUGUGAAAUAAUGCUACAUUGCAUCAGGAAUAAAUUGAAGAGAUUUAUGAUAUUUAUGUGUUAUUCAAAUUUCAGAUUCAAUUUUAAACUUUUGAUACGUGCAUUGAAAGCUUAGACUUGUUUAAGAAAUUAUUAAUAGACACAUGUUUUUAUUAGUGUCAUCUUUGGAUGAUAGUGAGGAUCAUAUGUCUAUUAAUAAUUCUUGAAUUGUCCAGGCUUGGACAGUUUGGGAAUGCAUAGUUCACUCUGGUAGCUAGUAGCUGAAGUUUUUUCCCACGUAAAAAUGGGUUUUUCAGUAGCUGCUCCUCGUGUUCUCUGGGUACGUACUAGGUGAAUGGGUGUCAUGUGUUGUUUUGGCAUAACGCAUAAACACUUAUAUAGCUAUGUCGUGUGCUUGGAGAAUUAUAGGGAGAUGGUGCCGAAAUUUUUAUAAACGUGGAAGAAAACUUUAGGUACUUGAGAUUGAAGAAACUUAUGCAUUCUUGAGUGGGAUAUGUAGGAUUACUUACCUUUUGUAAAUAUGAAGGGAAUGUUGGAUAUAUUGGGGAUAGUGUAGGAGCUGAGUUGGAUGAAUGUAAUUGGUGAUGAUUUUGCUGAGCUGACCUUGGUUUUGAGCUUGUAAUUUUGUUUGUAAAUGGAGUGCUAUCUCCAAUGUUGGUUUAUAAAUAUGUUUCAGGACUUGCUGACCUAAUUUUUUGUUUCUAGGUUACAGGCUUUAUAUAUCUGUAAUUGAUGGCGAAGUGAAGUUCCCAGCACUUGGCGAGGAUGUUUCUUUACAGAAGGUAUUGGAAACUGUUUUUUACAUUAAUUAUUGUUGUAUAUAUACUUUGAUUUUCACAUCUUUUUCUCUGAUUCUUGUGGCUUUGCUUGCUUUCAUAUAUGUAAAUUCUAAUGAAAUUAACCAUAAAAUUGUAAAAUGAUCUUUUUAUUAUAUUGCAAAACUGUGCACACACGAAAAUAUAUUGUUUAGUAGUAGAAAUGAAGAACUAAAAUGAUUUACUUAACUAAUUUUUGUAGCGCAUUAAAAGGAGAUAGUCAUGGACAAGUGUUGGGUUGGUUUGCCAAAUAGAUAUCCAAGUCAUAUACUGAUGGGGAUGAAAAAUUUAUAGAUUUUGCAUUUGAGAAUGUUGUUGGUGGUACAAGAAUUUAAUAUCCUUUUAAGAAGUGUUGUAAUCUAUAUUUCGUUAUAAGGAAAGUGGCUGAUGAUGAUAUGGUUGGAAUGAUACAAUGCAUCACGUAAUCAAAUGUUCAAGUUACACGCAGCAUUGUUAUGGACUAUCAGUGACUUUCUAGCAUUGCCAACUUGUCUGGGUGGAGUAUUAAAGGUAAAUAAGCAUGUCUUGUUUGCCAACAAAACACUAGAUCUAAUUGGUUGAUACAUAGUAGAAAAUUUUGUCACGUGGGUCACCGUCGAUUUUUACCAACAAAUCAUAGGUUUCCAAAAUAUAGUGUCUUUUGAUAAAACUAGAGAGUAGGGACCAGCACAUUCUCGGUUGUCUGGAUCUGAAGUGAAAAAGCAGUUUAAUAUACUUACUGAGUAUAAGAUUGAAGACUUGAAAAGAGGAGAAUGAAUAAAAUGAGAGAAAUGAUAAGAUUACUUGGAAGAAGAAAAGCAUAUUUUAUGAACUACCGUGUUGGGAGUUCAAUUUGAUUCAUCAUAAUCUUGAUCUCAUGGGCUGUUUUGAUUUUUGUUAUGAACUCAGAUCAAAAGUUUAAUGUGAUCAAAAUUUCUUAAAAAUAGUGAAAACGACUCCUCCUAAUAAUAUGGAAGAUGGCUAUAAAAGAUAAAAGGAAAGGCUUAAAAAGAAAAGCCAUGCCUGUCAAAAAAAAAAAAAAUCAACAAAAAUCAAAACGGUGCGUUUGAGAGUGUAUAAAAUACAUUUAGAGUGGGAGUUGUGUUGUUGCUUGAAGGCAGAAAGAUAUUUGUCGACGAAGCCAAAACCAAAGAUGAAGCCCAUAAAGCUCAAAACUCCACCGGAGCAAAUUCAGACAAUUACGAGGGUUAUGUUUGACAUAGUCAAGGAAGACGGUCCUCUCACCGUUGCAGAAACUUGGGAACGCGUCAAGGUGUGUGUAUCUGUUAAAUUGAAUUUCAACCGUUUGAUCUGUAAUUAUAAUUAAUCCAAUCGAUCUGACCGCGAUCACUGACCAUAAUACUAGUAGUUGUUUUACAUUUUCAGCAGGCUAGAGCGGGUGGAUUGACGGGCAAAAGCUCAGGCUCGUCUGCAAUCACAUGGGCCCUCAUAAGCAAAUCCUGUACACAACUUGGUUCACUAAACCCAACAACUUGAAGCAGCCAAAAUCAGGGAAUGAUCCUUCUCCGUCACAACCCUAGCUGCCUUAACCUUGUAGUGACACGGUGAAGAUGGAAGCCCCUCAGCAUGUAAACUUUUCAACAGCGACAGAGCUCUUAUUCCAGAGGCUGCACAGAAGAGCGACCUGAAUCCUCUUCAAAAUGUUUGUGAGAUAUUUGUCGACGAAGCCGAAACCAAAGAUGAAACCCAUAGAUCUCAAAAACUCCACCGGAGCAAACUCAGAGUUACGAGGGUUAUGUUAAAUUGAUUAUUAAUAUAAUAAAAAUAACAAUUCUCCAUAUGUUAUUUCUUAUUAAUUCUUAUAUAUAAAUUAAAUUGAUAAUUUCUUAAAAAUAACAAUUCUCCAUAUAUAAAUUAAAUUUAUUUUAAUUUAAUAUAUGUUAUUUUUAUAUUAAAUAUAUGUUAUUUUUAUUAUAUUAGUAAUCAAUUUAAUUUAUUUUUAUUCUUGAGUAAUGGAUUAAAUUUAUUUAGUUUGAAGAGAAAAUUUGACAAAAAUUAAAUGGAAAAAUUGGAUAAUGAAGUUAUAUUCAUAAUUUUAUUAAUAAUAUAGGAAUAAAUUGAACAAUGAACAAUUAUUUUUUAAUAUGCUAUAAGGGUAUAAUGGUAAAAUUAUAAUUUACUGUUAACAAAUGGGGGUCUCAGUGUCUUUUUUGAAACAUUAGGGGGUUUUGUGUCCCUUAUUCAAACGUUGGGGGUCUCUAUGUCCUUUUCCCAAAAAUUUAUAAACUGGAAAUUUAUAAUAAUCUAACUUAUUCUCGUUACUAUUAAAAAAUAAGUAAACAUAUCAAUAACAAUAUAGUUUAUUAUGAUUAUAAUUCAUUCAAUUAAAAUAAAUAAUUUAUUCUUAUUUCUAUUCUCUAUUCUAAUUUCAGUAAAUUUUGAUUUUAGUUUAUUUUAAUUAUUGAUUAGUUGUAAACUUAACUGGAAAUUUAUUGCAUAUAUUACGAGAAGCAGUACACACCAAUGGUAAAUUGAUACAUCGUUUUUGAGCUUAAGAUAGUCAAAUGAAAGAAACACAACGUAGGGUUCAUGAAACACUUUCAAAGCUGCUGAUGACUUAAAGUGAAUAACCUCAGCAUGUAAACUUAACUUCAAAGGACGGAGCACAAGUUUCACAGAAAAACAGCUCUUAUUUCUGAUGCUGCGAACACAGAGGAGUGACCUCAAUCUUCUUCAUCACUUGGGAAUUCUGCAAUUAUAGAGCACGACAUUGAGCAUGAACUAGAAAAAAUAUUUAUUUUCUACAAUUUUCAUAUAAUAAUUCAUAUGUUUUUACUGUCAUCACUUUAGAAAAAACUAAUUUCUCAAUGUGAAAUGGCCCAUAAAAAGUAUUCUCAUUUAAAAACUAAAUUUGACAAACCCCUCGAUUAAAGCAGGGGAGAGAAAAAAAAAAAAAAAGAUCUGAAGGCUUUCCAUGAAAAUGUUGUCACUUUGGAUGAUAUUUUCAAGGGAUUUCAUUCUAAAAAUAAAAUACCUGGGACCUUAUUCUUCAAAUUGACAGCUCGCCCAGUACUAAACGCGUAUGAGAUCAGUACUGGGACAAGUAACGAGACGACCCCUCCAACAGCUGAAAAUAAAAUUCGCAUUCAUCAAUUUAAAUUGAAAUUCAUAUUAUGAAAUUAAAACUAAUGAUUAAUGAAUUUUCAAGGAAUUUAAUAAGAUUCUCAUAUAUAAACGUGAUAAAAAAUUCACUCAUCAAUAACAAAUAUUCUAACAUUUUGUUGAUGUAAUUGUUGUAUGGUUGUGUUAAGGUCAUUAUUAGACCAACGCAGUUUGUCAUCACUCAUUCCGUACCAGACGUUUACUCUCGGAGGCGUGAUUGAUUCUCCUUUGGUGAAAAUCUUCAUCUUCGGACAACCAAUCACAGUAAGAUAUUCCAAAGAUGGGAAUUUGAAGGCGUAAUUGCCAGAGGAGAAGCUUGUGAGACUAUCUAAAUCAAACAGGGACAACGUAGUCAGUUUGCUGAAAACAAUCUCUUCUUUUAAAUAUGCUGUUUCAUUUCAAGACUGGCAAAAUUCAUUGUGUAAUCAAAGUUUUCAAUGAUCCAACUAAUAUAUAUAUAUAUAUGUAUGUAUAUUCCUUCUCUAGUGCAGACAUUCUCAUUUUUUUUUUUCAUGUGGACCAGUUUUUAGAUCCCCUGGUUUAAAAGAGUUAGUUUUUAACUCUUUAAAACCGCAUGGCUUCAUAAUUUAUUUAAAAACUAACUCUCUUAAACCGCACGGUUUAAAAGCGUGUCCACAUUAAAAAAAAAUACGGACCCCCACACCUGAGAAUGAUUAUAUAUAUAUAUAUAUAUAUAUAUAUACACACACGCUCUUAAACCGUGGGAUUUGAAAGCUUCUCCGCAUGAAGAAAGUAAAAAAUAAGGGCAUUCCCACUAGAAACAAACUCCAUAUAGGUAUUUAUUAAACCUCCUGAUCUGUGAGUGAGGAACAACAAAUAUAAUUGAUAAAAAAAAUCUAAAAUUUGGUUUCAUACCUUCUUGAACGAGAACAGGGGUUGUUGUGCCGGAAUACCAAAUUGAUCAUUCUCGUUAUUCUGGGACAACGUUAUUUUAUCACAAUUACAGGCCUCCAAUGUUUUUUAGUGCUGGCCAUUCUGAAGUAUGCAUUCCAGGGUAUAAACAUCUGAGUUCUGGUAGACCUUCGAGAUUCAGAGUGGUCACUUGUGGAAAGACAAAAUAUGGGGUCACUUGAUCUGCUCUGUCUUUGGAGAUGAUCUCUUGUAAACCCAUACAUAUCCGUAUCUCCAGGUGUUGGAGGUGCUCAAGGCUUUGGAUCAUAGAAGCUGAAAAUAUGUAUUUUAAUUUGUCACAGCCCCACACUAUCAAUCGUGUCAAACUUUGAAAGCCGCAAGUUGAUUGUCAUGCAAAAUCUCGUCGACAUUAAUAGCAUUCAGCUCCAAAGCCUCCAAAUUUGGCAACACUACCUGAAGAUAAUUUUCUCUUUAGAUCCAAUAUCCGUAUGGAAAGCACUUGUUUUGACACAAUAUCCAUAUAAGAAGCACUUAAUUAAGAGCUUAAUUAGCGAGUGUAUGAGACUUUUUUUUUUCAAAUGCCAGUGCAUGAUAGAACUAAAAAAAAAAAAGAAGCAUUAGCCUACGUACCUUCUCGUUGAAAAGCAGAGUUGACGUUUCCGAACUGAUCUCGUUGGAACUGGCUGUCAAUUCCUCUUGCGACUCUUGUCUGUUUGGUGAUGUGGAAGAAGUCUUCACUUCACCGCAAAACCUUGUAACCUUUGGAAGCUUUCCCAGACUCAAAGAUCUUAAUUGACCAAACUCUAUCUUCCCAUCAACAUCAACAUCAGCUUCUCCUCCAGUUGCAAAAAUCUCUUCCAUGCUGCUGCAAUUGAUAACUGCAAUCCUCUCCAGUCUUGGAAGGCAUUUUGUACUACUAGAGAGCCAGAAGAUAUUACUCAACUCAUCACAAUUUUCUACUUUUAUGGUUUUGAGUUCAUUGAAGGACUCUAUUUUGAGUCGAUCAAUACAUAUCCUCUCCAUAUUGAUCAAAUUUUGAAGAGUAUGGGACUCCAAAAGAGGAAAGGCGACACAUGGUUCUCUCUCCAUUGAAUCGACGAUACACAGGAAGUCUGGAUUAUUUUGAACAUGGAGAUGCUUCAAUUGUGAAAAGCCCUCAGUGUCCAAUUCUAAAACAACAUUCUUGAUUCCUUGCAACUUAUCCAAACAUAAGUAUUCAACGUUAUUGAUGCGCUGCAACUUCUCGGAGCAAAUGGCCAUAGAAUCAAGCUUGAGCUUCAAUGUUCUUAAACUCUCAUGAUUACUGAUCAUAAAGUGCUGCCGACUUUCAAACCAAUCAUUAUGCUGAAAUCUGCUCGCCCUUGGACCGACCAGAUUCUGUCACCAACGUUUGUGUUAUCAACUGUCACUCGAACCACUGGGGUUGGAAUCGCCCUUCCCUCUCUCACUAGACCUGCGUUCAGCAAAAACGGAUCAGAGACGCCGGUGGUUUUGCCGGCGUAAACCCUCCGAUGCCUAAGUUAGCACAAGGUGUUUACGGGAAAACAGUGUAAUAUGGAUUUAAGAAAUUUGUAAGGAAAUGGCCUGGUUGCAAUUUGGCAGCGUUUCCCCUCUCUCAGUUUUUCUGUCCUGUCUUCUUCGAUGUCUUUCUCUUUUAUAGCCGCCCUUUGUCCCACGUUUUUCGUUUGCCCCUUAUCCCUCCUUUUUCGGGUGGUGGUAGCCCCUCAUGGGACUCUAACUGCCAGAUUGUGGGCAAACGUGGAUCUCGCGUGUCCUUCAACCGCUCUGGGAGAAGCGCAACUACCGCGAUUUUGUGAGAUCGUGUUCCCGCUUUCCUGGGGAUGAGUAUCGGCUCGGCGUAUAUUUAUGGUCGGUAUGUUUUCCUGGUCGCAUUCAUCUCGGGUCGGCUCUUGUUUAACCCCGUGUUCUGCUCGUACCAUAUAGCUGGAACGAUCCGUGCCGGGGUGGAACCAGUAACAUGGCCGACCUGGUGCCUUUAUGUACUCAACACCAGUCCCCCAGUUUCUGGUCUGGCGAGUGAAAUGAGUUAAGAGUAGAAACUGAUGGUCAAAUCUCACCAGCCCGGGGAGCUUCUCGUCUGAUCCUCUUUUUAUUGAGACGGGCCUGACCUGAUGUACCAUUUCUCUACUGAGGAGACUCCGACCUGAGCGUGGGCCUAAGUGAACCUGCCCAUAGCAUAUCUGGGCUUACUUCUAACCUGGCCUCUUGUAACGGUUGGUGAUGUGGCAUCUCCAGACUCUUCGUAUUUGAAAUUUGAAACGACGGGCUAUCCGUCCUCGAUAUAUGGGGGGUGAGCUGGCAUAUCCCAUCACUGAAAUGCUUCCAUUUCCCCCUUUUCGUUUCAAAUCCCUAGACUGGAGUCAUCAUUAUCUUGCUAUUCGUUUCUCCGUCGUCAACCAAAUUUUCUCUGAACUUUGCUCACACUUCCAGCGUCCGGAGUAUCCAUUCGCCGGGUGUUUUCUCUGUCACGGCGGCGCUAUCAGUGUCAGUCUAUUCCAGGUAUAGUCUUUAACCUUUUCCUCUGGUUGUUGUUGAUUGGGUUCUGUGUUGCCUUCUUUGUGUCCAUAUACUCGAGUUUUCUCUGUUUUCUUUUGGGGAUUUCGGUAUGUCGAAUCGGAAGAGGAAGUUAAUUGUUGAUGAGGGUGAUGAAGAGUCAGGGGACUCAGGCCUCAAUGUGCCAAUACCCACUGAUUACUUGGGCCCCUCCAGUAGUGUAGGUCCUUCCCAUGGCAGGGAUACCCUUGAAUACCCACGCCCUUUGGUUAUCUCUCCUUCCCCCGAACUAGAGCUUGUAGGGAAUAGAGGUGGACCUGCGUCGGGCUCUGGUGAGAAUCACAGUUCUGGUGGGGUUGGGGUCCCUGAAGGAGUUAGUGAUGGUGAGGGAAGCGGUUCCGGACCAAGCAGACCUGCUCAGAAAAGGAAACUAGGCCAUAGGGUGGAGGCUGAUUCCUACCCUAUUGAUUUCAUGGCUUGUGCCACCACCCCCACCGAUCUAUUUAAACUUAGGAAUCUCUACAACAUCCCCAACGAUGUUCUUCUUGUAGUCCCUGGGAAGGGUGACGUUCCUAGUCGGCCUCCGCAGGGGUAUGUGACGAUGCACCUAGAGAGUUUUAAACUAGGAGCUCGGCUGCCCCUUCAGCGUUAUUUUGCCAAGAUAUUGGGAGGUAUGCACCUGGCCCCAGGUCAGCUACACCCGAACGGGUGGAGGGUUCUAUCGGCUAUGUUUGUGUUGUGGGAGAGGUGCGGGUUGGAGGAGCCUUCCCUUGUUGAAGUGAAGCAUUUGUAUCAGCUGCGGAGCAGCCCAAGGGAGGCGGGCUGGUACUACUUCAUGUCCAGUUCUGCAAAGAGAAAGCCAAUCACCGGUUUCCCCUCCUCGUGCAAGAAUUGGAAGAACAAAUUCUUCUUUGCUGGGGGAAAAUGGUGUUCAGCACUUCGUUCGUUGGGUGGUGAUCUUUACCUACCAACGCAGUUUGUCACCCCAGGUCGUUCAUUUUUUGCCUGUAUUCUUUUUCGAACUGCCACUUAUUGGGUUCUUUAACCUUGUUUGUUAUUUCAGAGUCAUGGGGUUUGAUCGGGGGGCUUGAAGAUCGACCCUUGCUUCAGGUGGAAACUGCUCUGGUGAACGCUUCUACUUGCCAAGACCUCCUGUCUCCAACAAACUUGGUCGGUUCGGGCCUAGUGGAUAUAGCCGCUGGAAUGGAUAACAAGAUCCUCAGCGCGAUGAGCAGGAAGCGUGGUCGGGCCCCGAGCAGCUCCAGCAACCCUCCUCCUCCUCCGAAGAAACCUACCGUCGGUCCUUCCAAGGCGCCUGUUCCUGCUCUGCCUCCUCCUCCACCUCGUAAGAGUGGUGGGGAGAAAACCUCGGACAAGAGUCCUGAGGUCAGCUUGCAAUCUGGGGACCGAUCUUCUCCUCUCCCAUCUCGGGAUCAAGGUGAUUACCUGAGUCCAUAUCAGAAGGAUUAUAAAAAAUCGGUUGGGCCUAAGAUGGUGAAGGACAUCGAGAGCAUGAGCCUCUCCGAGUUGGCUGCUUCUGUUCAGAGAGUCUCCUUUAGGCUGGCCACAAUGGUCUCGUGCUACAAGACCGGGUCCGCGCGUCAUGAGAAGAAGCUUCAAGCUAACAAUCAGGAGUUGAAAAGGAAAGCUGAAUCUGCUGACCGCUCCAGGGAGAAACUAGCCGAGCUGAACAAGCAUAUUAUGGAGCUGGAGGAGAAAGUUGCGGUUGCUGAGUCCACUUCCUACAAGCUUGAGGGCGAGUUGAAUGAUCUGAAGUCCGAUCUUCAGGCUACUCAAAGUGAGAGAGAUACUCUGAGGACCGCCCUUGAGGGAGAGAUCAAAUCCCUGAGUGACCAGCUGGCUGAAGAGAAAGGCAAAUCUGCUGAUGUAGAUGAUCGGCUGGAUGCUGAGUAUGACUCCGGGGUUGCUUUCAGCUAUAAGUGCAUCAUGUCUGUGCUCACGGAAGAAUACCCCGAGCUCGAUAUGAGCAAGCUGGAGACUGGGGUGGAGAGAUAUAUGGCUGGGGCCGGCCAGGGAGAUAAGGAGCAGGGUGAGCAGGAUCGGGUGGAGGUUCCUUCGGGUGGGGUGGAAGAGGGGGAUGCUGGGGGACGCACUUUCGAAAUGGGUCAAGGGUCCAUGCCUCCUCCUCCCGGUAUUGCUGAUCUCCCACCUCCUGAUGUUGCUGAUCCCUCACUUCCCGGGCUCGCUGAUCCUUCAGCCGCUGGAGCCGUUGACUCUGCUAAGCUUUGAGCCUAUUUUUGUAUAGACUCUAGAUUUGCAUUUGUUUUGUAAACAAUUGAACAUUUAUAAAAAGAUUUUUAAAUGCUCUUUAUUUGCUUUCUUGUCCGGUUUUUGCUCAUAGAUUGUAUCUUAGUUUUGCCUUUCGUAGGAUUAACUGCUGGUCCUUCGUUGACCGAGCCGAAGUAGGCAUUUGCUUUAGUAGAUUUCUUGUAGAGUUAGCUGCUGGUCUUGCGUUGACCGAGCAGAAGUAGGCACUUACUUGCCUUGGUAGAAUCUUCGUAACUUUAGCUGCUGGUCAUUCGUUGACCGAGCCGAAGUAGGCACUUGCCUUAGUAGAGUUUUCGUAGCUUUAGCUGCUGGUCUUUCGUUGACCGAGCAGAAGUAGGCACUUGCCUUAGUAGAGUUUUCGUAGCUUUAGCUGCUGGUCUUUUGUUGACCGAGCAGAAGCAGGCACUUUGUUGCCUUAGUAGAUAUUUUGAAGCUUUAGCUGCUGGUCUUCGUUGACCGAGCAGAAGUAGGCACUUGCCCUAGGAGAGUGUUCGUAGCUUUAGCUGCUGGUCAUUCGUUGACCGAGCAGAAACAGGCACUUUGUUGCCUUAGUAGAAAUUUUGAAGCUUUAGCUGCUGGUCUUCGUUGACCGAGCAGAAGUAGCACUUGUCUUAGUGAAAUUUUUAUUGAUCUUGCUAGCAGGGGGAUUUCAUGCUGAAUUCAUCUUUAUUGAAAUUUGAAUGUAUUACAAAAACAUAGAAUAUAUGCAUGUGCGACAGGCCAUCAGGCAUUGUAACAGAAAUAACUUGCCAGAGUGAGGAUUUAAUAGAGCAUUUUGCUUACUGGAAGUACUUCUUCAGGUGUUCGGCGUUCCAUGAUCUCUUCACGUCUCGUCCGUCUUGGCACGCUAAUUUAUAUGCUCCUGGUCCAGUGGCUCGUAUCACUCGGUAUGGGCCUUCCCACUUUGGGCCAAGAGCGCCAUGGUUAGGAUUCCUGGUGUUCUGGUUCACCUUCCUAAGUACCCAAUCUCCUGCUCGGAACUGCCUCACGCGUACAUUCUUGUUGUAAUAACGCAUGACCCUUUGCUGACAUUGGGCCACUUUCUGCGAGGCCCCUUCCCUUUUCUCCUCCAGCAGGUCUAGGCUUAAGCAGAUCUGCUCGUCAUUUUGCUCCUCAACGAAAUGUUCCGUUCUAUGUGUCCCCACUCCAAUCUCUGUUGGGAUUACCGCCUCAUGACCAAAAGCUAAAGCGAACGGUGUUUCUCCUGUGGCGGUUUUGUGAGUUGUCCUGUAGGCCCACAGUACCCCUGGUAGCUCGUCAACCCAAGCUCCCUUCUUCUCCCCCAAUCUAGUCUUUAGGAGCUUCUUUAUCACCUUGUUGGCUACUUCCACUUGCCCAUUUGCCUGGGGGUGUGCGGGGGUGCAGAACUUCAGGUCCACCCCCAGGUUUUGGCAAAAUUCCCUGAAGUUGCCGUUGUCAAAUUGCCUCCCAUUGUCUGUGAUGAUGGCGUAGGGGAUCCCAUAUCUGCAGAUGAUGUUUUUCCAAAUAAAAUCUGUUGUCUUCCUCUCUGUGAUCUGGCUGAGGACUCCUACUUCCACCCACUUGGUGAAGUAGUCUAUUGCCACGAUUGCAUGUGUCGCCGCUCCUCGUCCCUUUGGUAAUGGACCAAUCAAGUCGAUUCCCCAUUGAGCGAAAGGCCAUGGGGAUGUCAUAGCCGUCAGUUUCUCCGGUGGUUGUGCAGGAACCUCGGAGAAGCUUUGGCAUGUUUUACAAUUCUUGGCCAUUCUUUUGGCAUCCUGGUGCAUGGUUGGCCAGAAGUAUCCUUGCCGAAGUGCCUUGAAAGCUAAAGUUCUUGCUCCCGAGUGAUUGCCGCAUAUUCCCUCAUGAAUCUCUCUCAGCACAUAAUCCGCCUCCUCAUCAUCCAAACAUCUCAAAAGGGGUAAGGUGAACCCUCGGCGGUAUUGCACUCCAUCUAGUAGCGUGUACCUCGCUGCUCGGCAUUUUAACUUUCUUGCUUGCCUUUUGUCUUCCGGUAAAACUCCAUCGCGGACAUAUGCGCGAAUCGGGUCCAUCCAGGAUUCUCCAAUAUUUACACUCAUCACCUCUGCUUCUUCCUCAAUACUUGGUGAGGUCCUUACCUCUAGUGGAACUGACUUCGGUAAUUUUGGAUCUGCGAUGGCUGCCAUCCUAGCCAGCAUAUCGGCUCGGAAAUUCUCAUUCCGGGAUAUCUGCUUUACCUCCACUACUUGGAAAAGCCCAACCAUCUGCUUCGCCUUCUUCAAAUAAAGACCCAUCUUCUCUCCCCUCGCUUGAAACUGACCAUUGAGCUGAUUACACACCAAUUGGGAAUCUGCUCGAAUUUCUACUCUCUCUGCUCUGAGAGCGUGUGCAAGUCCGAGCCCGGUGAUAAAGGCUUCGUACUCAGCUUGGUUGUUUGUGAGCUGAAAUUCGAACUUCACCGCGUAUGUUACCUCAGUUCCCUCUGGGCUCCUUAUUACAACUCCUGCUCCGGAUCCUUGCUCACUACAUGAUCCGUCAACCAUUACCAGCCAUAUCUCCUUUGAAUCCUCGUGCUCUACCGGUUGUUCCUCUUGGACCUCUUCCCCCGGUUCAACACGGUCCACCAUAAAAUCUACCAGGGCUUGGGCCUUGAUUGCUCCUCGGGGCCUGUAGGAUAGGUCAAAUUCGCUCAGCUCCACGGACCAUUUUACUAACCGACCAGACGCAUCUGGUUUUUGAAGUACUUGCCGAAGUGGCUGGUCAGUCAUCACAAUGAUCUGGUGGGCUUGGAAGUAUGGUCGGAGUUUGCGUGCUGCCAUUAUCAAAGCCAGCGCCCACUUCUCCAUUAGUGGAUAUCUGGUUUCUGCGUCCACCAGGGCCUUGCUUGUGUAGUAUACCGGGUGUUGCUUCCCUUCUACUUCCCUGACUAAGACCGAGCUGGUAGCCUGCUUAGAGAUUGCCAAGUAUAAGAGCAGCUGGUCACCCUCUCUCGGAGUUGAUAGUAACGGGGCGUGGGCUAGAUAUUCCUUCAGCUGUCCAAAUGCCUCCUCGCAUUCCGGUGUCCAUUCCAUCUUCUUCCCUUUCUUUAUGACUUGGAAGAAAGGGUGACAUUUAUCAGUGGCUCGCGAAAUGAAUCGGUUCAAUGCUGCCAACUUCCCCGUAAGGCUCUGCACCUCCUUAGCUGUUCGUGGGGACUUCAUUUCUAUCACCGCCCGUAUAUUUUCUGGGUUGGCUUCAAUACCUCGAUGGCUCACCAGGUAUCCCAAAAAUUUGCCCGAGCUGACCCCAAAUGCACAUUUCUCCGGGUUCAGCUUCAUUUUGUACCUCCUCAGCAAUUCGAAAGUCUCUUUUAAGUGCUUCACAUGGUCUUUCGGUUCUCUUGACUUGGUGAUCAUAUCGUCCACAUAUACUUCCAUAGUGCGACCGAUCAAUGGUUUGAAGACCUUGUUCACUAACCUUUGAUAGGUAGCUCCUACAUUUUUCAGGCCAAAGGGCAUCACCCUGUAACAAAACAAACCCAUGUUAGUUAUAAAUGUGGUGCUCUCCUCAUCCUGCUCGUUCAUGGGUAUCUGGUUGUAUCCGGAGAAGGCAUCCAUGAAACUGAGUAGACUAUGACCCGCGGUUGAGUCCACCAGCUGAUCUAUUUUUGGUAGGGGAAAGCUGUCCUUCGGGCAUGCCUUAUUGAGGUCCGUGAAGUCUACACACAUUCUCCACUUCCCAUUGGCCUUCUUUACCAAUACCACAUUGGAAAUCCACUCCGGGUACUUAGCUUCCCUUAUAAAUCCUGCUUUCAGCAGCUUUUCCACCUCGGCAUUUAUGGCUUCGUACCUUUCAUGGUUGAAGCACCUCAUUUUCUGCCUCACCGGCUUUGCCCCUCUCUUGACCGCCAGCUUGUGACAAGCUAUCCCGCGGUCAAUACCUGGCAUAUCCUCAUGAGACCAAGCAAAUAUGUCUGCAUGGGACUGUAGACACUUCACCAGCUCUGUCUUUAUUUCUCUACCCAAUUCUGAUCCGACCUUUACAACUCUGCUAGGGUCGCUCCUGCUUACAACAACUUCCUCCAGCUUCUCAACCAGUUCCUGACUACCAUUUUUUGAAUCCCUUCGGUUAUCUAGCGAGGUAACUUGCAGCGUUUCCUUGGCCGCUGUAGCAUAGCAGCUCCUGGCCAUUCUCUGGUCGCCCUUUACUACACCCACAACUCCAUUUAUUCUGUACUUCAGCGCCAGAUAAUGCGUUGACAUUACACAUUGGCUUAUCCUCAUGAACGGUCUCCCCAAUAUCAUCUGGUAAGGACUUCUUUCCUCUACCACUACAAAGUCCAGCAUCAUCGUUCUUUCAAGUGGCUUUGUCCCUACAGUAAUCGGGAGUUCAAUGACCCCCAUGGGAGUUAACCGUCCCCCUCCAAAUCCCUUCAAGGAUGUAUUCGUUCGCUCCAGCUUUAAAUCUAAAAUCCCCAUAUCAUCUAAGGCCGACUUAAACAGAAUGUCUACUGAGCUGCCCGUAUCUACCAGUAUUCACCGUAAUUCUGUACUGGCCACAAAUGCUUUAAUCACCAGCGCAUCCUCGUGAGGGUAUAAAAUGCCUUCUUCGUCGUCCUCUGUCCACAUAAUAGGAACUUGCCGCACUUUUUCCCUCUUGGCUGCUGGCAAAUUGAAAAGCACUUCUUUGCUAGUCAGGGCGUAUCUCCCAUAGUUCUUCCGUGCCCUGUUUGAAUCCCCGGCCAAUGUUGGCCCUCCUGCUAUAACUUGGAUAGUCGGCUGUUCUUGUUCCAAACCCCUUUCAACUCCUUCAUCCUGUGCAUAUUGCGACUCACUGACGGGGAACACUCCAUCUACGUACUCAUCCAAGUAUUGGUUCCUCACCAAAUCCUCCACCUGAAUCCUUAGGUCACGGCAUUGGCUGAUAGUAUGACCGUGAGUGUUGUGGAAUUUGCAGAACCUGCUCUUAUCACGCCGGUGAGCGGGUUUCGUUAUAGGGGUCGGAGUAUACAGCAGUCCUCGUCCCUCGAUCCUUUCGUAUAGUUCCUCCAUGGAGAUUUUUAAAGGAGUAUAUCGUCGAUAUGCCGCGCUCUGGUCAACCAACUGAACUGCUCGGCUAUCAUGGACAUCACUUCGGGCUGGUAUAGCCGGUAACUGCUCUGGUCGGCCAGACCUGUGAUUGGUCGCGUUUACCUCUCUGGGAGUGCGGUGGUAAGGGUGGGCAGUCACCUGCCUGAAUUCUCGCUGCCGCUCUGGGAUCGGGGGGCGCAGAGGUUGAGCCCGGCUGUGUUGGAACUGUUGUGCUCUCUGAGCUAUGGGGUAAGGGCGAGACCGAGCUGAUAUUCCGCCCAUCCCCGAAGAUUCUCCAGUUCGCUUUCCCGACCCGCUCCCUUUCGGGGCUCUCCGUUCUCUUCGCCUCAGCUCUUCCAGCUGUUCACUUUUAAUUCUUGCUGAUUUUUCCUCUUCGAUUUCUAUGUCUCGUUUCGCUUGCUCAUACCCCGACGAGUAAUUCUGUACGAGGGGGCUUCUUAAGUUAUACCACAAUCGGCCGAUUCUUACACCUUCUUUUAAUCCCCUCAACGCCUGCGGGUGAUUAAAAGCUCCCAAAUCCAGCACGGCUCGGUGAUAUCGUUUUACGAAAUCGUGAAGGGAUUCAUGCUCCUCCUGCUUCAUCCCCAUCAGCUCCAUCAUGUCAUCCUCUGGGGCCACCGCCCCUCGGAACUGCUCGGCCAACUCCUGGCACAUCUGCUCAUACCCCUUUAUUCCUCCUCGGGGCAGCUUGCGGUACCAUUCUCGGGCUCGUCCCUCUAGUGUCAACGGGAACACCCUGCAUCUCUGAGCUGGUGUCAGCCCCUGCACACCCGUCAUGUCGUUGAAACGCUCAAUGUGCACCAACGGGUCACUUCGCCCGGAGUAUUUAAGGUCAGGGAAGCGGAAAUCUCUUGGGAUUAUGGUGCUCAUGAUCUCAAUUGAUAACGGAGAUUCUUCAUCUAGCAUUAUCCUCCAGCUCGGGGGCUUUCUCUUGCCCUGCAUCUCCUCUAUCACCUGCGCCAAUCUGCGCACCUCCCCCUCCAAUUCUAUAGCGCGAUCAGGGUCACGUGCAGCUAUCUGGUCUCUCUCCUGCUCGACGUUCUGCAACCGUUGUCUGAGCUCUCCUUCAUCAACACUGGCCCCUCGGCCAUUUAUUUCCAGUACCCGUCCGGGGCGAGGUUCGUCUCUCCCUUCAUCCACGUGUUCCCCUGGGACCCGGCCAGUACUUCGGUGGGGAUGCACUCCAUUAGGUUGGUCUGCGGGUGGAGGGAUUUCCCCGACCCUACGCCCCCGGAGACUGGGUUCUGCUCCAACUCCAUCUCUUCCCACGGGGGUUUCAUAAUCCCUUCUCCGCUCGUCCCUCAGCUCAAACAAUACGGCCGCGAGAGUCUCCAUUUGUUUCUCCAUCCGCUCCAGUCUAUCUUGCAUCAUCCUCUCUCGGGCUUCAUUUGCUAUCUCCCGUAGAGUGAUUGUCUCCACCGUUUCAUUAUCCUCCCUUACAGUAUCCUUUCUUGACGCAUCCAUAUCUAAUCGUUCGCUACUUCUCAGGUAAUUACUAACUUGGUGGUAGCUUUUUAUUCAGCUCCCCACAGACGGCGCCAAAAUGUUGAUGCUGAAAUCUGCUCGCCCUUGGACCGACCAGAUUCUGUCACCAACGUUUGUGUUAUCAACUGUCACUCGAACCACUGGGGUUGGAAUCGCCCUUCCCUCUCUCACUAGACCUGCGUUCAGCAAAAACGGAUCAGAGACGCCGGUGGUUUUGCCGGCGUAAACCCUCCGAUGCCUAAGUUAGCACAAGGUGUUUACGGGAAAACAGUGUAAUAUGGAUUUAAGAAAUUUGUAAGGAAAUGGCCUGGUUGCAAUUUGGCAGCGUUUCCCCUCUCUCAGUUUUUCUGUCCUGUCUUCUUCGAUGUCUUUCUCUUUUAUAGCCGCCCUUUGUCCCACGUUUUUCGUUUGCCCCUUAUCCCUCCUUUUUCGGGUGGUGGUAGCCCCUCAUGGGACUCUAACUGCCAGAUUGUGGGCAAACGUGGAUCUCGCGUGUCCUUCAACCGCUCUGGGAGAAGCGCAACUACCGCGAUUUUGUGAGAUCGUGUUCCUGCUUUCCUGGGGAUGAGUAACAUUCUUGAUUCCUUGCAACUUAUCCAAACAUAAGUAUUCAACGUUAUUGAUGCGCUGCAACUUCUCGGAGCAAAUGGCCAUAGAAUCAAGCUUGAGCUUCAAUGUUCUUAAACUCUCAUGAUUACUGAUCAUAAAGUGCUGCCGACUUUCAAACCAAUCAUUCUCAAUAACCAGGGUAGAGUCGAAUGAUGCAUCUCCUAUUGAUAUAUCAAACCUUUCCAGCUUUUUGGAAAAAAAGCCAUCCGGUAAAAUGCUAUCAUUUUUAACAUCUAUCUAAGGUGGUCAAUCGCCUCAUAUGCAUCAAUUCGUCGAGGGUGGCAUUACUUCUUUCACUAUUGGCCUUUUCAACUUCCCAUUCAAUAGGGGAAUUACCCAUAUACAGUUCUUCCAAUCGAGUGAAGCUUGAUAAGACGUUGGGCACAAUAAAUUUUAGUUGCAAACAAUCUGUUAAAUCUAACAGCCUUAACUUAGUCAGUUGACCUAGUUCGCCAGGCAACCGUACAAUAUCAGAAUUUAAAAAGCUAAGGAUUUCUAGAUUCUUCAACUUUCCAAUUAUGGCUAUGUCUCCCAACAUGCUUUGAUCUAGACAGAGUGUUUGAAGAUUUGCUAGAAGACCGAUUGAAGAUGGCAAUGAAAAUAAUCGCAUUCGUGUCAAAUCUACAACUCGAAGCUUUUUCAGCCCUUUGAAAAUGUUGUCAGGAAUAUUGACCUCAACAAAAGUGUUUUGGGAAAUAUGUAAAAAUUCAAGUUGCAGACAUUCAAAUUCCUCAGAAACUUCAUGAAUGCUACUAUUUAGUAAAGAGAUUGCAUAGCAUUUUUUAAGUGCAUCCUCAUCUGGCCACUCCCACACAGCCUCAUUUCUCACCAAUAAAGCAUGUUGGUCUCGAUUUAAACUUUAACUCAAUUUGAAAAACUGAGCAAGUAUGCGUUACAGGAAAUCAAAAAAGCUCCACAUACCCAGAUCAUGAUCUCACGUUGAAUCCAGGUGGGAGAUAUAUUUAUGAUCAAGCCCAACAUCGAAGGGGGCAAAAAAAAAAAAAAAAAAAUCUACCAGACAUAUGAUCAUAUUGACCACGAGCUUCAUACGCCGUGGAUUUAUUAACAAAAGUGGGAAUUAAUUAAUCAUGAGCAUGUGUUCUAGUUAAGUCAAAAGAGAGACUUAAUUAAGAACGCAUAUAUAAUUCAUAAUCAGCACAUAAAAAGAUCACUAGUGCUUGCCCCUCCUGCCCUUGCCGUGCUUGCCGUGCUUGCCCCUGCCCUUGCCCUUUCCAUGCUGGUAGUAGCCGCCGUGCUUGCCGUGUGUGUAUGCACCGUGAGCUCCAGGAUAUGCGUUAUUAUCUGCAACAAAAUAAGAAAUUAAAUCAUAAGCUUAUAAUUAGCUCGCUCGCUAAGAGUGAUUAAAAUAAUACCGUGCGGAACGGAUGGGCCAGGAUAUCCCGUUGGUGUGUAACCACUGGCGAGUGCUGCUCCUGUAGGCGGGUAGCCGGCACCGGCUGGGGCAGCAUGAUCAGCACCUUCCAUGAUUUUGAUGAUCACCUAAUAAAUAAUAACUUGGUCCAAAAUAAACAACAAUAAAUAAUUGUGAUUAAUAAAAAGUAAUAUAUUCUCUAAUUAAAACAUUAAUGAUCAUUGGAGAGCAAGCGAGAAAUACUUACUGAAUGCGAUGGGACAGACAACAUCAUGCAUAGAGAAUUGUUCAUCUUCAACGAAUUUGGCUGCCCGGUCAAUGAUGCCGUUAGCACUAACCAGCCACUUCUCAACCUUCUCUUCAAUCUCUUCCCCUUUUUCUUUUGCCUCUGAAACUCUGCGCCGAAUGCUCGUACGUUCAACCUUCAACUUCUCCAUUUCCGUCUUGAGAUUCUCAAGGUUGGCAUUGUAGUUCCGCUUGCGCAAAUAAACAAGUUGGCGUUCUGUUGGAGGAGCCAAGCAUUUUACAAGUUCCAAAACGAGAGUAACAAUGAUUUCCAGCAUCUUGAAUCCUGACAACAAUGUAGAAGUGAAGAAGGCCAAAGGACAGUCAAAACAGAGAGACAGCGUUACGACAAGCAGUUAUGGAGCUAAAAAUAAAUAACAAACAAACAGAAGCAAAGUGUUUUUCGAAUGAGAAGAAGGAAGCAAGAAAAACUUAAAACUAGUAUAAUAAAUUUAUACUAAAACUAGUAUAGUAAAACAAGAAGUCAAGAACCAGCAACUUUUACACACAAAAUAAAACCUUAAAACUAGUAUAAUAAAUUUAUCAUCAAGUUGCAGCCUUCUUAUUCAACAAUUACAGCAUUAUCUUGAGCUCUGUGUUUCUUUUUUUAAAAUUAUUCAAAAAAAUCUGCAUUUGUUUUUCAAGGAUAAAAAUUAUAUUUUUGUCUCAUAUAAUAUAAAAUUAAAAAAAAACAAACAUAUAUUAAAGGUCUGUUUGGGAUUAUUUUUAGAGGCUCAAAAGUAAUUUUAAAAAGUUAAAUGCUAAUUUUGGUAUUUAAUAAAAUUUUUAGAAGUCACCUUUGGUAAAAUCAUCAAUCCUACAACAAAUUUUGAAAGCAAAUAGUUUUUCAAAUUUUUAUUUUGAUAAUUAAUUUUAUACUUAAUAUAAUUCCAUAUACAUCCCUACAUAUAUUAAUUAUCCUUAUUAAUUAGAAAAUAAAAUUAUUAACUUUAAAGAUAUUAUCAACAAUUACAUUGAGAUAACAAACUAAAAAUAAAAUUAAUAAUAUAAAAUAUUUAUUUUAGUAAUCAAUUAUUAUACUUACAAGAUAAAAAAUAUUUUAUUUAAAUGUUUAUAAAUGUACAAAUAAAUUUUAUUUAAUAUUAUAUUCAAUUUAGUCAUUUACAUUGUCAAUAGGACUUCUAAAAAUAAAUUUUCCUAAAUGUUUAACUAAUUCUCUUCAUAGUGAUUAUUUCCAAACAUAACUACCAAAAAUUACUAUAAUAGAUACAACAUUACCAAAAAAAUAUUGAGAUAGAUUUUAAUUAGGUAAUUGACUUAAUUAUGAAUCAAUUUAUUAUUUCCAUAUGUGUUAUCCAUAUGUGUUAUCAAAACCAGCUCAAUAAUGAGAUCACUCUUUUUCUUAAAUAAAAAUAUUUGUGCCAAACAAUUGUUGCAAAAUUUCAAAUAUAAAUUACAAACAACAAAAUUUUCUAAAAUCAUAACAAUAAUUUAUGUUGUGAAUACAUGUAACGAAACCACAUUGAAAUUUUAUUGUUAGUAAAAUUGUUUUUCACGCAAAUGCAGUGACGGAUUCGGUUUCAUGUCUCACCCUCAAUAACUUAAUUUUCAUAUCUAACAAAUCAUCCAUAUUAUUAACAAUAUCAUCACCAACCAUAAUCUACCUAAACAUAAACUAAACAUAACACAUACAUAUAACUAUAUACAUACCGAAUCAGGAAAACAAUGAAAGCUACACGUAUCCGGCUCUACAAUUCCUUCUUGAUACCCUUGUGCUUCUAAAAUAAUCAACCAAUUAUAAAAAUUAGCUUAGGUGCAACUUUACCCCUUUUUUUGGGAAACUUAACUAUAAAUAAAGUAUACAAAUCUCUAAAUUAACUUCGUCCCCAUGAAAUUCGGCAUAAAUAGAAAUAGAAUUAUAGAAACCUUACUACCUUUUAUGAGAAAUCCAACUUAUAUAUUUGAGACCUCUCUCUCUAAGCACGCGCUUCCUCUCUCUGCACACUUUCCACCUUUAAAUUCUCCUUCACUAAGUUUACCUAAAAGAAUUUAGCGUUCUCCCAGUUUCUUUCGCAUUUUUCUCCGUGAAAAUUGGUGAAAAAGAGAAAGUGAUUUGAUUAUUUUAAUGUGCGACAGAUCUGGUUUCCAUCUCUGUAAUAUAAGUGUAUCAAAACGAGGUGAACAACUCUUUGUCGAGUCAGUCAAAUAUAAAAGACAAAUUACGAAACCAAGCAGAGCCAAAAAAAAAAAAAAAAUUUCCAAUUAAAUAAUCAUCAAGUCUUUUUCAAUUAAAAUCGGAGGUGCAGAACAACUGUCAGGAGAUAAUCAUUGUUUAUGGAGCCAUAUUAUAUUUUCGAUUAAAAUAGUUGCGCGUGAACAAUUGGCAGAAUUCGUAUAAAUUGUUUUAAGGUCUAUUAUAAUUAACAUUUAACAAGUGGAAUGGCCAAUGGAUGAAGAACCACUAUAAUUAGGGGGGUUUUGUGUCCCUUAUUCAAACGUUGGGGGUCUCUGUGUCUUUUUCCCAUGAAUUUAAAAUGCUAAAGAAACUGGGAAAAUUUACAAAAAUAACCAUAAAAUUUUUGUUAUUUUUACAAUUAACCCUCUCAACUUUUUUCUAUCAACAUUAGCCAAACACGUGCUUUUCUCCCCAAAUUACCCUUCUUUACAAACCAAAAGCAACAUUCUUUCUCCCCUUUCGUCAAACAAAGGCAGCUUCCACUCUUGAAUCAUCAACCAACGACAACGGCAAAAGGCAACGAUAAAAAGUGAAAUCCGAUCAUAAUUUAUUCGGAUCCAACACUAAUCGGCAUCACAUAGUGGUAUGAGUUAUUUUCUUGCUCGUGAGUUUGCCUGUCGCACCAAAAGCCAGAUUCAUUAUAAUUAACUAUUAAUUUGAUAGGGCUGAAAUAAUUUAUUUUUUUAUAAUUUCAGGCUUAAUGGAUUCAGUUGUACUUGAAUUGUGUUACGAUGGUUGUUGGGAGACAUUAGAGGAUGGGCGUAUGGAGUAUGUCAAUGGUAAAAAUAGAGCUUUUUUGGUUGGAAAAAAUUGUCUUUUUGAUCAGUUAUUGGCAAGAGUAUACGAUGUGUUACAAAUUAAUCCUAAUGAAUAUAGUAUCACAAUGAAGACAACUUUGAGGUCUAGUAACACAUUAUAUCAUGUAUGUGCACUGCCCAUGGAUAUAUUUGAUGAUGAAAUGGUGAGGGUUGUGUUACAUAUGGCAUCCGACGUAGCUAAUUUUGGAUGCAUUCCUAUAUUUGUUACCACAUCACCUCGAGUUCCGAGUGGAGGUAUUGAGCCACAUGUCGAUACAGAAACUUCGUUUAGAGCAAAUAUGUCUAGCCUCGAUAAUGAAGAAGAGGUGUUGCCAAGGACAAUAUCACUGCAUCAAUAUUACUCUCCAAUCCACGACAAUUAUGACAACAUUGAUGAUGACGGCGUUACGUUACAGGAUGUUAGAGCAACGGUAUUUCCAAUAACGACGUCGUUGGAGCAACGGUAUUCUCCGUAUCACAAUAAUGAUUUUCGGGACAAUGAUGAUUUUCAUGAUGAGACAGAGGGGGAUAAUGUUUGUGCAGAACCUUCUAAUAAUAUGAGGGGCACUCAUUUCAAUAAUGAUGGUGAUGAUGGAGGAGCCGGUCCUUCGAAUGUUCCGUCGUUUCAGCAUGAGGAUGAGUGUGAAGACAAUACUCCUGCGAAUAAUAGAGGCAAUAGACCUAUUCUAGCAAUGGUUCGAUCGAGAAGGAGAAUUGACCCUCUCACAAGUCUUGCUCCAACUUUGCCUUCGAACAUGGUUGCUCCAAGUUUUGUUAGCAGUUGUGACUCAGAUGAUAUCAGUGUCGGUAAGCUAUUUGCUGAGAAGAAUGAGUUUAUAUUACAACUACGCAAGGUUGCCUUUCAGGAUAAGUUUGAUUUCAAGAUUGCACGGUCUACUACGACACGUUUCGAGGCUCACUGUAGUUCAGAAUCAUGUAAAUGGCGUAUUCGAGCAACUAGAUGUUCGAACGAGGAAAAUGUUCCUUGGGUGGUGCGGAGAAUUGAUAAUGUACACACUUGUCAUAAUGAGGUGUUGGUUGCUGGAUGUCAUCAAGUCAGGAGCCGGGUUGUCGGUCAUAUUAUCGCAGAUAAAUAUAUUCAAGUCAAGAGAAUUUAUACUCCGAAUGACAUAAGAGCAUAUAUGCAACAAGAAUACGGUGUUCAGUUAACAUACCAGCAGGCAUAUCGGGCGAGAGAAGUUGGUCUUGAAAUAGUUCGAGGCAACCCUGCAGAGUCAUACAACUUGCUCCUUAAAUAUUCUCGCGUACUAACUGCAGCGAAUGAGGGUACAGUCACUCACAUCGAGCUGGUGCGACAGCCACGCCUGUCGCACCAAAAAAUUGGUGCGACAGGCGCGCGCUGUCGCACUUGAUCUGGUGCGACAGCGCCUCUCGCACCAGAUUUGGUGCGAGAGGCUUGCUGUCGCACCAGAUUUGGUGCGACAGUGGGGCACGCAUGGGCGCGCGCGCGCGCCCUGCCCCCCUCCCUCUCCACCCCCAAAAUUAAGCCACAACACUUUAAAAUCGAAAAACAAUACUCCCAAACACCACCACUACCACCAUUAUUCUCAAGCUAUAAUUAUUAUUAUUCUAAAAUCUCAUUUUAAAUUAAUGAAAAUAAGAAAAAUGACUAACCUAGGUUUUGUUGAAGGUUGUAGAUCGUAGAUCGGAUGCCGGUGAGAGAUGGAGCCACCGCCGACGAGGGUUGAUGUUGCCGCCGAUGAUGGGAGUUGGAUCGGUUUGGGAGAGAUGAGUGAAAGGGAGUGUUGGGGAAGAGAUGAGGGAGGGGUAUUUUGGUCUCAAAAGUUGUUUAAUGGCUAAUGUUGAUAGAAAUAUUUUUGGGGGGUUAAGAUGAAAAAAAUCAAAACUUUUAUGGUUAUAUUUGUAAAUUUCCCAAGAAACUGACAUCAACGCUAAACGUGAAUCUGCAGCCCUUGCCUCAGUGUCUUUCAGGCGUUACUCGGGGUAGUUGAUAUACUGACGACCCCUUUAUCAAUUAAUAAUCGAAAUAGAUUAAAAUAUGAAUGGAUUAGAAUAGAAUGAGUUGGAAUUAAAAUACGAAAUGACAAUCAGAUUAAUUUAUUUUUUUUAAUUGAGGAAUUAGAAUUGGAAUAAAUUAUAUAGUUAUUGAUGUGUUUAUUUUAUUUUAAAAUUACAAGAGUUGUUGUAAAUUACUAAUAUGCCCUUAAUUUUUUAUUAUAAUUAUAAUUAUUUAUUACUACAUUUGUCAUAUUAUUAAUAUUAUAAUAAUAAUGAUUGUAACAAUUAAUAUUGAAAAAAAUUUAUUGUUAAUAAUAGUAAAUAAAAUAAGAAUAAAUAGGCAAUUAUUCACUGACCACGUGAUCUUUCGGACUCUUUCAAAAAUACACAAAUACUUUUUUCUUUGCAGAAAUCCUCUUGAAGUUUACAAAGUGUUUCAAUUGUUCACUGUCAUCUUAACUCUAUUAGAAUCUUGUUGAUGUCGUCAGGAUAAAAUUGUCAUUUUACCUAAACAUCCAAAAGGAAGUAUAAGAUGAAGCUCAACUUGGAGAAGUGUGCUUUCGGGGUUGGAUUCGGCAAAUUCCUUGGGUUCAUGGUGAGUGAUAACUCUAUGAAAUGAGAGUUAUCAUGAAAUUUUUAAGUUUAAAUCAAGACUACUCAGAGAGUAAUUGAUAUGUUUUAGUGCACUUUAAUGAUAGUUUGCAUUACAUUCAUUUUAAUUUAAGUUUAAUAAAGUUUAUGUGAUUUCUGAAUAAUUGUAUGCUUAGAACAUAUGUUUAAUUGUAGGUCAAUGGAAACUUGAAUUUCAUGGAAAAGAUGCUUUUGCAAUGGACUUAUAAAGAGGACAAACGAGCAUGGCUAUAGUAGAAUUGGAGCAAGUUUGGAACAGUGGAGUUGCUGUAGCCAUUACUGUAGCAACCAUUGAUGUAGCAAUCCUCGAGCAUUGCGAUCUGCAGUUUCCUAAUCUGAAGAAAAAGUGGCAUAAGAGAGAGAGCCAUCAAUUAAGAUCAAAAACAGAAAAGAACCAAGGAAGUAACAGAAUUCCUGAGCAGAAUUCAAGGCUGAGCCAGUUGAAGAAAUUUGCAGAGUCAAUUGGAAUUCACUCUUUCUCAUUCUUUUCUUAUUUACUUGUUAUUUAUUGAUUAUGAAGAUGUACUCGAUGGCUAGAAUUUGGUUGUUUAAUCUCCUUUCACAAAUUAUGAACUAAAUUCAUUUGUGGUUGAGUAUUAAACUAUCUUGAUGGUUAAUUGACUAAAUAUAGGUGUUGCUAUAUGUUUGCUACAACAUUUUGCUUUAAUAACAUUUAUUUACAUUCAUUAUUUCGGUUGACCACCCAUUUAAUGAUACAAGUUAAGAAAGAGCUAUAAAAGGGUCUAUCUUAUUGAAACAUAUUAGAGUAAUACUUGGUCUUAAAUUGGGUUUCCUAGAUUGAGUUUAACUUGAGACCAAAAAGGAUUGUACUUAAUUUAAGAUUAGUAAUGAACUAGAUAUAGGGAUUUGCCUUGUAGGGUAAAAAGAACAUAAAUGUGUAAUACUAUAUCUUACGUUGACAUAGUAACUGGUCACUGUUAGGUUGUAUAAAGAUAUAAAACAUUCGAACAUGCUACCGUUGAGGAUAAAGAUGGUUUCUGCCCAGUGCUGUAGCAGAUGCUGCAGCAACUGAGCUUGACAUGAAUAACACAGUCAACACCAUCAAGAGAGUUUAAUCACUCAACUACUCUAUUCUAAUUAAAUUUAAUUUCAUGUUUAAUGUACAAAUUUUAUUUAUUACAUUUUUAAUUAUUGUGAUUUUAUUUUACCUAGUCAUUUAGUUGUAUUAGUUGCAUUGAUUUAAUUGAUAACAUAGGUUGCUCUGUGAAAUUACUGUAGCAAGUCUAAUAGCAUCAAUCCCUAUGGAGACGAUCUUGGAUACUUAUCCUUAUAUUACUUAUUGUGUACACUUGUGCAUUGACACUAAUAGCAAUGGAGUUAAAAUUAGCAACAAAUUUUUUGUGCUAUUGCUGGGGAUUGAUUGUUUACUUUUCAGUUGUGAAAUCAAUUUUGACGGUGCUAAUCUUUGAUUUUAUUUUGAAUUGUUUACUUUGUUAACAGAUCACUCUUGCAUGUGAAAAUACAAACUUGUUGAAUUUCAAUUUGAUCCAGAGAUUGAAAGAACUACAAGGAGAUUGAGAAGAGAGCAAAGAAAUUCAAAAGCUGCUGUAGCAAUAGAUGACUUGCAAAACUUAGGAAACUUAGACCCUCACGGACCAAUAUAACCUGUUAAUGCUCAAGAAAGUCAGAAUGGGAAAAUUAAUCAGAGACCAUCAGGGAAUAACAAUAUUAGCUACAUGGAAAAUGAUAGAGACAGGGCCAUUAGAGAUUAUGCUUUGUUAGCCCCUUAAGUUAUACAUCCUGACAUUGUCAGACCUGAGGUAAAAGGUGCCAAUUUUGAACUCAAACCAGUGAUAUUUCAAUUAUUACAAACAGUGAGGUAAUUUAAUGGAUUACCAUCAAGAGGUGAGUGAUGCUUUUAAAAUUAUUGGAGCAUCACAAGAUGCAUUGAGACUCAGAUUCUUUCCUUACUCCCUAAGAGACCGAGCAAGAGUAUGGUUGAACUCUUUACCACCAGACUCAUUACAACAUGGAAUGACUUAGCUGAUAAGUUUAUGAUGAAGUACUUCACACCAACCAAAAAUACAAAAUUAUGGAAUGAGAUUACUUCUUUUCGUCAACUAGAAGAUGAAAACUUAUAUGAGGCUUGGGAAAGAUUCAAUGAGUUAUUCAGGAGAUGUCUUCAUCAUGGCAUUCCUUACUGCAUACAAUUUGAAACCUUCUAUAAUGGGUUGAACCCAAGCACUAGAUUGAUGGUCGAUACUUCAACAAAUGGGGCUUUGUUAUCUAAAUCUUACAAUGAAGCCUAUGAAAUUUUAGAGAGAAUUGCUAAUAACAAUUAUCAGUGGCCAUCACCUAGACAAAUUGUAUCAAGAGGAGCAGCAGGUAUACAUAAUGUGGAUGCAUUUACAGUAUUAUCAGCCCAAGUAACAUCAUUGACCAAUAUGGUGAAAGCUAUGACUACUGCUCUAUCGAAUGACAAUCAAGUUGCCGAUGUUUCUUGUCUGUAUUGUAGAGAGGGGCAUUUAUUUGAUAAUUGCCUAAGGAAGUCAACGUCAGUCAAUUAUGUGGGCAACUCCAAUAGAUAGAACCAGAACAAUCCAUAUUCCAGUACCUACAAUCCUAGAUAGAGGCAGCACCCAGUGGACAGAACAGACCUACUCAGCCAGUUGAUUUUCAUCAGCAAAAUCAAGGGUAAAAAAACACCAGCAAUGAUCAAUUCAGUUCUUUGGAGACCCUAAUUAAGGAGUACAUUGUGAAUAAUGAAGUAAUUGUCCAAAGUCAAGCUGUACCAUUGAGAAAUUUAGAAAAUUAAAUUGGACAGCUUGCCACAUUAUUAAGUAACAGACCUUAGGGGAGUUUACCCAGCAACACAGAAGAUCCAAGGAGAGAAGGUAAGGAAUAUUGCAAGGUGAUCAAAUAUUGCACAAACUAGAAGCCUCAGGUCGGCUGGUGAAAUGGGCAAUAGAGUUGAGUAAAUUCUAUAUAAGCUACAAACCCCGAGCAACAAUCAAAGCCCAUGCAAUGGUGAACUUCGUGGAAGAAUUUACAGAAUCACAUGUGGAACCUAGCCACAUUCAUAUUGCUAUAGGCAACAACAAAGGUCAAAUCUGGCAGAUGAUAGUGGAUGGAUCUUCAGGUGAGCAAAGUACUAGAGCGGGGUGGUCCUGGAGAGUCCAGAUGGAGAGGAAAUCUCCUACGCUGUUAGACUGGAGUUCAAGGCCACAAACAAUCAGGCUGAAUAUGAGGCUCUAAUUGCAGGGCUAGAGUUAGCUAAGGCGGUGCAGGCAAAUAAGGUGAAAAUUCGGACAGAUUCACAGCUAGUCGCCAACCAUAUUAGUGAAAUGUUCUAACCUAAAGACGAAAAGAUGGGGCAAUACCUGAGGAGGGUCAGACAAAUGAUCAAAAAGUUCGAGUCGAUGGAUAUUGUGCAAAUUCCAAGGAGUGAAAACUAUCGAGCUAAUAUCCUAGUUGGAAUGGCUGCUACAGCGGACUAAAAAAUGCCAAAAUCAGUCCCUAUGGAAGUCAAGUCCUCCCCCCAGCAUUGUGUAAAGUCUGGAGAUGAUGCAGAUAGAGCAAAAAGGCUCAUGGAUAGACCCAAUAAUCUCAUAUAUACUGGAUAGAGUGUUACCAGCAGAUAAAACGCAAGCAUGAAAAAUCAAGGGCCAGCGUCUAGGUGUACACUAAUUGAUGGGGUGUUAUACCGACGAGGGUACACCUUGUCGCUCUGCGAUGUCUGGACAAAGACGACGCGAACUACGUUCUAAUGGAAGUACAUGAAGGGGUUUGUGAAAAUAAAUCUAGAGUUAGAUCUCUUGCCUACAAAGCCUUAAGACAAGGUACUUAUGGCCGACGAUGUACUAAGAUGCUCAAGAGAAAACCAGGAGUUACAGAAGUUGCCAGAACUUUGCUAGUUUCCCUACACAGCAAUAAAAAAUACUUACUACUAUGACUUCACCAUGGUCGUUUACUCAAUAGGGAAUCAACCUAAUCGAGUCUUUGCCAAAAUGAUGAAGAGCAGUUACACAUGCUGUCGUGGCAAUAGAUUAUUUCACAAAAUAGGUCAAGGUAAAAGCACUCAGAAGAAUCACAGAGAAUGAUAUAACUGAUUUCAUGUGGAGAAACCUUGUCAGCCGGUAUGGAAUCCCAUACGCCUUGAUAGCGGACAACAACUAACAAUUUGACAAUCACAACUUUAGGGAGUUUUGUCAGAACUUUGACAUAGAGCUAAGUUCUGCUCCCCUGCCCACCCUUAGUCCAAUGGGCAGGUGAAAGUGGCCAACAAGGUUAACAAAAAAACUCCUGAAGACCAAACUAUGAGAGAAGAAGUGUGCAUGGGUUGAUGAGCUUCUAGGAGUGUUGUAGGUAUAUAGGACUUCUCAUAAAACCGCCACCGAUGAGACACCCUUUGCUGUAGCCUUUGGGCAUAAAGCAGUCUUGCAUGCAGAGAUAGGGGUAACCACGCACCAAACUGAGCACUUUGAUGAGAGUGAGAAAGGUGAAUCAGAGUACCAAAGAUUCGACCCAUGGUGUGUAUCCGGAUCAGGAGCCUACAAGCUUGCUCUCGCGAAUGGACAUGAGCUGAAACAACCAUGGAACGUAACACAUCUAAAAAAAUACUUCCAAUAAGGCCCAUUGGUAGCGAGUUAGAGUUAUUUCUGUUCAUUUCUGUUGUUGUUUAAACUUUAUGAUCAGUCAAUUUCAUGUAUGUCGUAUGCCAUGAUUAAUAAAGUUUGGAGGAAGUUCAUUCAAUUAAUUUAAAGAAAAAAAAGUUCGUAAGGUAAAUAAAUGCCUCAAAGUCUCAAAGCCUGCUCGAUGGUGAGACCAGAAGCCAGAUUUUCCAGACUCUGCUCUACCAAACGAUGACGAGCAGACAAUCAAAUAUUUCAAAAAGUUUCUAAGGCAGACAAAAGCUUCAAAGUCUCAAAUUCUACUCGAUGGCGAGACUAGAGGCCAAGUUUGCCAAACUCUGCUCGACCGAAUGAUGGCGAGCAGACGAUCAAAUAUUCCAAAAAAUUUCCUAAGGGAAAUAAAGGCUUCAAAGUCUCAAAUCCUGCUCGAUAGCAAGAUUAGAAACCAAGUCUGCGAGACUUUGCUCGAGCAGGCUACAAGAAAAACCAAGUUAUUCGUUAAUAAUCUAGUGACAAUGGCAACUAGCCUCAAAACUUGGCAUACAACGUUUACAAAAGAAAAUUAUGGUACAUUCACGAGGAUGAAGGAUCUAUAAGUAGAGCAGCUUUUGUUGGAUUUUCAAGCAGUAGAGAAUGAGGGGUCUGGCCAAUUCUGCCCGAGGGAGUGCUUGCUUCGAUCGGGGUUUUGCCUUUCAAGACCGGCCAUGAUGCAUCGACAGAAGUGCCUGAGCCCUUCGUUAAAUUGUCAUCAACUUCCUUUUCCAAGUUCUCAAUCUGAGUCUGGUGUGAAGCACAAAGUGAUUCCAAUUAAGACUCGUAGGAAGCUUUUUAUGUCUCCAAAUUCUUAUUGACCUUGCUCAGCUACUCCUCAAGGGUGAUCACAUUGGCCUGUGCAAGAGAUGUCUGCUCCACUAAUUUCAAGUUCUCGAGGGUGAGGUCUCUUGCUUUCUUCUCAAUAGCAUCAGCUUCGUUUUUAGUUGAUUGAAUAUUAUACUUCAUCUUGUGGUCAUAACGGCCAACUUUCACCUUGUAGUAGGUAGUCAUGCAACAUAGGUGGAAAACACUGAAUUGCAUAGCCCUAACUAGCUCACGAGGGUAAUGCCGUCAAAGUCCUCUAAAUCGUUUUUGUUCACGAGCUUAGAAAACUCACUUAUGUAAGGGCCAUAUGCUCUGGUCGAUCCUCAGGCAAUUGCGGUUCGGAUCUUGCUGGAGGAGGAGUGGUAACAAGACCAGUGCCGCUCGCAGCUCCACCAACUUCACCUGCCUUAGGACGGGGAGGAGGAUGUGGCAGCAUCUUCAGAGGGGAAGCUUUCCCUACAGUAUUGACCCACUUCUCAAGGGAGCAUAGUUGCUGCAACCCCCCUUUACACCACGAAAGCGAGGGCGUUUUCUGUUCAAAGCCCUAAUCACAGCAUCCUCUAUAGCAAUUCACCUUCGAUGCGGUAUUAGACACUCCAGGAACUUGCAACAUAGGCAGAGACUCUGUUAGAAAUUACUCAAUCACUUGAUCAGCUGGUGGUGUAAAACAACUUAAAUAAGCAGGCAACCUGGAACUAAGAAACGGAUGGGGACAUGGACAUUCUCAUCAUCAGUCGGCCACUUGACCCUAAGGACCCCCAGCAAAAAAGAAACUGCUUUUCUAAUUCUCACCACCUGUUAGGAGGCCAGUUAUAGGUUUCCUAGUCUUGGUACUUGACAUAAAAUAGUACCAACUAGCAUCUUUAAGGCUACUCUUUAAUUGGUAUAAGUGUUUAACCUCAUCAAUUAUAGGCUCACUCUGACCACAUCUGUCCCAAAGUACGAGUACACCAGAAAGUACCCUCUAUCCAUUAGGGUUAAGCUGACCAUGAGCUAAGUGUAAUCUACCAAGCAUCUGGACGAAGUAAAGCAGCAAAGGAAGCCUCAUCCCUUGUUUAAAACUCUCUAAAAAUAUAGCAACAUACCCCCUGGAAGGUCGAUUAGGGGUAUCCUUUUUCUUAAAAACCCUAAGGUUUAUGUCAUCAGAAAUCUUGUAAGUAUUUUGGAGGGGUUUAAAGUCAUCUACUGUGGUCGUACAAGUCAUGAGGUCAAUAGGGUAGUUUUCAGCCGGAGUCCUACCACCUAAUUUCCUCCUCUUUGUUGGUCUUACUACCUUUAGUGAGGAUGCUUUACCAAACUCUUCAUCUGGGUACCCGCUUAAGGUCUCCUCUGAGCUAGAAGAUUCGUCAUUGUUACUUUUGCUAGAUGAGGUAGAAACCUCAGGAGACAUCCUCCUAGCACUACUUCUAACACUAGAAUGGCCUACAAGCUCUAAGGGGAUCCUAGGGUCGAAAAUGGGCUCUGUGAGCAAACCAGGUAGGAAAUCCAGUUCGUCAUCAUCAAUCUUAAUUUCUUUUUCCUUGCCUUUUGACAUUUUCUAAGCGAUAUCCAAGAAGAUACAACUAAAUCCCUCUUAACCCUAGAAAAAAAUGAAAAAUAUCUAAGACAAGAGAGAAGAAGACCGUACCUAAAGCAGCGGCACCUCAAAAUCAAAAUGGAGGAAGUGACUUGAUAUUCGAUGGAGGAAAUAGUUGAGUCACCAAAGGGCGAAAGAAAAGCCGGAAAAAAACUUUCUUGUGAAGAUUAGGGUUCCCCAAGAGACACGGAGACCCCUAAUUUAUUACCAUUUAACGACACGCACUGCGAGGGUUCUUAACAGGCAGUUAAAAAUUUAAAUGAACGAGUGGAUUCCUGCCACAUCACCUGCUUUUAAUUAUGACGUGACUCUUUGGAUAAACAGCUAAUAGUAGCUUAAAGGAUCAAGUGGAUAAGGUGACCAGUCCUCAUUUCAAUGCCAAGAAGCCAAAGUGUGUUUUGAGCAAGAUAAGACUACCAAGUUUCUAGUGUUGAUCCAUUGCAUUAUCAGCACCAGAAACUGAGGGACUAGUAUUUGAGGCGUAUAACGACGCGACCAGCUACACUCGAGCGAGGAUUUCCUUUUUGUGGGCGAUGGGCUAUAUAGUGUCCGUGAGCAGAAGUGCUCUAUUCGACACCGAGGAGUUUUCUGCUAAACACCGAGGAUAUCUCCUGAUGGGGCCAAGGUCGGAAGACCCAGUCUAUGGCAGUUGUUAGAACAUGUGUCGCUCUCCGAGAAUCCAGGCACGAGGCCUAUUCAGCCACGAUCACAACGCCCGAGCAUCCAUGACCGGGAACUAAGGUAGAGUGGCAAACGUGGGUCAUGGUGACUAAAUUCUCAGGAGGGCUAUAAAAGGGGCUUGCAAAGAAGGUAAAGGGUUUAGACAUUUUUAAACUAAAAAUUAACCUAAGAGAAUUGGGGGGUGCAUCUUUAUUGGCGAGAAUUGGGAAAAUUUUUGAGAUUUUUCCAGUGUUUGAGAAAUUAUUACAGAGCCACGAGAUUGGUGGCAGGGUUUUUUCACAAUAAGCCCAGAUUGCUGACUUGAACGUCGGAGGGUUUACGUCGGGAAAACCCUCAGCGUUCUUUGACCAAUUUCUGUGUGUACAGGAAUUCACAGAGGAGGAACAGUGAGCCUCAUAGUUCUGCUUAUCAAACAGGAGCAGAGUAAAGUUAUCCCCUACCACUACAAAUUUAAGUGUUGAAGAGAGAUCUUGGUCUCGAACGAGCAGAUGCAAAAUCCCGUAUCAAUAAUAACAACAACAACAACAACAACAUCAUCAAUAAUAAUAAUAAUAAUAAUAAUAAUAAUAAUAAUAUAUUAACUUUGUAGGAUGGAGCUCUCGCAAAUCUUCAAGACACAAAAUGUGUUUGACCCCAUUGUUGUUAUUAUAAUUUCAAAAUCAUUUGUAUAUAUAAUAUUAGGGAAUAUGACAUAGAAAAAUUGAUGGUACAUAUGUUGCAAUAUUCUUGUUCAUGUGGCGGCACACUGAAGUAAAGCAUAAGCAGAGCAACAACAAAUGUAAUGAGAGAGCUCUCAUUAUGUAGAUUUUCAAUAGAAGUAAUGCAUAUUUCACAAAGGCAAUGGCCUUAUUUUGAAUGCUGCACCUGAGGGUUGACUUGAAUCUUCUAUAGAACUCAGGCAUUCUGUAAUCAUAGAGUAUAGCAUUUCAACAAAAAUAUUAUACAGGUCGUUCCUUUAUAUAUUUUCUGGGUACACAUACAGAAAUAUUAUUUUGGGUACAUUUCUUGCAGUAAAACCUGCCCAGUCUAGCGUUCUCGUAAGUUGGGUUUCUCAUUUGCAUGUUUUUUUCCAUUGGUUAAUUAUCACAAACCUCCACUAACAUUUAGCAUAUUCUUAGUUUAAUAGAUUAUAUUGGCGUAUUCUCAAAUAUAAAUUAAGCUGGUGAGGAUAAAAUCGUAAAAGCACCAUUAAUGAUAAAAAGAAACCAAGUAAACUUGAAAUUUUCAAGUUGUGUUUUGAAAUUGGUCUCGACUUUGUAAAUGUCCAUUGGGUAAAGAAGCAAAGAACAGAAGCAAGCUGUUCCCAGCACACAUAAGCAAGCUUUACGCAGCACAAAUUAACACCCACAAAAAAUGAAAAGAAAAAAUGGUCAUCUCUUUCCUCCAUUCGAAUUGAAGCCAUGAAACACAACAUCCCUUUCAUCUUCUCUCUAAUGCUUUGAUUAGAAAACUUGCUUACAAACGGGAGACCAUGACACUGAAUCCUGAGACGGCAAUACCAGAGACGACUGAUUUACGCCAACGGCGUGGAAGAAUACCAACCAGUGACUUUCGCUGUCGACCCACAAACAAUCCCAGUGUUUUCUAGCUGCGAAUGAGGUAUGAAUCAGAUUAUUUCCGUGCAUUUCAAUUUUGUCAGCUGACAUUAGGAGAUUUGGUUAAAAAAAAAAGAAUAAUGGGUCUCGAAAAUUUUUUGAGAGUGUUUUUGUUGCUUACAUUAUUUUCCAUCGAUUAAUGUUAGUUGUAGGUGAAUGAUUGUUGCAAAUGCAUGUUCGCUUGUGAUUGAUUGAAAAUGGCUUGUGAUUUGUUAUGCUGCCGUGUGACUGAUUAAAAAUGGCUCUGAAAAUUUUUCAUUUGUUUAAGGUACUGCUGUUGAUUAUUGAACCAGGAUUCAUGCUAGUUUUUGUUAAAUUGAAGAUGAGAUUACUUUUUAAGAGAUCUGCAAAACCUUCUCUACUAUAGAUUUGGCUUCUGGCAUACCUGGUUGGCUGGAGAUAAUUGUUUAUAUAGUCAUUGCUGCCCAUAUUAAUCAGGAAUAUUGAUUAGCAAUGUACUGGAUUAGUGAUUGGUAUAAUUUUGAAAAAUCAGUCGUAGAUGCAACCUGGUUAUGGUCUCAAAUAGUGUGAUCUGUCAAUUCCGUUUGCUCUGGCCUAACAACCUUGAAUCUGAGCUAUGCCACUAUACAAUGUCCUGACCCAAUCAAGCUUGUUAGCCAACAUCCAAAAUUGCAAUGUCUUUAGAUAAGUCCCGUCUUAUUUGUUUGAGUUAUAAUGAAAAUUGCAGUGUCUUUGGAUAAUCACGCUGAUGUUCACGUUAUUGACGAGAGGAACCUCCAGAUUCAAGGCCGGAGCUCCUUGUUGAGAAACUUUGCAUAUAUAGGAUUGUUGCCGAGUGGAGGAUCGAUAUGACUGGUCUUGUUUAGAAUAGGGAUGGAGAUUUUGCAUUAAGGCUUUCUUAACAGAUCAUUCUGCAAAUCAAGGUCCAUGUACAUCUCUUUAAACUCUUUGAUAUGUAUAAAGCAGGUGCAUGCUCUAUAUGUUACUUAUUGUAUCACAAUUAUUUUUCUAUUGCUUAAUAUAAUUGCAGUCCUUGAUGAAGUUGAAGACAACUUAUGGAGGGUAUACAAAGGCUCAAGAGCUUGAUCGCCAUUCAUUUUACACUUGGCUGAGCUACAGCAUACCAACUAGUGAUUAAUAAAGAGAAGGUAUGAAGGUCCUGUUGCUGGUGGUAUUAUCAAUCAGAAUUGUUAUUUUACUUAGUCAUAGUUACCAUGUAUAAGAUUCGUAGACUUUUUGCAUGUUUAUGCAUUCGCAUCAUCUUUUUGUUAAGCUAGAAAUGGUUGAUUUGUGUACUCAUUUGUAUCACUUGUAGCCCUUCAGGAAUAAAAUUUAAAAUUCUGUUGCAUCUCAUGUACUAAAUACUAAUUUUGUUGGCUUUAUGUAUGGGAAAUGGUUCAUUAUCUUAUUUCUUUGAUGCGUAUAGUGUGACAAUGUCUAAAGGUGAAAAGUAUUUAUAUCACUUGUGUAACACUGUCUAAAGUCAAAAAGUGUUUCUAUCACUUGUGUGAAAAACAACCUACUUUUUUUUCACUCUUCUUAUAUUGAAUAAAAGACAGACGCCAAGAUUGAACGAAAUUUGAUGCAGAAAGCAUAGCAAUUAGGCCAGUGCAAAACAACUUCCUUCUGAUUCUCUGAUAUUUGACUUAAAUCUUUUGUCUGUUUCAUUCAUCAAAGUCAUUUUGGAAAGUAGCAGGGGUGAUGUGAUAUUUUCAUUGUAUUCACAUCCCUUGGCACCAAAAACAAACAUGCUGGUACUAACCAACAAUUUUUUAUUUUCAGUAUACAAAUUUUUUUUUUCUAAAUUAGGGGUAUUAAGAAAAGGUAUACUAGCACCAGAGGAGGUAUUUGAGAAUACACAAAUACAAUCUAUCAAAUUGAGAAUACGCCAAAUCUCAGGAGUGGUUUUUGAUAAAUCCUUUUUUUCUUUUUCCUCCAUUCACUAUAGGUUCAAUUUAGGGUGGUUGUUAAGUUAUAUCAUUGUGUAAUAUAGAUCAAUUCAACAGUUGUUAUCAGUAACACAAAAGUAUAACGAACAAAAACUAAUUGUGUGUUACUGAUAGUAACUAUUAAAUUGAUGUAUGUUACAUAAUUAUGUAACUUAACAAGUUCUUCAAUUUAGACACGGUUGACCAAACUGAAGGUUUAGGUUGGUAAACGCACUAGUUUUAAUGUCAACAACCCAAGGGGCUUCAUGGUCCUCUGGGUCGAAAUCGCGUAAUUAUUAAUUCUCCUCCACUGAAAGUCUUUAUCAUCUUGGGACAAAUAAUUACAAAUUGACAUUAUAGCCGUGGAAAUUUGGAGGUGUAAUAACCGGAAAAAUAAAAAUCUCAAGAGACUUUUUAAAUAAAAAAGAUAACACCUUCAAUUUGCUAAAAGUAAUGGUAUCAUUUCUUGUAUGGAUAAUGGAUGAUUAGAUUUUGUUUUUGGUUAUCUGACGAAGGAUAUUCAGUUGUUCUUUAUGUGUUCAUAGGCAAGAGCAUGAGCAUAUGCAUGAUUUGAUAUAUGGUUCUUGCAUUUUCUAAUUAAGUGCUCUUUUUCCUUGCCUUCUUAGUUUUGAAAGAAAGAUGUGAAGCAAAGCAAACCCAGUGAAAUGUACAGAGAAACAGAACCAUCAGAGGAAAAACUAAAUAACAGAACUACAAUUGAACCAAACAAAAUCAAAUAAACGGACGCAACAGAUGCCCUGAACCUAGUAAUUACUCAAGAGUUGAGGAGUUGGAAUGAUUUGGUAUUCAUAUCUUCACAAAUCAUAUGCUUUAAUGCAGAAUCGACAGCUUUAUAUUAUUUUAUUCAAAAAACGAUAAAGCAGGAAAACCACAAUAAUCCACCAACUUUUGAUACUUGUAGGAAUUUUUUUUAGUCAAAUUAAGUUUCAUGAUGAAACAAGUGGCUCGUCCACACACUUGCACUUGCUUGAAUAUUUGUGCCGACAUUUUCAUAUGUGAUGGUACUUCUUAGCCAGUAGAUAUGUUGAAGUACUACAAAACAGAGUAUUUGAUGAAGUUUUGCUACAUUCGUAUCCCCUUUUUUUGUUGCAUAACUAAAUUCUUUAUAAACACAAAUUAGAAAGAUACAAAUAAUACAGUAGCUUGAAUUUAUAUGCUUUUAUGGUUAUUUGAUAAUCUAGUGCUGAUCAUAUGUGAUGAUAAACUUAGCUAGUAGUUUUAUAUUUGUUUUCGCAGUUUCCUUAGCGUUCACAUUUUGAUGAGUAAAUUAAGGAUUUCCAGAUGAAGUACAUAAUUAGAUGAAUGCUAAGGAACUGAAGUUUGAUUAAUUGAAAACAAAAAUAAUAAUGAACGUAAUUACGAAAAUGAACAAUGCAGAAGUAGUCCCUAUAGUAUUUCUAAAUUUUCUCUUGGGAUUUCUUAGUAUUCCUCAAUAUUUUAAAAAAAUGACAUGACGAUCUUUGAGUUGACAAAUCUUGGCCUGCUGCUUAGUACCCUUCCAACAUAUAAAGUACUAGAUGUUUUACUGAGAAAAUGACAAGAUCAUUUAUCAAAUUUCUUGCGCAUAUAUACGUAUGUAUAAGAGAAAUGAGAAUCAGUGAUUAUAAGACCUUGCAAUGAGACAAUAAUACAUCAUCAAAUCUAAAAAUACACAAGAAAUUCGGGACAUAUAUAUAACAAAAGACCUCUCAUUGAGUCAUACAUAUUGAGAAUGAAAUGUCAAAAUGCAGACAAAGAGCUUAUACAGAAAAUGAAUAAACUGUCUUUGAACUUCUGAUGGUCAAACAAAGGAAACAGGCAGGAUAUAACACACACUAUCAUAGAUGUAGCGACACGAUGAAGUAAAUCACAUGAAGAUGGAAAGGGGAACCCCUCACAGCAUAAAAUUUGAAUAGAGAGGGGAAAAAGGCUUCAUUUCAAAUGUUGCACAGAAGCAGAGUGACUUGAAUCUCCAUCAGUAUCCAGACAUUCUGCAAACACAGUGCUGAGAAUUUUAACAAGAAUAACAGACAAAAUAUUGUGCUUCUAUACUUGUCACAAAACUAGACCAAAUUAGUCCCCUUUUUGGUUUGUGAAAACUUGAUAUUUUUGAAAAUUCUAUCCAAUGCUUUCAAACAAUAUUUCCAUAAUAUAGUUGUUCAUAGCUAACCUUUGAUGGUGUAAGGAUUUGUUGUAGGCAUAAUGGGCUAAUUAUAUAUAUAUAUAUAUAUUUUACCCCCUGAAUGAUAUUCAGCUUCUUAAUUAUGUGUUCAUAGGCAAGAGCAUUUUCUUAAGUACUUUCGUUGCCUUCCAAGUUUCCAAUGAACAAACAGAGCACAAACAAAUUUAACGGAACAGUAACGAUGACAAUAAAUAAUUGGCAAGGAAAGAAAGAAAAAAGUUUGCAUGAUUUCAAGGAAUUAUAAAAUCUGAACUCUUUCAACAUGCAAGUGUUGCCCCUUUUGAUGAAAUUUCAUCAUAAAAUGCUUGCAAAGAAUUAUAAAAUUUUAGAGAACAAGCGAACUCUCAAACAAAAUACUCAAAUUAAAUUAAAUUAGACCAAAAGACACUCAAUGACGCAAAAUCUGCCAUUCUAAAUAAUUGAGAUGAAAUUGUGAAACAACCCACGAGAUCAAAUAAAUAAAAUAAGAAUUAAUUACCAGCUUUGACUUUCUUCUCCAAAUUCGCAACUCGAAGACAUAAGAAGCCAAUGAAAUUAGUCGUAACCCAUAAAGUACGACGACGACCCCGCCAAUAGCUGAAAAUAAAAUACUUAUUCAUCAAUUUAAACUAACUUUAUAACAAAUAUCUUAUCGAUAUUUUAUUUAAAAAAAGCAAAUUUGUAGAAUUUUUCCAUGGGAGAUAGAGAGUAAUAUGUAUAUCCGGACCUUUUUAGUAUGUAAUUGUUGUAUGGUUGUGUUAAGAUCAUUAUUUGCCCAACGCCGUUGAUCCUCUGACUCUCCAUACGAGACGUUUACUCUCGGAGGCGUGUUUGAUUCUCCUGAAGUGAAAGUCUUCAUCUUGGGACAACCAAUCACUUCCAGAUAUUCCAGAGAUGGGAAUUUGAAGGUGUAAUUGGCAGAGCAGAAACUUGUGAGACUGUCUAAAUCACACAGAAUCAACGCCUUCAAUUUGCUGAAAACAAUCUCUUCUAUGUCAACUCCUUCUUUGUCAUUUAUUACCACCUCUGUCAUUGCUCUGCAUCCAUAUACUUGCACUGUUACGAGUCGCACCAGAGUUUUUGCUGUGGAGGAUGUUACUAAGUGUAUCAAUUCCUUGCAACCGACAGCUACCAGUUUUGCUAGGUUCCGAAAAGAUACCGAUGAUGAUGGCAAUAGACUUAACAGAUUUUGACAAUGAUAUACUUUUAGAAUUUCAAGAUAUUGAAAAAUGGAGUCAAGUUUGGAGUCUUGUUUACAUAGCUGCUUCAGAUGAUUAAGGUGGCCCAGCUCUAUACAUUUUAUCAUUGCCAACUUCCUCAAACGGUUCUCUAAGCAUCCUUCCGUUGAAAAUACCUCUUCGUAUGAACAAUGAUACAGUAAGAGUAAUUCGAGAUUGUGAAAUCUCUCAAGUACAUUCCUGAUUGGAAAACAAGCCGAGUCAUCAUAAGUUAUGUCUAGUUUUUUAAGACUGCCAAAAAGGUGUUGUGGGAAAUCGGCGUCCAAAAUCAUCUUCACAUCUUUUCCGCUUAACGCCAGUGACUCCAAGUUGGGUAAGAUCUGAUCAUCGUCAAUCACGUAGUAACUAAUCAGGUCAGUUGAUGUUCUCUCCAAUAAUUUUACCUUAGAGUACUUGUUGUAGAUUAUAUAUAUUUUACCAAAAAAAAAAAAGAAAAGAAAGGAAAAAUUGAAUUAGUGAUAAAAUUCAUUCUAGGAUUUUUGUAUGUUAAUUUGAGAGAUAAGAGAGAAAUUAGAAAAAAAAAGGAUGAUUUAUACUGGCAUAAAAAUAUUUUAUUGCACAAUAAUAAAUUAUUAAUUUAUAUUGUAAGUGAUUAUAUAUGAGAAAACUGAGGAUUCUUUUUUAAUGCUAUACCUAAAAUAAUUCAUCUAACUAUUAAUUUAGUACAUUGAUCCCUUAGGCCAGACUAGCAAAAAUAUUAAUUUUGUAAUAAAAGUUUUCAAUUUAUUGAGUAUUAAUUUAUUGAUGUUUAGUUAUAUUUUACAAAGUCAAAAGUCGCUAAUGAUCUAAUUGAUAAGAAAUCUAGAAAGCGGCUUCAUACCUUUUUGAACAAGAAUAGGGGCCGUUGUGCAGGAAUACCAAGUUGAUCAUCCUCAUUAUUUUGUGAUGAAUCUGCAGCGAAUGUCUUCAAUUUGUCACAACCAGACACCACUAAAAUUUUUAGUGCAGGCCAUUCCGAAGUAUGCAUUCCAUGGUAUAAACAUUUAAGUUCCGGUAGCUCUUGGAGUAUAAGAGUGGUCACCCGUUGAAAGACAAAAUGAGGGGUCACAUGAUCUACUCUGUCUUCCGAAAUGAUCUCUUGCAAACCCCUACAAUUCACUAUCUCUACUUGUUGGAGAUGCUCAAAGCUUUGAAUCAUAGAAACUAAAAAUAUGUAUUUUAAUUUGUUACAGUGGCACACAAUCAAUCGUGUUAAACUUUGAAAGCGAGGAAGCAUGACCGGACGAUGAUUGUAAUGCCAAAUCUUGUCGACAUUAAUUUCAGAUAUCUCCAAAGCCUCCAAAUUAGGCAACCCUACCUAAAAAAAUAUUAAUUUCUUGUUAGAUCCAACACCCAUAUGAGAAGGACUUAUUGAAAUUUUCUUCUUUGAUUACAGAUUAAUAAUUCAAGUCAAAAUCAAUUUCCAACUGACAGCUGAGUAUGCAUUCUAAUUCGUAUUACUUGUUAAGAGCUCAAUUAGUGAGUGCGUGAGAUUCUUUUUAUCCUUUUUUUUUCACUUUCUUUCAAUUCUUUAAAUGAUUUAAUUAUUUUCCACGUAUGACAUCAAAAGAGAAUGCACAAUAGCAUAAAGAAAGUGUUAGCCUACGCACCUUGCCGUUGAAAAGCAGUGUUUCCAAAUUGAUUUCGUUGGAGCAAGAACUUGUCAAUUCCUCUUGCAGCCCUUGUCUGUUUGGUGAUGCUGAAGGAGUCUUCAAAUUACGGAAAAAAGUUGUAACCUCUGGAAGAUUUCCCAAACUCAAAGAUCUUAAUUGAGCCAACUCUAUCUUCUCAGCAGCAUUAUUGUUGUCAACAUCAGCAUCUCCCCCAGUAGCAAAAAUCUCUUUCAUCUUGCUGCAAUUAAUAACUGCAAUUCUCUCAAGUCUUGGAAGGCAUUUUGCAGUGGAGAGCCAGAAGAUAUUACUCAACUCAUUACAAUUUUCUACUUUUAUUGUUUUGAGUUUAUUGAAAGACUCUACUUUGAGUCGAUCAAUGCAUAUCCUCUCCAUGUUGAUCAAAUUGUGAAGAGUCAGUGACUCCAAAAGAGGAAAGGCAUCACAAGCUACCAUCUCCAUUGAGUCGACAAUACAAAAGAAGUCAGGAUUAUUUUGAACCCAGAGAAGCUUCAAUUGUGGAAAGCCCUUUGUGUCCAAAUCGAAAAGAACAUUUUUGACACCUUGUAGCUUGUCCAACCAUACGUAUUCAACGUUAUUGAUGGCCUGCAAUUUCAUGGAGCAAAUGUCCGUAAAAUCAGGCUUGAGCUUCAAUUCUCUUAAACGCUCAUGAUUAUGGUUGAUCAAAAAGUGCGACCGACUGCGAAACCAAUCUUUUGUAACAGGCAAGGAAGCCAUGAAUGACUCAUUUCCAAUAGAUAUUUUGAACCUUUCGAGCUUUCUGGCCAAAAAGCCUUCCUGUAAAAUACUGUCAUUUUUAACAUCAAUUUCUAGAGUGGUUAGCCAAGGUAAAAGCAUCAAUUCAUCAAGGCUUGCAUUACUUCUUUCAGUGUUGGCUCUUUCAACCUCCCAUUCAACGGAGCAAUUACCCAUACACAAUUCUUCUAAUCGGAUUAAGCUCGAUAUGACAUUUGGGGCAAUAACUUUUAGAUGGAAACAGUCUCUUAAAUCUAACAGCCUUAGCUUAGUCACUUGCCCUAGUGCUUUUGGUAACUCUACAAUAUCAGACCACACAAAGCUAAGGAUUUCUAGAUUUUCCAACUUUCCAAUAAUGGCUAUGUCCAUGUCUCCCAAAAUGCUUUGAUCAAGACAAAGCGUCGGAAGAUUUACUAGAAGAUCAAUUGAAGAUGGCAAUGACAAUAACCGCAUUCUAGUCAAAUCCAAAACCCGAAGCUUUUUUGUCCUUUCGAAGAAGUUCUCAGGAACAUUAGGCGCAACAAAAGAGUUCUUGGGAGACAUGAAUAAAAAUUCCAAGUUGUGGAGAUUCCAACACUUCGGGAAUGUCAUUAAUAAUACUAUCUUUAAAAAAAUUGCAGGAUAUUUUUUUAAUGCAUCUGCAUCUGGCCAUUUCCACACAUCCUCAUUUCUCACCGCAAAUGCAAUUUUGUCACGACGUGCAAUUGAAAUGGCAACAUCGCGAACAACAUCAUGCAUGGAAAAGAAUUUACUGCCACCAUCCUCAAGCAACAAACAAGAGUCUCUUAGUUGAUGGACCCAUGCAUGUAAUUUGUUAUGUGCAUCUUCUAGCUUAUAGACACUUUCAAAUGCACCCAAGCCCACGCUAUAUUUGAACAAGUCCAUAAUUGAAGUUGGUGUAAUUAGACUACACAGUAAAAAAGUUUUCUUGAGUUGCUCACCUCUUAAAUACUUGUAACUUAGCUCAAUUGUUGAGUAUGCCUCUACUGGUACUCCUUCAUCGAAGCUUGCCUCUGAAGGCGUUUGGAGUUCUUGUAAGACGUUCUUCCACACAGGCAGCUCUUUGUUUCUCAGUGCCUUUGCUACUGUGGUUAGGGCAAUAGGCAAACCUCCACAUGCCUUGGCUACAUUUGUUGCUGUAGAUUUUAACUCACGAUUUUCAACAUAAUUACCAGCCAUUAUCUUGAACAACCUCCAAGCUUCUUGCUCAUUUAGAAUGCCAAUCAAGAAGUUUUUUUCAGAUCCCAUACUUAACAAAACAUUACGAUCCCUUGAUGUUAAUAAUAACUUGCAUCCUCUAUGAUCAACGCCAAAAGGAAUUCCGACAGUCUCUAAAUCAAGAUAUUUCCAGAUGUUAUCCAGAAUCACAAGGAUCAUCUUCUCUUUCUUCAAUCGUUCAUAAAGUCUACUAGCUCUUCUAGAUUCAGCCUCCUCGGACAACUCCAGACCUAGUUUCUCUGCAAUUUCCCCUUGAAUCUUUUUUAUGUCUGGAGUUUGGGAAACCUCUGAAAAAACCACCUGAUCAAAGAGUUUCUCUUCACUGGCUUGCCUUGCAAACUCCUUCACCAGUGUUGUCUUUCCAAUGCCGCCCUUUCCGUAUACCCCAACGAUGCUGACAUUGACAUCAGUCAAUGCAUCUUGUAUAGACUUCAGAGUAGAAAGUCUUAAUUUAAAGGCCUCGUAACCUUUGUUAGACUUUAGCCAUACCUCCUCCGCAAUGGUACGGUAGAAAAUUCUAUCAUCAAAUCUCCUAGCUUCUUCUUUGAGUUCAACAAGGGCCUUCACCUCUGUUUCUGCUUUCUUGCUAAGCUGAUAGCGGGUCUUCAAAUUAGGACACAAGCCCUUGAAACAUCGCUUACUUGUUGUCUCCCCAUCUUCAAUGAAUUUGGCUGCCUGCUCAAUGGUGUUGUUCGCACUAACCAGCCAGUUCUCAACCUUCUCUUCAAUCUUUUCUCCUUUUCUUUCAGCCUCAGAAACUCUGUGCUGAAUGCUCUUACUUUCAUCCUUGAGCUUGUCUAUUUCUGCCUUGAGAUUCUCAAAGUUGGCUUUAUAGUUUCGCAAAUAACCAAGUUGGCGUUCUGUUGGAGGAGCGAAGCAUUUCACAACUUCUAACAGAACAGUAACAAUGCUUUCCACCAUCUUCGAUCCUCUUUUUUUCAAAGUUCCGAAAUGAAAAUAAACGACGAGCGAAAAACAGAGAGAAAGAGGGGCAAAAAAAAAAAAAAAAAAAAAAAAAAAAAAAAAGAAAAUGAAACAACAAAGAUGACAAGUGUAUCUGUUUGUGGAAGCGGAGAAAUCAAAGAAAGCUUAAAAACUGUUGUGAAUCUGGUGAGAAGAUGGAAACAAGGAAAAGGUUUCUAGUUCAAAACUGAUUGAAUUGAUAUAAGGAAUGAUUUAGAUAAUAGAGGAAAAUUGAAUCAGUCAAAAUAACUUAAGUAUUGACCAGAAGAAAGAUGCAAACAAUAUUAGAGACAACAACCGCGCUAUUGACUGGUAAUAGAGAUGGAGAAAAAGAAAAUAUCUUCACACGGUGGAAGUACAAAGGGUAGAUAUGGAACCAAACAGAGACAACAACAGGCCACAACUAGAUUGGGAAUGGAGAGAAACAAAUUAACAAAGACUGGAGAUUACAACAGAACAGAUGCCAAGAGAAAAGGGUUUCUUCAUCCAGUGAAAUUCAAGAGAGUUGACAGCAAAAGGGAGCACAUGUGUUUCUUGAUUGAGAACGAGUGCAAAGGAUGACUUUUUAAUGAGGUUCUGAAGCUGACGAAUAACGAUUUGCUAAAAUUUUGAGAAAGUUAUAUAUUCCGUAACUUCAACAAGUGAAGAAUAAAAGAAUAAUAGUUCGUCAUCUUCACAAUGAAGAUCAUGGACGAGAUUAAAAGCUAAAACUAGUCCAUUUGAAAAGCCAAAGUUCAAGUUCCUUGGCUAAGUUCAGAAGUGAAGCAAAGAAUAAAUAAAUAAAGAUCAAGGGAUGGGAAUAAAGUCACCCCCAGACAGUUGCAGAAAGAUUAUUAUUUGGUAAGCGUAGUUGAUUAUUAGUACAAAACAGAGUAGGUGAAACACAUCCUUUCUAUUUAGACUGAUCAGCAUCUAAAAUUUUAUGAAUUAUGAGUUGCAUUUUAUUUUGUACAUUCUGUUAACACAUUUUAAUUUAGCCAAUUUUGCAAUAAAUGUUAUUGAUGUAUUAAAUUGCAACAACAAAACACAAUUAUUGGUUUUAAAGAAUGAAAAAAAAAAUACAAAAAUAGAAAAUGAAUUGAAUUCCACUCAUCGUCAUCUUGGCAAAUCAAGUCAAAAAAUAAAAAUCCAUAUGCUUUUGUUAAAGUUAAAAGCUACAUAAAUAAUAUCACAGAAGCUUCUGCUAAGGUUCAUGUGAAGUCACAGCUUUGAUACUUGUAAUACAAGGAGCACGGAGAAACCAUAAACUUCAGUUUAGGUAUAUACAUUGCUUGUCUUUCAAACUUGAAUUGAUAAGGGGGAAAAAAAUAAUACUAAAGCAAACAGAAGGAUCAUUUAGUUGACAAAAUUAUUAUUAUUUUGAAAUUCGGGUCAUUCAGUUACUUUCAUUUCAGUUUCACUUCUGAUUCAAUUUAACCAGUUAACGUUGACAAAAAUAAAAUGCAAAUAUAAGGCUAAGGCUGCUAAUUUGAUGAACUAAUUGUCUCAGGAACCAAAGCAUCUAUAAGCAUGCAUGGGUGGCAACACCAUAAUUACUCAAGACUGGAGGAGUAAAAAGAUUGGUGAUGAUAAACAUUAAAUUUUAGGAAAAUCAUUCACAAAUAUGCUUUUAUAAAAGUUUUGUUGGUAAAGUUCGAGAAAUGCAUACAUGUCAAAUUUCCAUUUCUUGUGAGCAUUUCACCAAAUAGCUGAUAUGCAUUAAUAACUCCUAUCCUAUACUAUUGGCCAGUAGGUUGUUGCUGCUUCCCCAUUUUUAAUGAUGCGAACGUCUCAUACUUAGAAAUAAGGGCGGAGCCUGGAGAUUGAUUUAUAAGAUAAUCUUUUGAAUAAAAAUAAAAACAAUUACAGAUUUCAAAUGUGAGAAAAAUAAAAUUGCGUUAUAAAAUUAAUCCCACUAAGAAAGUCGUCUACGAAAUUGCCACAUUAAAAGAAAAUUUUUCCAUAAAUUAAAAUAAAAUUAAAUGAAAACUAUUUUUCAGUAAAGUCAAUUGCCCACGCUAGGCUAAGGCGUUUGUUUAUUUGUUUGUUUGUUUUUAUAAUCUGAAUAGGUAUAAAUUUUUUGUAAGCAUGAAUGAGCUGAGUACAAAUAUAUGAAUGAUAUAUUUAUUUUUCUUUUUCUUAAUACCCAAAUAUAAGUGACAUCUUAUUUAUCUUAAAUAUGGUUAUUUGAUAUUUAUAUUUUUACAAAUAAAAACAAAAAAAAGUAGUUAGAUUUUAUAGUUUAAGAAAUAAAUAUAUUUUAUAAAAAUAUUUUUAGAAUAUAUAUUUAAUUCUUAUUUAGACUUUUUCCUAUUCAAUAAAAGUCACAAAAGUUACUUUUUCUAUUCAAAUGUAAAUGCUUAAAAAUCAGAUAUAAGUCACAAAAAAAAUAAAUUUUAGAAAAAGUCAUAAAUUAAUAAAAUUUCAUAUAUUUAACUCCCAAUGCAGAUCCGCCCCUAUCAGUGUUAGGAAAUUGACUGGUGAAGUAGGUUCACAGCUAAAAUGAAAUUGGAAGAAAAUGAAGAACAAGCACAUAGAGGACACCAAAAAUUACAUGGUUCGACUUUUAGCCUACGUCUACGGGUAAAGACAAAAGGAUGAAACUUUACUGGUGAAAUGAGGAUUACUAGUAUUAUAAUAUUUUGUUUCACUUCCCAGAACCCCAAUCCACUCAAUCUCUUAAAACACUAAUCACUCAAGAGCAUUAAAACUCUUAGUCUCUCACUCUAGAAUUGAAGAAGAAAAGAAUGAAAUGCAGGGGUGAACCCCUCAUUUAUAGUUAAAAAUUUGGGCACUAUUUAUAUUUUUAUACAUUUUUUUUAAAUUAAAAGUUUGAACUUGACAUUCAAACUUUGAAUAUCAAAAGGUAUUGGUCACUCUUCUAGAAAAGUGACAUUGACUUUGACAUUCUCCCACUUAGAAAUUUGAUUGAGAAUCAAUCAAUCUCCACACCAUCCUUUCUGCUUCGUCGCUAUCAUGUUGCUUAUGUCUCUACUAGGCCAUAAAAUGAUAUACUCCAAACAAAUUUAUCAGCAUUGAUAGGCUUGGGCAAAACAUUUGUUAAGUUCUCCUUGGUAUCCACUCUUGUAUCUUUCACUACUUCACGAAGAAGUGAUAUUGUACUCCUAUAUUCUUUGUCCUGAAAUAAAAGGUUGGAUUCCUUGCAUUCUAACUAUCACAAACCAUAAAAAAAUUUAUGCCCAAGCUCCUUCAGUAACCUUUGUAUCCAAAUAGCCCUUCCAAGCUUGUGUAGCUGCUAUGUAAUCUGCUUCUGUUGUUGAUAAAGCCACAAUGGUUUGCAAUUUUGAAAUCCAACUAACAAUUUCGCCUUCUGGUGUAAAUACUUAGCCAGUAGUGGGUUUCCUUUUAUUAAGAUUUUCUGCAAAAUCUGAAUGCACAAAGCCCUUGACAGUAAAUUCUAAUCCUUCGCAGCAUAAUGCAACAUCUGAUGUUCCUCUGAUAUUUCUCAGAAUCCUCUUAAUAGUCUUCCAAUGUUCUUUGCAAGGAUUCGCUAUGUAUCGACUAACUGCUCCCACUACUUGUACAAAUCAUAGCAAACCUUAAAUUUUCCACUGCUGAUGCAUACAGUACUCAAGACAUCUCUUCUUCUCUACUUCAUUACUAGAUGAAUACUUAAGAAUAACUUGAAAUUAAUAGGAAGCGGGGUAGAAAGCCAAAUCUUCUUGCUAUUACUAUCUCGGUGAAUUUGCAUCCCUAAAAUCUUGUUUGCUGGUUCUAAGUCUUUUAUUUCAAACUCCCUAGUUAACUGUGCCUUCAGUUCUUGGACUCGAUCUUUGUUGGGGCUUGCUACCAAUAUGUCAUCCACAUACCACAGUAGAAUGAUGAAAUCAUUAUUAUCAAACUUGUUGUAAUAUGUACAACAGUAUGAAAUGAUUCUAUUGUAUCCAAGGUUUAUGAUGAAAGGAUCAAUUCUUUUAUAUCAACAUCUCGGUGCAUGUUUGAGAUCGUAUAGAGAUUUGUUCAACUUGCAAACCAAGUGUCCCUUUUUAGUAAAACCUUCUAGUUAGAGCAUAUAAAUCUUUCCUUCAAGUUCUCCAUGAAGAAAUGAAAAUUUCACAUCUAACUGCUCCAAAUAUAGGUCAAAUGUAGCACACAUCGACAAGACCACUCUGACUGUCCUGGGUCAAAUCAUUGGAGAAAAUAUCUCAUUGACGUUAAUACAUUCUUUCACCACCAAUCUUUCACGAUAUCGCUCCACUAGGUUAUUACCAUCACGUUUGAUCUUGUGAACCCAUUUGCAACCAAUGGUUUUUUUUUAUAUGGUAGUAGUACGAGUUCCUAUGUCAUAAUCUUGUGUAGAGCCUUAAUUUCUUCCUGCAUUGCUAUCAUUCACAAAGUAACAUCUGAGCUGUUUAAAAUUUCAUAGAAAGUUGAUGGCUUUCCAUUCUCUAUUAAAAGACAGUAUGCAAAAUUGAUAUAUGUGACAUAAUCCAAAUGCCACACAUACAUUUAUCUAUCACGAGUUGACCAACAAACUUUUGGGGCCUCAGACUUGAUUGGUUCUUGUUCUCAUACUUUGGAUGAUGCUUCAAAAAAAUCUGAAUCUUCAUUUUCCAGAUUAUUUUCAACAUAUAUUAGCACAAUCUCUAAAUUUUAAUAGUGCUAUCAUCCAUAUCUCUCUUUUGCAUUUGAUCUUCUACAAAGACAAUAUCUCUGCUAAUAACGAUCUUGUGGGCAUUGAGGUCCCACAGAUAAUACCCUUUCACUCCAUCAAUAGAUUCUAAGAAGAUACAUCUCUUGGAUUUUGGAUCCAUCUUUAAUCUCACUUGGGUAUCGUAUAUCACGUAAAAGGACAUCAAAAUGCCUGAGAUGAGAGUAAUCAGUUGGCUUUCCUGUCCAUUUUUCCAUUGGAAUCUUCAACCCGAUUGCCUUGAAUGAUGACCCACUUACCACAUAAUAAGUAGUUUUUGCUACUUCCGCCUAGAAUGAGUUGGUAGACCAGCAGUUCUCAACAUAACUCUUAUUUUUUCUAUAAGAGUCAUGUUCUUUCACUCUACUACUCUAUUUUAUUGAGGAGUGUAUGCCACUGUGAACUAUCUCUAGAUACUUUCUUACUUACAUAUGCAAGAAACAUGCUAUAUGUAUACUCUCCACCAUUGUCUGUCCUCAGGCACUUGAUCCCUUGCCCUGAUUUAAGUUCAAUCUAUUCUUUGAAUUCUUUGAACAAUGGAAAUACAUUUGACCUUUUCUUGAUUGGAUACACUAAAUAUCUCCUAGAAUAAUCAUCAAUAAAAGUCACCAAAUACUUUGCACCUCCCAUAGAUAUAUCAAUUGAUUCCCAAACAUUAGAAUGAAUCAAGUCUAAAAUACAUUUACUUUUGAAAGUGGAUUUGCUAAACUUUCAUCUAUGUUGCUUCCUUGUUUCGACAUGUGGCCAAGUUUAAGAUGCCACAUCAUCGCUGAAUUUUCUCUAUUUGAUGUGACACACACAAAAGCUUUCUGUAGUGUUUCCAUUUAAGCAUGAAUAGAUUAGCACCGAUCUUUUCCACCUUCAUUAAUGCAAGUGUGCCUUUGACUAUCUUUAUGAUCCCAUUUUCUACAUGAGUUUUGUGCACAAGGCUAUCUAUUUGUCCUAAAGACAAGAGAUAUUUUUCAAGUCUUUGACAUGUCUUACCUUCUCAAUUGUGCGAACCAUACCAUUAAACAUAUUUAUUUUGACAGUACCAAUAUCAAUGAUCUCAAAGGCAUGAUUAUCACCUAUGUAUACAGAUUCUCUUGAAAUAGGUUCAUAUUUGUGAAAUCAUUCUCUUGGAGAGAUCAUGUGCCAAACAACUAUUAAGUCUAUAAGCCAGACGUCGUAUAGUGGUUUUCUGCCUUCUGAAGCAGUUGUUGCCUUACUGUAGAGAAUUUUGCUAUCAUACGAGGUACUUACUACAUACCCUUGAGCAUUUGAUGACUCGGGAUCUUUACCCUCUCUUCUCUUCUAGUUGUUCCAAUACUCUUCCUUGACAUGCUCUUUCUUGCCACAGUUGUUGCAUUUAACAUUCUUCUUACUUCUUGAUUUCGAUCUACUGUGAUUGUGGCUCUCACUAGGGCCACGUUCCAUGGAUCUUCCUUUCAUCAUCAAUAGCGCUUCUACUUGCUGCGAACUUGUCUGUCUAUCUUUUUUAUUUUUUGCUACUCUCCUCAUUUAAUACGGAGGCUGCCAUAUUGUCAAAGACUAACUUGUUUGCUCGAUUGUUAUUAGUUAGAUUAAUGACGAAUUAAUCAUACGAAUCUGGUAAACCUUGAAGUAAAAGCUCUACAUGAUCAUUUUCCUCUAUUUUAUGACCCAACGUUGUAAGUUAUGAAAAUAAAGUCUUUAAAGUGUUGAUAUGGUCGAUCACUGAUGUAGAUUCCGUCAUUCGAAGAGUAUAAAGCCUCCUCUUUAAAAAGAUUUUAUUUUGUAGUGAUUUGACCUCGUAUAGUCUUGUGAGAGUAAACCAUAUUUCCUUUGCUCUCUUUUACUCUACCACAUUGAAUAAUACCUUAUUUGAAAGUGGUAUGUGUAGAUUUGCAAUGGCAUUAUUGUCUAUCUCAUUCCACUUGUCAUCAUCAGUUAUCUUUGUGAGCCUCUCUUCAAUUGUUGCCAAGCAAUUACUCUUCCUCAAUACAACCUUCAUCUUCAUUUUUCAUGACGAAAAAUUAUUUUUGUUGAACUUCUCAAUUUUGUAUUUUUCCGCCAUCACUGUUCACCACGAGCUACCUUUGCUAAGAUCGAUUCCUACCAUUUCACAUGAGCAGUAACUGUAUAUAUGAAUAAAGUGUUGUAUACAGAAACAAUAUCAUAUACAUGAACAGUACAAUAUAUGUAAACAGUAUCUUGACCCCAAAAAAUACAACCCGAAAAUUAAUUUGUGAAGUAGGGCCGCGACUAAAAUGAAAUUGGAAGAAAAUGAAGAGCAAGCACACUGAGGACACCAGCAAGCACACUGAGGACACCAUAAAUUAUUUGGUUCGACUUUUAACUUAUGCCCAUAGGUAAGGACAAAAGGAUAAAACUUUACUAGUGAAAUGAGGAUUAUAAGUAUUUUAGUAUUUUGUUUCACUUCUCAAAACCUUAAUACACCCAAUCUCUCCAAACACUAGUCACUCAAGAGUAUAAAACUCUUACUCUCUCAUUAUAGAACUAAAGAAGAAAAGAAUGGAAUGAGUGAAAUGAGGGGGUGAACCCCUCUAUUUAUAGCUAAAAAUUUGGGCACUUUUUAUAUUUAUUAUUAUUAUUAUUUCAAAAUUUAAAGUUUGAACUUGAUAUUCAAACUUUGAAUAUCAAAAGAUACGAGUUGUUCUUCUAGAAGAACGGCACCAACCUUGACUCUUAGGCAGACCUUUAGAGCUUUAAAUAAAGAAAAAGCUUUUAAAAAUGCCAUGUGUACUUGAUUAUACAAUAAUCUCCACCACAUAGAAUGAUUUGAUAAAAGAAAUUUUUUAUUUUUAAUUUUACUUUUAUCAGGCACGGUGCAUUUCCCCUUGGGCUCAUAUGUAAGGAUGUCAAUAAGAUGGGAAGGAGAGAGGAUUGAUUUCCCCAUACUCAUCUUUAAUACUCUGUCUAUCUCUUUGUACUCUAGACAUUUCCUUCAAAAUUACUUGAAACGAGGGGAUGGAUGUUUCUAAAUAAUACAAAGGGAUCUCUUAUGGCAUCCGAUCUCUGAUUAUUUAAUUUCUUUUUUUUCUUAAUUUAAUCAUCUUAAAGUAAAAAUAUAAAAUCAUAUUAACACAAAAAAUAUCAAAUUAACUAAAGUGAUUAAAAUCAUUUCCAUCAAAUUAAGUCAAUGCCAUCAAAUUAGAAGAUAAUCUUUGAACUAAUUAAGCAAAAGUAAAUCUUCAAAGUUAAACUCAUCCAUAAAUGUCAUAUAGUAUAAACCAUCAAUUAAAUUAUCUUUGUCAAUUUUAAAGUGUUUAUAUUUACUUUAUAUUGGCUGUUAUUUAUAUUAUUUUUAUAAAUGUAUUAUGAUAUUUUUUAUUUACAUCACACUAUUGCAAUUGAAAUUUUAAAUGUAUUUACUAUAAAUUUGAAAAAAAAAUGAAUUAAAAAUAAAAACUAAAGAUAAAAAUAGAAAAAUGUGGAGCCAAAUAAAAUAUUAGGGCAAACACUAAGUUAUAUUUCAUGUAACUUACACCCACACAUAUUAAUUUAUCACAGUCUUGUCUCCACAUAGAAAAAUUAGAUCUAAGAUUAUCAAACUCCCGAAUGAGGAAGAUCCCUCGGGGCCAUCGUCCCUGUGGAAAUUUCUGCAUCCCUGCAGUCUACAACGCCUAAUAAUGAAUUGAACGGUUGAAAUCCCUCUAAAUUUUUGAUAAUUUCUAAUCGCCCCUCCAUAUUUGAUUGAACAUCAAAACUAUUGAGUCCAAAUUUAUAACUUUGAUUUAUCUUCCAUUCCAUAGUUUUCAAGUUCUCUCUCUCUCUCUCUUUUAAUCCUUUUUACUGCAACCACCAUCAAAGCCUAGUAGUUAAUAUGUAUGCUGCUUUGCUUUCAAAAUCGGACACUACUGGUAUUUAUGGUUUUUAUUCUUUAUUUGACACAAAAUUUGGCGAUAUCUCCGCGGAAAAACACUACUGGUGUAUUCAAUUUUAUCCGGUAAUGAUUAAAUUGAUUAUUACAUGAACCGUAACUUCGCCAAGCCCAAAAUACAUAUUAAGUUAUAAAGCGUGGCACUCAUUAUUUUUCGCAAAAAGUUUCGCCCAAAAUACAUAUAUUUUUUUAAUUUUUUCUGUGAAAAAAACUACUGUUAUAUUCAAUUUUAUCAUUAAAGUUGUUAGUUACAUGAACCUUAAAUUAACACAAACCGUAACUUAGCCAAGCCCAUAAUACAUAUUUCAUAUUUGUAUGAAAUUUAAAGUUUUUCCACUUAUUAUUUUUCGCUAAAAGUUUCUAAAUUGUAUUGUAGUUUGAACUUGCCCAUCAUUCAAUUUUUUAACUCCACAAUUAUUUGACCUUACCAAGCUUGAAAAUAUCCUUCCAUACAUUUUUAAUUUUCUCCAAGUAUGAUGAAGAUUUAAUCAAGAGCCUCCGGGAUCUUAAAGUGCAAGAAAGGUCCGGAAAAUUUUUAAAACCCCACUGUUUAAAGUUUUUUUGGACUUUCUUGCACUUUAAAAUCUUGAAUUGAUAUAUAUAUAUAUAAUCAUUAUUAGGUGCUAGUGUUCUCUUUUUUUUUUUAAUGCAAACACCCUUUUAAGCCGUAGGGUUUAAUAACAUUAAAAACUAACUUUCAACUAGCUCUCUUAAAUUGUACGGCUUAAAAGCAUGUUAGUAUGAAAAAAUGAACACGUCUGUACCAAAAAAGGACUAUAUAUACUAUUUAUUUUAUAUAUACAUACGUGCGCGCGCUCGCAUAUAUAUAUAUAUAUAUAUAUCAUUUUAAUAUAUUCCAUUACUUUAAUAAUCAAUUUAAAAUAGUUUGUGAUAUUUUCAGCUAUUUAUUUAUCUACUUUUAGUUAGUUAUUUACACCGAAUGAAGUGAUAGGGUCCAAAUUUUAGUAUCCUUCUCAAUUGUUUGGGGUUAGUAAAUACUAAUUAGCUUAUUCGUCCCGCACAGCCGCGUAAAUGCUGUUAGAUUUCGGAGAGAUGCUGAGGAUGGUACAAGAUUUAUCAAAUUGUGGCGACAUUUUUAUACCUUUAGAAUUUCAAGAUUUUGAAGAAAUAAAUGGAAUCUGUUUUCCAUAAGUGCUCCACUAUCCACCAGGAGGAAUUCUAAAAUACAUUACAGAUUAGUAAUUUUUCAGAAUAAAUAAACACAUGUUAUAACAUUAUCUACUUAUCGUAUGAUUGAUAUGAUACUUCUGAUAUAUUUUAAAAUUUUUAAUGCACCAAAGUUCAUUUUUAGCUUUUAAGGUUUUUAUGUGUGAGCCUCUCAGCACGUUACCCAACCUCCGCACGUGAAAAUAUUUCUAUGUACGGUUACAAGCUUUUCCAGAUUGUGAGUAUUCCGAAGCAAUCCAACUUGAAAAACAGCUGGUUCGUAGAAAAUGACAGUUUACGAAGCUGGCCCUGCUGCCAUACAUAUGAUGAAGAAGACCAUUUUGCUUUAUGUCAAUUCCUCCAAGUUGAAAUCUUUCUCGGUCUGGGACACUUCCAACACAUAAAGUACUACUAGGCUAGAUGAUUUUAAAAAAUGUCAAGGUCCUUUAUCAAAUUUCAUUUGCAUUCAAGACCAAUCCCCUUUGAUGAAAAUCAAUAAUUAAAGGCUUUCCAAUGAGAAAUUAUUACGUCUUCAAAUCUCAAAAAACGCCAGAAUAUUAAUUCGCUACAUAUAAUCAAGAUAUCUCAUUGAGACGCAUUAAUAAAAAAUGUCAAAAUGCAUAGAAAGAGCAGACACACGGAUGAUGAAUUUACUCAUCUUUAGUAGUAUUUGAACUUGAGAGACAGAAUGAAGUACAUGUCAAGAAUAUCAUAAAGAUGGAAACCGGAAGUCCUCCGCACAUAAACUUUGAAGAAACUGGAAAACGACUUUAUUCCAGAUAAUGCACACCAGAGUGACCAAAAUUCUCUUCAGUAACUAUAGAGAAAAUAUUAUUUUGCAUGCAUUUCACGUAACUGGAUCAAACUACUCCCCUGUUGGUUUAUCAGACCACAUUUUUAUGGUGCAAUAUAAACCAUCUUUUCAAAACACUUCUACAAUGUGAGAAACAAAUGAUUUUUAUAUAGUUGUUCAUAGCUAACUUUUGAUGGUUUAAUGAUCUGUAGAUUUUGUUUUAUGUUAUUCAAGGAAAGAUAUUGGAUUGUUCCUAAGAGUUCAUAGGCAGGGGCAUAUAUGCAUGAUUUGAUAUAAUUCUUGCAAUUUCUAAGUACUUGCUCUUUCCAUCCCUUCUAAGUUUUGAAAGAAAGGUCGAAAUAAACAGAGAAACAGGACAAACAGAAGAAGACUGAAUUAACAGAUUAGCAAAGAUGGCAACUAACAAAUGGAAAAGUUCUCUUGUCAUCAAACUAUAGCAAACAGAUGACACCAUUACCAUAUAUCUUAAUGAGUAGAUUGAUUCUAAACAUAAAUGUUAGGAUACAUUUGGUUGUUUAAUAGUUUGAAAUAAGGAGGAUGAGAUGGUUUCCACAUAAAAGUGCUGGCCCUUUCAAUGACAUUUUCAAGGAAUUAUAAAAUUCAAAAUUAAAAAAAAAAUAGCACAUUAUAAAGCCACACCGUCAAAAAAAUAAAUAAAUAAAUAAGUGAAGAUCAAACUAAGUCACUAAGACCUUUAAUGAUAUAAAAUAAGCAUAUAAAUCUCAGAACAAAACAUUAAAACUCAUUCUAAAAGUAAAAAUAAACUAGUGGUGUAUUCCAAACAAUUUAGAUGAAGCGAUAAAACAAGCCAAGAAAUCAAAUAAAAUGAAAUGAAAUUGAAUUACCUGGGACUUUGUUUUUCAAAUUCACAACUCGCUUGUAAUUAAAGUAAAAUGCCAAUGCCAUUAGGACAUAUACAUCAUUGAAUAAGAUGAGGACCCCUCCAACAGCUGAAAGUAAAAUUUUCAUUCAUUAGUUUCAAUUAAAAGUAAAGCACACAGAUUUGCAGGGAAGCAAGAGAUUUAAUAAAUUUAACACCAGCAAUUUAAUUUGACAGGACUUCCAUACAGUAAUGAAGUCAAAAACUAAUGAUUAAUGAAUUUUUGUAAUUGAAUGAAUAAGAUUCUCUGAUUUUGGAUAAUUGAAUGAAUAGGAUUCUCUAACUCUUGUGAAAAUAUCAAUUUUAAAUAGGGUAGAGUUUCAAGAAUUAAGCACAUAUGUAUCCCAAGGCUGUUGAUCAUCUCUCUCUCCAUAGUAGAAGUUUACUCUCAGAGGCGCGUUUAAUUCUCCUUUAGUGAAAAUCUUCGUCUUGGGACAACCAAUUAUAGAUAAAUCUUCCAAAGAUGGGAAUUUGAAGGUGUAAUUGGCAGAGCAGAAACUUCUGAGACUAUCAGCAGAAACUUGUGAGACUAUCCAAAUCAUACAGAUACAAAAUCUUCAAUUUGGUGAAAGCAAUCUCUUCUUCAAAAUUUUCUGCUCCAUCUUCGUCAUUUAUCACCACCUCUCUCAUUGCUCUACAUCCAUAUACCAACAUUGAUAAGAGUCUCUGUAGAGUUUGGAGUGACAGAUUCGAUAAUGAUCAACUCCAAAUACUCGCCAAGAUCGCAAAUCAAACAACCAAGAUGCAAAAAGAAUCAAUCCAGAAAAAAUCACAGAGAAACUUAAGAACCUAAAAGAAUUAAAGAAUUAGCGGCAAAGACAAAAGAAUUAACGUGGUUCAGCUAGCUUUCACUAGCUUACAUCCACAGGAAAAACCCGGAUCAAGUUUAUUGAUUUUCAGAAGAUGAUUACAGAGAGUUUUAAGAGCUAAUAACAGAGUAUUUCUUGAAGCCUUCUCACGAAUCUUCUAAUCACUCAAUAGCUCUCACGCACACGCCUCCUGUUGCACCAGAAUCAGCUGUUUAUAACAGCUUCUUCAACAAACCAAAAUGAACCCAGAAACUCACGUGAUUGGCAUGCGUUAUAACAGAUUCAUAACGACCCUGAGCGGCUUCUUCGAGCACGUGUUUCUCUCGUGCUUUACUUAAACACAAAACGACGCUCAACUAAGUCGUUCCAGAGACAAAACAAAUUGCUCUUCAAAACGCAAUCAGCAAUUGUCGUAUUGUAGUUUACUUAAGCUGCAAAACGCAAGUCCAACUUGUCGUUUCAAAUAUCUUGAUUUGCUUCACAACACAACAGUCGCUCUAGACUUUUUGCUGUGGAGGAGGUUGCUAAGUUCCUUGCAACGAAGAACUAGAAGUUCUUUUAGGUUCCCAAAAGAUACCGAUUGAACAAAGGACUCCAAUUUGGAGUCUUGUUUCCACAAUUGCUUCAGACGAUUAAGUUUGUGCAGAUCUAAAUGUUUUAUCAUUGUAAACUUCCUCACAUGUUUCUUCAAGUAUCCUCCAUUCGAAAAUACCUCUUCGCAUGAACAACGACGCCGUAUGAGAGUUUCCAGAUUAUGAAAUCUCUCAAGUAAAUCAAGUGGAAAACAAGUUGAGUCAUCAUCCACUGUUUGUAGUAGUUUAAGACUGCCAAAAAGGUGUUGUGGGAAAUCGCUCUGCAAAGUCAUCCUCGAGUCUUUUCCACUUAAUGCCCGUUCCUCCUAAGUUGGGUAAGCUCUGAUCAUCAUCAAUCACGUAAUAACUUAUUAAGUCAAUUCAUAUUCUCUCAAAUAACUUUUAAUAAUCCAAUCAUACACAGUGACUUUAAUAUAAAUGCAUAAUAUUUUACAAAAAAGAAGAAAAAAUCGAAUUAGAGGUAAAAGUUAUUCUACGAUUUUAUUUUUUAUAUAUAUCUUGCAUGCUAUUCCCAAGAGCAAUCCCAAACGGCCCUUAAAGCAAUUUUACAAAAGCGGCCGUUACAUAUAUUGCCAACUUUGUUGGGAAUGGCAAUGGGGAGAGGAGGGGAAGAGACCGAACUCCCCGUACCCAUUCAUGAUAUUCUGCAUAUAUCCUCGUCCUCUCCUCAUUUCUCACAAAAUUGCUUUAGGAAAUCCCCCUCCCCUCCCCAAAUAAUAAUAGGGGAUCCUUGAAGGCCCUCGAUCCUCGAAUAACUGAUACGUUUUUUGUUUUAAAUUUUAAUUUAAUCAUAUUAAAAUAAAAAAUAAAAAUAAAAAUAAAGUUUGACGAUAUAUCUUAUAUUAACAUUAAUCUAUUACAAAAGUCACAUUACAAAGUAUAAAUCACCAUAAUAAUUAUCUUCGGCAAUCUUCAAAAUCAUAUAAUAAAAAAAAGAAAUUACUUUUAUAUCAACAAUGAGAUAAAUGAAAUGAAUAUAGAUACUUAAUCAAUAUUUCUAAUAAAAGUAUUUACCUCUGCGUCUCCUACUCUUCUUGUUCUUCCUCGAGGAAUGUGACAAAUUGAGAGAUAGCCUCAGAUUUCAAAUUUAAAACAAUAAAAAUGAUAUAAGUAAUGUAAAUUCUAAUUAAAAUAAACUCAUACUGCCAUUGUAAGCUUGUGGUCAACUUUGACAACAUAUUAAAGCCUCCAAUGUGCUUGAAUAAAGCGUGUUACGGUACUCUACCACUGGUGCUAAAAGCUAAUUCAGAAGCAACAUUUGUAAUUAGAAUUGCCAAAAUAUCUCUAGGUGCCAAUAUAGGAUAUCUAUAGACAUUUAUUUUACACCAACUCAAAUUAUUAAAAUCUUUCAUCCGUGGCAUAACUUUCUCAUCCAAAUAUUAAUGUAGUCAAUUAAGCCUAAAGUUUAAUAAUAUAAUUAUUUUAAUUUUAAUUUAUUUAUUUAUUUAUUUAUAUUAAUAUUUUAUUAUUUAUUUACAAAUAAUUUUAAAAAAAUUAAAAUUAAAUUAAAAAAUUAGAAGAGAAUAGGGAUUCCGCCGUAUCCCCGUCCUUUCUCUUAAUAAGAAAUUGGGUAAAAAAAACUAUUUCCGUCCCUUUUUCAAAUAAAAAAUUAAGUAAAAAAUUAUGUACCCUCCUGAAUUGGGAAAAUCUCGAGGGUCAUGUCCCCGCGGGAAUAUCUGCCAUUCCUAAACUUUGUAACAGCCAGUUGCUUUUGUGACCGUUUAUGUGACGGCUAGACUGCUCUCACUUAUGUUACUAACCACGUGACGGUAGAGAGCCAAUUGGCAUUCCAUUAUUUUGAUUGUAGAGUUAUAAAUUUGUUUCUAAAUAGAAAACUAUUUGCUGAAGUCAAUAUAUUGAAAACCAAAGUCCCAAAUUCUCUCUCGUGCGUACCUGGCCAUCCUAAACCUUACUGGUAGCCGGAGAAUGGCGUAAAACGGCAGCGAUCUUCUUCUUCAUCUUAUUCUCUCUCUCAUCGUUUCAGGUAAGCUUGUGAUUAUGAGUUUCUUCUCUUUCUUAGCUUGUAAUUAUAGGUUUUGAUUUCUUUACUUCGUAUUGUAACCAUUAAUGUCAAUUUUUGUCCCGCCGGCAAUAUUUCUUGUUCCUAGAAGUUGAAGCCCUUCUGUUCUUGUUCCAUUGGUGACUUUGCUCACUCAAAUUAAUUUUGUUCUGCGGAAUUUACAAAGUUCAAAUGGAUUCAUUUGAAUUACUAUUGAAUUUAGCUUUAAUUUCAACAUCCAUUCUAAUGUUUUACAAUCAUGUAUUUAGAUUUACUUUAAUUUUAUGUUUAAAGCUUCUACAAUGAAUAGCGUAGCUUGGGCUUUAGUUUCAUUUUCUAAUUAACUUGUUUUAGUUUAUCUUAUAUGCUCGCCAAGUGCUUGUUAUAUUGUCUGAUAAGUUAUAUAACAUUGCUGAUUCUAUAUUAGUAAUGUCAUGUUCCAUUUUCGGAAAUUAUAACACAAAAGUUUUUACAAUGGCUUGCAUCUACAAACUGAAUUGACUUGUAGAGUAAGAGCUUGGAUUAGUGUUAUGUUCUUGAAUAAAUGAAAGUUCAUAUUGUGUAAGAGCAUGUAGAUAUAAAGCAUCACUACCAUUUCUACAAACUGCUUUCAUUCUGUUCAGAUGCUCCUCUUGAACUUUGAAAGGUGCCUCAUUCAAGUCCUAGCUAUAACUACUAGCUCUGAUUGCUUAAGUUCCUGUGCUAGCUGAAACAGAUUUAUUUAAUUAAUUAAUUGUGUAUGUACUAAUUAUAUUGAAAGUAUAUGAAGAAAUUGUUUAACAUGAAUGACUUCUAAAUGACUUAAAAGCCUAAAGGAUAUGUCAAAUAAUGCUCAUUUCACUUGAACGAGCCUAAUACUUUUAUGUCUAUGAUUGUCAAUCUUGCUUAAGUGUUUCAGUUAAGUGGUUUACCUAACAGGGGAAAAAAUUUAAUGGAAAACUUUAGAGUUCGAACAGAAAUAUAGUUGACUGCAGAUAUAGUUAUUUUACGGUACAUAAAUCAUAUUGUCCUAUACUCAAUGUCCUACGACCUAUUUUAUUUUAUAUGGUCAUUCAUUUUUGCGAUGGUUUUUUGUGCUUAUGAGUAUGGAAAUAGUGGGAUUUGGUGUGGCAAACAAAAAUAUACAUAUAAUCAAGUUUCUUAAUCAUGUAUAUUGGUUUUGGGUAUGAAUGUUUUCCUAUUCUAGUUCUAGGCAAAGUUUCUUCAUUUUGGUCUUCAGAUUUCUAGUAGGUUAAGUUAAGCAACUAUCAUAACUAGCUAGCUAGUUAUUGCCUGCCUUGUCGCCAUUACCGACGCCAUUACAUUGCAUGGCAUAAGGAAUAGUAACUAGGUGAUUAUUGGUGAUUCGUUGAGUUUAUUAUUGGCCAAACAAACAUAUUGGCCUUUACCCACAACUUAGUUUGAUUAGUUAUUAGAUAAUAAAGAGCCUUAAUCUAUGCAUUGCUUUAUUAUUUUUAUUUGGUUUUUCUUUCAACAAUAUUGUUGAUUUCUUAUAAAAAAUAUUCAUUGGUUUUUAAACACCUAAUCAUUGGCUACGAUGAAGCUAAUUAAAACUAAGGCUUUGGAUCAAUUUCUGUUAACAACAUACAAAUGUACUUACUGAGUAUAAGAUUGAAGACUUGAAAAGAGGAGAAAAGAGGAGAAUGAAUAAAAUGAAAGAAAUGAUAAGAUUACUUGGAAGAAGAAAAGCAUUUUUAAUGAACUAACGUAUUGGGAGUUCAAUUUGAUUCAUCAUAAUCUCGAUGUCAUGCACCGUUUUGAUUUUUGUUAUGAACUCAGAUCAAAAGUUUAAUGUGAUCAAAAUUUCUUAAAAAUAGUGAAAACGACUCCUCCUAAUAAUAUGGAAGAUGGCUAUAAAAGAUAAUUUCUUAAAAGUUUAAUGUGAUCAAAUUUGCUUGUGAACGCAAGGGUUUUAGUUACACUGUCAACGCUGUCAAUGUAGUGAUACAAUGAAGAUGAAGUAAAGCAUUAGUAGAAUAAUGAAGUUGACCAGUAACACAGUAAAGCAAAUUUUAUUCCAGAGCAUGAAAACUUUUAAACAGUAACACAGCUCUUAUUCCAGAGGCUGCACACGAGUGACCUCAAUCUUCUUCAGAACUUUCAAAUUUUAUCAAGCAAAGCUUUCAAAAUCCUUGCCUUCCUAAGUUAGGAAAGAUAGAUGUGGAGCAAACUAUUUUUUAUAGAUAUUUUCACUUUGGGCUGUCAGCCCGAGGAAGUACGGGGUUCUGAGUUAUUCAACUGAAAAUGUCGGCCAAGUUCUUGUGUUAGUUUUAGUAUAUUGUGUAAAAAUGAUACACUAACUUGAAUUUAUAUGCUUUUAUGACUAUUUGAUAAUCAAAUGGGUACAUGACACGAAGAACUUUGAGUUUAAAAAUCUGGCCCUGAUGCCUGGUAGCCCUCCAACCUAUGAAGCACUAGACGUUUUAAUGAGAAAACGACAAGACCAUUUAUCAAAUUUCUUGUGGAUAUAAAUACAUACACAUAGACGAGACCAACCUCCUCAAAGGAGAAUCAGAGUGAUUACAAGACCUUGUGAUGGUUGUCGAAACCAGUAAAAAUAAAUAUCUACUCUAAAUAAAUUGUGUAUAGUGAUUGAGCAGGAUCGUGUCCAUAAAGAUCGGUAAUUAUUUAAAUCCUUUUUAAAAUGUAAAUUGCAAAAUGGGGAGAUUGUUGACAAUAAAAAAAAAUCAAAUUAAAAUAACAAGAAUGCAAAUUAAAAUUGUAAUUCAAAUUGGAAAAAGUUCUGGUUGAAGGAAUUAACUCAGCUUGAUUCGACUACUGAUCAUUGAUUCAAAUAUAAAUUAUUACUACUUAUGAAUAAAUCGGUUAUAGCUACUGAGACCCUCUAAUAGCCAAUCUCUCUUUAACUAAUCGAUAACCAAGGUACGACCGUUGGUUAUUUCCCUAAUCAAUAGACAACCCUAGAUACGAUCAAAGGAUUUAAUCAAUUGACAGCCUAAAAAACCAGAGAGACCCAAAUCCUAAUCAACAAACGCAUACGAUGGUUCAUUUAAAUUAGAUUGUUUAUUCUCAUAACACAACUCACUGCUAUGUUAUUUGUCACAAAUAUUAAAAUCUUCAUACGAUGAAUCCUUUAAUUGACAAUAGAUUAAGUUGAUAAUUAAAUAGUGGCCAAUUAUCUAAUUAACAAACAUAAUCAUGACAAUAAUUCAGAGAAUAAACAAAUACCCAAAAAGUAAUAAAAUAAUUAAAGCAUAAGAAAGAUCUCACAGUAGUUAUGAAUCAAAGCUUCAUUAACUUUCAACCAGAAUAAUAGGUUUAGUUCUUCAUAGAGAGAAGAGAAAAGUUUAGAUCUAGGGUUUCUUUCUUUUAAAAAAUCUCCUUUUUUCACAAUAGAUUCCUCCCUUAAAUACUCUCUCUCUUCUCCUUUAGAGUUCUAUUUAAAAUAAAAUACUAAUAUAUGAAAUAUUAAAUUUGUAAUUACAAAAAUAAACAAAAAUACAAAACACGUUAAACUAAAAACUGUAGGUCCGUAGUUGACAGCACGCACCCACGCCUUAUCAACAAAGUUCUUCUGACACUCAUAAUUUCUCUAAGAGAACAAUCAUCCUUAAACAUCAUAUUGUAGCUCAAUUUUAUCACCAAUCAAUAGAAUUGCACCUACAAAAGUAAAACACAAGUAAAUCACUAUUAUUAAGUGCAAAACAUCGAUAUUAAGGGAAGUAAACAAUGCAAAACUAGUGCAUAAAUUGCACUCUAACAUAUACUCACUGUGACGAGUUGCACCAGAGUUUUUGCUGUGGAGGAUGUUACCAUGUGUAACAAUUUCUUGCAACCGAAAGCUACAAGUUUUGUUAGGUUCCGAAAAGAUACCGAUGAUGAUGGCAAUAGAAUUAACAGACUUUGACAAUGAUAUACUUUUAGAAUUUCAAGAUACUGAAAAAUGGGGCCAAGUUUGGAGUCUUGUUUGCACAGCUGCUUCAGAUGAUAGUGCCGGUUCAGCUCUAAUGUUUUUAUCAUUGCCAACUUCCCCACAUGUUUCUCUAAGCAUCCUUCCUCCGAAAAUACCUCUUCGUUGAAUGAAAAACAAACCAGUAAGAGUUUUUCAAGAUUGUGAAAUCUCUCCAGUACGUUCCAGAUUGGAAAACAAGCUGAGUCAUCUGCAGCAAUCUCUAGUUCUCUAAGACUGCCAAAAAGGUGUUGUGGGAAAUCGGCCUGCAAAAUCAUCUUCACAUCUUUUCCACUUAGUGCUAGUUCCUUCAAGUUGGGUACGAUCUGAUCAUCAUUAAUCAUAAUAACUAAUGAGGUCAAUUGAUGAUCUACGGUCACACGCAGUAACUUUAUAGUAUUUAUUUUAUAUUAUAUUUUAAAAAAAAAUGAAUUAUUGAUAAAAUUUAUUUUGUAUGUUAAUUUUACAGGUAAAAAAAGAAAUUAGGGAAAAAUAGUUGAUUUAUAUUGGCUCAAAAUUAUUUUAUUGCACAAUAAUAAAUUACUAAUUUAUUUUGCAAGUUCUUCUAUAUGGAAAGACUGAGGAUUCUUUUAUAAAUGCUAUACCUAAAAAAGUUCAUAUAAUUAUGAAUCUACCAUAUUGAUCCCUUAGUCUAGACUAGCAAAGAUUAUUGUAUAAUAAAAGUUUUUAAUUUAUUGAGUAUUAAAUGAUUUUUUAUAUGUUAAUUUUAGAGGUAAAAAAGAAAUUAGGGAAAAAAGGUUGAUUUCUACUGACUCGAAAUUAUUUUAUUGCACAAUAAUAAAUUACUAAUUUAUUUUGUAAAUUCUUCUAUAUGGAAAGGCUCAAGAUUCUUUUACAAAUGCUAUACCUAAAAAAGUUUAUAUAAUUAUUAAUCUACCACAUUGAUCCCUUAGUCUAGACUAGCAAAGAUUAUUGUCUAAUAAAAGUUUUCAAUUUAUUGAGCAUUAAUUUAUCGAUACUUUGUCAUAUUUUUCAAAGUUAAAAAUAAGCUAUAGAUAAAAAAUCUAGAAAAUGGCUUCAUACCUUUUCCAAUGGCAAUAGGGGCUGUUGUGCAGGAAUACCAAGUUGAUCAUUCCCAUUAUUCUGCGAUAAAUCUGCAGCGAAUAUCUUUAAUUUGUCACAACCAUGCACUAAAAGAAUUUCUAGUGCGGGCCAUUCCGAAGUAUGCAUUCCAGGGUACAAACAUCUAAGUUUUGGUAGAUCUUGGAGCUUCAGAGUGGUGAGCUGUGGAAAGACAAAAUAAGGGAUCAUUUGAUCUGCUCUGUUUUCAGAAAUGAUCUCCUGUAAAUUCUCACAGAAGUAUAUAUCCAGGUGUUGGAGCUGCUUAAGGCUUUCGAUCAUAGACGCUGAAAAUAUGUAUUUUAAUUUAUGACAACGCUGCACAAUCAAUCGUGUUAAAUUUUGAAAGCGAGGAAACAUGACCGGAAGAUGAUUGUAGUGCCAAAUCUUGUCGACAUUAAUUUCAGAUAUCUCCAAAGCCUCCAAGUUAGGCAACGCAACCUAAAAAAAGAAGAAUUUCUCGUUAGAUCCAAUAUCCAUAUGGGAAGUACUUGUUGAAAUUUUCUUCUUUGAUUACAAAUUAAUGCAAGUCAGAAUCAAUUUCAUACUACUUGUUAAGAGCUCAAUUAGUGAGCGCGUGAGAUUCUUUUUAUCCUUUUUUCCAUUUUCUUUCAAUUCUUUAAAUGAUUUAAUUAUUUUCCACGUAUAACAUCAAAACAGAACGCAUGAUAGAAUAAAAUGUGUUAUACAUUAAAGAAAAUGUUAGCCUACGCACCUUCUCGUUGAAAAGCAGAGUUGAAAUAUCCAAAGUGAUUUCGCUGGAGCUAUACAUAGUCGUCGAUUCCUCUUGCGACACUUGUCUGUUCGGUGAUGCUGAAGGAGUCUUCACCUCAUUGCGGCAAAAACUUGUAACCUCUGGAAGAUUCCCCAGACUCAAAGAUCUUAAUUGAGCAAACUCUAUCUUCUCAAUUGCAUUAUCAACUUCUUCCCCAAUUGCAAAAAUCUCUUUCAUCUUGCUGCAAUUAAUAACUGCAAUUCUCUCAAGUCUUGGAAGGCAUUUUGUAGUGGAGAGCCAAAAGAUAUUGCUCAACUUAUUACAACUAUAAGCUUCUAUGGUUUUGAGUUUGUUGAAAGACUCUACUUUGAGCCGAUCAAUACAUAUCCUCUCCAUGUUGAUCAAAUUGCGAAUGGUAAGUGACUCCAAAAGAGGAAAGGCAUCACAAGCGACCAUCUCCCUUGAAUCGACGAUACAAAAGAUGUCAGGAUUAUUUUGAACCAAGAGAAGCUUCAAUUGUGAAAAGCCAUCCGUGUCCAAAUUGAAAAGAACAUUCUCGAUGCCUUGCAGCUUGUCCAACCAUAAGUAUUCAACGUUAUUGAUGCCCUGCAAUUUCAUGGAGAAAAUGUCCAUAAAAUCAAGCUUGAGCUUCAAUGCUCUUAAACUCUUGCGAUCACGGUUGAUUGAAAAGUGCGGCCGACUUUGGAACCAUUUAUGUCUAGCAUACUUGUUGGGAGGCAUGAAUGACCCAUUUCCAAUAGAUAUUUUGAACCUUUCGAGCUUUCUGGCCAAAAAGCGUUCUGGUAAAAUACUAUCAUUUUUAACGUCAAUUUCUAGAGUGGUUAGCCUAGGUAAAUGCAUCAAUUCGUCGAGGCUAGCAUUACUUCUUUUGCUGUUGGCUCUUUCAACCUCCCAUUCAAUGAAGCAAUUACCCAUAUACAGCUCUUCUAAUCGACUUAAGCUUGAUAUGAGAUUGGGCGCAAUAACUUUUAGAUCGAAACAAUUGGUUAAAUCUAACAAUCUCAACUUAUUCAAUUGACCUAGUUCUUCUGGCAACUUCAUAAUAUCAGACAUCAAAAAGCUAAGGACUUCUAGAUUCUUCAACUUCCCAAUGAUUGCUAUGUCGCCCAACGCACUUUGAUCCAGACAUAGUGUGUGAAGAUAUGCUAGAAGAUCAAUUGAAGAUGGAAAAGAAGAAAACUGCAUUCGAGUAAAAUCUAGAACUCUAAGCUUUUUCAUCCCUACCAAAAAGUUCUCAGGAAUAUUGAUUUCAAGAGAAAAAUCUUUGAGAGAGAUAUAUAAAAAUUCAAGGUUUGGGCAUUCUAAUCGUCAGGAAAUCACGAUUACUAUUAUUUAUAAAGAAGAUAGCAUGCAGUUUCGAAGUGGCAUCUCAUCUGGCCAGUCCCACACAUCUCAUUUCUCACCGAAAACACAUGUUGGUGGCGGCAUGCAAUUGAUAUUGCGACAUCGCGAACAACAUCAUGCAUUGAAAAUUCUUCAUUGCUGUCACCCUCAAGCAACAAACAAGAGUCUCUAAGUUCAUGGACCGAUGCAUAUAAUUUGUCUCGUGCAUCUUCCAUCUUAUUGACUCCUUGAAAUAUACCCAAACCCAUGGAGUACUUAAACAAGUCCAAAGUAAGGAUACUGUUACCCAUUAGACUGCAGAGCUGAAAAAUGUUCUUGAGUUGCUCACCUUUUAAAUGGUUGAAACUCAGCUCAAUACUUGAAUAAGUCUCUGCAGACACUCCUUCGAAGUUUACCAUUGAAGGCGUUAGGAGUUCUCGCAAGGAAUUCUUCCAUUCAUGCAGACUCUUGCUUCUCAGUGCCUUUGCCACUGUAAUCAAGGCAAUGGGCAAACCUCCACAUGCCCUGGCGACGUCUAUUGCUGUAGAUUUCAACUCACGAUUUUCAACAUCAUCACCGGCCAUCAUCUUAAACAAUCUCCAGGCUUCUUCUUCAUUUAAAUUGUUAAUCAAGAAGUUGUCUUUAGAUCCCAUUUUUAAGAGGACACUACGAUCUCUUGCUGUCAGCAGUAGUUUGCAUCCUUUAUGAUCUUCUCCAAAAGGAAUUCCCACUGUCUCCAAAUCAAGGUGUUUCCAGAUGUUAUCUAAAACCACAAGGAUCUUCUUCUGAUUUCUCAAUCGCUCAAAUAGUCUACUUGCUCUUCUAGAUUCAACUUCCUCGUGCAACUCCAGGCCCAACUUCUCGGCAAUUUCCUGUUGAAUCUUUUUUAUGUCUGGAGUUUGCGAAACCUCUGAAAAGACCACCAUAUCAAAGAGCUUGUCUUCCAUAGCUUGCCUGGCGACCUUCUUCACCAGUGUCGUCUUUCCAAUGCCGCCCAUGCCGUACACCCCAACGACACUAACAUUAACAUCGAUCAAUGCUUUUUUUAUAGCCUCCAAAGAAGAAAGUCUUGACUCGAAGGCCUCGUAGCCUUUGUGAGACUUGAGCCAUAUCUCCUCCGGAAUGGUACGGUAGGAAAUUCUAUCAUCAAAUCUUGCAGCUUCUUCUCGGAUUUUGACGAGUGCCUUCACCUCUGCCUCUGCUUUCUUGCUAAGCUGAUAGCGAGUAAUCCAAUUAGGAAACAGCCCCAUGAGACAUCGUUCAUUUGCUUUCUCUUCGUCUUGAAUGAAUUUGGCUGCCUGCUCAAUGCUCUUGUUCGCAUUAACCAGCCAUUUCUCAACCUUCUCUUCAAUCUUUUCACUUUUUCUUUCAGCCUCAGAAACUCUGCGCUGAAUGCUUUCUCUUUCAUCCUUGAGCCUAUCGAGUUCUGCCUUGAGAUUCUCAAAGUUGGCAUCGGAGUUAUACCAGUAACUAAAUUCGCGUUGUGCGUGAGGAGACAAGCAGUUUACAACUGGAACAAUGCUUUUCAAAAUGUCCAUUUGUUUUUUUUUUUUGGGGGGGUGGGGGGUGAGUGAACGAAAUAGAAAUAGAACAGGGUCAACGACCGCGCAAUUAAUAAUCAAGUAGAAGCAAAACAAGGCAAAAUGGAGAAAAGAAAUUAUAUUUGUACAAAACAAGGGGAAAAUCAGUGUAACAGAAGAGAAUCAAAGUGUUUUUGAGAUCAGAAAAUUGAAUCAAGAAAAGGGUUGCUUGAUCCAAUGAAAAUGCAAAGAGGGAACAAACAUAAAUAAGAAAACGGCUAGCAGGAGCAGUGACCACGAUAAACAGAAGCAAAGUGUGUAUGAGAUCAAAAGAAGAAAAUCAGGAGAGGUUUUCUUGACUGAGAAUUGAAGGCAAAGAGUAGGAGCUGACGAAUACGGGGAUCAAGAGGGAAAAACUGCUUAAUAACAUUACGAUUGUCAUAAAACAUGUGAUCCUCAUCCAAUAUCCAUUAUUUGUGAUCCUUAAUCAAUAAAAUAUCUAACAAUAUCGAACAGUCGAUAUCCAACACAUGCACGAAGAUUCCAAGAAGUUGCGUGGCUGCCGACUUUUAAAUGCUAAGCCUGAUUGUGUCGAUGAUACACAAAAGAGAGCAGUCGGGGUAAUUGCCAAAACUUAGAACUAAACAGUAGCUUAGUCAGAAAAUCAAACGCCAGUACCGGUAAAAUGACCGAUAAAAAUAUAAAGAAAUAAAACUUUUAAAGUUUUACUUCAUUGCUUUUUUAAUGUUAUUACUAUUUCUCCUAGCACUUCUAAAGAAACCAAAGCUUUAAAAGAAAUCGGCCAAAGAAAUAAAGUUUUACUUCAUUGCAUUUUUAAUCUUAUUACUAUUUCUCCUUGCUCUUCUAAAGAAACCAAAGCUUUAAAAGAAUCAGCCAAAUCACCAAGAUUGAAGAGUAAAUCUAUUGUUUUAGAUUUUUAUUUUUAUUUUUUUAGAUAAUAGAUAUUAUUUUGAUGAAUUUUUUAAUAUUGGAAUAAUGUUAGGAAUUCCAAUAGAUGAAUUCUAACUUGACACCCAAUUGUUAUGUGUCAUUUUUUUAUUGGAUAAUGAAUUUCAUAACUAGUAAAAUUAAUAUUUUGAUCAUCUAAUAAAUAACUACUAUAUCAGUUGGGACUCAAUCAUUGGGAUGCUUAACAUUGCUCUUAGUAUUGUAUUGGACAUCUUAGUUAAAUCAGAUUAAAAAUCAAAUUAGAUUUUAGGCUUUAUUCAACAUCUCCUUUUCUUUAUUUUUUUUUCUUUUUUAGGUCUAUUUGAAGUGAACGAAUUAAAAAUACGACAAGGUCAACGAUUGGGCAAUUGAUAGUCAAGUAGAAGCAAAUGAAGGCUAAAUGGGAAAGAGAAAUUAUAUUUGUACAAAACACGGAGAAAAUCAGUGUAACAGAAGAGAAUCAAAGUGCUUUUGAGAUCAGAAAUUGAAACAAGAAAAGGGUCGCUUGAUCCAAUGAAAAUGCAAAGAGCUGAUGGCAAAAGGGAACAAAGUUAAAUAAGAAAACAGCUACCACUAGCAGCGACCACAAUAAACGAGAAAUUGGAGAUGGAUCUACAAUAUUUCUGCCUUUCUUUAUGCUUUAACAAAUAUUGCUCUAUCGAAAAAAAUAUUGUGGGUUUUUAUUAUUGGAGUCACAAAAGACCAACACAAUAUAGCAAGUGACUAGGAAUAAGAAUAUAUAACUCUCUCUCUAUUUCUCACUCUAGCUUUUAAUUGUCACUCAAAACCCAGACAGCGUAAGGAAAUAAGAGAUGACAGCGUCUGGUUGUCAUACGUGCCUUUUGGUUUCUGGAUGACAUGGCGUACACUUCUUUUGCAAACCAACACGACAUGUCGUACUCUUUGUUUUGAGAUCAUAUUUCAAACUCUUGAUGUUACGAAUGAAAGAUAAACUACAAUCAUCAAAAUAUUUAGUGUUUGUUUGGUAAUGUAAAGUCAUAGUUGUUGUGAAUUGAAAUUAUUUCUGUAAAAUAAAAGGAUUUGGGUCAUUGUUCGUUAUUUUUUGGCAAUAUUGCCUGGCUGUGACUAUUUAUUAAAUAUUAAAAAAAUAAAUUUAUAUUUAUUAAGUAUCAAAAAUAAAUAAACAACAAAAAUAAACGGAAAAAUUAUACAUUACGUAAAAUAAUAAGGACAAUAUCAAUAUUUCACACUCUAUAAUUGAGUGAUGUGUUAUCCAAUUGCAACACAUUUGUCCCAAACGGAGUCUUAAAUAUCAAAGUUAUUGCGAUGAUGACUUAUAAUCACCAAACUUGACAUACGGGUAAUCAUGCAUUAUAAGGUGUUGAUUUCUUACUAUCGGAACCUUAUAUUUCAUUUACAAAUAAAUAAAUGAUGUGACUUAACUGGUGGCGGGUCCUUUGUGCCAUUUGCGCAUUCCACUGAAUAGUUGAUUGUAGCAGAAACAUUCCUGGAGUUGCCAUUUGCCAAUGCUACUGACAUUUUCAAACUCGGAAAACCCUCCAAUCAAUCUUUUAGUGGUAGGCUUGGUAGCUUGGCUUGAUUAUGACAUAUGAUUAUUUGAUAAUAAAGUUAGAGGAUGUAUUAAUAUAAAAAUUAUUUAUCGGUGUUGAAAUUAUCUCAUUAAUAAUAGUAUGAAAAGUUAAUUCUUAAGAAAUACAUAAUAGUAGUUAAUUGGUGUAAUAUUAUUGAGAUUCUGGAAAUAAUUUUAUAUCAUAACUUUGUAGGUGUAUAAAUAUUACUCAUUAAAUUAAUAUAAUUAUUUUAAAAAAAUCAGUUGGAAAAAAUAAAUUAUAUUAUUUUUACUUCAAAUAAUCUUUAAAUUAACUCAAAAUAUAAUCAAGCUCAGAAUUAAAAAUUUAAACUAAUGCUACUAUAUCAGAGGAUUUUCUUUUUUUCUCCACUGAAUAGUUGAUUGUCGCAGAAACAUUCCUGGAGUUGCCAUUUGCCAAUGCUACUGACAUUUUCAAACUCGGAAAACCCACCCUCCAAUCAAUCUUUUAGUGGUAGGCUUGGUAGCUUGGCUUGAUUAUGACAUAUGAUUAUUUGAUAAUAAAGUUAGAGGAUGUAUUAAUAUAAAAAUUAUUUAUCGGUGUUGAAAUUAUCUCAUUAAUAAUAGUAUGAAAAGUUAAUUAUUAAGAAAUACAUAAUAGUAGUUAAUUGGUGUAAUAUUAUUGAGAUUCUGGAAAUAAUUUUAUAUCAUAACUUUGUAGGUGUAUAAUUACUCAUUAAAUUAAUAUAAUUAUUUAAAAAAAUUCAGUUGGAAAAAAUAAAUUAUAUUAUUUUUACUUCAAAUAAUCUUUAAAUUAACUCAAAAUAUAAUCAAGCUCAGAAUUAAAAAUUUAAACUAAUGCUACUAUAUCAGAGGAUUUUCUUUUUUUCUCCGAAGUUUCACUAGGAAAUUAUUGAUGUAUAGCUUUGUUGAGAAUUGAGAUCAUUUCAGUUCAGAAGACAAAUAAUUGAAAGACUAAACUAAAUAGACCGGCGAACAAAUUUGUACAUGAAAGUUAAAAAAUUAAGGUCAUGAGUUGGUAUUGCGGUUCUGUCUUGAGCAACUUUGCUGUCAUUGUUUAUUAUUUUUUGGUAAUAUUGCCUGGCGGUGACUGUUUAGUAAAUAUUAAGAAAUAAAUUUAUAUUUAUUAAGUAUAAAAAAUAAAUAAACAAACAAAAACACAAGGAAAAAUUUAUACUUUACGUAAAAUAAUAAGGACAAUAUCAAUACUUCACACUAUAAUUGAGUGAUGUGUGGCAUCUUAAUUGCCCAACUGCCACACAUUGGUUCCAAACGGAGACUUAAAUAUCAGAAAAAUUCCAAGUUAUUGCGAUGAUGACUUACAAUUGCCAAACUUGACAUAUGGGUAAUCAUGCAUUUCUUAUGAUCAUAACCUUAUUUUUCAUUCACAAAUAAAUAAAUGAUGUGACUUAACGGUUGACGGGGUCCUUUGUGCCAUUUUGGCAUUUCACUGAAUGGUUGAUUGUCGCAGGAAGAUUCCUGAAAGUUGCCAUUUUCCAAUGCUACUAACAUUUUCAAACUUGGAAAACCCUUUAAUCAAUCUCUUAGUAGUAGGCUGUGGUAGCUUGGUUUGAUUAUGAUUUAUAAUCAUUUGAUAAUAAAGCUAGAGGAUGUAUUAAGAUAAAAUUUAUUUAUUGGUGUUGAAGUUAAUUAUCUCAUUAAUAAUAGUAUAAAAGGUUAAUUAUUAAGAAACACAUAGCUGUAGUUAAUUGGUGUCAUAUUAUUGGAAUUCUGGGAUAUAAUUUUAUAUAAUAACUUUGUGAGUAUAUAAUUACUCAUUAAAUUAACAAACUUAUUUUAAAAUAUUUAGUUGGAAAAAAUAAAUUACAUUCUUUUUAUUUCAAAUAAUCUAUAAAUUAACUCAAAACAUAAUCAAGUUGAGAAUUAAAAUAAUGCUACUGUAUGAGAGGAUUUUUAUUUUUUCCCGAAGUUUCACUCGGAAAUUAUUGUUAUAUAGCUUUAUAUGCGAUCAUCCUCAGUUCAAACGACAAAUAAAUGAAAGACUAAGCUAAAUAGACCAGCCAACAACUUUGUAAAAUAGAGUUCGAAAAUUAAAUUAAGGUCAUGGUAGUGUUAUGUCUUGAAAAGUACAACGUAGUACUAAAAUAAAAACUAUUAGUCUUUGGUAAGAUAAUGACAUUUAAAUAAUAAUUUUCACAAAAAUACAAAGAAUAUUUAUAAAGUACUUCUAUAGUGAGGAGGCCCUCACUUUGUGAAAGUGAAAAUGUCGAUAAUAUACAAAAGCCAUAUAUUUUAACACAUUAAAAAUUGUAUUUUUUAUCUAUUGGUGUAUUAAAAUAUGUGUUACUUAGUUUGUUAGUGAUAUCAUCACUUUGUUAAAAUGAGGAUAUCGUCGCUAGAGAAUCAUUAUAUAUACAUAUCUAUAAAGUGCUUCUCUCCAAGACCUAGACUUUAUUAGAAUUUAAGAAAGCAAAUAUAUUUUAAAUGGUAUAAUAGUGUAAUAACAUCACACUAUUAUAUCAUAUAGAGUAAAAGUUUUUCGAACUUUAAUAAAGUUCAAGAUUAUAGAAUGAAUGAUUUAUAUAUAUAUAUUAUACAUUUUUUAUCAUAAAGUGGAGGACAAAAUUAACAUAUUUUUCAAAUUAUAAUAAGUAUUUAUCAAUAAUUUAACAUCAUAAUUUCUCCUAACUAGUAUAGUAAAUACAACCUAGGAGGUACAUUCAAAGCAUUUCAUAGGUUAGUUGUUCGCUCCAAAUUCAAUCACAGACAAGGAGCCUUUUUUGAGAAUAUUAAGCAUCAUCUUCAAAUGAAUUUUCAUGGCAAAGGUUUCAGGUCCAAAUUGUUGUUCCAGAUUAGUCCAAAGCUCAUGUGAGGUUUGAGAGUUUACCACAAGACUAAGGAUCUCGAUACUGAUGGAUGACAUUAACCAGCUCAACAACAAUUGAUCCUUUCUCUUCCAUGAAGUGAAUGCUAGAUUGAUCUGUGCUUUAGCUGUUGAAUCUUCAAUUUCAGUAAAAAGAAACUGAUUAGGACAUAGUUUUGAUCCAUCAAGUAGAUCUUCUAGUCCAUUGGCACGGACUUAAGACAAGAUUUGUAAUUUUCAGAUCAUUUAAUUCGACCGAUCCAGUUUGAUUGGUGAAGUGAAAGUAAACGAGGAAACAAAGAAGUUUGUAUUCUGAUUUGAGCUUGACGAAGCCAUUAGAAUUGAUAACUCAGGCUCUGAUACCAAGUUAAAGAUUCUAAUAUGUUUGGUAAGUAAGAAAAUGAGAGAAAAUGAAAGAAAGAACAGAGAUCAUCUAAGAGCUGGAUUUGAUGAAUAAACUUGAAUCAUACAUUCUUUAGCUGAUUACAAAUGUAUUUAUGCAAAAUUCCUGAACAUUUCAGAUUGUAUAUGCUUGACCUAAGCACCUGAGAGUUGAGCAGUGUGGACUGACAAACUGAUCACAAAAUAAGUAACUUAUGCCAGCUCAGCUAACACGUCAGUAACUCUAACUAUCUUGCUUAACAAACUGAAACAAUAACUAACCAUUUUAACUAUCUUAACAAUGCCAAUAAUUUCUUCAUUUGCGUAUUUCUUGAAUCAUAAUCAAAUGGGUAAAUUUUUCAACUAUUCUUUUAGAUAUUUUCACUUUGGGCUAUAAGGCCGGGGAAGUACGGGGGUCUGAGUUACUCAACUGAAAAUGUCGGCCAAGUUCUUGCCAUCUCAGGUGCAAAACUGAUACUUGUGUUCCCCAUUUAUACUUAUUACGAAACUGAUACUCGUUCCUCUUAACUUGUUUUCUCAUGCAUCAACUGUUGAGAAAAUGUGCUCUUUAAAAGCAUAUGUGUUUAUUUAAUUGUAAUGAAAAAAUGUGCUCUUUAAAACCAUAUGUGUUUAUUUAAUUGUAAUAAAUAUUUUUUCUGAUUAAUAAAAUAUAUGAGGUAUUUUAUUCAAGUAUAUUAAUUGCAUUGAUAUUUUGAGUAAAGUCCAUUUAAUCAUAUUAUAUGUAUUUAUGUGAUCACUAUGUGGAUUCACAAAAGACAUAAAUACAAGUUAUCUUAUGAUUAAAUAAAUUAUGUUCGCAGUUGAUAAAUAAAGUUGGACACUUUAUUUAGGUAUAGACUGUAAUAAAUUCAUUGAAUGAUUUGUCUUAAUCAUGUAUGAAUUUAUUGAUGUAGUGCGAUUACAUUGAAUAGGAUCACAUAUGAGAUUUAAUUAACUUUGUAAUAACUGUCAGACUUAUUAAAUCUCAUAGGCAUUGAUUUUACUGUAAUCUUAAUCUUGAGUUAGUUAUGAUUCCAUUAUUGUAAUUGUUAUUUCAUUUGAGUUACCAAUGGGCAUGACACAUACUUGUAUUCAAGAUUACCAGGUAUCUUGGUGAGAGCAAUUAUGAGUAUUGGAGUUAUAGAUUAACAAUAUAGAAUUUGUACAAUACAUCUCUUGAUGGGUUUUCGGUACUUGAUCAUAGAAUUCUCUGGCCAGAUUGUGUCGACAUAUUUAAUAUGUUGAAAAUGAUCAUUAGAGAAAAACCAGUAAGUAUCAAGGAACAAGAUGUAAUUAAAUUGAUUGGACAGUUGAGAUAUCGAUUUAAUUAAUGAUGUGGUACAAAUGAUUGAGCAGUCAAGAAAUCAUUGUGGUUUGGGACGAAUUAUUAUUCGAACAUACAAUUAGUGUGCGACCAGCAUUGGCCAGCGACAUGCGCUGCAUGCGCAGCGAGCUGCGCAGUCGAGUUUGGUUUGCUUUCGGUGAGGCGGCAGUGGUUAGCUCGGCAUCGGAGAUUGGUGGCAACUUUGAACAGCGGUUGAAGUUUGCGUUGAUGGCGGCUGGAGAAGAAGGGGAGAGAAAUAUAUGGAUUUAAGGCUUUAAUGGUUUUUAUCGUUGAGGUCUCUACGGUUUUACAAUUUUUCUUUCGGUCAGAUAAGGUUUAAUUUUUGCAUUUAAGUCCAACAACAGUUUUGGGCUUAAUGAAUCAUAAUUUUAGGCCCAAUUGAAAUUGGGUUUAAUGGAUUAAAAUGCAUAGAUAAAAUUGAAUAAAUUAAAUUUAUUUUUGGUCCAAACGUUUUAUUUAAAAAAGUUUAUUUAUUUAUUUAUUUCCUUUCAAAAUUAAAAUUGGACCAAUAAUAAAUUUAAAAGCCCAACUUCCUCUAGUCCAUUAACAAAGACAAGCCUAUGGAAGAUGGACAUUGACAAGAAGCCCAAUGAAGAUUAGGCUUAGGGUUAAUGUAUUUUUUUUAAUUUUAGGAAAGCCAUGAAUUCAGAUUAUUUAAUUAUUUUUCUAUAUGUUAUAUUUUGGAUGAUAACAUGCCAUGAUAACACGUCAUAUAGAAUAGGUAGUGCCACUCUAUGCAUAAUGAUACAUGAUGUUCAUUAAUUAUGAAUCUCAUUAUAUUGUUUGAAAAUUGAAUAUGCUUAAUAAUAUUGAAUAUCAUCUAGAUAAUAUUAUAGGAAGCAUGCAAUUAAAAAUAUUAUUUAUGUAUGUUUUAAAAAAAAACCAAUUUUUAAAUAUUGAGUGGGAGAGGGAAAAUUCAAGAUAAUUUUUCCCACGGGCUCCAUUGUUAGUUCAAUAAUAAAAUUAUAUAUAUACCUCGACUUCAUGAUACGGUGAUGCUCCCUUCGAAGGGUAUAUAUAUUAGAUAUUUUAUUUGAUGAACUUCUUCAAAGAUAAAAUUGAAAUAUUUUUCAAUCGAUUGUUCACCCCAACAGUGACUAUUGAUAUGAAAAAUACUUAGAUUGAAACAAUGGUUAUACACUCAACUAAAAUUUGUUAUUAACCUUCCCAACGAAGCUCUGUUAACAAAUUUAGGCCCAAAAGGAUAACAAUAAUUAUUUAUCAUGUCUCUACAUGAAAGUAAAUAAUCCAAUGGAUAAUUGGGUCUAGUAAGUGUAGACAUGACUUCCCCAACGGAUAGCUUGUCAAAGCGGUCCUAGAUUAUCGUUACAAUAAAUAAAAAUGCAGUUAUGGUUUUUUGCAUUUUUGUUAUUUAUUGUGAAUAUUAUAUCAAAUUAUUUAUGCAUGGAUGUUUUAUUUUUCAAAAAAAUGUCUUCCCUGAGCUCACUUACUAUUAUUCUGAGUCAAAACAAACUCACUGGAGAGAACUAUAUAGAUUGGAAAAAAAAAUAUAUUCAUUGUCCUGACUGCUGAAAAUUAUAAAUAUGUCUUAACCCAGCCAUGCCCUCUAGUUCCAGUGGAUGAUGCUCAUAGAAAUUAGAGGAGGCUUUAUGAGAAAUGGCAAAAGGCCAAUGAAAUGGCAAAAUGCUACAUUUUAGCCUCGAUUUCUAAUAUUUUGCAGACCAAACAUCAGAACUUGGAGACUUCCACUGAAAUAAUGGAUAGUCUCCAAGAGAUGUUCGGGCGGAAUACUCGCUCCGCGAGACAAGCAGCGCUGAAAGGCAUUAUGAACUGCAAAAUGGGGAAGGGCACAAGAGUUCGUGAUCAUGUCCUCAAAAUAAUGGACUAUUUGAAUGAGGCUGAGAUUCAGGGAGCACAAAUCGAUGAUAACUCAAAGAUUGACAUGGUGCUAGAAUCUCUGCCAAAAAAAUUUAAGGAGUUUAAGGUUAAUUAUAACAUGAACAAAAGAAACAUGACCUUAACUGAAUUGAUGAACGAACUCCAUUCUGCUGAAGAGAUCUAUUGCACUGAGAAAUCUCUAGGAAGCAUAAAGAUUGCUAACAAGGUUCUUCUUCUAGGCCCAAGCCGAAAGGCAAGGGUAAGAAGAAAGCUGGGAAAAAGAAACCGUCUACCAAGCAAGAUGGCAAGCCGAAAGGCAAAUGCUUCAAGUGUGGACAGAAAGGUCACUGGAACAAGGAUUGCCCUAAGAUUGUGAAAUCAGGAAUGAGAAAUCUUUUUGUAAUUGAGGUCUGUUUAGUUCAGAAUCCUAUUGACACUUGGGUGUUGGAUUCAUGAGCAACUAAUCAUAUUUUUAAUUCACUUUAUUGGUUUUAGGAAACUAGGAAAAUAAGUGAAGGAAGCGUCAAGCUGCAGUUAGGGACAAGACAGUUCGUGACAGUAGUGAAGACUGUAUCUAUUUUAUUAUCUUUUAAUAAUGAGAAUUUAGUUUUGAAUAUUUGUCUUUAUGUUCCAGACAUUAAGUGGAAUUUAAUUUCAAUAGCUUGUUUGUCAAAACAAGGGUACACUGUAAAUUUUGGAUCCUUUGUUUUUAUUUUUUAUAAUAAGAGACUUAUUUGUUCUGGAACAUGGGAAGAUAAUUUAUAUCAUUUAAGUCCUAUGAUCCAUUCUAUGCAUGACACAGUGAUCAAUAAUGAUGAGCAUACACAUUUAUCUAAGAAAAGAAAUAUUUCUUCCAACUAAUGUUACCUCUGGCAUUUGCGCUUGGGUCAUAUAAAGCAAAAUAGGAUACAGAGAAUGAUCAAAGAUGGGCUCUUGGGUCUAUUGGAAAAUGAAUCAUUGCCACUUUGUGAAUCCUGUUUAGAAGGGAAAAUGACCAAAAGACCGUUCUCGGCCAAAGGAGUGCAUGCAAUAGUACCACUUGAAUUGGUACAUACAGAUGUAUGUGGACUAAUCAAUAUACAAGCUUGAGGAGGUUAUGAGUAUUUCAUCACUUUCAUUGAUGAUUACUCAAGAUACGGUUAUGUUUAUCUGAUGCGUCACAAGUCUAAAACUCUUGAGAAAUUCAAAGAGUAUAGGGCUGAGACAGAAAAGCAAUUAGGUAAGAACAUAAAGCAACUUCGAUCUGAUCGAGGUGGUGAAUUUCUUUCUGGAGAUUUCAAAGAGUAUCUGGUAAAAAAUGGGAUUAUAUCUUAGUUAACUGCCCCAAGAACACCACAACAAAAUGGGGUAGCAGAAAAGAGAAAUAAAACUCUUUUAGAUAUGGUGAGAUCUUUACUUAGUUAUUUGUCAUUACCAAUCUCUUUUUGGGGACUAGCACUGGAAACUGCAGUUUACCUCUUGAACUUAGUUCCAUCUAAGUCAGUGCCUAAAACUGCAAUAGAAUUAUGGUAAGGUCACAAACCAAGUUUACGACAUGUCCAUAUUUGGGGAUCACCAACACAUGUGCUGAAACCAAAAGCAGAAAAAAUGGAUUCACGUUUUGAGGUUUGUAUGUUUGUGGGGUAUCUCAAAGGAACAAUAAGAGGUUUAUUUUAUAGUCCUUAAUAUAGAAAAGUGAUUGUGAGCACACAUUUCACUUCCCUCGAGGAAGACUAUAUGAAUAACUUCAAACCUAAGAGUAAGGUAAUACUUGAAGUACUGUCAGGUGAUCAGGUCUUUCAACACCUGUUAUAGAACAAGAAGAAGAACAACAACUAGCUGAUCAACACAGGAUUAUCCCUAAACAACCAUCACUUUUAGAACCUCGUCGUAGUGGGAGGGUAAGUAGGUUACCUGCGAGAUACAUGUUAUUGGGAGAAACUUAUACGACUAUCUCAGAUGAACAUGUACAAGAUCCCACUGGCUACAACGAAGCUCUAAUAAACAGAGAUGUUGAAUUCUGGAAAAAGGCCAUAAAUCAAGAAAUGGAAUCUAUGUAUUCCAAUAAAGUCUGGGAACUUGUAGAGGCACCAAAUGAGGUAAAACCUAUAGGGUGCAAGUGGAUCUAUAAGAGAAAAAGGGGAGUAGACGGAAGGGUGGAAACAUUCAAAGUAAGAUUAGUAGCCAAAGGUUUUACUCAGAAAGAGGGAAUCGAUUAUGAGGAAACAUUUUCUCCGAUUGCUAUGCUUAAAUCCAUUAGGAUUCUACUCCCUAUUGCUGCAGUACUAGAUUAUGAAAUUUGGCAAAUGGAUGUUAAGAUUGCCUUUCUUAACGGGCAUCUUGAAGAAGACAUCUACAUGCAGCAACUAGAUGGAUUCAUACAAAAAGGCCAAGAACACAUGGUAUACAAGUUGCAGAGAUCUAUUUAUGGAUUGAAGCAAGCAUCCCGGUCAUGGAACGCCAGAUUUGAUCAAGCGAUUAAAUCGUUUGGAUUCAUUCAGAACAUUGAUGAACCAUGUGUGUACAAGAAAAUUCAGGAAAAAUCUGUAGCCUUCCUAAUUCUUUAUGUAGAGGAUAUUCUCCUAAUUGGAAACGAUAUAGGAGUAUUGACUACAAUAAAAAGUUGGUUAGCAAAAUAAUUUGAUAUGAAAGACCUGGUAGAGGCAAGUUAUAUUCUUGGUAUCAAGUUACUAUGAGACAGGAAGAUUAAAACUUUAGCCUUGUCUCAAGCGGUCUUUAUCGAUAAAAUAUUGGCUAGAUUUAGCAUGGAAAAUUCCAAGACUGGUUUAUUACCAUUCAGACAUGAAAUUACAUUCUCUAAGGAUCAAUCAGCUAAAACAUAUGAAGAGAUAGAGAAAAUGAGACGAGUUCCGUGUGCAGAAGUUGUGGGAAGUCUCAUGUAUGCCGUGCUUUGCACUAGACCAGACAUCUGUUUUGCGGUAGGGAUGGUUAGCAAAUAUCAAUGUAAUCCUAGACCUGAACACUUGACUGCGGUCAAGCAUAUAAUAAAGUAUCUGAAAAGAACUAAAAAUUAUAUGCUUGUGUAUUCUGGUGAUGAACUCAUUCCAGUGAGUUAUACAGAUUCUGACUUUCUGUUAGAUAAGGAUUUCAGAAAAUCAACUUCUGGCUAUGUGUUUACAUUAGGAAGUGGAGCUAUUAGUUGGAGGAGUGUGAAACAAUCUUGUAUCGCAGACUCCACAACUGAAGCUGAAUAUGUGGCUGCAUCUGAAGCUGUAUGGCUCCACAAGUUCCUAUAAGAUCUUGAGGUGGUACCUGCUGUAACUGCACCCCUUAAACUAUUUUAUGAUAAUAGUGGUGUGGUAGCUCAAUCUAAGGAACCACAAGAAACAAAAACAUAUUGAGAGGAAGUAUCAUCUCAUAAGGGAUAUAGUGCAGAGAGGUGAUGUGGAGGUUACUCAGAUUGCGUCACAGCAAAACUUGGCAGAUCCUUUUACUAAGGCCAUACCUGGGAAACCUUUUAACUUGCACUUAGAAUCCAUGAGCAUGCGUGAGAUGCCAAAUAUGCUUUGAGAGUUAGUGGGAGAUUGUUGGGAAAAUGUGCUCUUUAAAAGCAUAUGUGUUAAUUUAAUUGUAAUAAAUAAUUUUUCUAAUUAAUAAAAUAUAUGAGGUAUUUUAUUCAAGUAUUUUAAUUGCAUUGAUAUUUUGAGUAAAGUCCAUUCAAUCCUAUUAUAUGUAUUUAUGUGAUCACUAUGUGGAUUCACAAAAGACAUAAAUACAAGUUAUCUUAUGAUUAAAUAAAUUAUGUUCGCAGUUGAUAAAUAAAGUUGGGCACUUUAUUUAGGUAUAGACUGUAAUAAAUUCAUUGAAUGAUUUGUCUUAAUCAUGUAUGAAUUUAUUGAUGUAGUGCGACUACAUUGAAUAGGUUUGGGACUACAUUGAUGUAGUCAAGAUUACCAGGUAUCUUGGUGAGAGCAAUUAUGAGUAUUGGAGUUAUAGAUUAACAAUAUAGAAUUUGUACAACACAUCUCUUGAUGGGUUUUCGGUACUUGAUCAUAGAAUUCUCUGGCCAGAUUAUGUCGACAUAUUUAAUAUGUUGAAAAUGAUCAUUAGAGAAAACCAGUAAGUAUCAAGGAAUAAGAUGUAAUUAAAUUGAUUGGACAGUUGAGAUAUCGAUUUAAUUAAUGAUGUGGUACAAAUGAUUGAGCAGUCAAGAAAUCAUUGUGGUUUGGGACGAAUUAUUAUUCGAACAUACAAUUAUGGAGGUUAGUUCCAAUCUUAUAGUGGGGUAGAGUUGGAAUUAAAUGAUUAGGCUUAUUUAACUACAAGCUUAAUUGUUGUAGCCACUAUUGUAUGUUCCAAAAUGAUCCCCGGGUUAGCUCAUUUAAUUGACUGCACCACUACUGGAUUAAUAAGCAAGAUAACUAGCUAUUUGGGUCAAAAGGCUAAAUAUAUCAUUUAGUGGGAGGCUCCAUUUAAUAUGCUUGUGUGUAAGGGACCUUAUGUUAUUUUACAAGGUGGACCCCCUAUAGAAAAAGCAAGUACCGUGGCUUUUGGUUUUUAUUAUUUGGAGCUAAGGAUUUUCACUAAAUGGAAAUAUAAAAAGGCUUAUUUUCUCUAAAGAAAAGAGAUAGAGCCACAUUAUACAGACCAAGAGAAAAAUAAUUUCUCUCUAAUUUUGAGAAAAAAUUUCUCCUGCUAGUUGCUUUUAGUGGUGAUAAAGGUGCCCACACGUUAAGUGCAGAUCAAACUUGAGUUAUAGCCUGGAAGGUUAUUUGAUGGCGGAUCGUGAUCUAAAAGGAGUGGUGGUGACGGAUCGUGAUCUGGGAGCCUAAAUCACUUCAGCGGAAAAAGCAAAAAUUGUUCAUCUUCUCGGAUUGUCAAGGUAUGAUUUUCUAGAUUAUGAAUUCCUAUAUAUUUUAUGAGAUUGGUCCUAAAAGUUUUUUAAAAAAAAUUUAAAAAACUGAUUUUUCCCCAACAUCAACCCCACAAAACUGCUUAUUGAUUGUCCUCAUUUUGAACUUACUAUAGGAUUCACCCUCCUUGUUUUACAACUUACUUUAUACCCUUACGUUGAGAGGAAGAUCAGGCCAAUAAUCAUAACACGCAUUGCAGGGGUAAAAUUUCGAACACACCAUGUGGCAUUUAGACCAUUUGAUAGUUUGUUUCAUACAUAUUUGUUUAUAAAAUACUUUUCUUCAUGGAUUUGGUGACGUAAUUUUCUAUGUAUGUACAGGUUUUAUCGAUACGUCUUUUGACAAGUUACACUUACAUAGCAAUGUUAUCUGUGUUCAGCCUUGCCUUAUUGAUACCUUAUUGAUAAACUGUGCUUCUGUGAUGAAGAAUGUUUUCUCUGUCAGUGGAUAUCCUAAUCAUUGAUCCAUAUACUUAGGUUAUAUUACCCAUUAGGAAGUAUGUAUAAAAAUUAUUUUAUAUCUUCUUUAUUAGAAAUGUUGUAAUUCUUUAUUACUUUUCCUGAAUUAUAACAUCAGAUGUCUAUAAUAACUGGAUUAUUCCUUCUGCAAAACAGAGCAGUGGUAAAUAUUUUUUUUCUUUUGUUUGUUUAGCACAUUUCCAUGAUUUCAGCUUUUUCAAAUUUUGUAUGUGUCAAAGUUUAAAUUUAAUUUGUUGGUUUAUCGUACAAUAACAGGAACAGCAUCAAAGAGGAGCUGCCAAUGGACUUGCUAUGACUGUAGUGUCGCUUACCAAAACUGCCGGUCCAGCUGUAGGAGGUGCUCUGUGAGUGUCCUAUUGAUUUUGUAAAAUUAUAUGUAAAUAAUGUUAUAAUUGUUUUUUCAUUAAUUGGGGUUCUGGCAGAUUUUCUUGGUCACAAAAGCGUCAAGAUGCUGGUUUCCUCCCAGGUAUGAUGAUUUACUGAUGAAAUUUCUGACGAGUUUGUGAAUUACUUUGUCCUAAUUAGCUUAGUUAGCUGCUUAAACUAAAGUGCAGGUAACCAGAUGAUUUUUUUCAUUCUGAAUUUGGUCGAGGCACUAGGAGUAAUAUUGACAUUCAAACCAUUUCUAACUCAACGUGUCCCGUGAGUAGAGAAAAGAUGCAUCUGUUGAAAUAUUCAAAUAUAUGUCAAGCAAAUUAAAGCUUUCAAAAUCUAUCAACAAUUUGAUUAUUUGAUGUGGUUUUCCACUUGCCGUAUUUUGUUUUGCUGUUCUAAAGGCUUAAAUAUGAAAAUGGUGGUUGGCGCUCACACCAAUCGAUUGCUGUUAACAUUGUUCAGUACUUUUCUCUGUCGACAUUUAUACUUGUUCAUUGUCAGAACUACGACAAUUUAUCUUUACAAUGAUGCAAGCUAGAAAGAAUUUUUCAUGUUAAGUAAAAUAUUGAAGCCACAAAGAGUCUGAAUUAAGUACUAAGUUUUCUGCCAUGCUUUCAACGGCAGCACAUUUGUAGCUCUUAUUCCAGGGGCUCCACAGUAGAGAGACCUGAUUUCGACCUUCUUCAGAACUUGGGGAUUCCGUAAUAACAGAGGACAACAGUUAUAUAAGAAUAUUAUUUUGUACAAUUUUCGUAUAACCUGACCAAUGCAAGUAUAAUUUUAUGAUCUUAACUCAUAUCAAAAGACCUUCAAUGAUGUAAAAUUUGCACAUAAAGAUGAGAACCAAACAUUAGAACUUAUGAUGAAACGGAAACAAAAACAUUGAGAUUGAAAAGAUAGAGAAACACAAGCUUUUUAAAAGGAAUAAAUGUUCAUUUAGUCUCUAUAUUUUGACUUAAGAGCGCAUUUAGUUCUUAUAUUUUAAAAAGUGCCUCAACCUCGAGUAGGGCUGGCAAAAAUCCCCACGGCGACGGGUACCCUUGGGGAUUUUCCCUAUUCGGGGAGGGUAUGGGGAUAAUUUCAUACCCAAUUUCUUAUUCAGGGAAGGAACGGGGAAAUUUUUUUACCCAAUUUCUUAUUUGGGGAGGGGACGGGGAUGAGGUGGAAUCCCCAUCCCCUACCCAUUUCCCCAUUUUAAUUUUUUAUUUUAUUUUUAUUUUUUAAAAUUACUAGUAAAUAAAUUAUAAAAUUUGAAUUAUAAAAUUAUAAAUAUUGGUAAAAAUAACAAAUAUCAAAAUAUUUAUAUUAUUAAACUUUUAGGCCUAAUUAACAAAUUAAAGUCCUAAAUUUUUAUUUAGGACAUUAAAAAGACCGGAUAUAUUCUAUUAGCCCAAAAAUUUUGUUUUAAUUUUAAUAUUCAUUAAAUAUUUUAAACUUAAAUCUAUUUAUUUAUUUAUUUUUAGAUGUUAUAAUUGCCCACAGCAAAUCACAAUUUUAAUAUCUAAUCUAAUCUAAUAUUUGCUCUUGAUUUGCUCGGACUUAACUAUUGUGCUGUAAAGGGAAUAGUCCACAUUUAUAAAGUGCCCACGCCACCAUUGAAAAAGUUAAUUUUGAAUCUAAAUUCGAUUUUAUCUGUAACAAUUUUGUAUUAGACUAUUAAUUUAUUCAUGAUAGUUUGUAUCCCUUGCAUGCUGCGUUACUUACUAAUUUAAUGUAUGUGACUUUUGUAAUAGAUAUUAAUGUAAGAUAUAUUUCGAACUUUACUUUUAUUUGAAUUUUUUUUAUUUUAAUAUGAUUAACUCAAAAUCGAAAAUAAAAAAAUGUAUUAGUUAUUCGGGGAUCGGGGAUCCUCUGUUAUUAUUCGGGGAGGGGAUGAGGAUUCUCUCAAGUAAUUCUGACGGGGACGGAGAGGGGAUGAGGACAUACGCAAAAUAUCGGGGAUGGGUACGGGGAGAUUGGUCCCCUCCCCUCCCCUCCCCUCCCCAUUGCCAUCCCUAACCUCAAGACACCCCUACUGUGUUGGAAUAAUAUUUUUGGGAAUAUCAAUGAAAAGAAAAAAAUGGUAAUUCAUCUAGCCAGCCUUAAACAAAAUAAAUAUUAAUAAAAACUUUUAUGUUAUUAUUUUAGUUUUAGGACUAAUUUCGUAAAUUAAAUUUUUUAUGCAUUUAUUAGUAAGAUUGCUUUAAGAAUAUUAAACAUUACUUUAAGAUGGCUGUUAUUAAUUUAUUUAUAAAGAAUUAUUAGCAAGAUUGUUGUAAAAGUACAAAAAAUACUGGUUAUUUCAUAUUGAUAUUUAUUGAUUAAUUUUCCAAUUAACUUUUUUAUAAAUAAAUAAAUUAAUUUAAGAAUAUUAUUGCCAAGAUAUUAUUGUAAAAGUAAAUAAAAUUUAAGGAAAAAUGUAACGUAUUUAAUAUCAAGGUAUAUUGAGGUAUUUUUUAAAAUAUAAAAACUAAACGAGCAUUGAAGUUAAAAUAUAGGUACCAGACGAGCAUUUUCUCUUUUAGAAAGUUUUAUAUUUUAUUAAUGAAAGUCUGAAUAACAAAAUUAAGGUUUUGGACUUCUUUUAAACUAAACUUAAAUAUCACAAAUUUACCAAAAUAAGUAAACCUAACAUAUUACUACAUAAUAACAUUCUCCUAACUGAAAUAAGAUAAAUGUUACUCAAAUUCUAUAUCUAGAAAAAAAAAGAUAAAAAUCCUGAAAACAAUAGGAAAAUAGAUCUUAAACUUGUAAAAUAAUAUGAAAUAAAUAUAAUUUUCAAUCGAACCACGAGACUAAUGCGGUGCUACAGUAUUAGAUUAGAUUCCCCUCGUCGCGAACUUCGAAAUGUAUAUUAUACACCCUAAAUAGAUACUUAUAGCUCAAGUUGUUACCCUAGAGAGAUACUCCACUCAUCCUACGCAACCAUCCGCUGCAUCAAAUUCGUUCCAAAAUUAAGAAUAAACCAGCUGAUGCAUUCCAAAUAAUUUAGAUGAAACGAUAAAAUAAACCUAGAGAUCAAAUAACAUGAAAUGAAAAAGAUAAUUACCUUGGACUGAAGCUCAUACAAAUUCAUUAUUUGACACCUGCAGCAAUUGUUGAAAUAAUAGUUAAUGAAAUAUAAAAUAAGACAAGUACAUAUUAAUGAAACACCACUGUGAAUCGAUAGCUAAGGACGGAGUAAAAUUUAAUUGUAAAUUAGGACAGUAGAGCAAGCAUCCAUAAACAUAACAUGAACGUAAUACAUCAAUUGAAAUAUCAUAGGAUAAAUUAGGACGUCAGAGAAAGAAAUAAGUAAAUAAAUCAGCAAAGGAAACAUGCAUAAACAAAUAAAAAAACAAAGACAAAAUAAGGAAGAGUUUGUGAUAAUUUUCUUCUAUGGUCAUUGAAGUCCAAAAACUAAUAAGGAUCGAGCAAUUGAACGGUUGCAAACUCAAUGGAACCUUAAAAAUGAACAGUGAAGGAAAAUGAAGAAAUCUGCAGGAAAUAAGGCGAUUGAGAGUGAAGAAUUAAUUACCACUGAGUAAAUGCGAAUGAAGAAUGGAGACAGAUCCUUCUUCGCCCCAUUGAAAAGUGAGAUUCAUAGAUUGUAUUGAAAUUGAGAGUUGAGAUCAAGAAGCGAUUCUUCUUCUCCGUAAUUUCCUUUUUCUUUUAAUGUUGUUAUUAUUAUUAUAUCUUUUUUGAUAUCUUUUUUGUUUUAAACGGUAUUGGCAUAUUCUAUUUAUUUAUGUUAAUUUUACAAUACCUCCCUUCAGAUUGCACAAAUUACAUAAAAAAAAAAAAAAGUGCUUUAUGUAUAAAACUUUCAAACAAAUUGGGCCAAAAUCUAACUUUACCAAGUUUAGAGUAAUUUUGGGCUCGACAUUCCAUUUCCGACAAACGAAUUUUCUUUAUCACCAAGGUAUGAUACUUUUCAUAUUUAUCCAACGGCUCGUCAAUGACAAUACCUUUGUAAAAAGUACUUAUUUUGAAUAGUAUAUUGUGGAAAUGUCUGGUCGGUAAUACAACUAUUUCUUAUAGUGUAAAAAUGAUACACUAAGCGUUCACAUUUUGAUGAGUAAAUUAAGGAUUUCAAGAUGAAGUACAUAAUUAGAUUAAUGCUAAGAAACUGAAGUUUGAUCGAUUGAAAAUGAAAAUAAUAAUGAAGGUAAUUAAGAAAAUGAACAAUAUAUGCAGAAGCGGUCCUUAUUAGGACUUCUAGAUUUUCUCUUGGGCUUUCCUUAUUAUUGUUAAAAAAUGAAACGAAGAACUUUGAGUUUAAAAAUCUGGCCCUGAUGCCUGGUAGCCCUCCAACAUAUGAAGCACCAGAUGUUUUGAUGAGAAAAUGACAAGACCAUUUAUCAAAUUUCUUGUGGAUAUAAAUACAUACACAUAGACGAGACCAACCUCCUCAAAUGAGAAUCAGAGUGAUUAAAAGACCUUGCAAUGAGACAAUGAUACACCAUCAAAUGUCAAAAUACAAUAGAAAUUCACGACAUAUAUAUAAUAAAAGACCUCUCAUUGAGUCAUAUAUAUUGAGAAAAAAAAAUGUUAUAAUACAUACACAGAGCUUAGUUAGAAUAAAAUGUCUUUGAACUUGCGAUGAUCAAACAAAGGAAACAGACAGGUUGUAACUCACACUAUCACAAGAAGAUCACGAAGAUGGAAAUGGGAACCCAUCAGAAUGGAAACUUUGAAUAGAGGAAAAAAGAAAAACGACCUUAUUCACAGAAGAAGAGUGACUUAAAUCUUCAUCAGUAUCCAGACAUUUUGCAAUCAUAGAGUAGAGAAAUUUUAACAGGAACAGCAGAGAAAAUAUUAUGAAUAUGCUAUAGACCAAUAUACUUGUUCAUAGCUGACGUUUGAUGGUUUAAGGAUUUGUUCUAGGAAUAAUGGGCUGAUUACUUUCUUUUUAUUUUUUUAUUUUUUAAUCCAAUGAAUGAUAUUCAGCUGUUAAUUAUGUGUUCAUAGGGAAGAACAUUUUCUAAGUACUUUCCUUGCCUUCUAACUUUCCGAAAAGCAAACCCAAUGAACAAACAGAGGACAAACUAAAAUAAAAGAACAGCAAUGAUGACAAUAAAUAAUUGGCAAAGAAAAAAAAGGAAAAAGUAUGCACGUUUUCAAGGAAUUAUAAAAUAUGAAGGCUUUUAAUGAAACUUAAUCAUAAAAAGUAUGCAAGGAAUUAUAAAAUUUUAGAAAACAAGGGGAGCUCUCAAAAAAAAAUGAAAAACUCAAAUUAAACUAGACUAAAAGACAUUCAAUUUUGCAAAAUCUGUCCAUAAAAGUCUGAAAGGAUCAUUAAAAUUGCAUUGCAAAUUUAACAGUAAACCGAGGGACCCAUUCUAAAUAAUUCAGAUGAAAUUGCGAAACAAGACAUGGGAUUAAAUAAAUGAAAUAAAAAUUAAUUACCAGUUGAGACUUUCUUCUAAAAAUUCGCAACUCCAAGUCAUAAGAAGCCUAUGAAAUUAGUCGUACUGCGUAGAGUAUGACGAUGACACCGCCAACAGUUGAAAGUAAAAUUCUUAUUCAUCAAUUUAAACUUACUUUAUAACAAAUAUCUUAUCUAUAUUGUAUUUAAGAAAUCAAAUUUUGUAAAAAUUUAUCAUGGGAGAUAGAGAGUAAUAUGUAUAUACGUACCUUCUCAGCAUGUAAUUGUUGUAUGGUUGUGUUUAGAUCAUUAUUAGCCCAGCGCCGUUGAUCCGCUGUCUCUCCAUAGCAGACGUUUACUCUUAGAGGCGUGAUUGAUUCUCCUGUAGUGAAAAUCUUCAUCUUGGGACAACCAAUCACCCACAAAUUUUGCAAAGAUGGCAAUUUGACGGUGUAAUUGGCAGAGCAGAAACAAUCUCUUCUUUUUCAACUCCAUCUUUGUCAUUUAUUACCACCUCUGUCAUUGCUCUGCAUCCAUAUAUUUCUAUUGCUACGAGUCGCACCAGAGUUUUUGCUGUGGAGGAUGUUACCAUGUGUAACAAUUUCUUGCAACCGAAAGCCACCACAGCUGUUAGGUUCUGAAAAGAUACCGAUGAUGAUGGCAAUAGAAUUAACAGACUUUGACAAUGAUAUGCUUUUAGAAUUUCAAGAUACUGAAAAAUGGGGCCAAGUUUGGAGUCUUGUUUGCACAGCUGCUUCAGAUGAUAGUGCCAGCGCAGCUCUAAUGUUUUUAUCAUUGCCAACUUUCCCGCAUGUUUCUCUAAGCUUCCUUCCUCCGAAAAUACCUCUUCGUGGAAUGAAAAUUGAAACAGUGAGAGCAUUUCAAGAUUGUGAAAUCUCUCAAGUACAUUCCAGAUUGGAAAACAAGCUGAGUUAUCUUCGGCAAUCUCUAGUUGUUUAAGACUGCCAAAAAGGUGUUGUGGGAAAUCGGCCUGCAAAAUCAUCUUCACGUCUUUUCCAUUCAAUGAUAGGUCCUUCAAGUUGGGUAAGAUCUGAUCAUCAUAAAUCAUAAUAACUAAUGAGGUCAAUUGAUGUUCUCUCAAAUGAUUUUGAGUAAUCCAAUCACAAGCAGUGACUUUAUAGUAUCUGUUUUAUAUUAAUUUUACCCCCCAAAAAAAAUUGAAUUAGUGAUAAAAUUCAUUAUAUGAUUUUUUUAUAUGUUAAUUUUAGAGGUAAAAAAGAAAUUAGGGAAAAAGAGUUGAUUUAUAUUUGCAUGAAAAUAUUUUAUUUCACAACAAUAAAUUAUUAAUUUAUUUUGUAAGUCGUUGUAUAAAGAAAAACUAAGGAUUCUUUACCUAAAAAAGUCCAUAUAAUUAUUAAUCUCCCACAUUGAUCCCUUAGUCAUGACUAGCAAAGAUUUUUAUGUAAUAAAAAUUUUCAAUUUAUUAAGUAUCAAUUUAUAAAUGUUUUGUUACAUUUUUCAAAGUCAAAAAUCGUCAAUGAGCUAUUGAAAAAAAUAUCUAGAAUAUGACUUCAUACCUUUUCCAACGGCAAUAAGGGCUGUUGUGCAGGAAUAUCAAGUUGAUUAUUCUCUUUAUUCUGCGAUAAAUCUGCAGCGAAUAUCUUUAAUUUGUCACAACGACACACUGCAAAAUUUUCUAGUGCUGGCCAUUCCGAAGUAUGCAUUCCUGGGUAUAAACAUCUAAGUUUUGGUAGACCUUGGAGAAUCAGAACGGUGAGCUGUGGAAAGACAAAAUAAGGGAUCACUUCAUCUGCUCUGUUUUCAGAAACGAUCUCCUGUAAAUCCUCACAGAAGCGUAUAUCUAAGUGCUGGAGCUGCUUGAGGUUUCCGAUCAUAGACGCUGAAAAUAUGAUUUAAUUAUUUUCCACGUAUGACAUCAAAAGAGAACGCAUGAUAGAAUAAAAUCUGUUAUAUAUAUAUAUAUAUAUAUGAAGAAAAUGUUAGCCUACUGUUGCGGACAGCCCAAUUCGCUAGCCCAAUUGCCCACAAUUUCGGGCUAGAGAGCCAACACAAGGCCAAGAGUGCUAGCUUGGCCCAAUUCCGGAAGGUUCUAGGCAACUCUAGCACAUGUGAACAUGUAAAUAUUCUAGAAUACUUUAUACAAUUCCAGCACAUGUAGAAUUCUCCAUAGAAUUCCAGCACAUGUAAAUAGCUAGGAAAUGGUAGAAUUCUCUAGAAUCUCUAGAGCUUGGCAAGCCUCCCCUAUAAAUAUGGGAUGACAUUAGGCAUUUGUAUCCAACAAGCAUUGUAAGCAACUCAAGCAUUGUAUUAUCUCUUUGUGCAAUACAAGUUUUCUUCUAUUGGCUCAAUUGCUCUCUCUCUCUUCUCUAGUUCGAGAAGCUCUAGGCUUACUUAGCAACAUUCGGCAAAGUUGUCUAAGUGCCGCACGGGUUAGCUGCGCAAAACACUCAUCCCGUGACAAGUGGUAUCAGAGUUAAGGUUUGCACGCACGCAAAUUAGCUCACGAGCAAUGGCCAACCCUUCGAAUCCAGCACAAGAGGGUGUUGUUGGUGUGGAUGUUCCACCGGAACCAAGCCGCGGCCGAGAGGGAGAACGCGCCCAAGGCAAGACUCGCGGCAAGUCCAAGGUCCCAUCCGUGGAUGCGUUGGAGCCUUGUGUGACUACUCUCGAAAUCGCAUUGUCCGCCGCUCAAGAUAGCCUCGAAGGAUUGGAGGAAAGAGUGGAUGGUCUCGAGGGGGAAUACGUCGAGUUCACGGUGGCCACAAAAGCUCUCAUCCAAGAGCAAGCGAACACUCUCAGAGGUGAGUUUCGUUCUUUCCAUGAUGAGUUGCUAAAACUUCGUAGUUUUGUUCAGGACGAACUACGCAAUGUCCGUGCGGAAGUGGAUGAAGUCCGCUCGGAUUGGGCAUGGCACAAGCGCACACUCUCCUCAAGUCCAGCUUCCGCAAACUCGAGUGAUGCGCGCUGCAUUGACGUGCCAAAGCCCGACACUUACGAUGGCACACGCAACGCCACAAUCGUGGACAAUUUUCUCUUUGGGCUUGAUCAAUACUUCGAUGCCAUGGGUGUCCGAGACGAGGCAUCGAAAGUGGGCACUGCACCCACCUAUCUUAGAGGCACUGCACAACUAUGGUGGCGUCACAAGCAUGGCGAGAUGGGCAAGGGCAUUUGCACCAUCGACACUUGGGCCGACUUCAAGCAAGAACUCCGAAAGCAGUUCGCCCCAAGCAAUGCGGAGAAGGAAGCGCGAGCGCGCUUACGUCGCCUCAAGCAAUCGAGUAGCAUUCAGGACUACAUCAACGAGUUCACUACCCUUAUGUUGGAGAUAAGCGACAUGUCCGACAAGGAUUCACUCUUCUACUUCCAAGAUGGCCUCAAGGAUUGGGCCAAGACCGAGCUUGAUAGGCGUGGUGUUCAAACACUUGACGACGCCAUUGCCGUUGCGGAGUCACUCACCGAGUACUCUACCCAAUCCAAGGACAAAAAGGCCAACCAAGGCAAAGGUGGGGGAGAGAGUCGCAAGGACAAGGGCAACAACCGCAAAGAUUGGGGGCAGAAAAAGCCGCCUAGCAACAAGAGCGGGCAAGGAAAAUCGGAGGGCAAGAAGGAAGUGCCAAAGCCGCGAAGCCCAUGCUUCAUAUGCAAUGGUCCUCAUUGGGUACGCGACUGUCCGGAGAAAAGGUCACUCAACGCUCUUGCUGCCCAACUCAAGAGCAACCCCACAAUGUCCGCGGAGGAACCCCAACUCAGCAUGGGUUCUCUCCAACGCCUCGGCGCACUCAAUCGCCAACAGCCCGCACUCGUCAAGAAAGGGCUCAUGUAUGUAAGCGCAAAGGUAAACGGUCAAUCCGUUCACGCGCUGCUAGACACGGGAGCGACGCACAACUUCGUGUCCAUAGACGAGGCCAAGCGCUUAGGCCUCAAGGCCACCAAGGAAGGAGGCACAAUGAAAGCGGUAAACUCACCCGCCAAGCCAAUUGCGGGGAUCGCACAAGGCGUGCACAUCACACUCGGUACGUGGAGCGGAAAGCUUGACUUCUCUAUUGUGCCCAUGGAGACUUCAAGAUGGUCCUCGGCAUGGAAUUCUUCGACCAAGUCCAUGCCUUCCCGCUGCCCGCUACAAACUCCCUAAGUAUCCUCGAUGGGAGCAAAGCAUGCAUGGUACCCACAGAGCGAGGCAAGUCCGAGGAGAAGACACUCUCCGCCAUGCAAUUCAAAAGGGCUUUCAAGAAGGACCCAAGCUUCUUGGUCUCCAUUCGGGAACUAAACGAGGAAGGAAAUAGCGGAACUUCGCCAAGCCAAGUCCCUCCGCGAGUUCAAGCCGUCCUCAAUGAGUACAAGGAUGUGAUGCCUCCAGAACUUCCGAAGAAGCUCCCACCUUGACGAGAGGUAGACCAUGCGAUCGAGCUGGAAUAAGGCGCGAAGCCACCAGCCUUGGAGCCCUAUCGCAUGGCGACCCCCGAAUUAGAGGAGUUGCGGAGACAACUCAAAGACUUGCUGGACGCAGGCUACAUUCGCCCCUCAAAGGCCCCAUUCGGUGCACCGGUCCUCUUCCAAAAGAAAAAGGAUGGAUCGCUACGGAUGUGCAUCGACUAUAGAGCACUCAACAAGAUCACCAUCAAGAACAAGUAUCUGAUUCCCUUGAUCGCGGACUUGUUCGACCAGCUUGGCAAAGCACGGUACUUCACCAAACUUGACUUGCGCUCCGGGUACUACCAAGUGCGCAUUGCCAAGGGAGACGAACCGAAGACAACAUGCACAACAAGGUAUGGGUCUUUCGAAUUCCUUGUAAUGCCUUUUGGCCUUACUAAUGCACCCACCACAUUUUGCACGCUCAUGAACAAGGUACUCCAACCAUUCCUCGAGCGCUUCGUGGUCGUGUACUUGGAUGACAUAGUGGUGUAUAGCACCACGCUCGAGGAUCAUGCCCAACACUUGCGACAAGUCCUCCAAGUACUUCGAGACAAUGAGCUCUUCCUCAAACUAGAGAAGUGCUCGUUUGCCCAACAAGAGGUGGAGUUCCUUGGCCACAAGAUUGCGGGCGGGAAGAUCAUGAUGGAGAAUGCUAAAGUAAAGGCCAUCCUCGAUUGGGAGCCUCCCUCGAAAGUGCCCGAGCUUCGCUCAUUCCUUGGGCUGGUGAACUACUACCGCCGCUUCAUUAAGGGCUAUUAAGCUAAGGCGGCACCCUUGACGGAUAUGCUCAAGAAAAACAGAACGUGGCAUUGGUCCGAAGAGUGCCAACGCGCAUUCGAGGAGUUGAAAAAGGCAAUUUCGGAGGAACCAGUCCUCGCCCUUCCGGACCACACAAAGCCCUUCGAAGUGCAAACGGAUGCCUCGGAUUUCACCAUAGGAGGAGUCCUCAUGCAAGAAGGCCACCCUAUAGCGUUCGAGAGUCGAAACCUAAAUGAUACCGAACGCCGUUACACGAUGCAAGAAAAGGAGAUGACCGCAAUCAUACAUUGCUUACGGGUGUGGCGACAUUACUUGCUUGGCUCGCACUUCACAAUCAUGACGGACAACGUGGCGACAAGCUACUUUCAAACUCAGAAGAAGUUGAGUCCGAAGCAAGCGCGGUGGCAAGAUUUCCUUGCGAAAUUUGAUUAUCGGCUCGAGUACAAACCGGGUAAAGCCAAUGUCGUUGCGGACGCUCUAAGCCGCAAGGCAGAAUUAGCAACACUUAGCAUGAGCCAACUGAAGUCCGACCUUGUCUCACGCAUCAAGGAAGGCCUCCAACAAGAUCAGCUAGCAAAGGAUUUGCUGGAGAAGGUGCUCGAGGGAAAGACAAGGCGAUUUUGGCAAGAAGAAGGCAUCCUCCUCACCAAGGGAGAUCGGCUGUUCGUGCCAAGGUGGGGAAACUUGCGGAAGGAAGUAAUCAAGGAAUGCCACGACUCCAAGUGGGCUGGUCACCCAGGAAUCGAGCGCACCAUCGCACUAGUCCAAGCCUCGUAUUUUUGGCCGCACAUGAGGGACGACAUCGAGGCAUAUGGAUCAUCAACUUCCAGCGGGAUUAUUGGAGCCGCUACCACUAGCAACAAGGCCAUGGGAAAGUGUCUCCAUGGACUUCAUCACAUCGCUGCCUAAGUCCAAAGGUUGCGGAAGCAUCAUGGUCGUUGUCGACCGAUACAGCAAGUACGCCACAUUCAUUGCCGCACCAGUUGAUUGCAAAGCGGACGAGACAACCCGCUUAUUUGUCAAGCACAUUAUGAAGCUUUGGGGAGUUCCGAAGAGCAUUGUGACUGACCGAGACCCUCGGUUCACUGGACGCUUUUGGACGAAGCUCUUCAAGAUGUUGGGGACCGAUCUUAAGUUCUCAAUAAGCUUCCACCCACAAACGGAUGGGCAGACCGAGCGCAUUAAUGGCCUCCUCGAGAUGUACUUGAGGCAUUAUGUGAGCGCUCACCAGCGGGAUUGGGCGAAGCUACUCGACGUCGCCCAAUUUUCUUAUAACUUGCAGCGAAGUGAGGCUACAGGCAAGAGUCCAUUCGAGAUCAUCAUGGGAUUCCAGCCCAUGACCCCCAAUGCCAUAGCCUCGACUUACGGAGGGAAAAGCCCUGCGGCACACAAGCUCGCCCGCGAAUGGCAUGAGGAAGCGGACAUCACGCGAGCCUAUCUCGACAAAGCCGCGAGGAAAAUGAAGAAAUGGGUGGAUACAAGGAGACGGCAUGUUGAGUACAAGGAAGGUGAUCAAGUCAUGAUUAAGCUCCUACCCCAACAAUUCAAGACUUUGCGGAAAGUUCACAAGGGGUUAGUGAGGUGCUACGAGGGACCCUUCCGAGUUGUUCGACGUGUGGGAAACGUCUCGUAUCAACUCCAACUUCCGCCAAGACUCAAGAUCCAUCCGGUCUUCCAUGUGAGCCUUCUCAAGCCAUAUCACGAAGACAUGGGAGAACCAAGUAGCGGAGAAUCGAGGCGCGUGCCAACUGCCGUUGUCACUGCGUUCGACAAAGAUGUGGACUACAUCAUUGCGGACCGCACGGUUUCGAGGAGGGGCGUGCCAGCACAUAGCGAGUACUUGGUGAAGUGGAAAAACCUCCCCGAGAGCGAAGCCACUUGGGAACGUGAAGAUGAUUUGUGGCAAUUCGCUGAGCACAUCCAGAAUUUCAAGCACGAGAGCGCGACGAGGACGCCGCGAGCUUAGGUGGGGGAGGAUGUUGCGGACAGCCCAAUUCGCUAGCCCAAUUGCCCACAAUUUCGGGCUAGAGAGCCAACACAAGGCCAAGAGUGCUAGCUUGGCCCAAUUCCGGAAGGUUCUAGGCAACUCUAGCACAUGUGAACAUGUAAAUAUUCUAGAAUACUUUAUACAAUUCCAGCACAUGUAGAAUUCUCCAUAGAAUUCCAACACAUGUAAAUAGCUAGGAAAUGGUAGAAUUCUCUAGAAUCUCUAGAGCUUGGCAAGCCUCCCCUAUAAAUAUGGGAUGGCAUUAGGCAUUUGUAUCCAACAAGUAUUGUAAGCAACUCAAGCAUUGUAUUCUCUCUUUGUGCAAUACAAGUUUUCUUCUAUUGGCUCAAUUGCUCUCUCUCUCUUCUCUAGUUCGAGAAGCUCUAGGCUUACUUAGCAACAUUCGGCAAAGUUGUCUAAGUGCCGCACGGGUUAGCUGCGCAAAACACUUAUCCCGUGACACUACACACCUUCUCGUUGAAAAGCAGAGUUGAAGUAUCCUCUUGCGAUGAUGGUCUGUUUGGUGAUGCUAAAGGAGUCUUUACUUCACGGCAGAGAUUUAUGAUAUUUUACAAUCAUGUAUUUAGAUUUACUUUAAUUUUAUGUUUAAAGCUUCUACAAUGAAUAGCGUAGCUUGGGCUUUAGUUUCAUUUUCUAAUUAACUUGUUUUAGUUUAUCUUAUAUGCUCGCCAAGUGCUUGUUAUAUUGUCUGAUAAGUUAUAUAACAUUGCUGAUUCUAUAUUAGUAAUGUCAUGUUCCAUUUUCGGAAAUUAUAACACAAAAGUUUUUACAAUGGCUUGCAUCUACAAACUGAAUUGACUUGUAGAGUAAGAGCUUGGAUUAGUGUUAUGUUCUUGAAUAAAUGAAAGUUCAUAUUGUGUAAGAGCAUGUAGAUAUAAAGCAUCACUACCAUUUCUACAAACUGCUUUCAUUCUGUUCAGAUGCUCCUCUUGAACUUUGAAAGGUGCCUCAUUCAAGUCCUAGCUAUAACUACUAGCUCUGAUUGCUUAAGUUCCUGUGCUAGCUGAAACAGAUUUAUUUAAUUAAUUAAUUGUGUAUGUACUAAUUAUAUUGAAAGUAUAUGAAGAAAUUGUUUAACAUGAAUGACUUCUAAAUGACUUAAAAGCCUAAAGGAUAUGUGAAAUAAUGCUCAUUUCACUUGAACGAGCCUAUUAAUACUUGUAUGUCUAUGAUUGUCAAUCUUGCUUAAGUGUUUCAGUUAAGUGGUUUACCUAACAGGGAAAAAAAUUUAAUGGAAAACUUUAGAGUUCUAACAGAAAUAUAGUUGACUGCAGAUAUAGUUAUUUUACGGUACAUAAAUCAUGUUGUCCUAUUCUCAAUGUCCUACGACCUAUUUUAUUUUAUAUGGUCAUUCAUUUUUGCGAUGGUUUUUUGUGCUUAUGAGUAUGGAAAUAGUGGGAUUUAGAGUGGCAAACAAAAAUAUACAUAUAAUCAAGUUUCUUAAUCAUAUAUAUUGGUUUUGGGUAUGAAUGUUUUCCUAUUCUAGUUCUAAGCAAAGUUUCUUCAUUUUGGUCUUCAGAUUUCCAGUAGGUUAAGUUAAGCAACUAUCAUAACUAGCUAGCUAGUUAUUGCCUGCCUUGUCGCCAUUACCGACGCCAUUACAUUGCAUGGCAUAAGGAAUAGUAACUAGGUGAUUAUUGGUGAUUCGUUGAGUUUAUUAUUGGCCAAACAAACAUAUUGGCCUUUACCCACAACUUAGUUUGAUUAGUUAUUAGAUAAUAAAGAGCCUUAAUCUAUGCAUUGCUUUAUUAUUUUUAUUUGGUUUUUCUUUCAACAAUAUUGUUGAUUUCUUAUAAACAGUACUAGUAGUGAAAAAAUGAUGACAACAACAAAAAUAGAAAAUUACAAGACUGCUGAUAAAAUUUCAUUUGCAUGCAUGUCUGACAAAAUUUCCGUGAUUUAAUGUGCUUUCAUGAACGCAAGUCCUAACGUUUCUGUGAUCACAAAAUGAAACUGAAGAUAAAACAGAACAACUACCAAACCUUUCAAGCUUGACGAAGCCAUGAGAAUUGAUAGCUCAGGCUCUGAUACCAAGUAAAAGUUUCUAAUCUGUUUGGUAAGUAAGAAAAUGAGAGAAAAUGAAAGAAAGAACAUAGAUCAUCUAAGAGCUGGAUUUGAUAAGUAAAUAUGAAUCAUCCAUUCAUUAGCUGAUUGCAAAUGUAUUUAUACAAGUGAUGGUUGUCGAAGCCAACAAAAAUAAAUUCCUACUAUAAAUAAAUUGUGUAUAGUGAUUGAGCAGGGUCGUGUCCACAGAGAUCGGUAAUUAUUUAAAUCCUUUUGAAACGUAAAACGUAAAAUGGGGGAAUUGUUGACAAUAAUAAAAAUCAAAUUAAAAUAACAAGAAUACAAAUUAAAGUUGUAAUUCAAAUUGGAGAAAGCUCUGGUUGAAGGAAUUAACUCAGCUUGAUUCGACUACUGAUCAUUGAUUCAAAUAUAGAUUAUUAUUACUUAUGAAUAGACCGGUUAUAGCUACUGAGACCCUCUAAUAGCCAAUCUCUCCUUAACUAGUCGAUAACCAAGGUAUGACCGUUGGUUAUUUCCCUAAUCAAUAGACAACCCUAGAUACGAUCAUAGGAUUUAAUCAAUUGACAACCUGAAAGACCAGAGAGACCCAAAUCCUAAUCAACACAUACGAUGAUUCAUUUAAAUUAGAUUGUUUAUUCUCAUAACACAACUCACUGCUAUGUUAUUCGUCACAAACAUUAAAAGCUUCAUACGAUGAAUCCUUUAAUUAACAAUAGAUUAAGUUGAUAAUUAAAUAGUGGCCAAUUACCUAAUUAACAAACAUAAUCAUGAAAAUAAUUCAGAGAAUAAACAAAUACCCAAAAAGUAAUAAAACAAUUAAAGUAUAAAAUAGAUCUCACAGUAGUGAUGAAUCAAAACUUCAUUAUCCUUCAACCAGAAAAAUAAGUUUAGUUCUUCAUAGAGAGAAGAGAAAAGUUUAGAUCUAGGGUUUCUCUCUUUUUCUCCAAUCCCCAUUUUUCACAAUAGAUUCCUCCCUUAAAUACUCUCUCUCUCUUCUCUUUUAGAAUUCUAUUUAAAAUAAAAUACUAAUAUCUGAAAUAUUAAAUUCGUAAUUACAAAAAUAACCAAAAAUACAAAACACGUUAAACUAAAAACUGCAGGUCCGCAGUUGACAGCACGUGCCCACGCCUUAUCAACAAAGUUCUUCUGACGCUCAUAAUUUCUCCAAGAGAACAAUCAUCCUUAAACAUCAUCUUGUAACUCAAUUUUAUCACCAAUCAAUAGAAUUGCACCUACAAAAGUAAAACACAAGUAAAUCACUAUUAUUAAGUGCAAAACAUCGAUAUUAAGGGAAGUAAACAAUGCAAAACUAGUGCAUAAAUUGCACUCUAACAACAAGGUUCCUGAACAUUUCAGAUUCUAUAUGCUCGAGCUAAGCACCUGAGAGUUGAGCAGUGUGCACUAACAAACUGCUAACAAAAUAACUAACUCAUGCCAGCUCAGCUAACACGUCAGUAACUCUAACUAUCUUGCUUAACAAACUGAAACAAUAACUAACCAUUUUAACUAUCUUAACAAUCCCAAUAAUUUCUCCAUUUGUGUACUUUUUUGAAUCAUAAUCAAAUGGAUAAAUGUUGCAACUAUUUUUUUAGAUAUUUUCACUUUAGGAUGUCAGCCCGAGGAAGUACGGGGGUCUGAGUUAUUCAACUGAAAAUGUCGGCCAAGUUCUUGCCAUCUCAAGUGCAAAACUGAAAAUGUUACUCGUUCUUCUUAACUUGUUUUCUCAUGCAUCAACCCCACAAAACUGCUCAUUGAAGGGGUAAAAUUUUGAACACACCAUGUGGCAUUUAGACCAUUUGAUAGUUUGUUUCAAACAUAUUUGUUUAUAAAAUACUUUUCUUCAUGGAUUUGGUUACGUAAUUGUCUAUGUAUGUACAGGUUUUAUCGAUACCUCUUUUGACAAGUUACAUAGCAAUGUUAUCUGGGUUCAGCCGUGCCUUAUUGAUAAACUGUGCUUCUGUAAUGAAGAAUGUUUUAUCUGUAAGUGGAUAUCCUAAUCGUUGAUCCAUAUCCAUAAGCAAGUAUGUAUAAAAUUAUUUUAUGUCUUUUUUAUUAGAAAUGUUGUAAUUCUUUUUUACUCUUCCUGAAUUAUAACAGCAGGUGUCUAUAAUAACUGGAUUGUUCCUUCUGCAAAACAGAGCAGUGGUAAAUAUUUUUUUCUUUUGUUUGUCUAGUACAUUUCCAUGAUUUCAGCUUUUUCAAAUUUUGUAUGUGUCAAAGUUUAAAUUUAAUUUGUUGGUUUAUGGCAACAACAGGAACAGAAUCAAAGAGGAGCUGCCAAUGGACUGCUAUGACUGUAGAGUCGCUUACCAAAACUGCUGGUUCAGCUGUAGGAGGUGCUAUGUAGGCGUCCUAUUGAUUUUGUAAAAUUAUAUGUAAAUGAUGUCAUAAUUUUUAUUGUCUCCCCCACCCCCUCUCCCCAAAAAAAAAAAUAUUAAAAAAUUAAAAAAUUAAAAACUAAGGCGUGAUUAAAUUGAUCAUUUGUUUGGUAACAACUUGAUUAAUCGGGUUCUGGCAGAUUUUCUUGGUCACAAAAAGCGUCAAGAUGCUGGUUUCCUCCCAGGUAUGAUGAUUUACUAAUGAAAUUUAUCACUAGUAUGUGAAUUACUUGGUGCUAAUUAACUUAAUCAGCUGCUUAAAUUAAAGUGCAGGUAACCUUAUUUUUUUUUCUUUUUACAAUAAUACUCUUGGAAUAAUAUUUCUGGGAAUAUUAAUGAAAAAAUGGUAAUUCAUCCAGCCAGCCUUAAACAAAAUAAAUAUUAAUAAAAACUUUUAUGUUAUUAUUUUAGUUUUAGGACUAAUUUCGUAAAUUAAAUUUUUUUAUGCAUUUAUUAGUAAGAUUGCUUUAAGAAUAUUAAACAUUACUUUAAGUUGGCUGAUAUUAAUUUAUUUAUAAAUAAUAUUAGCAAGAUUGUUGUAAAAGUACAAAAAAUACUAGUUAUUUCAUAUUGAUAUUUAUUGAUUAAUUUGGCAAUUAACUUUUUUAUAAAUAAAUUAAUUAAUUUAAGAAUAUUAUUGCCAAGAAAUUAUUGUAAAAGUAAAUAAAAUUUAAGGAAAAAAUGCAACGUAUUUAAUAUCAAGGUAUAUUGAGGUAUUUUUCAAAAUAUAAAGACUAAACAAGCACUGAAGUUAAAAUACAGAUACCAAAUGAGCAUUUUCUCUCUUAGAAAAUUUUAUAUUUUAUUAAUGAAAGUCUGAAUAACAAAAUUAGGGUUUUGGACUCCUUUUAAACUAAGCCUAAAUAUCACGAAUUUACCAAUAUAGUAAACCUAAAAUAUUACUGCAUAAUAACAUUCUCCUAACUGAAAUAAGAUAAAUGCUACUUAAAUUCUAUAUCUAAAUGAAAAAAAGAUAAAAAUCUUGAAAACAAUAGGAAAAUAGAACUUAAACUUGUAAACUAAUAUGAAAUAAAUAGAAUUCUCAAUCGAACCACGAGGCUACUGUGGUGCUACAGUAUUAGAUUAGAUUUCCCUCAUUGCUAACUUCAAACUGGUAUAUUAUACACCCUAUAUAGGUACUUAUAGCUCAAGUUAUUACCUUAGAGAGAUACCCUACGCAUCCUACACAACCAUCCACUGCAUCAAAGUCGUUCCAAAACAGUAGUUCACAGUUGGUACUGCACAUGAUGCUUGUUUCUCCUUUUGCAUCAACUUUUGUUGUUAACAUUAAUUUCAAUAGCAGCUCGUUAUGUAUGCAACAUUUCAAAAUUAAUCCAAAAAAACAAAAAUUAGUUCAGCUGACUAAAUUUGAAAGCAUGGAUUUGCUGUCGAUUAAAAAUCGUUUUCUAGGGAAAAUUUUUGGAUUGCAAUUCUCAUACAAUACAUAGAAUUAUCAUAAUCUAUAAAUUGUAUUUUUUCUUUUCUACGGUAGUAAGUCAAGAAUCCUUAGUGACAAUUUAAAUUGAAAAAAUAAAAUCAUAAAUAAGAAUUAUUUGAUAAGAAUUAAAAUAAUUGAUAAAUAUUUGAGAGGAACAAUUUUGGAAGACUCGAUCUAAUAGGAGGAGAAUUUGAAUUUUACAACCUUCCGUGAGGAAUCCAAAAUGCACAAUUUGAUGAAAAUUAAAUUUCAAUAGAAAUUGAAUUCCCAUAUAUUAGUGAAAACCAAACAACAGAAAAGUGAAAGGAAUUUGAAUUCAUUUCCUUCCUGUCUCAUCCCUCCAACUAAACACCAUCGAUACCCAAAGGUAUGGGAUUGGGAUUCCAUACUGAUCAGAAUGGGAUUUGUCCAUAUUAUUAGGACCAAUUUUAAAAGCAGUCGGAGUUUAAAAUUGAAAUUAAUCCCAAUUUUUUAUCAAUUUAUGCAUGAAUUUUUGUACGUUUACUUUGGUUUAUUAUUGUUACUUUUAGACAUUUUUAUUGGUUUGAUUUAGGGUCAUUUUGGUAAUCUUGUAAUUUUUAAAAUAGUUACAGUUAGUUAUGCUGUAGAAAUUGAUCAAUCAUGAAGAGAAUCAGCUGAACAUUUAGUAAAAUUUAUUUUUAAAAGUACUUUGUUUUAAAAGCAGUUGUAUGUGUUUCGUAAAUCUUAUUUUUAAACAGGUGCAAGAAUAUAAAUAACUAAAUUGGACAUAAUACUAAAUAAAAUUUAUUUACACAUUUACAAACAUGUAUAUAAAAUAUUUUUAUUAUGUACAUAUAAUUAUUGAUAACUAAAAUAAAUAUUUUAUAUUAUUAAAUUUUAUUCUUUAUUUUGUUAUCUCAAUAUAAUUGGUAAUAAUAAUAAUCUUUUAAAGUUAAUGAUUUUAUUUCUUAAUUAAUAAAGAUAAUUCUGGAUUUUUAUUAUAUAAUGAGGAUAUAUAUAUAUAUAUAUAGAAUUGGAUUAAGUAUAAAAGUGAUUUUCAAAAUCAAAUUUUGAAAAACUAUUCCUUCCAUACUUUUCAAAAUCCACUGUAUGAUGAGAUGAUUUUUCCAAAAAUAAUUACUAAAAAAUUAUAAAACACUAAAAAUUAGGUUUUAGUUUUUAAAAUCACUUUUGAGCUUCCCAAAAACAAUCCUAACGGGCCUUUAUUUGGGUGGUGUUGGAACUUGUAACUUUUGGAUCUUUUAGUUUUUAUUGGUUUGAUACAAGUGUUACACUAAAAAUUGAAUGCAUCUUAAACCCCAAACUUCUUCUUCUUCUUUUUUGAUUGCACAAAAUUAAAAACAAUAGUGAACGCAUUCUUUAAUAAACAAUAAGUAAUUACUAAAAUUGUGUUAAAGAAUUUAGUUGAAACAUAAAUUGAUUUCAAUGUUGUAUAUGCUAAAUUUCUUAAAAAUUUUCUUUCACAGUCUGCGGAAUAGUUUUAUUAGUAUUUUGAAUAAAUAAAAAUAAUUGAUUUAAUUUUUUAAAGAAAUUUAUUAGGUUCAUGUAAAUACGUUUUUGUUAUUUAAAAAGUGUACAAAGUAAAACUUAAUUUUUUAAAUUUAUUAGAUGAAUGGAUAAAAUAAUUGAGUGUUCAUAGUAAAUUUUAAAGUAUAGAUAGUCAGACCCUAAUAUUUUUAAUAAAUGGAAAUUUUUAAAAUAUGUUAAUGAGAAUUAAAAUGAUAAUUAAGGGAGGCAUUCGAGACAUUCAAGAUUGUUAGGAUAGGACAUGAUUGUGAGCGGUUUGAGAUUGGCCCUAAUUUUGAUCACAAAUAUAUAAGCAGGAUGAGUUUAUCCAUACUUACAUUCCAUUUGAUAAUUAAGAUGAGAGUGGAAUUGUCAAAUCCCAAAUUAUCCCGGACCAUUGCCACCAAAGGUACUCUCACUAAUAAUAUCUAAAGAAAAAUCUACAUCUAUUUCAUACUUUUUUUUUUAAACGGAAAGAGCCCUUAUGGGGCUUGAAAUGGUAUCCUAAAUAAUAUUCAGAAUAUCAGGCCAUGACUGGGUUUGUAACAAACAAAUAUUACAUAGUUGGGAUACGUAGUUGCUAGUGUCCCAAUUUAUGUAGUAUCUAUCAUUUAGUGCACAUAUAAAGUGUUUGGGAAAUGAAAUAGGGUGACCAAGAUAAGGUGUUUGCUCAUAUAUUAUCGUGCUCUCCUCAAAGUAAAAAGUGAAAAAAUAGUUGAUAGACUACUAGGAGUUUAUUUGGUCACCUCGACCAGGAUAUUAUUUGAUGAUCUCGAGCACAUCAUCUUGACUAAGAGAUUAUUUGGUCGCCUUGAGUAUAUCACCUCGACCAGGAGAUUAUUUGGUGACCUCGAGUAGAUCAUCUUGACCAGGAGGUUACUAGGAAGCACGACUCAGUCAAAACAAAUCUCACUUAUUUUCUUCGAAAUAUUGGGGACCAUAUUCUUAGUGGGCUGAAAAUUAGUGGUUUUCUUGAGAGUUUAGGUGAGAGGAUAAAAACCGCUAUAAUUUGCUCUAAAAAUCCUGGGAAAGGGGGGGAAAUAGGGAGAUUCUUUUUAUCUCUCUCUCUUUGGGUGACUGAACCCAUGGGAUCUUUUUCUCUCUACCACUGGGAAACUUCUCUUUCUCUCAUGAUUUAUUUUUCUUUAAGAUUGGUUAUUUUUUAUUCUUUUCCCAUAAAUUUACUUAAAAGCUUUUUGUUUAAAGUAUUCAUAAUUAAGCCGCGUGAAUUGUGGUACGGAUUUUUCCAAGUAGACCCAAAUCGCUGACUUGAGCAUCAGAGAAUUUUCUUUAAGAUUGAUUAUUGUUUCCAUAAAUUUGAACCAAGAAGGAUGACGCGAUAAAAUUUGUUUUUAUUGUAUGGUUGAUUUCAUAUCUCAUGCACUCAUUUCUUAAGAUAAUUAGAUUUCAUCUUUUGCAAAUGUGGAAAUAUCAAUUAUGAUCGAUCAAAACAAUCUCAAAACCUUUCAAUGAGACAUAUUUAUAAUACAAUAUUGUGAAAAUUACACCAAAAAUUUAAUUUAUGAUAUAUUAUUGUCCCACCAGCACACAAAAAUGAAUUCGUACAAAUCUAAAAUACUUAGCAAUUUUCAAAUAGAAUUUUAAAUUUAUUUCCAGUUAGAAAACUAUUCGCUGGACUCCGUAUUACUAGCCACCAUGGUAAGCCUAACCGGUUGCCGGCGAAUGGCGUAAAACACCAGCCAUCUUCUUCUUCAUCAUAUUCACCUUUCAUCUUUUGAGUUAAGCCUGUGAUUAUGAGUUUCUUCUCUUACUUAGCUUGUAAUUAUAGAUUUUGAUUCUUUUUAAUUCAUAUUGUAGCCGUUAUUGUCAAUUUUUGUCCCGCCAGCAAUAUUUUUUUAUUCCUACAAGUUGAAAAUGGAUUCAUUUGAAUUACUAUUGAAUUUAGCUUUAAUUUCAAUAUCCAUUCUAAUGUUUUGCUAUUAGAUUUACUUUAAUUUUAUGUUUAAAGCUUCUACAAUGAAUAGCGGAGCUUGGGUUUUAGUGUCAUUUUCUGUAACUUGUUUUAGUUUAUCUUGUACGCUCACCAAGUGCUUGUUAUAUUGUCUGAUAAGUUAUAUACAUUGCUGAUUCUAUAUUAAUAAUGUUAUGUUCUAUUUUCAGAAAUUAUAAUACAAAGUUUUUACAAUGGCGUGCAUCUACAAACUGAAUUGACUUGUAGAAUAAGAGCUUGGAGUAAAUGAAAGUUCAUAUUGUGUAAGAGCAUGUAGAUGUAAAGCGUCAUUACCAUUUCUAUAAAGGACUUUCAUUCUGUUCAGAUGCUCUUCUUGAACAUUGAAAGGUGCCUCGUUCAAGUCCUAGCUAUAACUACUAGCUUUGAUUAAUUAAGUUCCUAUACUAGCUGAAACAGAUUUAUUUAAUUAAUUAAUUGUGUAUGUACUGAUUAUAUUGAAAGUAUAUGAAUUUUUUUUUUUUUUAACAUGAAUGACUUAAAAACCUAAAGAAUAUGUGAAAUAAUGCUCAUUUCACCUGAAUGAGCCUAUUAAUACUUUUAUGUCUAUGAUUGUCAAUAUUGGCUUAAGCAUUUCAGUUAAGUGGUUUACCUAAUAGAGAAAAAAAUUUAAUAGAAAACUUCAGAGUUCUAACAGAAAUAUAGUUCACUAUGCAGAUAUAGUUAUUUUACGGUAUACAAAUCAAGUUGUCCUAAUCUCAAUGUCCUAUGACCGAUUUUAUUUUAUAUAGUCAUUAAUUUUUGCCAUGGUUUUUUGUGUUUAUGAGUUUGAAAUAGUGGGAUUUGGUGUACCUUAUCAUCUUUUGAAAAUUCUCUUUAAGUGUGGCCAACAGAAAUAUACAUAUAAUCAAGUUUCUUAAUCCUGUAUAUUAGUUUUGGGUAUGAAUGUUCCUAUUCUAGUUCUAGGCAAAGCUUCUUUGUUUUGGUCUUCAGAUUUCCAGUAGGUUAAGUUAAUCAACUAUCAUAACUGGCUAGCUAGUUAUUGUCUGCCUUGGCGCCAUUACCCAGGCCAUUAUAUUGCAUAGCAUAAGGAAUAGUGAUUAGGUGAUUAUUAGUGAUUUGUUGAGCUUAUUAUUGACCAAACAAAUGUAUUUGCCUUUGCCCACAACUUAGUUUGAUUAGUUAUUAGACCAUAAAGAGCCUUGAUCUAUUCAUUGGCUUUAUUAUUUUUAUUUGGUUUUUCUUUCAACAAUAUUGUUGAUUUCUUAUAAAAAUAUUCAUUGGUUUUUAAACACCUAAUCAUUGGCUAUAUGAAGCUAAUUAAAACUGAGGCUUUGGAUCAAUUUCUUCUAACAAGAUACAAAUGAGCAAAACCUUUCUCCUCUAAGUAAAUUUUUUUAAUAUCCCUUGAUUUGUAAGGAUCUGGAGGCCUGAAUCCUCUUGAUUUUUUUUAACACUGUCAUUGUUCUUUUUAUUCUGAGAAGGAAAUAAAAGGUUUUAUCUUUCAUACCCGAAUAGUAAGCUGGCCUUGUCUUAACAUGGCCUCCCGAGGACUUGCAAGAUUCAUAGUGCCCCCCACCCCAAAAAAAAAAUCAAAAACACAAAUAGGAAGAUUUUGCAAGAUUCACCACCAGGUUUUUUUUUAAUUUAUUAAUUGUGUGUACGUGCUAGUUAUAUGUUGAAAGAAUAGGAAGAAGUAUUUCAACAUGAAUGACUUAAAACUUAUUGCUCAGUAAAUAUAAUCUGCAUCAGUGCGAAAAUGUAUUUAUCGUUUGUAUUUUUUAUGGUUUUGCUAAAGAAAUGAUAUGUGAAAUAAUGCUACAUUGCAUCAGGAAUAAAUUGAAGAGAUUUAUGAUAUUUAUGUGUUAUUCAAAUUUCAGAUUCAAUUUUAAACUUUUGAUACAUGCAUUGAAAGCUUAGACUUGUUUAAGAAAUUAUUAAUAGACACAUGUUUUAUUAGUUUCAUCUUUGGAUGAUAGUGAGGAUCAUAUGUCUAUUAAUAAUUCUUGAAUUGUCCAGGCUUGGACAGUUUGGGAAUGCAUAGUUCACUCUGGUAGCUAGUAGCUGAAGUUUUUUCCCACGUAAAAAUGGGUUUUUCGGUAGCUGCUCCUCGUGUUCUCUGGGUACGUACUAGGUGAAUGGGUGUCAUGUGUUGUUUUGGCAUAACGCAUAAACACUUAUAUAGCUAUGUCGUGUGCUUGGAGAAUUAUAGGGAGAUGGUGCCGAAAUUUUUAUAAACGUGGAAGAAAACUUUAGGUACUUGAGAUUGAAGAAACUUAUGCAUUCUUGAGUGGGAUAUGUAGGAUUACUUACCUUCUGUAAAUAUGAAGGGAAUGUUGGAUAUAUUGGGGAUAGUGUAGGAGCUGAGUUGGAUGAAUGUAAUUGGUGAUGAUUUUGCUGAGCUGACCUUGGUUUUGAGCUUGUAAUUUUGUUUGUAAAUGGAGUGCUAUCACCAAUGUUGGUUUAUAAAAAUGUUUCAGGACUUGCUGACCUAAUUUUUUGUUUCUAGGUUACAGGCUUUAUAUAUCUGUAAUUGAUAGCCAAGUGAAGUUCUCAGCGCUUGGCGAGGAUAUUUCUUUACAGAAGGUAUUGGAAACUGUUUUUUACAUUAAUUAUCGUUGUUUAUAUACUUUGAUUGUCACAUCUUUUUCUCUGAUUCUUGUGGCUUUGCUUGCUUUCAUAUAUGUAAAUUCUAAUGAAAUUAACCAUAAAAUUGUAAAAUGAUCUUUUUAUUAUAUUGCAAAACUGUGCACACACGAAAAUAUGUUGUUUAGUAGUAGAAAUGAAGAACUAAUUUUUGUAGCGCAUUAAAAGGAGAUAGUCAUGGACAAGUGUUGGGUUGGUUUGCCAAAUAGAUAUCCAAGUCAUAUACUGAUGGCGUUGAAAAAUUUAUAGAUUUUGUAUUUGAGAAUGUUGUUGGUGGUACAAGAAUUUAUUGUCCUUCUUGAUAAGUGUUGUAAUCUAUAUUUCGUUAUAAGGGAAGUGGCUGAUGAUGAUAUGGUUGGAAUGAUACACUGCAUCACGUAAUCAAAUGUUCAAGUUACACGCAGCAUUGUUAUGAACUAUCAGUGGCAACUUGUCUGGGUGGAGUAUUAAAGGUAAAUGAGCAUGUCUUAUUUGCCAACAAAGCACUAGAUCUAAUUGGUUGAUACAGAAUUACAUAGUAGAAAAUUUUGUCACGUGGGUCACCGUCGAUUUUGCCCAACAAAUCAUAGGUUUCGAAAAUAUAGUGUCUUUUGAUAAAACUAGAGAGUAGGGACCAGCACCUUCUCGGUUGUCUGGAACUGAAGUGAAAAAGCAGUUUAAUAUAGUUACUGAGUAUAAGAUUGAAGACUUGAAAAGAGGAGAACGAAUAAAAUGAGAGAAAUGAUAAAAUUACUUGGAAGAAGAACAGCAUUUCUUAAGAUUACUUGGAAGAGAAAUGAUGUGGAAGAUGGCUAUAAAAUAUAAAAGGAAAGGCUUAAAAAGAAAAGCCAUGCCUGUCAAAAACAAAAAACAAUGGCAGCGUCAAAUUUAUAACAAAAAUCAAAACGGUGCGUUUGAGAGUGUAUAAAAUACAUUUAGAGUGGGAGUUGUGUUGUUGCUUGAAGGCAGAAUGUUUGUGAGAUAUUUGUCGACGAAGCCGAAACCAAAGAUGAAGCCCAUCAAAAGUAUUUAUAGUGUAAAAAGUAUAUUGUGGAAAUGUCUGGUCGGUAAUACAACUAUUUCUUAUAGUGUAAAUGAUACACUAAUUUGAAUUUAUAUGCUUUUAUGAUUAUUUUAUUAUCAAGUGGUGAUCAUAUGUGAUGAUAAACUUAGGUAGUACCUUUAUAUUUAUUGCCUUAGUUUUCUAAGCGUUCACAUUUUGAUGAGUAAAUUAAGGAUUUCUAGAUGAAGUACAUAAUUAGAUUAAUGCUAAGGAACUGAAGUUUGAUCAACUGAAAACGAAAAUCAUAAUGAAGGUAAUUAAGAAAAUGAACAAUGCAGAAGCGGUCCUUAUUAGGACUUCUAGAUUUUCUCUUGGGCUUCCUUAUUAUUGUUAAAAAAUGACACGAAUAACUGAGUUUAAAAAUCUGGCCCUGAUGCCUGGUAGCCCUCCAACAUAUGAAGCACUAGAUGUUUUAAUGAGAAAAUGACAAGACCAUUUAUCAAAUUUCUUGUGGAUAUAAAUACAUACACAUAGACGAGACCAACCUCCUCAACUGAGAAUCAGAGUGAUUACAAGACCUUGCAAUGGGACGAUAACACACCAUCAAAUCUCAAAAUACAAUAGAAAUUCAUGACAUAUGUAUAAUAAAAGACCUCUCAUUGAGUCAUAUAUAUUGAGAAUAAAAAUGUUAUAAUACAUACAAAGAGCUUAGCUAGAAUAAAAUGUCUUGGAACUUGCGAUGAUCAAACAAGGGAAACAGACAGGUUGUAACUCACACUAUCACAGAUGUAGCGACACGAUGCAGUGAAUCACAAGAAGAUCACGAAGAUGGAAACGGGAACCCCUCAGAAUGUAAACUUUGAAUAGAGAAAAAAAGAAAAACGACCUUAUUUCAAAUUGUGCACAGAAGAAGAGUGACUUAAAUCUUCAUCAGUAUCCAGGCAUUCUGCAAUCAUAAAGUAGAGAAAUUUUAACAGGAACAACAGAGAAAAUAUUAUGAAUAUGCUAUAGACCAAUAUACUUGUUCAUAUCUAACGUUUGAUGGUCUAAGGAUUUGUUCUAGGAAUAAUGGGAUGAUUACUUUUUUUUUUUUUUUAAUUUUUGUUAAUCCAAUGAAUGAUAUUCAGCUGUUAAUUAUGUGUUCAUAGGGAAGAACAUUUUCUAAGUACUUUCCUUGCCUUCUAACUUUCCGAAAAGCAAACCCAAUGAACAAACAGAGCACAAACUAAAAUAAAAGAACAGCAAUGAUGAGAAUAAAUAACUGGCAAAGAAAUAAUGGAAAAAGUAUGCACGUUUUCAAGGAAUUAUAAAAUACGAAGGCUUUUAAUGAAAUUUUAUCAUAAAAAGUAUGCAAGGAGUUAUAAAAUUUUAGAAGACGAGGGGAGCUCGCAAAAAAAAAAGAAGAAAAAGACUCAAAUUAAACUAGACUAAAAAGACAUUCAAUUAUGCAAAAUCUGUCCAUAAAAGUCUGAAAGGAUCAUUAAAAUUGCAUUGCAAAUUUAACAGUAAACCGAGGGACCCAUUCUAAAUAAUUCAGAUGAAAUUGCGAAACAAGCCAUGGGAUUAAAUAAAUGAAAUAAAAAUUAAUUACCAGUUGAGACUUUCUUCUAAAAAUUCGCAACUCCAAGUCAUAAGAAGACUAUGAAAUUAGUCGUACUGCGUAGAGUAUGACGACGACACCGCCAACAGCUGAAAAUAACAUUCUUAUUCAUCAAUUUAAACUUUUACUUUAUAACAAAUAUCUUAUCGAUAUUUUAUUUAAAAAAAGCAAAUUUUGUAAAAUUUUUCCAUGGGAGAUAGAGAGUAACAUGUAUAUCCGUACCUUCUCAGCAUGUAAUUGUUGUAUGGUCCUGUUAAGAUCAUUAUUAGCCCAACGCCGUUGAUUCGAUGUCGCUCCACACCAGACAUUUACUCUUGGAGGCGUGCUUGAAUCUCCUGUAGUGAAAGUCUUCAUCUUGGGACAACCAAUCACUUCCAGAUAUUCCAAAGAUGGGAAUUCAAAGGUGUAGUUGGCAGAGCAGAAACUUGUGAGACUUUCUAAAUCACGCAGGCCCAACGCCUUCAAUUUGCGGAAAACAAUCUCUUCUUUUUCAACUCCAUCUUUGUCAUUUAUUACCACCUCUGUCAUUGCUCUGCAUCUACAUAUUUCUAUUGCUACGAGUUGCACUAGAGUUUUUGCUGUGGAGGAUGUUACCAAGUGCAUCAAUCCCUUGCAACCGAAAGCUAAAAGUUUUGUUAGGUUCCGAAAAGAUACCGAUGAUGAUGGCAACAGAAUUAACAGACUUUGACAAUUAUAUACUCUUAGAAUUUCAAGAUACUGAAAAAUGGGGCCAUGUUUGGAAUCUUGUUUGCACAGCUGCUUCAGAUGAUAGGGCCGGUACAGCUUUAAUUCUUUUAUCAUUGCCAACUUCCCCACAUGUUUCUCUAAGCAUCCUUCCAUCGAAAAUACGUCUUCGUCGAAUGAAAAAAAAGACAGUGUGAGUAUUUCGAGAUUGUGAAAUCUCUCCAGUACGUUCCAGAUUGGAAAACAAGCUGAGUCAUCUGCAGCAAUAUCUAGUUUUCUAAGACUGCCAAAAAGGUGUUGUGGGAAAUCGGCCUGCAAAAUUAUCUUCAUGUCUUUUCCGCUUAGUGAUAGUUCCGUCAAGUUGGGUAAGAUCUGAUCAUCAUCAAUCAUAAUAACUAAUGAGGUCAAUUGAUGUUCUCUCAAAUGAUUUUGAGUAAUCCAAUCACAUGCAGUGACUUUAUAGUAUUUGUUUUAUAUUAUACUUUACCCAAAAAAAAAUUGAAUUAUUGAUAAAAUUUAUUAAAUGAUUUUUUAUAUGUUAAUUUUAGAGGUAAAAAAGAAAUUAGAGAAAAAAACGAAAUUAUAUUGCACGAUAAUAAAUUACUAAUUUAUUUUGUAAGUUCUUCUAUAGGAAAGACUAAGGAUUCUUUUACAAAUGUUAUACCUAAAAAAGUUCAUAUAAUUAUUAAUCUAUCACAUUAAUCCCUUAGUCUAGACUAGCAAAGAUUAUUGUAUAAUAAAAGUUUUUAAUUUAUUGAGUAUUAAUUUAUCAAUGCUUUGUUAUAUUUUUCAAAGUUAAAAAAAAAAAUGCUAUUGAUAAAAAAUCUAGAAAAUGGCUUCAUACCUUUUCCAACGGCAAUAGGGGCUGUUGUGCAGGAAUACCAAGUUGAUCAUUCUCAUUAUUCGGCGAUAAAUCUGCAGCGAAUAUCUUUAAUUUGUCACAACGAUACACUAAAAGAAUUUCUAGUGCGGGCCAUUCCGAAGUAUGCAUUCCAGGGUACAAACAUCUAAGUUUUGGUAGACGUUGGAGUCUCAGAGUGGUGAGCUGUGGAAAGACAAAAUAGGGGAUCACUUGAUCUGCUCUGUUUUCAGAAAUGAUCUCCCGUAAAUCCUCACAGUGGCGUAUAUCCAGGUGUUGGAGCUGCUUAAGGCUUCCGAUCAUAGACGCUGAAAAUAUGUAUUUUAAUUUGUGACAACGCCACACAAUCAAUCGUGUUAAACUCUGAAAGCGAGGAAACAUGACCGGAAGAUGAUUGUAGUGCCAAAUCUUGUCGACAUUAAUAUCAGUUAUCUCCAAAGCCUCCAAGUUAGGCAACGCAACCUAAAAAAAUAAGAAUUUCUCAUUAGAUCCAAUAUCCAUAUGGGAAGCACUUGUUGAAAUUUUCUUCUUUGAUUACAAAUUAAUGCAAGUCAGAAUCAAUUUCCAACUGACUGCUGAGUUUGAUGCAUUCUAAUUCAUACAACUUUUUAAGAGCUCAAUUAGUGAGCGUGUGAGAUUCUUUUUAUCCUUUUUUCCAUUUUCCUUCAAUUCUUUAAAUGAUUUAAUUAUUUUCCACGUACGACAUCAAAAGAGAACGUUAUAUAUGAAUAAAAUCUGUUAUAUAUGAAGAAAAUGUUAGCCUACGCACCUUCUCGUUGAAAAGCAGAGUUGAAGUAUCCAAAGUGAUUUCGCUGGAGCAAUACGUAGUCGUCGAUUCCUCUUGCGACGCUGGUCUGUUCGGUGAUGCUGAAGGAGUCUUUACUUCACGGCAGAAAUUUGUAACCUCUGGAAGAUUCCCCAGACUCAAAGAUCUUAAUUGAGCAAACUCUAUCUUCUCAAUUGCAUUAUGAUCAACUUCUUCCCCAAUUGAAAAAAUUUCUUUCAUCUUGCUGCAAUUAAUAACUGCAAUUCUCUCAAGUCUUGGAAGGCAUUUUGUAGUGGAGAGCCAAAAGAUAUUGCUUAACUUAUCACAAUUAUAUGCUUCUACGGUUUUGAGUUUGUUGAAAGACUCUACUUUGAGCCGAUCAAUACAUAUCCUCUCCAUGUUGAUCAAAUUGUGAAGGAUAAGUGACUCCAAAAGAGGAAAGGCACCACAAGCGACCAUCGCCCUUGAAUCGACGAUACAAAAGAAGUCAGGAUUAUUUUGAACGCAGAGGACCUUCAAUUGUGAAAAGCCCUCCGUGUCCAAAUUGAAAAGAACAUUCUCGAUGCCUUGCAGCUUGUCCAACCAUAAGCAUUCAACGUUAUUGAUGCCCUGCAAUUUCAAGGAGCAAAUGUCCAUAAAAUCAAGCUUGAGCUUCAAUGCUCUGGAAAUCUUACGAUCUCUGUCGAUCAAAAAGUGCUGCCGACUUUUAAACCAAUUUUGUCCAGCAAUCAUGGGAUGCAUGAAUGACCCAUUUCCAAUAGAUAUUUUGAACCUUUCGAGCUCUCUGGCCAAAAAGCUUUUUGGUAACAUACUCUCAUUUUUAACAUCAAUUUCUAGAGUGGUUAGCCGACGUAAAUGCAUCAAUUCGUCAAGGCUAGCAUUACUUCUUUUGCUGUUGGCUAUUUCAACCUCCCAUUCAAUGGAGCAAUUAUACAUAUACAAUUCUUCUAAUCGGAUUAAGCUUGAUAUGACAUUUGGAGCAAUAACUUUUAGAUGGAAACAGUCUGUUAAAUCUAACAGCCUUAGCUUAGUCAGUUGACCCAGUGCUUUAGGCAUAUCAGAUUGCAAAAAGCUGAGGAUUUCUAGAUUUUCCAACUUUCCAAUAAUAGCUAUGUCUAUGCCUCCCAAAAUGCUUUGAUUAAGACAGAGUGUCUGAAGAUUUACUAGAAGACCAAUUGAAGAUGGCAAUGACAAUAACCGCAUUCUAGUCAAAUCCAAAACCCGAAGCUUUUUCGUCCUUUUGAAGAAGUUCUCAGGAAUAUUAGGCACAGCAAAAGAGUUCUUGGGAGACAUGACUAGAAGUUCAAGUUGUAGAGAUUCGGACCCUUCAGGAAUGUCAUUAAUAGUACUAUCUUUUAAAGAAAUUGCAAGAUAUUUUUUUAAUUCAUCUGCAUUUGGCCAUUUCCAAUCAUCCUCAUUUCUCACCACAAAUCCAAUUUUGUCACGACAUGCAAUUGAAAUGGCAACAUCGCGAACAACGUCGUGCAUUGAAAAGUAUUUACUGCCACCAUCCUCAAGCAACAAACAAGAGUCUCUUAGUUGAUGGACCCAUGCAUGUAAUUUGUUAUGUGCAUCUUCUAGCUUAUGGACACUUUUAAAUGCACCCAAGCCCAUGCUAUAUUUGAACAAGUCCAUAAUAUAAGUUGGUGUAAUUAGACUACACAGUAAAAAAGUUUUCUUGAGUUGCUCACCUCUUAAGUACUUGUAACUCAGCUCAAUUGUUGAGUAUGCCUCUGCUGGUACUCCUUCGUCGAAGCUCGCCUCUGAAGGCGUUCGGAGUUCUUGCAAGGCAUUCUUCCACACAGGCAGCUCUUUUUUUCUCAGUGCCUUUGCUACUGUGGUUAGGGCAAUAGGCAAACCUCCGCAUGCCUUGGCUACACUUGUUGCUGUAGAUUCUAACUCACGAUUUUCAACAUAAUCACCAGCCAUUAUCUUGAACAAUCUCCACGCUUCUUAUUCAUUUAAAAUGCCAAUCGAGAAGUUUUUUUCAGAUUCCAUCCUUAACAGCACAUCAAGAUCUCUUGUUGUGAAUAAUAAUUUGCAUCCUCUGUGCUCAACUCCAAAAGGAAUUCCAAUAGUCCCCAAAUCAAGAGGUUUCCAGAUGUUAUCCAGAAUCACAAGGAUCUUCUUCUCAUUCUUCACUCUUUCAUAUAGUCUACUAGCUCUUCUAGACUCAGGUUCCUCGGACAACUGUAGGCCUAACGUUUCCGCAAUUUCCUCUUGGAUCUUUUUUAUGUCUGGACUUUGGGUAACCUCCGAAAAAGCCACCAUAUCGUAAAGCUUGUCUUCAAUGGCUCGCCUUGCAAACUCCUUCACCAGUGUCGUCUUUCCAAUGCCGGCCAUGCCGUAGACCCAAAUGAUGCUGACAUCAACAUCGAUCAAUGCAUUUUGUAUGGCCUUCAAAGCAGAAAGUCUUGAUUCGAAGGCCUCGUAGCCUUUGUGAGACUUGAGCCAUAUAUCCUCCGGAACGGUACGGUAGGAAAUUCUAUCAUCAAAUCUCCCAGCUUCUUCUCGGAGUUUAAAAAGGGCCUCCUUCUCUGUUUCUGCUUUCUUUCCAUGCUGAUAGCGAGUAAUCCAAUUAGGAAACAGCCCCAUGAGACAUCGUUCAUUUGCUUUCUCUUCGUCUAGAAUGAAUUUGGCUGCCUGCUCAAUGCUCUUGUUCGCAUUAACCAGCCAUUUCUCAACCUUCUCUUCAAUCUUUUCACUUUUUCUUUCAGCCUCAGAAACUCUGCGCUGAAUGCUUUCUCUUUCAUCCUUGAGCCCAUCGAGUUCUGCCUUGAGAUUCUCAAAGUUGGCAGCGGAGUUAUACCAAUAACUAAAUUCGCGUUGUGCGUGAGGAGACAAGCAGUUUACAACUCCUGGAACAAUGCUUUUCAAAAUGUCCAUUUUUUUUUUGGGUUGGGGGGGGGGGGGGGAGGGAACGAAAUAGAAAUAGAACAGAGUCAACGGCCGCGCAAUUGAUAAUCAAGUAGAAGCAAAACAAGGCAAAAUUGAAAAAAGGGAAAAUCAGUGUAACAGAAGAGAAUCAAAGUGUUUUUGAGAUCAGAAAAUUGAAUCAAGAAAAGGGUUGCUUGAUCCAAUGAAAAUGCAAAGAGCUGAUGGAAAAAGGGAACAAAGAUAAAUAAGAAAACGGCUAGCACGAGCAGUGACCACGAUAAACAGAAGCAAAGUGUGUAUGAGAUCAAAAGACGAAAAUCAGGAGAGGUUUUCUUGAUUGAGAAUUGAAGGCAAAGAGUAGGAGCUGACGAAUACGGGGAUCAAGAGGGAAAAACUGCUUGCUCAUAAAACUACUUUCAAGCGAAUCUGAUAAAAUUAUUUCAAUACUCGUGGGCGACUCCCUUUUAAACCGCAGAAGGAAAAAAAAAAAAAAAAGUUCUGAUUUUCAAUAUAUUAAUUUUUAUCCUAAUUUAUGUUGAGACUCGUAAUCUCGUCUCAAUGAUUAAUUAGUAGAUAAUCUUUCUAACAAAUAUGUGUUGAAUAGAUAUAUUUCUUGACUAUUAGUAGGUUAAAUAUAUUUUAGCAUAGGAAUGAAAGUACAAGUUGUGUCAUAUUAGAAUAAAAAUUUGACCUAAAAAUAUUGUUCUACGACCUUUUAAUUAUUUGUCAGCAAAUAAUUAAGUCAUAUAAAAAAAUUAAUAAUCUGAAUUAGUCUUUAAGUAUUAUAAAUAUUUUUAGAUUUUAAUUAUAAUAUCAUUAUUUAAAAAUAAUUGCUUGACUUACAUUAGUAACAUUACGAUUGUCAUAAAACAUGUGAUCCUCAUCCAAUAUCCAUUAUUUGUGAUCCUUAAUCAAUAAAAUAUCUAACAAUAUCUUCACCUAAAGUUUGAGACAUGUGAUCCUUAUUCCACUGCGUCAAAACAAGGAGAAAAUCAGUGUAACUGAAGAGAAUCAAAGUGCUUUUGAGAUCAGAAAUUGAAGCAAGAAAAGGGUCGCUUGAUCCAAUGAAAAUGCUAAGAGCUGAUGGCAAAAGGGAACAAAGUUAAAUAAGAAAACAGCUAGUGCUAGCAGCGACCACAAUACACAGAAAAUUUGAGAUGGAUUUACAAUAUUUCUGCCUUUCUUUAUGCUUUAACAAAUAUUGCUCUAUCAAAAAAAAUAUUUAGAAUUUUAUUAUUGGAGUCACAAAAGACCUACACAAUAUAGCAAGUGACUAGGAAUAAAUAAGAAUAUAUAACUCUCUCUCUAAUUCUCACUCUAGCUUUUAAUUGUCACUCAAAACCCAGAAUUCAUCCUUAAAGUGUAAGCAAAUCAGAGAUGACAGCGUCUGGUUGUCAUACGUGCCUUUUAGUUUUCGGAUGACAUGGCGUACACUUCUUCUGUAAACCGAACAUGACAUGUCGUACUCUUUGUUUUGAGAUCAUAUUUCAAACUCUUCAUGCUAUGAAUGAAAGAUAAACUACAAUCAUCAAAAUAUUUAGUGUUUAUUUUGUAAUGUAACGUCAUAGUUGUUGUGAAUUGAAAUUAUUUCUGUAAAAUAAAAGGAUUUGGGUCAUCGUUCGUUAUUUUCUAGCAAUAUUGUCUGGUCGUGACUAUUUGUUAAAUAUUAAAAAAAUAAAUUUAUAUUUAUUAAGUAUAAAAAAUAAAUAAACAAACAAAAAUAAAAGGAAAAGUUUAUACAUUACAUAAAAUAAUAAGAACAAUAUCAAUAUUUCACACUCUAUAAUUGAGUGAUGUGUUGUCCAACUGCCACACAUUGGUCCCAAACGGAGACUUAAAUAUUAAAGUCCAAAGUUAUUGUGAUGAUGACUUAUAAUCGCCAAACUUGACAUACGGGUAAUCAUGCAUUAUAAGGUGCUGAUUUCUUCCAAUCGAAACCUUAUUUUUCAUUUACAAAUAAAUAAAUGACGUGACUUAACGAGUGGUGGGGUCCUUUGUGCCAUUUGUGUAUUUCACUGAAUAGUUGAUUCAACUAUUCUGAUCGGAAGAUUCUUGGAAGUUGCCAUUUGCCAAUGCUACUAACAUUUUCAAACUUGGAAAACCCUUCAGUCAAUCUUUUAGUGGUAGGCUCUGGUAGCUUGGUUUGAUUAUGACAUAUGAUUAUUUGAUAAUAAAGUUAGAGGAUGUAUUAAUAUAAAAUUUGUUUAUUGGUGUUGAAGUUAAUUAUCUCAUUAAUAAUAGUAUAAAAUGUUAAUUACUAAGAAACACAUAGCAGUAUUCUGGGAUAUAAUUUUAUAUCAUAACUUUGUAAGUGUAUAAUUACUCAUUAAAUUAACAAAAUUAUUUUAAAAUAUUUAGUUAGAAAAAAUAUAUUAUAUUCUUUUUAUUUCAAAUAAUCUAUAAGUUAACUCAAAACAUAAUCAAGCUGAGAAUUAAAAUAAUGCUACUGUAUGAGAGGAUUUUUAUUUUUUCCCGAAGUUUCACAAGGAAAUUAUUGAUAGAUAGCUUUAUUCGGAUCAUCUCAGUUCAAACGACAAAUAAUUGAAAGACUAAGCUAAAUAGACCAGCCAACAACUUUGUACAAGAGAGUUCAAAAAUUAAAGUCAUGGUAUUAAAGUGUUCUAUCUUGAAAAGUACAGCGUAGUAAUAAAAUAAAAACUAAUAGUCUUUGGUAAGAUAUGACAUUUAAAUAAUAAUUUUCACAAAAAUACAAAGAAUAUUUAUAAAGUACUUCUAUAAUGAGGAGACCCUCACUUUGUUAAAGUGAAAAUAUCAAUAAUAUACAAAAGACAUAUAUUUUAACACAUUAAAAAUUGUAUUUUUUUUUAUCUAUUGGUGUAUUGAAAUGUGUGUUAUUUAGUUUGUUAAUAAUAUCAUCACUUUGUUAAAAUAAUGAUAUCAGAACCAUUAUAUAUACAUAUAUAUAAAGUGCUUCUCUCCAAAAUCUAGACUUUAUUAAAAUUUAAGAAAGCAAAUAUAUUUUGUAUGGUAUAAUAGUGUAAUAACAUCACCCGAGUAUAUCAUAUAGAGUAAUAGUUUUUGGACUUUAAUAAAGGUCAAGAUUAUAGAAUGAAUGAUUUAUAUAUAUUUUAAAUUUUUUAUCAUAAAGUGGAGGACAAAGUAACAUAUUUUUCAAAUUAUAAUAAUUAUUUAUCAAAUAAUUUAACAUCGUAAUUUCUCCUAACUAGUAUAGUAAAUACGACCUAGGAGGUACAUUCAAAGCAUUUCAUAAGUUAAUUGUUAAUAAUAAAUGAUACAUGCAGCUCCAACUAUUAUUGUACGGUGAGUAAUUUCAAUAGAUUUUUUAUGGCUUAAUAAUAAUGAACAUUGAAUGUCAAAAUAUUAAUGGCCAAACAGACCAGCUGCCAACGACUUAUUCCAAUGUGAAUAGUUCACAGUGGGUACUGCACAUGAUACUUGUUUCUCCUUUUGCAUCUACUUUUGUUGUUAACAUUAAUUUCAAUAGCAGCUCGUUAUGUACGCAACAUUUCAAAGUUAAUCCAAAAAAAAAAAAACAAAAAUUAGUUCAGCUGACUAAAUUUGAAAGCAUGGAUUUGCCGUCGAUUAAAAAUCGUUUUGUAGGGAAAAGUUUUGGAUUGCAAUUUUCAUACAAUACAUAGAAUUAUCAUAAUCUAUAAAUUAUUUUUUUGCUUUUCUGUGGUAGUAAGUCCGACUCCUUAGUGACAAUUUAAAUUGAAAAAAUAAAAUCAUAAAUUAGAAUUAUUUGAUAAGAAUUAAAAUAAUUGAUAAAAAUUUGAGAGGAACAAUUUUGGAAGAUUCGAUUUCUAAUAGAAAGGGUGAAUUUUACAGCCUUUGGUGAGGACUCCAAAAUGCACAAUUUGAUGAAAAUUAAAUUUCAAUAGAAAUUGAAUUCCCAUUUAUUAGUGAAAACCAAACAACAGAAAAGUGAAAGGAAUUUGAAUUCAUUUCCUUCCUCUCCUCCCUCCAACUAAACACCAUCGAAAUCCAAAGGUAUGGAUUGGGAUUCCAUAUUGAUUAGAAUGGGAUUUGUCCAUAUUAUUAGGACCAAUUUUAAAAGCAGUCGGAGUUUCGAAGUUUAAGAUUGAAAUUAAUCACAAUUGUUGAUUUGGGACUAGAUAAGAAUUUAUCUUAGAACUCCAAUUCUCCAAAAAAAGUACGCUAGCUUCGCCACUGCACUAGGGACAUAUUAAUCAGGUGGCUUAUAUUACAACCAGAGGAUUUAAAUUUGAUUUAAGAUAUGUGGGGUCUGCUUUUGGAUUUAGAAAAUUUGCUCAUUAAGAGUUGAACCCAAGUGACCUACCGUUAGAUUAGAUUAAUAGUGAUUUCUUGUAGUAAAUAUUUGUGAAUUUGAAAUAUGUGAAUUCUAUCCUGGUGAUACAAAACAAGCUUCUUGUACACGAGAACUAUUUAUUUUUAUGAUUUGGAAACCAAUCUAUAAAGAUGAAUUAAGUUGGCAUAAUGGUACAAAGCAACUUUAAUUUUUCAAUAAAUUCAAAAGUUGGCAAGUUGGUUAUGAUUAUUAUCUUUUCUUUUUUACUAUUUAAACUACAAUUAAUUGAAUCCAAAGACUAAAGGGUUGGAUCGAGAAGAAACUAAUUUUAAGUAGACAUUCCGGCGAAAAUCACUCCCAUGAUCGAGACACUCAUGCAAUCAAUGCAAAAAUGGACACAAAAAUUGUCUACUUAAGUUUGGUGGAAUGAUUUUAAAAAUAGUUUUAUUUGUUUCACACUCGAAUUUGUAUUUUGAAAAAGAGUGGGAGUUAAAAAUUGAUUUACACUUUAUCAAUUACUCUAUUUUAAAAAGAAAUAAAUAUUAAAAAAAUAAAAACAUUAAUUUCUUGUUUGUUUGUACUUACCAUUGUAGGAUAAAUAAAGUGGUUGACAAAAAUUAUAUAUCUUAAAAAUAAAUUCUAGAUUUAUAACUAAUGUAUAAUGAUUUCAAUUCACAUGUUUCAAUCCCAAAUAAAUUCUCCUUUGGUUAUUUGAAUCUUAGCGCGGUAAGAUUUCAUUCUCUUAUAUGCAUUUGUGUAAACUUCUCCCUUUACCUUUAUCAUUUUAUCAACUUUAUUGAUUGCCAAUCAACUUUAGGGUUUAGGCAUGAAUCACACAAGGGAAUGAUAUUGUGGCAAUUUUUUCCCCCUUCUUUUUUCUUUUUGAAAAAAAAAAUUAUUUAUAGCUUUGCUUUGAUGGUAGAAGACUAGAAGACCAAUUAAUUUCUUUUUGUUGCGUGGUGAUAAUAAUGAUGGAAAUUGCUAUGUGCGCGUUGGUGAUUGCAUUGCUAGUCACAUAUUGCUUCCCAUCAUGGAGACAAAGGGGACCCCUCUAUCAAAGCUAGCUGUUGAAAUAUCAUACCCAAAAUCACAUGAAUUCAAAGGUUGAAUGGGAAAACGAUCUUGCUUCUUUGUAUGUUUUAUUUUAUUUAAAGACUUAUUGUUUCCCAUAAGAGAUAAGCUUGGAUCUAUCUUUCCUUUUAAUCAUUUUAGCCUCCAACUCCCAUCUUUUUCAAAAGUUUCGUUUAGCCCAUUUUGAAUGGCAAGGUAAGCUUCAAUUAACGCAACAAGUUCCAGUGAUUCCCGUCAAUAUUCGAUUGCAUGUAUGUAGCUUUGAGUGCUCAAAUUUAUUUUAUUUAUUAGUUGUUAUCACUUAUCAUUUUCUUUUUAAUAAUGAGAUUUGGGCAUUUUCUUUUUAAUAAUGAGAUUCGGGUCCCUGGAUGGUGAUUAGCCAACAGUCUAGUUAUGAGAAAUUAAUGUCUUAAUUACAAUGACAAAAAAGGCAAGUGGGGAUCUCAUUUGCCAUUAGGUAACACAACAUCUUCAGCAUUGGAGCUUUUCUUCCUUUCUCUCCUUCUUUCUUUCUUUCUCAAAAUAAUUGAAAAUCUAAUGCAAUACAAUUAAAUUGAUCAACGAUCUAAUUUAAUCAAUACAUUAUAUUAAGAUAUUUAAAAUAAAAUCGGUUCAAAUGGAAUGAGAAGUUCUACUAAAAAAAUAACAACAUUUAUUCCUUAUUAUUAUUAUUCGAAUUCAAAUAACCUUGGAUUCCAAACGCAUUCAAGACUAGCCAGGCUGCAUAUCCAAGAAGAAAACAAAAUCAAAACUUUAGCCACAAACAUAUACGUGUGUGUGUAUGUGUGUGUGUGUAUAUGUGUGUGUGUGUGUGUGUCUGUGUAUAUAUAGAGAGAGAGAGAGAGUUCUUUCACUAGGUUCAUUUGCGUGAAACUUUUUGAUCAUUUAGGUUUAAGACUAUAUCAUAUAUCCUAUUGCACGAACAUUGAUUAAGAUGAAUGAGUCAAACCCACUAAGCUUGCAACAAAAUCUUUUCAUAGUUACUAGAGAAUAUUUAUAUUUUUUUCAAAUAUUAAUAAAAUUAUUGAAUUGCUUUAUUUAUAGUACGUAUACAAUUAAUAGUGUAUGGAUUUUUUUUUAUCUAUUGGUGUAUUGAAAUAUGUGUUAUUUAGUUUGUUAGUGAUAUAAUCACUUUGUUAAAAUGAGAAUGUCGUUACUAGAGAAUCAUUAUAUAUACAGGGUCCAGCUACAAUACCCAUGGGGUUUGGUACCCCAUUUUUUGUCUUUUUCAAAUCUACCGUUGGAUUUAACGUAAGAAUUGCAGAAUGGCUGAGAUGUAAUUUUUGGGUUAUUAACAACAAAGACCCUUAUUGUUCAUGGAAAAUAAAAAAAAUCAAAAGUUUUGAAAUUAUGACGUAUAAGUCCAUAAUAUUCUCUUUUUUUCUUUUUAACUAUUGAACUCGGUUUCUAAUUAAAUGAAUUUUUCUUACAUUUAUUAAUAUCUAUUUAAAUUAAUAUAUUUUUAAUUAAUAAAUUAACUACUUUAUUAUAUAGUUAAACUAUGUAUAUUAUUUACUAACCAUAAUUAACGAUAAGUAUAAAUAUGAUCUUUUUUUUUUUUUAACAUAAUGGCAACCAAUUUCCUCUCACCUAUGUGAACAAGGUUCAAAACCCAUAAUUUUUUUUUUAACACAAGAGAUUUUAUUAUCUCAAGUAGAUGAAAUAUACAAAAUACAAAAAUAAAUUUAAUUUCAUAUUCUAUAUAGUUAAUUUUUUUUGUAACAUAAUAUUUAUUAAACAUACUAUCAAUUAUUUAAUUAACUAGCAAAAAUAUGUUAAUUUACUAAUAAUAAUCAAAUGUUAGUUUAUGAACUUGUAAAAUCUUUUUUUUUAACAAUGAGUUUUUGUCCUUAAAAUAAAAAAUAACAAUUUAAUUGCACACUUAAAUAAAUUAGUAUUUGUUAAAAAUAGUAAUUUAAUUGCACACUUAAAUAAAUUGGUAUUUGUUACUCCACCCCAAUUAUUUAAAUAGUCAUUAACUUAUCUGAGAGAAGGGUAAAAAAAUUCUAAACAAUUACUCUAUUUGAAAAUAAUUUAAAUAUUUCUUUAGAAAAAUAAACUAAAAAUAAGUAUUUUCUAUUCUUUCUUCUUUCUUGCUAACAUCAAUCAUGGAUAACAAUAGAGAUGGCAAUUCAACACAUAUCUAUCAAUUAAAAUAGAAGUCAAUUAAUAUAAUUAAUUGAAUAAUUAAUUUGUGUCAUGAAUGAGUUAUCGUAUUAGGAGUUAUAAAACCAAACCCAAUAGAAUUAUUAAUCGAGUUAACAGCUAGAAAGAGCAAACAAAUCCAUUCAAGUUGGAUGUCUAAGUAUUUGAACCAAAUAGAUUAGAUAAUAUCCAUCUAAAAUACUCCAAAUUUGAUUUAUUCAAUAUCCAUCUAUGAACUUGAAUAUUAGUGAUAUUUAAGUGUAUGUGACUGAAAUUGAGUAUUAUAUUUAAUAUUUAAGUUUUGUAAGUCAAAUGAAAAAUCAAAAUAAUAUUGCUAAAAAUUAUUGCACCAUCAAUGACAACAAUGACGAUAUCAUCACUAAGAAAUAGAAAUGAGUGAACAGAGAAACAAAAACUAUCAACGUAAUCAAAACUCUCUGAUCAAUGUAAUGGUGGCAAUGUUGCCAGAUAAAUAGAUAUGCCGGCAAUAGAUGAGCAUUCCAAUGCAAACAACUAGAACAAGACCCUAUGAUUAGAUGACGUUUUAACGUAGAGUGGAAGCGAUACUAAAUUUCGUUCUAGUAUACGUCUUGAAAACUCAAGAAAGAGACUCUCACCAAAGAGAAGAUAUUUCAAUUGAGAAAAAACUAAAUAUUAUUAAUGAGAAGCUUGUGUCUGUUAUCAUAAAUUAAGAAUAACAAGCCUAUAUAUAUAAUAGUAGCUAACUUAAUCCUUAUCUUUCUCAAAUAAGAGAAAUAAUCUAAAAUCCUAAUUAAAUUAUAAUUACAAAUAUGACUCAAGUAAGCUUAAUAAAAUAAGAUAAAUCCUAAUAAAAUAUUAAAUUCUAAAUUGACCCAAAUAUUAUAAUUCCUAGUAAAUUCUAAUUUAUUUAUUUAUUUAUUUAUUUAUAAGUUUGUUUGGUUUUUGGGUUUUUUUUUUAAAGAACAGAAAAUUAUAGGUAAUAGUGUAAGUAUAGAAAAGUAAAGAGGCAAAAUUAAAAAUAGGCAAAAGUUGGUGUUGCCGUCGACGGUGGUCGAAAAAUUGGCCUAGGAUAGGUGGAUUUGGAAGAUUUGAUGGUGCUGAGUGUGAUGUUGGUGGUGGUUUGUCUCAAAUAGUUGUGAGUUGACCGAAAAGUUGAGCUAAAGUAGUGGGUGGAGGUUGGUUUCGGUUUCCGGCGAUCCGGCCGGGGGUUGGCAGCGUGAGUGGGUUGAAAAGAAAGAGCUAAUGAUGGUGGACGAAUGAGUGGUGGUGGAGGCUGUGAAUCGCGGCUGAUUGUAGCGAAUGGAGAGGCGGAUUUUCGUGGUGGUUCAGCGGCUGUUUUGGCUAGUUUCCCGUGGCUACGGUGACGAGAUGGUGGUGUUAUGGGUUGGGUUAUGAUUGGCGGCGUGUAGGCUUUCGGAUGGGAGAGAGGAUCGACCGAAAAGAAGAGAAACUGGUGGCGGCAGUAGCCGUGUGUGGCAGAUGUAAUGGCGGCUUCGGGUUUUGCUAGUUUUUUUUUUAACUUGAUGGAACUAAUGUACGGAGUUGGUGGUCAGGAAUGCUCUGCCUGCUACCAAAAAAAGCUCUAAUAUCAUUUGUCUUGAAAAUUAAAAAAAAAAUCCCACUAAGGAUUAAUAUCUUAAUUGUGAAAAUAUUGAAUAUUAUUAAUGAGAAGCUUGUGUCUGUUAUCAUAAAUUAAAAAUAACAAACUUACAUAUAUAAUAGUAGCUAAUUUAAUCUUAAUCUUUCUCAAAUAAGAGAAAUAAUUUAAAAUCCUAAUUAGAUUAGAAUUACAAAUAUAACUCAAGUAAGCUUAAUAAAAUAAGAUAAAUCUUAAUAAAAUAUUAAAUUUUAAAUUGACCCAAAUAUUAUAAUUUCUAGUAAAUUUUAAUUUAUUUUAUUUAAUAUGCUUCCUACAUCACGUUUUAAGGUUCAUUGCCUUUAACAACCAAUUUGAGGGUCUCUAAACUAAAAAAAAAAAAAAAAAAGGUGGUAGUAUAAUGUAACUCCUUGUGUUUUGAUGGUAUAGUUAUUGUUGCACCUAUUUUAGAAGGAGCAUGUAACUUUACAUAUCACCAUUUGCUAGCAUUGAGACUAUCUUUAUGUAAAUCAUUCAAUUUCAAGUCUAAUGGAAUCCUUCAUGUUCCAUUUCGGUUAAUAAUGUCAUUGCACAUGAAGAAACAAUAGUCACUAGUGAUUGUCUAUAUUUUUUAAUGCAAAAUAUCUUUUUGUAAUUAAUUAAAAAAUAAGAAUAAUUUUUUAUUAUUAUUAUGUUUCUAUAUGGAAAAUAAUUUUAAUUACCUUUUAAUUAAAAUGGGUGAGAAAAAUGAUGUCAUUGAUGGUGCAAAAUGGAUGAGAAAAAUGAUGUUAUGUAGGUGUAGGACUAAUGCGUAAAACUUUAAAAUUUUUUAACAUUUUUAUUUUUACAACAAAUAGCAGGACACUAUUAUAAUUAACCUUAAUAAAGACAAAAGAGAGGGGUACCAAACGUAUGUUGCAACAUAGCUUUGCCCAUAUAUACAUAUAUAAAGUGCUUCUAUCCAAGACCUAGACUUUAUUAAAAUUUAAGAAAGCAAAUAUAUUUUAUAUGGUAUAAUAGUGUAAUAACAUCACACUAUUAUAUCAUAUAGACUAAUAGUUUUUUGAACUUUAAUAAAGUUCAAGAUUAUAGAAUGAAUGAUUUAUAUAAAUUAUAAUUUUUUAUCAUAAAUGGAGGAGAAAAUUAACAUAUUUUCAAAUUAUAAUAAAUAUUUAUCAAAUAAUUUAACAUUGCAAUUUCUCCUAACUAGUAUAGUAAAUAAUACGACCUAGGAGGUACAUUCAAAGAUUUUCAUAAGUUAGUUGUUAAUAAUAAAUGAUAUAUGCAGCUCCAAUUAAUCAUCAUUGUACGGUGAGUAAUUUCCAGUUAUAAAUAGAUAUUACUCCCUUCCCAGCAAUUUUUGAUGGCUUAAUUUUGUGGGAUCAAAAUCAACAUUGAAUGUCAAAAUGUUAAUGGCCAAACAGACCAGCUGCCAACAACUUAUUCCAAUGUGAGUAGUUCACAGUGGGUACUGCACAUGAUGCUUGUUUCUCCUUUUGCAUCUAUUUUUGUUGUUAACAUUAAUUUCAAUAGCAGCUCGUUAAUGCCAAUUGUUGAUUUGGGACUAGAUAAGAAUUUAUCUUGGAACUCCAAUUCUCUGAAUUAUUUUAGUUGACAAUAUGUUUAACAUUAUUUUUUUUAACAUUAUUAAUUGCAUAUUAUUUAAUUAUCAAUAUAUAAUAUUCUUUAAUUUUUUAAUUUUAUAGGAUUAGACACAAAAUUGAUUAUACCUUUUGAAAUUUAAGGGUUAUGUCAAUUGAAUAGAAAACUUGGAGUUAAACUUUUGGAUGUUUUUGUUGAUUAUCAAUUUAUGCAUGAAUUUUUGUACGUUUACUUUGGUUUAUUAUUAUUACUUUUAAAUAUUUUUAUUGGUUUGAUUUAGGGUCAGUUUAAUAAUCCUGUAGCUUUUAAAAUAAUUAGAGUUAGCUAUGCUGUAGAAAUUGAUCAAUCGUUAAGAGAAUCAGCUGAACAUUUAGUAAAAUUUAUUUUUAAAAGUACUUUUAGUUUUAAAAGCGUCGUAUGUGUUUCGUAAAUCUUAUUGUUAAACUAGUGCAAAAAUGUAAAUGACUAAAUUGGACAUAAUGCUAAAUAAAAUUUAUUUACACAUUUAUAAACACGUAUAUAAAAUAUUUUUAUUACGUACAUAUAAUUAUUGAUAACUAAAAUAAAUAUUUUAUAUUAUUAAAUUUUAUUCUUUAAUUUGUUAUCUCAAUAUAAUUGGUAAUAGUAAUAACCUCUUUAAAGUUAAUCAUUUUAUUUCUUAAUUAAUAAAGAUAAUUUUGAAUUUUGAUUAUAUAAUGAGGAUAUGUAUAUAAAUAUAUAGAAUUUGAUUAAAUAUAAAAGUGAUUCUCAAAAUCAGAUUUUGAAAAAUUAUUCAUUCCAUACUUUUUCAAAAUCUACUAUACAAUGAGAUGAUUUUGCCAAAAGUAAUUACUAAAAAAAUUUAUAAAACACUAAAAAUUAAUUUUUAAUUUUUAAAAUCACUUUUGAACUUCCCAAAAAUAAUCCUAACGGACCNNNNNNNNNNNNNNNNNNNNNNNNNNNNNNNNNNNNNNNNNNNNNNNNNNNNNNNNNNNNNNNNNNNNNNNNNNNNNNNNNNNNNNNNNNNNNNNNNNNNGUGGUGUUAGAACUUGUGACUUUUGGAUCUUUUAGUUUUUAUUGGUUGAUACAAUUGUUACCUAAAAAUUAAAUGUAUCUUAAACCCAAACUUCUUCUUCUUUUUUUUGACUAACAAAAUUAAAAAACAAUAGUGAACACAUUCUUUAAUAAACAAUAAGUAAUAACUAAAAUCGUGUUAAAUUUCUUAAAAAUUUUCUUUCACGGUCUGCUAAAUAUUUUUAUUAGUAUUUUGAAUAAAUAAAAAUAAUUGAUUUAAUUUUUUUAAAGAAACUUAUUAGGUUCAUGUAAAGAUGUUUUUGUUAUUUUAAAAAGUGUAGAAAGUACUCCUAAAAAAAAAGUGUAGAAAGUAAAACUUAAUUUUUUAAAUUUAUUAGCUUACUGCAUAAAUAAUUGAGUGUUCAUAAUGAUUUUUAAAGUAUAGAUAGUCGGACCCUAAUAUUUUUAAUAUGGAAAUUUUGCUAAUAUGUUAAUGAGAAUUAAAAAGAUAAUUAAGGGAGGCAAUUGAGACAUUCAGGAUAGUUAGGAUGGGACAUGAUUGUGAGUGGUUUGAUAUUAGUCCUAAUUUUGAUCACAAAUAUAUAAACAUGACGAGUUUAUCUCUACUUACAUUCCAUUUGAUAAUUAAGAUGAGAGUGGAAUCGUCAAAUCCCAAAUCAUCCCGGACCAUUGCCAUCAAAGGUACUCUCACUAAUAAUAUCUAAAGAAAAAUGUACAUGUAUUUCAUUUUUUUUUUAAACGGAAAGAGCCCUCAUGGGGCUUGAAAUGUUAUCCUAAAUAGUAUUCAAAAUAUCAAGCCAUGAUUGGGUUUGUGACAAACAAAUAUUACAUAGUUAGGAUACGUAGUUACUAGUGUCCCCAUUUAUGUAGUAUCUAUCAUUUAAUGCACAUAUAAAGUAUUAAUCAGCUUAAUUAAUUUAUAAAAUCUAAAUCUAAUUAAUAAGUGACACAUAAAAGCCAAGUGCAAUAUAUGCAAGUCAUGUUUGUCGAUCAUUACAAAACUAGCUCUUGAAAACAAGCAAGAAAGCUUAAUUAAGAACUUAAAACAAAAAGAAAUUUAGAUUGAGAACAGUCAAGCCUUAUUUUUUUCAAGGAUGGAGCUUAUAAAUCUUCAAGUACCAACAUAUGCUUGGCCCAAUUGUUGUUAUUAAAAAUUCAAUAUAUAUAUAUAUAAGUAUGACAUAGCAAAAAUUUGAUGGUACAUAUGUCGGAAUAUACUAGUUCAUGGAUGCAUUUGAUUAUUGUUUCCAUAAAUUUGAACCAGGAAGGAUAACACGAUAAAAUUUGAUUUUAUGGUAUGGUUGAUUUCAUAUCUCAUGCACUCAUUUCUUAAGAUAAUCAAAUUUUCUCUGGCAUCUUUUGCAACUGUGGAAAUAUCAAUUAUGAUCAAUCAAAACGAUUUCAAAACCUCUCAACGAGACAUAUUUAUAAUACAAUGUUGUGAAAAUUACACCAAAUUUUAAUUUAUUAUAUAUUAUUAUCCAACGAGCACACAAAAAUGAAUUCGUACAAAUAGAGUUUACCAUGUACUACAAGAAACUAGGGUAUAAGUGACCCCUAAUGUGAAUGCAAAAGAAGCCAUUAUGUAUAUCACUAACUUCUAGGCUCUAGCUUUGUACCCCGACUUGCUUUUGUUACCCUUUAUGUGACGGCCACACCGCUAUCACAUAUGUUAGUUACUACCCGCGUGACGGUAAAGAGCCGUUCGGUAUAUUACUAUUUUAUAAUUUUAAAUUUAAAACUAUUUGCUGGACUCCGUGUUACUAGCCACCAUCGUAAGCCUAACUGGUUGCCGGCGAACUGCGUAAAACACUGGCCAUCUUCUUCUUCAUCGUCUUCUCCCUUCAUCUUUUGAGGUAAGCUUGUGAUUAUGAGUUUCUUCUCUUACUUAGCUUGUAAUUAUAGACUUUGAUUUUUUUUUUAAUUCGCAUUGUAGCCAUUAUUGUCAAUUUUUGUCCCGCGAGCAAUAUAUUUUUAUUGCUUCAAGUUGAAGCCCCUGUUUUCUUGUUCCAUUGGUGAGUUUGCUCACUCAAAUUAAUUUUGUUCUGCGGAAUUUGCAACGUUCAAAUGGAUUCGUUUGAAUUACUAUUGAAUUUAGCUUUAAUUUCAACAUCCAUUCUAAUGUUUUGCUAUUAGAUUUACUUUAAUUUUAUGUUUAAAGCUUCUACAGUGAAUAGCGGAGCUUGGGUUUUAGUUUCAUUUUCUAGAUAACUUGUUUUAGUUUAUCUUGUAUACUCACCAAGUGCUUGUUAUAUUGUCUGAUAAGUUAUAUACAUUGCUGAUUCUAUAUUAAUAAUGUUAUGUUCUAUUUUCAGAAAUUAUAAUACAAAAGCUUUUACAAUGGCGUGCAUCUACAAACUGGAUUGACUCGUAGAAUAAGAGCUUGGAGUAGUGUUAUGUUCUUGAAUAAAUGAAAGUUCAUAUUGUGUAAGAGCAUGUAGAUGUAAAGCAUCAUUAUCAUUUCUACAAAGUGCUUUCAUUCUCUUCAGAUGCUCUUCUUGAACUUUGAAAGGUGCCUCGUUCAAGUCCUAGCUAUAACUGCUAGCUUUGAUUAAUUAAGUUCCUAUACUAGCUGAAACAGAUUUAUUUAAUUAAUUAAUUGUGUAUAUACUAAUUAUAUUGAAAGUAUAUGAAACUUUUUUUUUUUCACAUGAAUGACUUCUAAAUGACUUAAAAACCUAAAGGAUGUGUGAAAUAAUGCUCAUUUCACUUGAAUGAGCCUAUUAAUACUUUUAUGUCUAUGAUGUCAAAAUUGGCUUAAGCAUUUCAGUUAAGUGGUUUACCUAGCAGAGAAAAAAAUUUUAAUAGAGAAACUUCAGAGUUCUAACAGAAAUAUAGUUCGCUAUGCAGAUAUAGUUAUNNNNNNNNNNNNNNNNNNNNNNNNNNNNNNNNNNNNNNNNNNNNNNNNNNNNNNNNNNNNNNNNNNNNNNNNNNNNNNNNNNNNNNNNNNNNNNNNNNNNNNNNNNNNNNNNNNNNNNNNNNNNNNNNNNNNNNNNNNNNNNNNNNNNNNNNNNNNNNNNNNNNNNNNNNNNNNNNNNNNNNNNNNNNNNNNNNNNNNNNNNNNNNNNNNNNNNNNNNNNNNNNNNNNNNNNNNNNNNNNNNNNNNNNNNNNNNNNNNNNNNNNNNNNNNNNNNNNNNNNNNNNNNNNNNNNNNNNNNNNNNNNNNNNNNNNNNNNNNNNNNNNNNNNNNNNNNNNNNNNNNNNNNNNNNNNNNNNNNNNNNNNNNNNNNNNNNNNNNNNNNNNNNNNNNNNNNNNNNNNNNNNNNNNNNNNNNNNNNNNNNNNNNNNNNNNNNNNNNNNNNNNNNNNNNNNNNNNNNNNNNNNNNNNNNNNNNNNNNNNNNNNNNNNNNNNNNNNNNNNNNNNNNNNNNNNNNNNNNNNNNNNNNNNNNNNNNNNNNNNNNNNNNNNNNNNNNNNNNNNNNNNNNNNNNNNNNNNNNNNNNNNNNNNNNNNNNNNNNNNNNNNNNNNNNNNNNNNNNNNNNNNNNNNNNNNNNNNNNNNNNNNNNNNNNNNNNNNNNNNNNNNNNNNNNNNNNNNNNNNNNNNNNNNNNNNNNNNNNNNNNNNNNNNNNNNNNNNNNNNNNNNNNNNNNNNNNNNNNNNNNNNNNNNNNNNNNNNNNNNNNNNNNNNNNNNNNNNNNNNNNNNNNNNNNNNNNNNNNNNNNNNNNNNNNNNNNNNNNNNNNNNNNNNNNNNNNNNNNNNNNNNNNNNNNNNNNNNNNNNNNNNNNNNNNNNNNNNNNNNNNNNNNNNNNNNNNNNNNNNNNNNNNNNNNNNNNNNNNNNNNNNNNNNNNNNNNNNNNNNNNNNNNNNNNNNNNNNNNNNNNNNNNNNNNNNNNNNNNNNNNNNNNNNNNNNNNNNNNNNNNNNNNNNNNNNNNNNNNNNNNNNNNNNNNNNNNNNNNNNNNNNNNNNNNNNNNNNNNNNNNNNNNNNNNNNNNNNNNNNNNNNNNNNNNNNNNNNNNNNNNNNNNNNNNNNNNNNNNNNNNNNNNNNNNNNNNNNNNNNNNNNNNNNNNGUUAUUCAAAUUUCAGAUUCAAUUUUAAACUUUUGAUAUGUGCAUUGAAAGCUUAGACUUGUUUAAGAAAUUAUUAAUAGACACAUGUUUUAUUAGUGUCAUCUUUGGAUGAUAGUGAGGAUCAUGUGUCUAUUAAUAAUUCUUGAAUUGUCCAGGCUUGGACAGUUUUGGAAUGCAUAGUUCUCUCUGGUAGCUAGUGGCUGAAGUUUUUGUCCCACGUAAAAAUGGGUUUUUCGGUAGCUGCUCCUCGUGUUCUCUGAGUACGUACUAGGUGAAUGGGUGUCAUGUGUUUGUUUUGGCAAAACACAUAAACACUUAUAUAGGUAUGUCUAGUGCUUGGAGAGCUAUCAUUUCAUAAGAGAGUGUAUUGCAAGAAAAGAAGUGCAAAUCAAGUAUGUAAAAUCACAAGAUCAAGCAGCUGAUAGCUUCACUAAGCCACUCAAGCAAGAAGACUUUGUAAGAUUCAGAAGUUUGCUUGGUGUCACAGGAUCAAGUUUAAGGGGAGAUGUUGGAUCAUAAACUUGAUCCAAGAUGAAUAAAUCAAGCCCAACUCAUGGAAGGUUCCAUGAGUAUGUAUGGUUGGUGAGGUUUGAAUUAUUUGUGUUAGGUGUGUUAGGUGUGGUUGGUGAAGUAGGUGAGUGGUAGGUUUUAAUGGAUGGUGAGAAUUUGUUUAUUAGUUGAAUAAAUGAAUGGUUGUGAUUAGUUUUUUUCAUGUAUAAAUACCCCCUCUCCCCUUUGGUUUAAACAUCAAGUGAAGUAGCAAAAUCUCUAAGGUGUAGAGAGUGAAAAAUAAGAGUUGUAAUUGGUGAGGAGUGUUGUUGAAGAAAUAAAAUAGUGUGUUUUAUGUGAGUUUUAUUUAUUAAUUCUCCAACAUGUAAUUGGUGAUGAUUUUGCUGAGCUGACCUUGGUUUUGAGCUUGUAAUUUUGUUUGUAAAUGGAGUGCUUUCUCCAAUGUUGGUUUAUAAAAAUGUUUCAGGACUUGCCGACCUAAUUUUUGUUUCUGCUAGGUUACAGGCUUUAUAUAGCUGUAAUUGAUAGCCAAGUGAAGUUCUCAGCACUUGGCGAGGAUAUUUCUUUACAGAAGUAUUGGAAACUAUUUUUUACAUUAAUUAUUGUUGUCUAUAUACUUUGAUUUUCACAUCUUUUUCUCUGAUUCUUGUGGCUUUGCUUGCUUUCAUAUAUGUAAAUUCUAAUGAAAUUAACCAUAAAAUUGUAAAAUGAUCUUUUUAUCAUAUUGCAAAACUGUGCACACACGAAAAUAUUCUUGUUUAGUAGUACAAAUGAAAAACUAAAAUGAUUUAUUUAACUAAUAUUUGAGCGCAUUAAAAGGAGAUAGUCAUGGACAAGUGUUGGGUUGGUUUGCCAAAUAGAUAUCCAAGUCAUAUACUGAUGGGGUUGAAAAAUUUAUAAAUUUUGCAUUUUAGAAUGUUGUUGCUGGUACAAGAAUUUAUUGUCCUUUUAAGAAGUGUUAUAAUCUAUAUUUCGUUAUGAGGGAAGUGGCUGAUGAUGAUAUGGUUGGAAUGAUACACUGCAUCACAUAAUCAAAUGUUCAAGUUACACUCAACAUUGUUAUGGACUAUCAGUGACAUGAGUGAACUAGACUGAGAAUACCUUCAGUUAUUGAGCUAAGAAGCCAGCUGAGUAAUGUUUGAUCUUGAGAUCUCCAAAUUGUGUAUUCAGGAUUCUCGAUCUGUUGAGAAGAUCCAGCAGCUCCAGCAGUUGUUGCAGCAAAGCUUGAUGAUGCUAUAAAUCGAUUUGGUGCAAUCUUUUCUCCAUUAAUGUAUCCUUCAAGUCGAUUUCCUCUAAUGGAGGCCAGGACUUGAUUUUUCCAAAGCAUGUAGUUAGAUCUAUCUAAUUUGAUUGGUGUGAUGAAAGAAAAAGUUGUUUGAUUUGCAGCUACUGUAUUUUGAUUGUUUGUGAUUGCCAUGAUUGGCUCUGAUACCAUGAAGAAAUUGUAAAAAUGAAUAAAUGCUGUUGUUUGGCAGCUGAGAAAAUACAGAGGAAAAUUUUAUUUCAUUAAUGAAACUGAUAUUUUGUACAUAACAACAAUCACGAACAUGUAGCUAUUUAUACAUGCUUAUGUUCACUAACUAGUUGCUCACUAACUAAUUAUUAAUCACAAGCUCACUCAGCUAAUUAAUAACCAAACACAGAGUGUGCAUUGUGAAGUUAGUUAGGCUGGUAACUGCUGCUGACGUGGAUCUUCUGACGUGGCACUAAUGACAGCUGGUAACUUGACAUGCUGAUUCUUCUUCUUCACUUCUGCAUAAUGACAUAUCUUCACACCAGUCAAGAAGUUAUUUUCAGAUCCCAUACUUAACAAGACAUUACAAUCCCUUGCUGUUAAUAAUAAUUUGCAUCCUCUAUGAUCAUCGCCAAAAGGAAUUCCAACAGUCUCUAAAUCAAGAUAUUUCCAGAUGUUAUCCAGAAUCACAAGGAUCAUCUUCUCUUUCUUCAAUCGUUCAUAAAGUCUACUAGCUCUUCUAGAUUCAGCCUCCUCGGAAAACUCCAGACCUAGUUUCUCUGCAAUUUCCCCAUGAAUCUUUUUUAUGUCUGGAGUUUGGGAUACCUCUGAAAAAACCACCUGAUCAAAGAGUUUCUCUUCACUGGCUUGCCUUGCAAACUCCUUCACCAGUGUUGUCUUUCCAAUGCCGCCCAUGCCGUAUACCCCAACGAUGUUGACAUUGACAUCAGUCAAUGCAUCUUGUAUAGACUUCAGAGUAGAAAGUCUUGAUUUAAAGGCCUCGUAACCUUUGUUAGACUUUAGCCAUACCUCCUCCGCAAUGGUACGGUAGAAAAUUCUAUCAUCAAAUCUCCUAGCUUCUGAUGAGAUAUAAUUAGUAAUCUAGUAAAUUGAGCAAGAAGUUUGAAGGGUUAUUUGGUUUGUUUUUCAACGUGAAGUAAAGGGUAAAAUUGAUGUUUGCAAUGUGGCUUUGGAAAUGUAAAGCAUGAUUAAUGUAAUCUCCAGAGUUGUCUAUAAUGCAUAUAAAUAUAGAACUCUGGUUGUAUGAAAAGGAAGAGAGAAACGAAAAAAUGAAUUAAGCAAUAAAGUUUCAGAAAUUUCCAGCAAAAUACUCUGUUCUUAAAUAAAAAAAUUUCUGCACUUCCGCUUGCACCCAACAAAUUUGGUAUCAGAGCUUUUCAAAACACCCUCAAAAUGACAUCAAAUACCCUACCCACAUUAUUUUCAUAUGCUCCCAGUCAAGUUCCAAUAUUUGAAGGGGUACAUUAUGAAUAUUGGAGUAAUCAAAUAGAAACCUUUUUCCUCUCUCAAAAUUUAUGGGAUGUUGUUGAAGAUGGAUAUGCUGAACCACCAGAAUUUGCAAGUUCUUCAGAUUGGACUCCAGCACAUCAACAGCAGUACAAAGAAAACAUACAGAGAAAUGCCACGACACUUCGAUAUAUCUAGUAAGGUGUUAGUAAGUCAAUUUUCCCAGAAUAUUUGGUGUCAAAAAGGCCAAAAAUGCUUGGGAAAUCCUAAAACAAGAAUUUCAAGGUUCCGAAAAGGCAGUCACCAUCAAGUUACAAACUUUGUGGAAAGAGUUCAAUAAUUUAUCAAUGAAAGACAGUGAAGGAGUUCAAGAUUUUUGCAGUAGAGUUACUGAGAUUGUGAACCAGAUUAAAGGUUGCGGGGACUCCAUUGAAGACAAGAAGGUGAAUGAAAAGGUGCUGAGAUGUCUUCCUCCAAAUUUUGAUCAUGUAGCAGCAGCCAUUAAAGAAUCAAGGGAUUUGUCCAGGAUGACUUUUUCAGAUUUGUCAGGAUCAUUACGGUCUCAUGAGCAAAGAAUCAAUCGACCUUCAAGUCAGCCUACAGAGCAAGCUUUUCAGUCAAAGAUUAAUAAUUUAGAUCAGAAUAAAAGCAGCAAGAAAGACCAGAAGAACGGAGGCUCGUCUCAAAGAAACGGACAGCGUGGCAAAGGGAAAAGAGAAUAGAACGACAACCGCAACAAGUGGAAAAAUGACAGAGGGAAUUCACAGCAAAAUUCAGAUUCUCGGUGCAUCAUUUGUAAUUGGUCUAAUCAUGAAUUAAAAGAUUGUCGUUAUAAAUGCACAAGGUGUCGCAUUCCUAACCAUUCUCAAAGGGAUUGUUGGUAUCAAAAUAAAAAAGGCAAAAAUGAGGCAAAUUUUACAAAAGAAGGUGAUGGAGAUUACUUGUUUUAUUCAAGUAAAGGUACUGAACGUGAAUCAUAUAAUUUUUGGUACUUGGAUAGCGGCUGCAGCAACCACAUGACUAGAGAACGUGACAUUUUCAUCAGCCUUGACUAAAGUUUUAAUUCGCAAGUGAAGCUUGGAGAUGGAAAGAUGCAGAAAGCUGUGGGAAAAGGCACUAUUGCUGUCCAUACAAAGGGAGGUAACAAAAAGCUCAUUUCUGACGUUCUUUAUGUUCCAAAUUUAACUCAAAACCUCUUGAGUGUGGGACAGCUAAUUCAAAAGGGUUUUUCAAUUUAUUUUGAUGAUGAAAAAUGCAAAAUUAUUGAUAAAACUAAUAAUCACACAGUGGCCGUUGUUGAAAUGUCAAAGAACAAAGUUUUUCCUCUUGUUAUGCCACUUGAUGAGAAUGUUGCUCUCAAAACUGAAAAUUCAGAUUUGUCAACUUUAUGGCAUCUCAGAUAUGGCCAUUUAAACUAUAAAGGGCUGAAUUUGCUCAAGCAAAAGAACAUGGUGAUUGGCCUACCUGAUGUUGGAAGAUAUGAAAAAGUUUGCGAGGGCUGUAUUUAUGGAAAAAUGCAUAGACUUCCAUUUCCUAAAAAUUCAUGGAGAGCCAAAGCUCCGUUGGAGUUGGUGCAUGCUGAUAUUUGUGGUCCUACAAGGACUUUCUCUCUCAAUAACAGGAGAUAUUUCAUUCUUUUUGUUGUUGACUAUACAAGGAUGAUGUGGAUUUAUUUUUUGAAUGAAAAAUCAGAAGCUUUCUCAACUUUUCUUCAGUUUAAAGCUCUUGCAGAAAGGCAAAGUGGAUGCAAAAUGAAGACCUUGAGAACUGAUCGUGGUGGUAAAUUUAUCUACACUCCAUUCAUGAAUUAUUGCGGGGAUAAUGGAAUUCAAAGACAACUUACUGUCAGCCGAAGUCCACAACAAAACGGAGUCGCAGAACGGAAGAACCGUACCAUUGUAGAGAUGGCAAGAAGCAUGUUAAAAGGCAAAGGCAUUCCUAACAACUUAUGGGCAGAAGCAUGUCAUACAGCUGUGUACAUCCUCAACAGGUCUNNNNNNNNNNNNNNNNNNNNNNNNNNNNNNNNNNNNNNNNNNNNNNNNNNNNNNNNNNNNNNNNNNNNNNNNNNNNNNNNNNNNNNNNNNNNNNNNNNNNNNNNNNNNNNNNNNNNNNNNNNNNNNNNNNNNNNNNNNNNNNNNNNNNNNNNNNNNNNNNNNNAUAGUGAUGAGUCUAAAGGGUAUCGGUUGUUGAAUCCUACAACAAAUAAGCUUGUUAUCUCAAGAGAUGUUGUAUUUGAUGAGGCAUCAGCUUGGCAGUGGGAAAACGAUCAAUCUCAAGCAUCUAGCUUUUUUGAAGCUCCUGUAUCUCCACCAAAUUCUUCACAGCAAAAUAAUUUGGAACCAAAUUCUCCAAAUUCAGCAGCAGAAAGUUCUUCGGAUGAUGAAAGCCCUCCAAGGAAGAUAAAGUCAAUGAGAGAAAUUUAUGAGUCAUGUGAACUUGCUUUAUUUUCUUGUGAGCCUCAAGACUUUGAGGAGGCCUCAAGAAAUGAAGAUUGGAUCAAAGCAAUGAACGAGGAAAUGGCCACCAUUGUGAAAAAUAAAACUUGGGAGAUGGUUAAUUUGCCAAAUGGAAAAGAAACAAUUGGGCUGAAAUGGAUCUUCAAAAUCAAGUACAAUGAAGAUGGUUCAGUUCAAAAAUAUAAGGCGCGGCUCGUUGCCAAAGGAUACUCUCAGCUGCCUGGAGUUGAUUUUACAGAAACAUUUGCUCCCGUAGCUCGAAUGGAGACUAUUCGAACUGUUCUUGCCUUGGCAGCCCAAAUGGAAUUAAAUGUGUUUCAGCUAGAUGUAAAAUCGGCAUUUCUAAAUGGUGAAAUUGAAGACGAGGUUUAUGUUGAGCAGCCUAAAGGAGACUAAACGCAACNNNNNNNNNNNNNNNNNNNNNNNNNNNNNNNNNNNNNNNNNNNNNNNNNNNNNNNNNNNNNNNNNNNNNNNNNNNNNNNNNNNNNNNNNNNNNNNNNNNNNNNNNNNNNNNNNNNNNNNNNNNNNNNNNNNNNNNNNNNNNNNNNNNNNNNNNNNNNNNNNNNNNNNNNNNNNNNNNNNNNNNNNNNNNNNNNNNNNNNNNNNNNNNNNNNNNNNNNNNNNNNNNNNNNNNNNNNNNNNNNNNNNNNNNNNNNNNNNNNNNNNNNNNNNNNNNNNNNNNNNNNNNNNNNNNNNNNNNNNNNNNNNNNNNNNNNNNNNNNNNNNNNNNNNNNNNNNNNNNNNNNNNNNNNNNNNNNNNNNNNNNNNNNNNNNNNNNNNNNNNNNNNNNNNNNNNNNNNNNNNNNNNNNNNNNNNNNNNNNNNNNNNNNNNNNNNNNNNNNNNNNNNNNNNNNNNNNNNNNNNNNNNNNNNNNNNNNNNNNNNNNNNNNNNNNNNNNNNNNNNNNNNNNNNNNNNNNNNNNNNNNNNNNNNNNNNNNNNNNNNNNNNNNNNNNNNNNNNNNNNNNNNNNNNNNNNNNNNNNNNNNNNNNNNNNNNNNNNNNNNNNNNNNNNNNNNNNNNNNNNNNNNNNNNNNNNNNNNNNNNNNNNNNNNNNNNNNNNNNNNNNNNNNNNNNNNNNNNNNNNNNNNNNNNNNNNNNNNNNNNNNNNNNNNNNNNNNNNNNNNNNNNNNNNNNNNNNNNNNNNNNNNNNNNNNNNNNNNNNNNNNNNNNNNNNNNNNNNNNNNNNNNNNNNNNNNNNNNNNNNNNNNNNNNNNNNNNNNNNNNNNNNNNNNNNNNNNNNNNNNNNNNNNNNNNNNNNNNNNNNNNNNNNNNNNNNNNNNNNNNNNNNNNNNNNNNNNNNNNNNNNNNNNNNNNNNNNNNNNNNNNNNNNNNNNNNNNNNNNNNNNNNNNNNNNNNNNNNNNNNNNNNNNNNNNNNNNNNNNNNNNNNNNNNNNNNNNNNNNNNNNNNNNNNNNNNNNNNNNNNNNNNNNNNNNNNNNNNNNNNNNNNNNNNNNNNNNNNNNNNNNNNNNNNNNNNNNNNNNNNNNNNNNNNNNNNNNNNNNNNNNNNNNNNNNNNNNNNNNNNNNNNNNNNNNNNNNNNNNNNNNNNNNNNNNNNNNNNNNNNNNNNNNNNNNNNNNNNNNNNNNNNNNNNNNNNNNNNNNNNNNNNNNNNNNNNNNNNNNNNNNNNNNNNNNNNNNNNNNNNNNNNNNNNNNNNNNNNNNNNNNNNNNNNNNNNNNNNNNNNNNNNNNNNNNNNNNNNNNNNNNNNNNNNNNNNNNNNNNNNNNNNNNNNNNNNNNNNNNNNNNNNNNNNNNNNNNNNNNNNNNNNNNNNNNNNNNNNNNNNNNNNNNNNNNNNNNNNNNNNNNNNNNNNNNNNNNNNNNNNNNNNNNNNNNNNNNNNNNNNNNNNNNNNNNNNNNNNNNNNNNNNNNNNNNNNNNNNNNNNNNNNNNNNNNNNNNNNNNNNNNNNNNNNNNNNNNNNNNNNNNNNNNNNNNNNNNNNNNNNNNNNNNNNNNNNNNNNNNNNNNNNNNNNNNNNNNNNNNNNNNNNNNNNNNNNNNNNNNNNNNNNNNNNNNNNNNNNNNNNNNNNNNNNNNNNNNNNNNNNNNNNNNNNNNNNNNNNNNNNNNNNNNNNNNNNNNNNNNNNNNNNNNNNNNNNNNNNNNNNNNNNNNNNNNNNNNNNNNNNNNNNNNNNNNNNNNNNNNNNNNNNNNNNNNNNNNNNNNNNNNNNNNNNNNNNNNNNNNNNNNNNNNNNNNNNNNNNNNNNNNNNNNNNNNNNNNNNNNNNNNNNNNNNNNNNNNNNNNNNNNNNNNNNNNNNNNNNNNNNNNNNNNNNNNNNNNNNNNNNNNNNNNNNNNNNNNNNNNNNNNNNNNNNNNNNNNNNNNNNNNNNNNNNNNNNNNNNNNNNNNNNNNNNNNNNNNNNNNNNNNNNNNNNNNNNNNNNNNNNNNNNNNNNNNNNNNNNNNNNNNNNNNNNNNNNNNNNNNNNNNNNNNNNNNNNNNNNNNNNNNNNNNNNNNNNNNNNNNNNNNNNNNNNNNNNNNNNNNNNNNNNNNNNNNNNNNNNNNNNNNNNNNNNNNNNNNNNNNNNNNNNNNNNNNNNNNNNNNNNNNNNNNNNNNNNNNNNNNNNNNNNNNNNNNNNNNNNNNNNNNNNNNNNNNNNNNNNNNNNNNNNNNNNNNNNNNNNNNNNNNNNNNNNNNNNNNNNNNNNNNNNNNNNNNNNNNNNNNNNNNNNNNNNNNNNNNNNNNNNNNNNNNNNNNNNNNNNNNNNNNNNNNNNNNNNNNNNNNNNNNNNNNNNNNNNNNNNNNNNNNNNNNNNNNNNNNNNNNNNNNNNNNNNNNNNNNNNNNNNNNNNNNNNNNNNNNNNNNNNNNNNNNNNNNNNNNNNNNNNNNNNNNNNNNNNNNNNNNNNNNNNNNNNNNNNNNNNNNNNNNNNNNNNNNNNNNNNNNNNNNNNNNNNNNNNNNNNNNNNNNNNNNNNNNNNNNNNNNNNNNNNNNNNNNNNNNNNNNNNNNNNNNNNNNNNNNNNNNNNNNNNNNNNNNNNNNNNNNNNNNNNNNNNNNNNNNNNNNNNNNNNNNNNNNNNNNNNNNNNNNNNNNNNNNNNNNNNNNNNNNNNNNNNNNNNNNNNNNNNNNNNNNNNNNNNNNNNNNNNNNNNNNNNNNNNNNNNNNNNNNNNNNNNNNNNNNNNNNNNNNNNNNNNNNNNNNNNNNNNNNNNNNNNNNNNNNNNNNNNNNNNNNNNNNNNNNNNNNNNNNNNNNNNNNNNNNNNNNNNNNNNNNNNNNNNNNNNNNNNNNNNNNNNNNNNNNNNNNNNNNNNNNNNNNNNNNNNNNNNNNNNNNNNNNNNNNNNNNNNNNNNNNNNNNNNNNNNNNNNNNNNNNNNNNNNNNNNNNNNNNNNNNNNNNNNNNNNNNNNNNNNNNNNNNNNNNNNNNNNNNNNNNNNNNNNNNNNNNNNNNNNNNNNNNNNNNNNNNNNNNNNNNNNNNNNNNNNNNNNNNNNNNNNNNNNNNNNNNNNNNNNNNNNNNNNNNNNNNNNNNNNNNNNNNNNNNNNNNNNNNNNNNNNNNNNNNNNNNNNNNNNNNNNNNNNNNNNNNNNNNNNNNNNNNNNNNNNNNNNNNNNNNNNNNNNNNNNNNNNNNNNNNNNNNNNNNNNNNNNNNNNNNNNNNNNNNNNNNNNNNNNNNNNNNNNNNNNNNNNNNNNNNNNNNNNNNNNNNNNNNNNNNNNNNNNNNNNNNNNNNNNNNNNNNNNNNNNNNNNNNNNNNNNNNNNNNNNNNNNNNNNNNNNNNNNNNNNNNNNNNNNNNNNNNNNNNNNNNNNNNNNNNNNNNNNNNNNNNNNNNNNNNNNNNNNNNNNNNNNNNNNNNNNNNNNNNNNNNNNNNNNNNNNNNNNNNNNNNNNNNNNNNNNNNNNNNNNNNNNNNNNNNNNNNNNNNNNNNNNNNNNNNNNNNNNNNNNNNNNNNNNNNNNNNNNNNNNNNNNNNNNNNNNNNNNNNNNNNNNNNNNNNNNNNNNNNNNNNNNNNNNNNNNNNNNNNNNNNNNNNNNNNNNNNNNNNNNNNNNNNNNNNNNNNNNNNNNNNNNNNNNNNNNNNNNNNNNNNNNNNNNNNNNNNNNNNNNNNNNNNNNNNNNNNNNNNNNNNNNNNNNNNNNNNNNNNNNNNNNNNNNNNNNNNNNNNNNNNNNNNNNNNNNNNNNNNNNNNNNNNNNNNNNNNNNNNNNNNNNNNNNNNNNNNNNNNNNNNNNNNNNNNNNNNNNNNNNNNNNNNNNNNNNNNNNNNNNNNNNNNNNNNNNNNNNNNNNNNNNNNNNNNNNNNNNNNNNNNNNNNNNNNNNNNNNNNNNNNNNNNNNNNNNNNNNNNNNNNNNNNNNNNNNNNNNNNNNNNNNNNNNNNNNNNNNNNNNNNNNNNNNNNNNNNNNNNNNNNNNNNNNNNNNNNNNNNNNNNNNNNNNNNNNNNNNNNNNNNNNNNNNNNNNNNNNNNNNNNNNNNNNNNNNNNNNNNNNNNNNNNNNNNNNNNNNNNNNNNNNNNNNNNNNNNNNNNNNNNNNNNNNNNNNNNNNNNNNNNNNNNNNNNNNNNNNNNNNNNNNNNNNNNNNNNNNNCUCAAGGAUUUGCAGUUCAAUCAAGAUGCUGCAACAACAAUUUAUUGUGACAACAUGUCAGCCAUUGCUCUAACAAAGAACCCCGUAUUUCAUGCUAAAUCUAAGCACAUUGAGCUGCGUUAUCACUACAUCCGUGACUUAGUAAGCAAAGGAGAAGUUAAUAUGGAGUUUAUCAACACUAAUGAGCAGCCAGCAGAUUUUGUCACGUGGGUCACCGUCGAUUUUUACCAACAAAUCAUAGGUUUCGAAAAUAUAGUGUCUUUUGAUAAAACUAGAGAGUAGGGACAAGCACCUUCUCGGUUGUCUGGAACUGAAGUGAAAAAGCAGUUUAAUAUAGUUACUGAGUAUAAGAUUGAAGACUUGAAAAGAGGAGAACGAAUAAAAUGAGAGAAAUGAUAAGAUUACCUGGAAGAAGAACAGCAUUUUUUAUGAACUAACGUAUUGGUUUUUGAUAUCAUGAUCUUGAUAUCAUGCACUGUUUUGAUUUUUGUUAUGAACUCAGAUCAAAAGUUUAAUGUGAUCAAAAUUUCUUAAAAAUAGUGACAACGACUCCUCCUAAUAACAUUGAAGAUGGCUAUAAAAGAUAAAAGGAAAGGAUUAAAAAGAAAAGCUACGCCUGUUUCAAAAAAAAAAAUGGCGGCAUCAAGUUUAUAACAAAAAUCAAAACGGUGCGUUUGAAAGUGUAUAAAAUACAUUUAGAGCGGGAGUUGCGUUGUUUCUUGAAGGCAGAAUGUUUGUGAGAUUUUUGUCGACGAAGCCAAAACCAAAGAUGAAGCCCAUAGAGCUCAAAACUCCACCGGAGCAAAUUCAGACAAUUACGAGGGUUAUAUUUGACAUGGUCAAGGAAGACGGUCCUCUCACCGUCGCCGAUUCUUGGGAACGCGUCAAGGUGUGUGUAUCUGUUAAAUUGAAUUUCAACCGUUUGGUCUGUAAUUAUAAUUAAUCCUAUCGAUCUGACAGUGAUGAUUGAUCAUAAUACUAGUAGUUGUUUUACAUUUUCUACAAGCUGGAGUGAGUGGAUUGACGGGCAAAAGCCACNNNNNNNNNNNNNNNNNNNNNNNNNNNNNNNNNNNNNNNNNNNNNNNNNNNNNNNNNNNNNNNNNNNNNNNNNNNNNNNNNNNNNNNNNNNNNNNNNNNNNNNNNNNNNNNNNNNNNNNNNNNNNNNNNNNNNNNNNNNNNNNNNNNNNNNNNNNNNNNNNNNNNNNNNNNNNNNNNNNNNNNNNNNNNNNNNNNNNNNNNNNNNNNNNNNNNNNNNNNNNNNNNNNNNNNNNNNNNNNNNNNNNNNNNNNNNNNNNNNNNNNNNNNNNNNNNNNNNNNNNNNNNNNNNNNNNNNNNNNNNNNNNNNNNNNNNNNNNNNNNNNNNNNNNNNNNNNNNNNNNNNNNNNNNNNNNNNNNNNNNNNNNNNNNNNNNNNNNNNNNNNNNNNNNNNNNNNNNNNNNNNNNNNNNNNNNNNNNNNNNNNNNNNNNNNNNNNNNNNNNNNNNNNNNNNNNNNNNNNNNNNNNNNNNNNNNNNNNNNNNNNNNNNNNNNNNNNNNNNNNNNNNNNNNNNNNNNNNNNNNNNNNNNNNNNNNNNNNNNNNNNNNNNNNNNNNNNNNNNNNNNNNNNNNNNNNNNNNNNNNNNNNNNNNNNNNNNNNNNNNNNNNNNNNNNNNNNNNNNNNNNNNNNNNNNNNNNNNNNNNNNNNNNNNNNNNNNNNNNNNNNNNNNNNNNNNNNNNNNNNNNNNNNNNNNNNNNNNNNNNNNNNNNNNNNNNNNNNNNNNNNNNNNNNNNNNNNNNNNNNNNNNNNNNNNNNNNNNNNNNNNNNNNNNNNNNNNNNNNNNNNNNNNNNNNNNNNNNNNNNNNNNNNNNNNNNNNNNNNNNNNNNNNNNNNNNNNNNNNNNNNNNNNNNNNNCAAGCCACAUGAAGAUUGUGUAGAGAUGGAUGAGGGAGAGACAAAAGCUCAGGCUCGUCUGCAACCAUGUGGGCCCUCAUUAGCAACUCCUGUACACAGCUUGGCUUACCAAGCCCAACAACUUGAAGCAGGCAAAGUCAGGGAAUGACCAUUCCCCUUCACAACCCUAGCUGCCUUAACCUUGUAUCUCUGAUAUUUAGUUAAAGAGUAAGAAGAUUGCUCCUCUGUCAAUUACCUUUAAGAGAGACUUUCUUUCUCAUUCAUUGAUGCUUGCUUGUGAACGCAAGGGUUUUAGUUACACUUUCAACGCUGUCAAUGUAGUGACACGAUGAAGAUGAAGUAAAGCAGUAGUAGAAUAAUGAAGUUGGAAGCCCCACAGCAUGAAAACUUUUAAACAGUAACACAUCUUUUAUUCCAGAGGCUGCACACGAGUGACCUGAAUCUUCUUCAGAACUUUCAAAUUUUAUUAAGCAAAGCUUUCAAAAUUUCUCAACAAAAUGAUUAUUUGGUGUGGUUGCGGCAUUUUGAGUAACUGCGAUUUGUUCUCAAGUACAAAAUCCUUGCCUUCCUAAGUUAGAAAAGAUAGAUGUGAAGCAAACCAAAUGAAAUAAAUGGGUAAACAGAACAAACAGGGCGAAAAUUAAAAAUGAUGGCAAUUAACAAAUUAAUAGCAACGUUACAUUUGACUCUUUAGCCCUUUGUUCCUUCUCUUAGCAUUCUUCAAAGUUUUUGAAAAUUGGAAGUGAAGCAAACAAAAUAAAAUAAAUUUAGACAACACAUGCCCUGUAUUCAGCAUCAUAUAUAUCUCGAAGACUAGAAUUUCAAACAGUACUAGUAGUAAAAAAAUGACGACAACAACAAAAAUAGAAAAUUACAAGACUGCUGAUAAAAUUUCAUUUGCAUGCAUGUCUGACAAAAUUUCCGUGAUUUAAUGUGCCUUCAUGCACGCAAAUCCUAACGUUUCUGUGAUCACAAAAUGAAACUGGAGAUAAAUCAGAACACCUACCAAACCUUUGGCUGAAAAUUCAGAAGAAUUUAUAUUCAAGAUGUCAAAGUAAACUGGAAAUUUAUGGCACAUAUUACAAGAAGCAGUACACACCAAUGGUAAAUUGAUUCAUCGUCUUUGAACUUAAGAUAGUCAAAUGAAAGAAACACAACGGAGGGUUAAUGCAAUACAGUAAAGUGAAAACCCUCAGCAUGUAAACUUAACUUCAAAGAACGGAGCACAAGUUUCACAGAAAAGUAGCUCUUAUUCCUGAUGCUGCAAACACAGAGGAGUGUUCUCAAUCUUCUUCAUAACUUGGGAAUUCUGCAAUUAUAGAGCACGACAUUGAGCACGAACUAAAAAAAAAAAUUAUUUUCUACAAUUUUCAUAUAACCUGACUAACCAAUAUUAAUUUUGUGGUAAUGUAUUGGGUCAUUAAUUCAUAUGUUUUUACAAUCAUCACUUUAGAAAAAAACUAAUUUCUCAAUGUGAAAUGGCCCAUUGAAAGUAUUCUCAUUUAAAAACUAAAUUUGACGGACCCCUCGAUUAAAGCAGGGAAAAAAAAAAAAGAGAUCUGAGGCUUUCCACAUGAAAAUGUUGUUUGUCACUUUGAAUGAUAUUUUGAAGGGAUUUCAUUCUAAAAAUAAAAUACCUGGGACCUCAUUCUUCAAAAUUGACAACUCGCCAGGUAUUAAAAGCGUAUGAGAUCAGUACUGCGACGAGUAAGAAGACGACCCCUCUAACAGCUGAAAACAAAAUUCGCAUUCAUCAAUUUAAAUUAAAAUUCAUAUUAUGAAACUAAAACUAAUGAUUAAUGAAUUUUCGAGGAAUUUAAUAAGAUUCUCAGAUAUAAACGUGAUAACAAAUUCACUCAUCAAUAACAAAUAUUCUAACAGUUGUCCGUACCUUUUCUUGAUGUAAUUGUUGUAUGAUUGCGUUAAGGUCAUUAUUAGACCAACGCAGGUUGUCCUCUCUCUGUCCGUACCGGAAGUUUACUCUGACAGGCGUGCUUAAUUCUCUUUUGGUGAAAAUCUUCAUCUUGGGACAACCAAUCACAGCAAGAUCUUCCAAAGAUGGGAAUUUGAAGGUGUAAUUGACAGAGGAGAAGCUUGUGAGACUAUCUAAAUCAAAGAGGGACAACGUAGUCAGUUUGCUGAAAACAAUCUCUUCUUUUAAAUUUGCUGUUUCAUCUUCGUCACUUAUUACGACUUCUGUGAUUGCUCUGCAUCCAAAUACACCCAAUGAUACGAGUCGGUCUAGACUUUUUGCUGUGGAGGAUGUUAGUAAGUUCAUCAAUUUCUUGCAAGCAAAAGCUUGCAGGCGUGUGAGAUUCCGAAAAGAUACCGAUGAUGAUGGCAAUGUUGGAACAUUUUCAAAAUAAAUGUGUCUUAUGGUAAAGACAUGUCCUAUUAAUUGUGCCUUAUAGAAAAUGUACCUUUCACUAAAGACAUGUCUAAUUAAAUGAUGUCUUGUUGUAAGGACAUGUCCAUUUAAUUGUGUCUUGUAGAAAAUGUAUCUUUUUACUAAAUGAUGUAACUUUUCAUGACAACAUUUCACUUAGAGAUGCAUCAUUUCAUGGUGACAUUUCAUUUGAAAUUGUGAUGAUUCAAUUUGGACCAUUGAUUAAAAUCAAAUCUAGAUCCAAUGGCCAUGAAUGAAGGGGUAUCAUGAAAGAUGACAACCCAAAUGAGGGGGCACAAGUAUAUCUAUAAAUAGGGAUCAUGUUUAAGCCAUUUAGACAUGAAAUAAAUGAUCCUACACCACUCUUUUCUUAGCAUUCUUUUCUAGUACGAAUUUCAACACAAAACACCCAUUUCUUUUGUGCAUUCACAUUCCAAUAUAUUGUUUUCUGCAGGAACAAUAUAUUGUUUCUUGGCAGGCUUGCAACAUUCAAGAGUAUUCUGGUUUGCUUUCGUCGAUGCACAGCGCAAGCAAACAAACAAGUGCUUCAUUGUAUCCUGGAGGCGUAUUUGCUUAACCUAUGUGCAUCACUCAAUUGGUGGGGGCAAAUAACGUCUUAAGGAAAGCGACAUUUGUAACGUGCCUUGAAGCACACAAAAUUUCUGCAGUUUCUUCCUAUAUACAGAGUUAGUUGUAAACACAUUACUUUACAUAAUAAAGUUCCACCAUUAUUGUUGUAUUUUUCUACAUUUGCCAUUCCCCAAAAAUUUUACCACCAACAAUCUUAAGACGUUAUUUCUACAACAAUGGCACCAAGUUCAUCUCUUCGACAAUUCACAGUAGAUUUUGUCAAAUUGGAGCGGUUCGAUGGUGGCAACUUUAUUCGUUGGCAGAAAAAGUUGCAUUUCUUGUUGACAAGCAUCAAUGUGGUCUAUGUUCUCACAACACCAAAGCCUCAAGAACGUGAGAAUGAGACAUUAGCGGAAACCAGAGUGCAACAUAAGUGGGAGCAAGAUGACUACGUGUGUAAGGGACACAUUUGCAAUGCCAUGUCUGAUACUUUGUUUGAUCAAUAUCACAACAAACCUACAGCAAAAGAGAUAUGGGACUCAUUAGAGGCUAAGUACAUGAUGGAAGAUGCCACAAGUAAGAAAUUAUUGGCUUCUAAAUUUUUUAAUUAUAGAAUGGUUGAUAAUAGAAUUGUGGUUGAACAACAUAAUGAGAUUUUGCAUAUUCUUGAUCAAUUCAACCAACAUAACAUGAAAAUGGAUGAGUCUAUUAUUGUCUCUUCAAUUAUUGAUAAACUUCCUCCCUCUUGGAAAGACUAUAAGAAAAGUCUUAAACAUAACAAAGAGGAAAUUAGUCUGGAUGGCUUAGGCCAAAGUCUUCGCAUUGAAGAGGAACUCAAGCUUAAUAGUUUUGAGGAUCAGACUACUACGUCCUCUAAAAUUAAUGUCGUAGAGGAAGGGAAGGAGUUUAAACAUUCUAAUCACCCUAAGAAUAAUCAAAAGAGAAAGUUUGAUUCCAAAGAGAAUCAAAACAAUAAGAAGAAAAAGAAGGGUACAUGCCACCACUGCGGAAAACCUGGCCACUUCAAAAGAGAUUGUCGACUUCUGAAGAAACAAAAGAAAGUUUCGAACACAAAUUUUGUGGCCAUGAUAUCUGAGAUUAAUGUUCUUGAAGAUGAUAAUGCAUGGUGGAUAGAUUCAGGUGCAACCAAGCAUGUAUGCAAGGAUCGUAGCCUUUUCAAAUCUUAUAAAGCAAUGGAUGAUGGAAGUGUUCUUUACAUGGGAAAUUCCUCCACUGCAAUAGUUAAAGGAAAAGGCAAUGUGCAACUAGAGUUUACUUCUGGAAAAACUUUAACUCUUAUUGAUGUUUAUCAUGUUCCUGAAGUUAGGAAAAACCUUGUAUCUGGUAGCCUUCUUAAUAAGUUUGGCUUCAAACUUGUUUUUGAGUCAAACCAAUUUAUAUUAUCUAAGGGUGGUACCUUUGUUGGGAAAGGAUACAUGUAUGAAGGAAUGUUUAAACUCAAUAUCAAUAAUAUGAAUGUUUCUUCUGCUUAUAUGGUUGAUUCAUUAUCUUUGUGGCAUAAUCGUUUAGGACAUGUGAAUAUUAGAAGAUUGCAUGAUAUGGCUAAUUUAGAGUUAAUUCCUAAGCAUGAAAAUGAUAUGCAUGAAAAAUGUAAAGUAUGUGCACAGACUAAAAUCACAAGAUCUCCUUUUCCAAAAAUUGAAAAAACAUCUUCUUUAUUGCAUUUAAUUCAUAGCGAUGUGUGUGAUAUGCAUAGUAAUCCUUCUAAAUGUGGUAAAAAAUAUUUUGUAACAUUUAUUGAUGAUUUUUCAAAAUAUUGCUAUGUGUAUUUAUUACAUUCUAAAGAUCAAGUGUUAGAAAAAUUUAAAACUUAUAAAAAUGAAGUUGAGAAUUUUUGUGACACUAAAAUUAAAUGCCUUAGAAGUGAUAAAGGAGGUGAAUAUGCUUUUUCUGAAUUUUGUGAAUCUGUUGGCAUUGUACAUGAAACUAGCACUGCAUGUACUCCACAACAAAAUGGCGUAGCUGAAAGGAAAAAUAGGACAUUAAUAGAAAUGGUUAAUGCUAUGCUUUUUAAUGCUGGGCUUGGUAAAGGUUUUUGGGGUGAAGCUAUUUUAACUGCAUGUCAUAUCUUAAAUAGAGUGCCUAAUAAGAAAACAAAGGUGACCCCAUAUGAAUUAUGGAAAAAGAGAAAGCCUAAUCUUUCUUAUCUAAGAGUUUGGGGUUGUCGAGCCAUUGUAAGACUACCAAAACCUAAGAUAAAGAAAUUAGGAGAAAGGGGCAUUGAAUGCAUAUUCUUGGGAUAUGCUGAGCAUAGUAAAGCUUAUAGGUUUCUUGUAACAGAACCUAAUAGCUUUGUUGAGAUCAAUACUAUAGUGGAAUCUAGAGAUGCAAUAUUAUAUGAAAAUAGAUUUUCCACUAUACCAAAAAGUAUUGAUUCUCAAGAGAAUGAUAAACAAAUAGAAAUUGGUCAAAAGCGUGAUGCUAAUAAUGAGCAAAAUCAUUUGAGAAGAAGUAAAAGAAUAAGGACUAUAAAAUCUUUUCCAGAUUUUAUAGUCUAUUUAGUUGAAGGGACAAGAGACUCACAAUCAAAACAGACCAUGAUCGUAUCUACUAUAGAGUCUGAUCCCCUCACCUAUGAAGAUGCAAUGAAGUCUCAAGAUGCUGCUUUUUGGAAAGAGGCCAUUAAUGAUGAAAUGGACUCUAUUGUGGGUAAUAAGACUUGGAAAUUAGUUGAUUUACCACCUGGCUCUAAUCCUAUAGGUUGUAAAUGGAUUUUCAAAAAGAAGAAGAAAGUUGAUGGAACAAUUGAAAGAUUUAAAGCAAGACUAGUAGCAAAAGGCUUUACACAAAAAGAAGGCCUUGAUUAUUUUGAUACUUAUGCACCUGUUGCAAGAAUUGCUACUAUUAGAGUCUUGAUUGCUUUGGCUUCAAUUUAUCAAUUUGAAAUCCAUCAAAUGGAUGUAAAAACAGCUUUCUUAAAUGGAGAAUUAGAUGAGGAAAUUUACAUGAAACAACCAGAAGGGUUUGUUAUGCCAGGACAAGAACAUAAAGUUUGUAAACUAGUCAAGUCUUUAUAUGGUCUUAAACAAGCUCCAAAGCAGUGGCACGAAAAGUUUGACAAAGUGAUUGUCUCAAAUGGAUUUAAUAUUCAUGAAUCUGAUAAAUGUGUCUAUAGCAGAUUCAAUGGAAAUAAAGGUGUGAUUAUUUGUUUAUAUGUAGAUGACAUGUUAAUUUUUGGUAUUGAUAGUGAGAGCAUUGAACUCACUAAAUUAUUAUUGUCAUCUAAUUUUGAUAUGAAAGACAUGAGACUUGCUGAUGUGAUUUUGGGGAUUAAAAUUAUAAAAAAUGAGAAUGGCCUAGUAUUGACCCAAUCACAUUAUAUUGAGAAAAUUUUAAAGAAAUUUAAUUAUUAUGAUUGUAAGUCUGUGUCAACACCUUUUGAUUCAAACAUAAGACUGUAUCCUAACACUGGCAUAUCAGUAUCUCAAUUAGAAUAUGCACGUAUUAUUGGGUGUUUUAUGUAUGCGAUGACUUGUACUAGGCCUGAUAUUGCUUUCGCUAUUGGAAAGCUCAGUAGAUAUACUAGUAAUCCAAGCCAAGCACACUGGCAAGCAGUGUACAAAAUUCUAAAAUAUUUAAAACAUACAAUGGAUUAUGGUAUAUACUACACUGGAUAUCCUUCAGUUUUGGAAGGAUUUUCAGAUGCUAGUUGGAUUACUGAUCGAGAUGAUCAUACAUCCACAAGUGGUUGGAUUUUUAAUCUUGGUGGAGGAGCUAUUUCAUGGGGUUCAAAGAAGUAAACUUGUAUAGCAGACUCCACCAUGGCUGCAGAAUUUGUAGCGUUGGCUUCAUGUUGCAAGGAAGCUGAAUGGUUAAGGAAUUUGCUUAUAGAAAUUCCUAUUUGGCCUAAACCAAUGCCUCCUGUAUCUAUUCACUGUGAUAGUGAGGCAACUUUAUCAAGAGCAUAUAGUCAAAUCUAUAAUGGAAAGUCUAGGCACAUUGGUCUGAGACAUAGUUAUGUAAGACAAUUACUUACAGAUGGAGUAAUCACAAUUGACUUUGUGAAAUCAUGCCAAAAUUUGGCAGACCCCUUAACUAAAGGUCUUGCAAGGGAUAUUGUAUUUAAAACUUCUAAGGGGAUGGGACUGAAGCCAACAUCAUCUUAUCACCAAUGAUGGAAACUCAACCCAACACUUGAAAUAUCAAGAUCUUGGGUUCAAUGAGCAAAAGUACAUCAUAUGUUGUGAUAGGAAGCACUAUAAUAUUUUUAGAUGCGUCCCAAAGGUUAGUGCUUGAUACUUGUAACAUAUGGGAAAGGUUAAGCUACUUAGCUUUUAAUGGACUUAUAAAUGUUUUAGUUACAGGGACAUUCUAGAUAAGUCUACCUAUGUGAGUGUAUGAGGUGGUGCCGCUUCCUAUGUAACUUGGCUGGUUACUAAAGCGCUAAUGAAAACAGGAUAUAGACACAGGGCCAAUCCACGUGUCGGCUAAGGAAUACUUGAGAAUUUGAAAACUUAUGUGUGAGGUAUAUCCGGUUAGUCGAUUAAGGUCGCUGGUUCAAAGCUUGCCUACCAUGCCACCUUGAUUAACUUUGAUGUAUUGUCACUAAGUGAAGGUUCAAGUCCACAAGACACCUUCAUCUAUGCAUAAGUUUUCCAAGCCUGUGUAAGAUAAUUUUUCAAAAUUCAUUUAUUUUGAAAAUGGUGGGGGAUUGUUGGAACAUUUUCAAAAUAAAUGUGUCUUAUGGUAAAGACAUGUCCUAUUAAUUGUGCCUUAUAGAAAAUGUACCUUUCACUAAAGACAUGUCUAAUUAAAUGAUGUUUUGUUGUAAGGACAUGUCCAUUUAAUUGUGUCUUGUAGAAAAGGUAUCUUUUUACUAAAUGAUGUAACUUUUCAUGACAACAUUUCACUUAGAGAUGCAUCAUUUCAUGGUGACAUUUCAUUUGAAAUGGUGAUGAUUCAAUUUGGACCAUUGAUUAAAAUCAAAUCUAGAUCCAAUGGCCAUGAAUGAAGGGGUAUCAUGAAAGAUGACAACCCAAAUGAGGGGGCACAAAUAUAUCUAUAAAUAGGGAUCAUGUUUAAGCCAUUUAGACAUGAAAUAAAUGAUCCUACACCACUCUUUUCUUAGCAUUCUUUUCUAGUACGAAUUUCAACACAAAACACCCAUUUCUUUUGUGCAUUCACAUUCCAAUAUAUUGUUUUCUGCAGGAACAAUAUAUUGUUUCUUGGCAGGCUUGCAACAUUCAAGAGUAUUCUGGUUUGCUUUCGUCGAUGCACAACGCAAGCAAACAAACAAGUGUUUCAUUGUAUCCUGGAGGCGUAUUUGCUUAACCUAUGUGCAUCACUCAAUUAGUGGGGGCAAAUAACGUCUUAAGGAAAUCGACAUUUGUAACGUGCCUUGAAGCACACAAAAUUUCUGCAGUUUCUUCCUAUAUACAGAGUUAGUUGUAAACACAUUACUUUACAUAAUAAAGUUCCACCAUUAUUGUUGUAUUUUUCUACAUUUGCCAUUCCCCACAAAUUUUACCACCAACAGGCAAUAGACUUAACAGAUUUUGACAGUGAUAUGCUCUUAGAAUUUCAAGAUGUUGAAAAAUGAAGUCCGGCUGUUUGGAAUCGUGUUUCCACAGUUGCUGUAGAUGAUUAAGUCUUGUCAGGUGUAACUCUUUUAUCAGUGCUAGCUUCCUCGCAUGUGUCUCCAAAUACCACUUCGUACGAACAAUCCGACAGGUGGAGAAAUUCCAGAUUGUGAAACCUCUCAAGUAAACCAAGUGGAAAGAAAGCUAAGUCAUCAUCCUCAACCUGUAGUCGUUUGAGACUGCCAAAGAUGUGUUGGGGGAAAUGGCCUUGCAAAAUCAUCGUGAUAUCUUUUCCACUUAAUGCCAGUUCCUCCAAGUUGGGUAAGAUCUGAUCAUCAUCGAGCUCAAAUUAUUAACUCAGCACAUUGAUCCAUAAUUCAAGACUGGCAAAAUUCAUUAUGUAAUCAAAGUUUUCAAUGAUUAUAUAUAUAUAUAUAUAGUGCUUUCGUUGGAAUUAAUUAUUAAAAGCUUUAAUCAAACAAUGUUUGGAUUGGGUCGGCCUAUCCAACUUUUAAAUAAGAUUACCAACUUUAAAUUAAAAUUGCUUUAGAUCGCGGUUGGUCAGGUUUUAGUGGAGGUACGUGGCGUUGUAUCUAGAUCGAUGCAGAGCCAAGUCUGUCCUUUGGAACCAGAUCUGACUUAGGACAGAUCAAUAUUCCGCACGCUCUAGUUUCCAGCCGAUAUACCAAUAUUAUUUACCAAAUAUUUAUUAAGUUCUUUAGUCAAGCCUAGCAACAACAUUCAUCUAAAGGCUUGGGUGCAUACACAGUACUAUUUCCUUCUGGUAUCAGAGCCAAGGGGAGGAUAGUGUAAUACAGUUUAGAGUUUUGUGUUUAAAGACUUGUGUUUUAUUUUGAAGUUUUGUUGUGUGGUGAAUUUUUACUGGUAGUAAGUCCCGUCCAAGGAUAAGUUUUUCGUUUAGGGCUGUAAAACCAUACCUGUAGCCAUUCUGACCAAACCAUAAAUAGACCAUAGGUUUGUAACCAUGGAUCCUCUACUCUGUAGAACAUCGUCCUUUUCUAGCUCUUCUUCCGGGAAGACUAGUGAUUCAAAGCAUGUUGUGAGUUCAGAAGAAUUCGUUAUUGAGAACUUUGAUAAAGCAAUUGAUUGUUGGGAACUUCCAAAAGUUUCUAAAGAAAAGAUUUACAAAACAAAAAAGCUUGAUUUUCUAAAAAAUGAUUAUGUAAUAAAGACUGAAGAAAGAGACAUAACUCUCUCAGAACCUUUUGAAACAAUUCAUUUGUUUUCAGAAAAAUCUUUAAAGAAAUUAAGAGAAAAGAAUUAUAAUUAUAUUCACAUUGGUUUAAUCCAAGUUGGAAUAAAACCUUUGACCAAAGAAGGCUUGGAUACUUCUAUCCUUACUGUCCUUAGAGAUGGGCGAUUCAUCUCUUUUGAUGAUUCUUUGCUAAGUAGCAUCGAAUCCAGUCUUUGUAAAUGUCCGAUCUCUUUUGAUUGUUAUCCAAACAUAACAAUUUCUCUUAAAGAUAAAAACAUUUUGAAAAACAUGAUCUUACAAAUCAAAACGCAUAAUUAUAAUAUGAUUAAGGGAUCUGUCCCAGUUGCCUUAAUUUUCAAAAUUUCUUAUAAAGCCAUGAUCUUUGCGUUCAGUACGCAACACAAAUUCCAGUCAGAAAGAGAUGAAACUCUUCUCUUGCAGACUGAUAUGUCUAAAGCCAAUACUGUCAUUCCAAAACCAAUCUAGUGGAAAGAUGUCAAUCUUCCAGAAGAAUGGAUUCUUGAAGGAGCUGCUCCACCAGCAAUUCCAAAACAACUUGAACCUAAUACGGAGUUGCAAAAAGUGACUCAGUAUUCUGAUGGUAGAGUUAAACUGUCUUUCAGGAGAUCUAACUCAACCAGAUUUUCUGAUAAAGAGUCGUGUUCAAGUAUUCCUUCAUUAGAAAGGAAAUUCACAAAAAUCCCUUCUGUCAUAAAUCUUCAUUUUCAAAGUCAACCUAGGUUUUCCACUUCGGCUAUACCUAGUUCUUCCAUUUGUUCUGUUGACUAUACUACAAACAUUCCUCAUCCUAUUUAUACUAGCAGUCAACAUGAACAAAGAUAGGAAGAGAAGUAACCUUCUCCUCCAACUUCCCCUACAUUCUCUGUUGUCACAGAAAAUGUAAUUAAUGUUAUUGAAAAAGAAUUUGAACUGGAUAAAACUCUCCUUCAUAAUGAUUUUUAUUCAGAUAAUAAUAAAGAAAAGAGACUUUGGUUUUUUAAACAUUUUUUAAAUCAAAGAAAAGAAAUCCAACAAUUUUAUUAUGAAUUUGUGAACCUUCACCAAGUUCAUAUAUUAUUUUUUGAUUGGUUCGAAAUACAUUCUUCUGAUAAUAACAUUUCUUACCCCUUCAAAGAGUCAAACCCUAUUACUAUUAGGAAGAAAACCACUGAAUGGAAACUUUCUGAUAGUGAUAAAACCAUAGAAUCUGAGCAUCCACCUCUUCGGAGCAUAACCGUUGAUCACGGCGAACCUCCUAUUCAAAUUAGAGCUUCACCUUAUAAAAUCCCUAAACCAAAUGAUUCUGAUGCAAAUUUAAGUAGUAUUAUUCAACAGAAUAAUUUCUGUAAUACUAACUUAAAUACAAUAGGAAAACAGUUGACUAGAAUAGAAAACCAAUUCCAACAGUCAACCAUAGCUAUUUCUCCUGUAGCAAAGCCAAUUCCUUCAAAAUCGGAUUCUGAUAAAAAGCUUAAGGAACCUAUUUUCAAACCUUUUCAGGUUUCGAAAACUAGCCAAAAGCUUGUCCAAGAAUCAAAAUCAGAUUUUGCUAAAGCCAUUAGGGAACAACUAGAUAGGAUAGAAGCUGUUUCUUCCUCAUCUAACAGAGUCCAAAUAGCCCCUGAUACUCCCUAAUCUAGCAAGAUUGGAGUAUUAGAACAAGACCAGGUUUUUAUUGCCUCUUCCAAUCUAGAAGCCUUUACAGAAGAACCUAUUCCUAAAGCCAAUAAAAUCCAUUGGGAUUUAGCUCUCCCAACUGUCAAGUCUCCACCUGAUUUGGCCAUAGACAAUAGGCCUAGUGCAUUAAACCAAUCACGUUUUAAUGCAUCCUCUGUCUAUGAGUGGAACAUUGAUGGUAUGUCAGAAUAUAACAUCUUAGGAUUGUUGCAACAGAUGACCAUGGCAGCCAAUGCCUAUAAAACCCAAUCGGGAACUUCUGACAAGGCCAUUGCAGAAAUUCUUAUUGCGGGUUUUACUGGUCAACUUAAAGGAUGGUGGGAUCAUCUUCUUACCAAACCGCAACAAUUAGAUAUCCUAAACUCCAUACAAAUAGAUGAGAAUGGUGCCCCCAUUCUUGAUGAGUUCAAUAGUCCUAUUCAGGAUGCUGUUGCUACCCUGAUUUUGACUAUAUCCCUCCAUUUCAUAGGUGACCCUGCUCACCUUAGAGACAAAAACGCCGAGUUACUAUACAAUUUGAGGUGUAGAAAACUUAGUGAAUUCCAAAGCUAUAAAACCUCUUUCUUCACUAGACUUUUCCUUAAGGAUGAUGCUAAUCAUACAACUUGGAAGGAGAAAUUCCUUGCAGGUUUACCAACCUUACUAGGAGAAAAGGUUAGAAAUUCCAUUAAAGCCCUUUAUGACAACCGUAUUCCUUAUGAUGAGCUCACCUAUGGUGAACUUGUCAGUUUCGUCAAUAAGGAAGGCUUAAAGAUCUGUCAAGAUUUGAAAUUACAGAAACGACUUAAAUGGGAGCUUAAAAAGUCUAAGCAAGAAUUGGGCAGUUUCUGUAAACAAUUCAAUUACGACCCCUUUAAGACUUCUACCUCCAAAGAUUGUAAUGGUAAGUGUUCUACAAAACCUUACAAGAAACAUUACAAGUCUAGAUUCCGUAAAAAACCCUUUCAAGACUUUAGAGAACUUCAUUAUAAGAAACCUUCGAGGCCUUAAAAGAAACCGAGUUCUUCUAAAAAGAAAGAGUUUAAAGCCAAACCAAAAACUCCGUACAAAACCCUAUUCAAUUACAGAGAAGCCAUAUGUCACAAAUGUGGUAUGAAAGGUCAUACUGCAAAAUAUUGCAGAAUGAGCAGAAAGCUCCAUGAGCUAGACCUAGAUGAGGAAACCCUCUCCAAAAUUACCUCUCUGCUCAUAGAGUCUUCUGACUCUGAGUCUUCCAUGUCGGGAGAUAGUGACCCUCUUCAAGUUGAUGAGAUAAUUGACUCAGAUGAUUCUGCAUCUAGCAGUAUUGAUUCUGAAUCAGAUCCUUAUUUAAAGAAAAUCAAUGUUUUAACUAAAGACCAAGAAAUUUUUCUUGAACUUGUAAAACAUAUUUCCGAUCCGAAUCUUCAAAAGGAAUACCUAGACAAACUUUUGAAAACUCUGGAUUCUAACAAAGCAGAAACUUCUAAAGUUCCAAUUGUUAAAAAGAAUUCUUACGAUCUCACUGAAAUUUUGGAUAAAAAGAAAACAAAAAAGUUAAUUCCUAAUAUCCAAGAUCUUCAUAAAGAAAUCAAAGAUAUCAAAAUUGAGAUUAAAGAAUUAAAAGAAAAACAAAAGAAAGAUUCUGAAACCAUCCAACUUCUUAUACAAAAACAAUUAGAAGAAAACUCAGAAAAAGAAGUUGAAUCUGAAAGCGAUAACAAUCAAAAUGUUGACAACAUUGAAUCUGUACCUAAUGAUUUUCUGUUUGUCCUAAAACAAAUCACCACUAGAAAAUACUUAAUUAAAAUAACUUUGAUUUUUUCCAAAGACUUUGCUAUUGACGCCAUUGCCCUUUUCGAUACUGGUGCCGAUUUAAAUUGUAUAAGAGAAGACAUUGUCCCCAAAAGAUUUCAUGAAAAAACAAGGGAAAGGCUUUCCACCGCCAACAAUUCAAAACUUAAAGUCAAUUCUAAAGUGGAAGCCUCAAUACAUAACAAUGGAUUCGAAUUUAAAACUUCAUUUCUUCUUACAAAUGACAUUCACCAUACUGUCAUUUUAGGAACCCCGUUCAUAAAUUUAAUUACCCCAUAUACUGUCAAUUAUGAUAGUAUAUCUUUCAAAGCAAAAUCUAAAAAACUUGUUUUCCCUUUUAUUGAGAAACCAAAAACAAGAAAUCUAAAUAUUGUUAAAGCCUGUUCUGUUUACCAAAAUCAAAUCAACGCCAUACUUAAAUCCAAACAAAAUGACUUGUUUUGUUUAAAAAAGAAUUUAAGUCUACAACGAAUUGAAAACCAAUUACAAAAUGAUUUUAUCCAAAGAAAAAUCAAUGAUUUUAGAGACCUCAUUGAAAAAGAAAUAUGUGCUGAUUUACCAUCUGCUUUUUGGAACAGAAAACAACAUUUGGUAGAUUUGCCCUAUGAAAAUUCUUUCGAUGAAAAAAAAAUACCCACUAAAGCCCGUCCAAUCCAAAUGAACAUGGAAUUGGAAAAACAUUGUAAAGAUGAGAUACAAGAUUUAGAAUCUAAAGGAUUAAUUACAAAAUCUAGAUCUCCAUGGUCUUGUGCCGCUUUUUAUGUAAACAAAAAUUCUGAGAUUGAAAGAGGAACACCGAGACUUGUAAUAAUUUACAAACCCUUAAAUAAAGCAUUAAAGUGGAUUAGGUAUCUCAUACCUAACAAAAAAGAUUUACUCCAAAAAUUGUGUUCCGCCUUUAUUUUUUCAAAAUUUGAUAUGAAAUCUGAAUUUUGGCAAAUUCAAAUCCAUCCUAAAGACCGUUACAAAACUGCUUUUACUGUUCCAUUCGGACAGUAUGAAUGGACUGUUAUGCCAUUCGGUUUGAAAAAUGCACCCUCAGAAUUUCAAAGAAUUAUGAAUGAUAUUUAUAAUCCUUAUUCUGAUUUUUGCAUUGUCUAUAUAGAUGAUGUUUUGAUUUUUUCUCAAACCAUCGACCAGCAUUUCAAACAUUUAAAGACUCUCUAUUUUGCCACUAGGAAGGCUGGCUUAGCCAUUUCUAGUUCAAAAAUUUCUCUAUUUCAAACUAAAGUCUGGUUCCUUGGUCAUUAUAUUUCUAGAGGAACUAUUACCCCAAUUGAAAGAUCUCUUGCAUUUGCUGAUAAAUUUCCUGAUAAAAUUCUUGAUAAAACUCAAUUGCAGAGAUUUCUUGGUAGUUUAAAUUAUGUUCUUGACUUCUGCCCUAAUAUCAAUAGGAUGUCUAAACCUCUGCAUGAUCGGUUAAAAAAGAAACCUGUUGCAUGGACAGAUGAACACACUAAAGCUAUUCGAUUAAUAAAAAAUUCUGUAAAGAAUAUUCCUUGUUUAUUUUUAGCCAAUCCUGCAUUACCUAAAAUAGUUGAAACUGAUGCAUCUGAUUUAGGUUUUGGAGGUAUUUUGAAACAAAAGGAAAAUGAUAAAGAACAGAUAGUACAAUAUGUUUCUGCACAUUAGAAUGAUUGCCAGAAAAACUAUUCUACUAUCAAAAAAGAAAUUCUUUCUAUUGUCUUAUGCAUAUCUAAAUUCCAAAGUGAUUUAUUAAAUCAAAAAUUUUUGCUUAGAAUUGAUUGCAAAGCUGCAAAACAUGUUUUAGAAAAAGAUGUUCAAAACAUUGCAUCAAAACAAAUUUUUGCACGAUGGCAAGCCAUUUUAAGUGUUUUUGAUUUCGAUAUUGAAUUUAUUAAAGGUGACACAAAUUCUGUUCCUGAUUUUCUAACCAGAGAAUUUUUACAAAACAGAUAAUGCCGCCAAGAAAGAAUAACAAAGGUAAAGUUGUUCUUAAAGAUACUGAGUCCCAAGCCACCUCUAAAGAACCUCAACCAACUCCCUCUAAAGAAAAACUACUUUCUUCUGCCAUGCCCAUCAAGUCCUGGAUUGAAAUGGUUGAAGAACAUGAAGCCCAAUACAAAACUAUUUCUUCUGAUGACCAAGUAAAGGAAUGGAUGAGUUCCAUUACAAAAUCGCCUGAGCUUAUGCUCGCCCUCCAAAGCUUUUCUCAAAGUCAAAUUUCUCCUAAAGAAGAAAUUGAAAAAGAAAAACCUAAGUCCAAAGAAAUGACAAAACCUUCUUCUCAAAACGUUGUUGUCUCCGGUGAAAGCUCAUCUUCUCAAAUUGUGCUUUCCCAACCAACACUUUCAAAGAAAUCAUCCGAUUGGUUUGAUAAAACCCAUUUUCAAAACAUUUUAUCUAUAGAAGAUGGAUUUUACCAUACUGAUCCUUUUCAAGCAAUUUCAAAGUUUUUCCCCAAAUGCUGGUUUUUUAAACCAUGUUAUUUAACAAAACCCCAGUCUUACUAUCAAAGCAUUUUAGAAAUUACUGAGUCAGUUAAAUUCAAACAUUUCUUUCUCAGUGAUACCCAUUCAGAGCCAGCCUAUUCCACGGCUACUAUUUUAAAAGUCCUGAGCCCAAACCAGUGGGGGGAUCUGCUCCACAAUUUUAAAACCUUCCCUUUAAACUUUCAAACACGUUUACCACAUUGUCGGACUUAUUCCUACUGGGAUUACCAAUAAGCCUGGUAUAACACAUUUUUUAUCCAAAACCCCAAAAAAUCCCACUCUUGGUUAUUUUUCUUCAAUUAAAAAAUAACCGUCCAAAGCCUCCCAAACUGGUUUCAUCAUUGGUGGAAUUCUUUUGGCCCAAUACCUCAAAUCCUAACUCCAAAUGCUACCCAAUGUUUAAACUUCUUUAAAGCCCACUACAUUCCUUCUGAAUCUGAGAAAAGGUUUCCACCCUUUCUCUGUUUCUGUACAAAUUUCUUCCUUCCAUGGGUAUGGAUGUGGAACCUCAGACUUCAUACCCAAGAUGCCCAGCUUAUCUUACAAAGAACAUUCAAAGUAAAAUGGUGGUCAAAAUUUGACGAACAAACCAAACUUACUGAUACCCUCAUCAGAAAUUGGCUUUGUUCCAAAGGCUUCCUCCAACCAACCAUUAAGGGAUCCAAAGCCCAACAAACCUUCCUUACUCAAAAGUCCAAAGCCCAAUCUCUUCUGGCAAGUGCCAAAACCGAAAAAGAAUACUUCAAAGCUAUGGAACAACUCCUCGCCUCCAGGUCAAAGUCAUCAGUGGCAGAUUCCUCUGAAGAUGAAGACAAUGAAGAAGAGGAAGAGCCGUUUAUCUCUCUUGGAGAUGAAAAUGAAGACGACUAUUUCAGAAUUUUCUCUCCUGUAAAGCAUUGUAAAUAAUUAUUGUUUAAUUAAUGUAAAAAAAAAGUAAAUACUCAUUUUUUUUAUUUAUAUCAUUCGGGUGGUCCCUUGGACACAAGUGAGAGCGCACAUGUCUCUUCACCCGUAUUGUAUGUCUACAAAGUCACUAUUUCAACAUACGCUCCAAAAGCUUAUUGUUACAUACGAUCCAAAGCUUACUGUUUGCUUCAACCCCGUUACAGUGAACAGUGCAGAGUUCCAAAGAUUACUGUAUGCUACAGCUCCGCUACAGUCUACAGUUUAAAAUUUCAUUUUGUAUAUAAUCUGAAGGAAGACUCAGACUCCUCAGAUUUUUUGAAUCUCCUCUCUCUCUAAUUUUCAUUUUCUCUCUCUCCUCCCUGGGAAUCAGGAAUCCGAAGGCACUAAGGAAAUUUUUCUGUUUACAGAAUAGUUCCUUACCUUCAGGAUUAAUUUCCCUUUUCUUUUCUACAAAGAAAAAGCAAUUGAUGUAAGCAUUUUAAUUUUCAGUAUUAUUUCAAAGCAUUUGUAAAUUUUAUUUAAGGCUUUCCAUGUAUGUUUAAAUUUCUGUACUUUAAUUUUCGCAAUUUACUUUAAAGCAUUUUUAAAUUUUUAUGCAGACUGAUCUCUAUCAGAUCUGCCAUAAAACUGCUACGUUCCUCUGAGGCAACGAGACCAGAUCUCAAUCCUCAGUUGUAUUCUUUCUCUUCUCCCUCCAUUCCUUUAGAGCACUAUUUCCGGGAACCGGAUCUAGUACUGUGUAUGCACCCAAGCCUUUAGACGAAUGUUGUUGCUAGGCUUGACAAAAGAACUUAAUAAAUAUUUGGUAAAUAAUAUUGGUAUAUCGGCUGGAAACUAGAGCGUGCAGAAUAUUGAUCUGUCCUAAGUCAGAUCUGGUUCCAAAGGCAGACUUGGCUCUGCAUCGAUCUAGAUACAACGCCACGUACCUCCACUAAAACCUGACCAACCGUGAUCUAAAGCAAUUUUAAUUUAAAGUUGGUAAUCUUAUUUAAAAGUUGGAUAGGCCGACCCAAUCCAAACAUUGUUUGAUUAAAGCUUUUAAUAAUUAAUUCCAACGAAAGCACAUCCAUCCUUCGAUCCUAUUUCCUUCUGGUAUCAGAGCCCAAUAAUUAAUUCCUUCAGAUUAAAUCAGAUGCAUCAGUUUCAACUAUUUUAGGUAAUGCGGGAUUGGCUAAAAUAAACAAGGAAUAUUCUUUACAGAAUUUUUUAUUAAUCGAAUAGCUUUAGUGUGUUCAUCUGUCCAUGCAACAGGUUUCUUUUUUAACCGAUCAUGCAGAGGUUUAGACAUCCUAUUGAUAUUAGGGCAGAAGUCAAGAACAUAAUUUAAACUACCAAGAAAUCUCUGCAAUUGAGUUUUAUCAAGAAUUUUAUCAGGAAAUUUAUCAGCAAAUGCAAGAGAUCUUUCAAUUGGGGUAAUAGUUCCUCUAGAAAUAUAAUGACCAAGGAACCGGACUUUAGUUUGAAAUAGAGAAAUUUUUGAACUAGAAAUGGCUAAGCCAGCCUUCCUAGUGGCAAAAUAGAAAGUCUUUAAAUGUUUGAAAUGCUGGUCGAUGGUUUGAGAAAAAAUCAAAACAUCAUCUAUAUAGACAAUGCAAAAAUCAGAAUAAGGAUUAUAAAUAUCAUUCAUAAUUCUUUGAAAUUCUGAGGGUGCAUUUUUCAAACCGAAUGGCAUAACAGUCCAUUCAUACUGUCCGAAUGGAACAGUAAAAGCAGUUUUGUAACGGUCUUUAUGAUGGAUUUGAAUUUGCCAAAAUCCAGAUUUCAUAUCAAAUUUUGAAAAAAUAAAGGCGGAACACAAUUUUUGGAGUAAAUCUUUUUUGUUAGGUAUGAGAUACCUAAUCCACUUUAAUGCUUUAUUUAAGGGUUUGUAAAUUAUUACAAGUCUCGGUGUUCCUCUUUCAAUCUCAGAAUUUUUGUUUACAUAAAAAGCGGCACAAGACUAUGGAGAUCUAGAUUUUGUAAUUAAUCCUUUAGAUUCCAAAUCUUGUAUCUCAUCUUUACAAUGUUUUUCCAAUUCCAUGUUCAUNNNNNNNNNNNNNNNNNNNNNNNNNNNNNNNNNNNNNNNNNNNNNNNNNNNNNNNNNNNNNNNNNNNNNNNNNNNNNNNNNNNNNNNNNNNNNNNNNNNNCGUUGGUCUCUAAUAGGAUGAGGAAUGUUUGUAGUAUAGUCAACAGAAUGAAUGGAAGAACUAGGUAGAGCCGAAGUGGAAAACCUAGGUUGACUUUGAAAAGAAAGAUUUAUGACAGAAGGGAUUUUUGUGAAUUUCCUUUCUAAUGAAGGAAUACUUGAACACGACUCUUUAUCAGAAAAUCUGGUUAAGUUAGAUCUCCUGAAAGACAGUUUAACUCUACCAUCAGAAUACUGAGUCACAUUUUGCAACUCCGUAUUAGGUUCAAGUUGUUUUGGAAUUGCUGGUGGAGCAGCUCCUUCAAGAAUCCAUUCUUCUGGAAGAUUGACAUCUUUCCACUGGAUUGGUUUUGGAAUGAAAGUAUUGGCUUUAGACAUAUCAGUCUGUAAGAGAAGAGUUUCAUCUCUUUUUGACUGGAAUUUGUGUUGCGUACUGAACGCAGAGAUCAUGGUUUUAUAAGAAAUUUUGAAAAUUAAGGCAACUGGGACAGAUCCCUUAAUCAUAUUAUAAUUAUGCGUUUUGAUUUGUAAGAUCAUGCUUUUCAAAAUGUUUUUAUCUUUAAGAGAAAUUGUUAUGUUUGAAUAACAAUCAAAAGAGAUCGGACCUUUACAAAGACUGGAUUCGAUGCUACUUAGCAAAGAAUCAUCAAAAGAGAUGAAUCGCCCAUCUCUAAGGACAGCAAGGAUAGAAGUAUCCAAGCCUUCUUUGGUCAAAGGUUUUAUUCCAACUUGGAUUAAACCAAUGUGAAUAUAAUUAUAAUUCUUUUCUCUUAAUUUCUUUAAAGAUUUUUCUGAAAACAAAUGAAUUGUUUCAAAAGGUUCUGAGAGAGUUAUGUCUCUUUCUUCAGUCUUUAUUACAUAAUCAUUUUUUAGAAAAUCAAGCUUUUUUGUUUUGUAAAUCUUUUCUUUAGAAACUUUUGGAAGUUCCCAACAAUCAAUUGCUUUAUCAAAGUUCUCAAUACCGAAUUCUUCUGAACUCACAACAUGUUUUGAAUCACUAGUCUUCCCGGAAGAAGAGCUAGAAAAGGACGAUGUUCUACAGAGUAGAGGAUCCAUGGUUAAAAACCUAUGGUCUAUUUAUGGUUUGGUCAGAAUGGCUACAGGUAUGGUUUUACAGCCCUAAACGGAAAACUUAUCCUUGGACGGGACUUACUACCAGUAAAAAUUCACCACACAACAAAACUUCAAAAUAAAACACAAGUCUUUAAACACAAAACUCUAAACUGUAUUACAGUAGUUUUCUGGUCAGGGAAUUUAAAGUGCGGGAAAGUCCGGGAAAGCUUUAAAACCACACGGCUUUAAAGGCUUACAAUUUUAAGCCUUUAAAACCAUGCGGUUUUAAAGGUUUCCCGUACUUUCCUGCACUUUAAAAUUCCUGACUGGAACAUUUCUAUAUAUAUAUAUAUAUAUAUAUAUAUAUAUAUAUAUAUAUAUAUGUAUGUAUAUUUCUUCUCUAGUGCGGACGCCCUCAUUUUCUUUUUCAUGCGGACCAGUUUUUAGACCCCAUGGUUUAAAAGACUUAGUUUUUAACUCUCUAAAACCGCAUGACUUUAUAAUUCAUUUAAAAACUAACUAUCUUAAACCGCACGGUUUAAAAGUGUGUCCCCAUUAAAAAAAAUGCGGACCCCCACACCUAAGAAUGAUUAUAUAUACAUACACGCUCUUAAACCGUGGGACUUGAAAGCUUCUCCGCAUGAAAAAAGUAAAAAAUGAGAGCAUUCCCACUAGAAAAAAACUCCAUAUAGGUAUUUAUUAAACCUCCUAAUCUGUGAGUGAGGAACAACAAAGAUAAUUGAUAAAAAAAAUCUAAAAUUUGGUUUCAUACCUUCUUGAACGAGAGCAGGGGCUGUUGUACCGGAAUACCAAAUUGAUCAUUCUCGUUAUUCUGGGACAACGUUAUUUUAUCACAAUUACAGGCUUCCAAUUUUUUUAGUGCUGGCCAUUCUGAAGUAUGCAUUCCAGGGUAUAAACAUCUGAGUUCUGGCUUUUGGAAAGACAAAAUAUGGGGUCACUUGAUCUGCUGUGUCUUUGGAGAUGAUCUCUUGUAAACCCAUACAUAUCCGUAUCUCCAGGUGUUGGAGGUGCUUAAGGCUUUGGAUCAUAGAAGCUGAAAAUAUGUAUUUUAAUUUGUCACAGCCCCACACUAUCAAUCUUGUCAAGCUUUGAAAGCAAGUAAUCAUGGCCGUAAGUUGAUUGUCAUGCCAAAUCUCGUCGACAUUAAUAGCAUUCAGCUCCAAAGCCUCCAAAUUUGGCAACACUACCUAAAGAUAAUUUUCUCUUUAGAUCCAAUAUCAGUAUGAAAAGCACUUGUUUUGACACAAUAUCCAUAUGAGAAGCACUUAAUUAAGAGCUUAAUUAGCGAGUGUAUCAGACUUUUUUUUUUCAAAUGCGAGUGCAUGAUAGAACUAAAAAAAAAAGAAGAAGCAUUGGCCUACGUACCUUCUUGUUGAAAAGCAGAGUUGACGUUUCGGAACUGAUCUCGUUGGAACUGGCUGUCAAUUCCUCUUGCGACUCUUGUCUGUUUGGUGAUGUGGAAGGAGUCUUCACUUCACCGCAAAACCUUGUAACCUUUGGAAGCUUUCCCAGACUCAAAGAUCUUAAUUGACCAAACUCUAUCUUCUCAUCAACAUCAACAUCAGCUUCUCCUCCAGUUGCAAAAAUCUCUUCCAUGCUGCUGCAAUUGAUAACUGCAAUCCUCUCCAGUCUUGGAAGGCAUUUUGUACUACUAGAGAGCCAGAAGAUAUUACUCAACUCAUCACAAUUUUCUACUUUUAUGGUUUUGAGUUCAUUGAAGGACUCUAUUUUGAGUCGAUCAAUACAUAUCCUCUCCGUAUUGAUCAAAUUGUGAAGAGUAAGGGACUCCAAAAGAGGAAAGGCGACACAAGGUUCUCUCUUCAUUGAAUCGACGAUACACAGGAUGUCUGGAUUAUUUUGAACAUGGAGAUGCUUCAAUUGUGAAAAUCCCUCGGUGUCCAAUUCUAAAACAACAUUCUUGAUUCCUUGCAACUUAUCCAAACAUAAGUAUUCAACGUUAUUGAUGCCCUGCAACUUCUUGGAGGAAAUGGCCAUAGAAUCAAGCUUGAGCUUCAAUGUUCUUAAACUCUCAAGAUUACUGAUCAUAAAGUGCGGCCGACUUUGAAACCAGUCUUUUCCAAAUAACCAUGGUAGAGUCGAAAGAUCCAUCUCCUAUUGAUAUAUCAAACCUUUCCAGCUUUUUGGUAAAAAAGCCAUCUGGUAAAAUGCUAUCAUCUUUAACAUCUAUUUUUAAGGCGGUCAGUCGCUGCAAAUGCAUCAAUUCAUCGAGGCUGGCAUUACUUCUUUCACUAUUGGCUUUUCUCACUUCCCAUUCAAUAGAGCAGUUACUCAUAUACAGUUCUUCCAAUCGAGUGAAGCUUGAUAAGAUAUUGGGCACAAUAAAUUUUAGUUGCAAGCAAUCUGUUAAAUCUAGCAUCCUUAACUUAGUCAGUUGACCUAGUUCGUCAGGCAACCGUACAAUAUCAGACUUUAAAAAGCUAAGGAUUUCUAGAUUCUUCAACUUUCCAACUAUGGCUAUGUCUCCCAACAUGCUUUGAUCAAGACACAGUGUUUGAAGAUUUGCUAGAAGACCGAUUGAAGAUGGCAAUGAAAAUAAUCGUACCCUUGUCAAAUCUACGACUCGAAGCUUUUUCAUCCCUUUGAAAAAGUUGUUAGGAAUAUUGACCUCGACAAAAGAGUCUUCGGGAUCAAUAUGUAAAAAUUCAAGUUGCGGACAUUCGAAUUCCUCGGAAACUUCAUGAAUGCUACUAUUUAGUAAAGGGAUUGCAUAGCAUUUUUUAAGUGCAUCCUCAUCUGGCCACUCCCACACAGCGUCAUUUCUCACCAAUGAAGCAUGUUGGUCUCGACAUGCAAUUGAUAUGGCAACAUCGCAGACAACAUCAUGCAUAGAGAAUUGUUCAGUACUAUCACCCUCAAGCAACAAACAACAGUCUCUAAGUUCAUGGACCAGUGCAUAUAAUUUGUUUCGUGCAUCUUCCAUCUUAUUGACUCCAUGAAAUAUUCCUAAACCCAUAGAGUAUUUAAGCAAGUCUAAAAGACAAAAACUGUUGCCUAUUAGACUGCAGAGCAGAAAAAUUUUCUUGAGUUGCUCACCUUUUAAAUACUUGAAACUCAGUUCAAUACUUGAAUAAGUCUCUGCAGGCACACCUUCGAAGUUUACCACUGAAGGCGUUUGGAGUUCUCGCAAGGCAUUCUUCCACUCAUGCAGACUCUUGUUUCUCAGUGCCCUCGCUACUGUAGUCAGGGCAAUGGGCAAACCUCCACAUGCCUGGGCUACAUUAAUUGCUGUAGACUUGAACUUACAAUUUUCAACAUCAUCACCAUUCAUUAUCUUAAACAAUCUCCAAGCUUCUUCUUCAUUUAGAUUGCCAAUCAAGAAGUUAUCUUUGGAGCCCAUACUUAAUAGCACAUUAUUGUCUCUUGCUGUCAGCAGUAGUCUACAUCCUUUAUGAUCAUUUCCGAUGGGAAUUCCAACCGUCUCCAAAUCAACAUGUUUCCAGAUAUUAUCUAGAAUCACAAGAAUCUUAUUCUCAUUCUUCAGUCGUUCAUACAGCCUGCUAGCUCUUCUAUAUUCAGCUUCAUCGGACAACUCCAGACCUAACUUCUCUGCAAUUUCCCCUUGAAUCUUUUUUAUGUCUGGAGUUUGUGAAACCUCUGAAAAAACCACCCGAUCAAACAACUUGUCUUCCCUGGCUUGCGUAGCAAACUCCUUCACCAGUGUCGUCUUUCCAAUGCCGCCCAUGCCGUACACCCCAAUAAUGCUGACAUUCACAUCAGUCAACGCAUUUUGUAUAGACUUCAAAGUAGAAACUCUUGAUUCGAAGGCCUUGUAACCUUUGUUAGACUUAAGCCAUAUCUCCUCCGGAAUGGUACGAUGGGAAACGAUAUCAAACUUCUUAACUCCUUCUCCAAGUUCAACAAGGGCCUUCACCUCUGUCUCUGCUUUCUUGCUAAGCUGAUAGCGGGUCUUCAAAUUAGGACACAAGCCCUUGAGACAGCGCUUGUUUGUUGACUCCUCAUCUUCAAUGAAUUUGGCUGCCUGGUCAAUGAUGCCGUUUGCACUGACCAGCCACUUCUCAACCUUCUCUUCAAUCUCUUCCCCUUUUUCUUUCGCCUUUGAAACUCUGCGCUGAAUGCUCGUACGUUCAACCUCAACUUCUCCAUUUCCGCCUUGAGAUUCUCAAGGUUGGCAUUGUAGUUCCGCUUGCGCAAAUAAACAAGUUGGCGUUCUGUCGGAGGAGCCAGGCAUUUUACAAGUUCCAAAACGAGAGUAACAAUGAUUUCCAGCAUCUUGAAUCCUGACAGCAAUGUAGAAGUGAAGAAGGCCAAAGGACAGUAAAAACAGAGAGACAACGAUACGACAAGCAGUUAUAGAGCUACAAAUAAAUAACAAACAAACAGAAGCAAAGUGUUCUUCGAAUGAGAAGAAGGAAGCAAGAAAAGGGUUUCUAUUUAGAUUAAGAAUAAAUGUAAAGAGCUAAAAAAGCUGAUGGGUACAGAAUAAGAAAUGAUUAAGAGAAUGGGGGAGCUAACAAGACUGUGGAGUGAGCAGGCGUAAAUAAACUUUUCUUAACCUUUUGUCAUACGUGUAUAUAAAAUAAUAUAAUUAAUUUUAUAUUUUUAUUCAAUAACUAUUAAUUAUAUUUUUUUCAAAAUUAAUAAAAAGAAUAAUUAAGUACUGAAUCCAAAUCCUAUCCUAAAUGGUUAGAUAAAAAUAAGGGAAUGAAAAGAGUAAUGGUAGAUUAAUGAGAAGGUGAUUGAUUAAUUUAUGAGGCCAAUUAACGAAACGACAGAUCUGGUUUCCAUGUUUGUAGUUUAAGUGUAUGAGUACGAGGUGAACCGAAGCUUUGUCGAGUCAGGCAAAUAGAAAGAGAAAUUACUAAAACAAGAACCAGCAACUUUUACUCACACAUGAGCUAAUAAUGUAUUGAGAUUGUGCAGAGUAAUAUAAAAGAUUAAAACUAGUAUAAUCAAUUUGUCAUCAAGUUUUAGCCUUCUUCUUCAACCAAUUACAGCACGAUCUUGAGCUCUGUGUUUCUUUUUUUAAAUCAUUCAAAAGAUCUCUGUCAUUAAUUUUUCAAUGAUAAAAAUUAUAUUUUUGUCUCAUAAAAUAUAAAAUAUAAAAAAAUCAAACAUAUAUUAUAAGUCCGUUUGAGAUUAUUUUUAAAUAAAGUAUACAAAUCUCUAAAUUAACUUCGUCCCCUUGAAAUUCAGCAUAAAUAUAAAUAGAAUUAUAGAAAUCUUACUACCUUUUAUGAGAAAUCCAACUUAUAUAUUUGAGACUUCUCUCUCUAAACACACGCUUCCUCUCUCUGUACACUUUCCACCUUUAAAUUCUCCUUCAUUAAGUCUACCUAAAUGAAUUUAGCAUUCUCUCAGUUUCUUCAGCAUUUUUCUCCGUGAAAAUAGGUGAAAAAGAGAAAGUGAUUUGAUUAUUUUAAUGUACGACAGAUCUGAUUUCCAUCUCUGUAAUUUAAGUGUAUCAAAACGAGGUCAACAACUCUUGGUCGAGUCAGUCAAAUAUAAAAGACAAAUUACUAAACCAAGCAGAGCCACAAAAAAAAAAAAAAAUCCAAUUAAAUAAUCAUCAAGUCUUUUUCAAUUAAAAUAGGGGGUGCAGAACAACUGUCAAGAGAUAAUCAUUGUUUAUUAUAUUUUCGAUUAAAAUAGUUGCGCGUGAACGAUUGUCCGAAUUCGUAUAAAUUGUUGUAAGGUCUAUUAUAAUUAACAAGUGGAAUGGCCAAUGGAUGAAGAACCACUGUAAUUUCGUUUAUGAAUUUAAAAUGCUAAAGAAACUGGACACCAACGCUAAACGUGAGUCUGCCCAAUCUAGAUAAAUAGGAUAAAAAAUUAUCCGUCGGCUAUCUGAUCUUUUAGCCAUUAUAAAAAAUAUUAAAAAAAUAUACAAACAAUUUUUUUUUUUUUUCAACAAUCCAUCUGAUAUUUAUGAAGUGCAUUAGUGCUCCACUACUAUCAUAACCCUUUAAAAAUAUCGCUUAAACACAAGAACGUAUUGCCUAAAAUUAUUUUUCAAGCAAAUGUAACGACAUAUUUGGUUUUGAUCUUCGUGACUUUUUAAGUGUACAAGAACAAGAUGUAUGACCCUUUGUCGAGUUGAAGAAUUAAAAUAAAUCAGUUACAAAUCCAGAACAAACUUACGGGUGACAUUUUAGUAUUAAGCAAACUAUAAUUGAUCAUCCAAUGAUAGGCUUAUUUUCAAUUAAAUUAGAGUAAAUAUAGACAUUCCAAAUUUUUUCUCUCAAAUUUAAUCCUAGAUAAUGUGUUAUUAAUUGAGUGCUUGGUAAUUCUUUCAAGAUCUAAGUGAAUUAAUUAUAUUAUCUCUCCAACCAAUUGAUGAAUAUUAUAUUAUUAAAUAAUCAUCAAGUAAUACGACACUUCUCAUGUUCCGUUAACAUUUCAGUUAUAUUAUUAAUUAUCAUUUUAAUUUGGAUAGUAUUUUUGUUUAGGAGAAUAUAUCAAUUAUGAAAUUUUUAAUUUUGAAAAUUAAAGAAAUAAUUGAACUGAUUUUUUCUUAUUAAUUGAUAGCUUAGAUGCAUUUUGUUACAUGUUAAAAAAUUAUGAAUACAUAUCCUUUUUGGUAAUUUAAUUACACAAAAGCACUUUUAGUUUUGCACAACCAAACCGUUUAAUGGUUCAAAAGUACUUUUUUAAUUGACAACCAAACACCCAAUGACUUUUUUGUCCAAAAACUCUAUUGGUAUAAGCUCUACUUCUAUAAGCUCUACUGCUAUAAGCUCUAUUUAAUAAGUUGUACCAAACGGAGCCUUAAAAUCUAAGUGAAUUAAUUAUAUUAUCUCUCCAACCAAUUGAUGAAUAUUAUAUUAUUUGAGUUUUUUUUUUGUCUCAAAUCCCAGCAAAGAAAACAGAACAAACGGAGCAAAAAUAUUUUUACAAACCUAAAAUAACAAAAAAAGAACUUUUUCUUGUUUUUCUUAUUUUCCACUGUUAAACUUCAAAAUGAACAACUUUAUUCUACCAUCUCUCAAAUAAUAAUAAUAAUAACAACAAUGUCAUCAUCAUCAAUAAUAAUAAUAAUAAUAUAUUAACUUUGUAGGAUGGAGCUCUCGCAAAUCUUCAAGACACAAAAUGUGCUUGACCCCAUUGUUGUUAAUAUAAUUUCAAAAUCAUAUGUAUUAUAUAAUAUUAGAGAAUAUGACAUAGCAAAAUUGAUGGUACAUAUGCUGCAAUAUACUUGUUCAUGUGGCGACACAUUGAAGUAAAGCACAAGCAGAACAACGAAAAAUGUAACGGGAGAGCUCUCAUUAUGUAGAUUUUCAAUAGAAGUAAUGCAAAUUUCACAAGGGCAAUGGCCUUAUUUCGAAUGCUGCACCUGAGGAAUGACUUGAAUCUUCUUUAGAACUCAGGCAUUCUAUAAUCAUAGAGUAUAGCAUUUCAACAAAAAUAUUAUAUAAACAAAAAUAUUAUAUAGGUGGUUCCUUUAUAUAUUUUCUGGGUACACCUACAAAAAUAUUAUUUUAGGUACAUUUCUUGCAAUAAAACCUGCCCAAUCUAGCGUUUUCGUAAGUUGGGUUUCUCAUUUACAUUUUUUUCCAUUGGUUAAUUAUCACAAACCUCCACUGAGAUUUAGCAUGUUUUUAGUUUGAUAGAUUGUAUUCGCAUAUUCUCAAAUACCUUUUAGUUUACCACUUCGUAUAAAUUAAGUUGGUGAGGAUAAAAUCGUAAAAGUACACAUUAAUGAUAAAAAAAUUCAAGUAAACUUGAAAUUUUCAAGGAUUAAUUUUUCGGGACCUCCCUUGAGGUUCGGUGUAUUAAAAGUCUCAUAGAAUGUAUUCAUGUAAUUAUAAGAACCUCCCCUGGCGUUAGUACACAGUUAACUUGACUGUUAGUGGACUGAUAAAAAGUCAAAAAUGCCCUUGGCUACAAAAAUGAGUGCAACAAUUUGGAGCUAAAUAGUAAACACCACACUGGAGCACUAAAAAGUCUACAAUAAUCAUGGAAAACAAAUCAUUGACAUUUACAUAAUAUAAAAAAAAAAAGUAAAAUAUAAAUUAAGAAAAUCAACAAAAUUGUCAACGUAUUGAAUAUUUACAGCAGCAGUGGCUAUAAAUACAACCAUCGUCAAAUUAAAAUAUCACCAUUAGUAAACUACUUCAAUAAGACAAUAAACCAUGAUUCAAUCUUCAAUGCAUUCAAAAUACACAACCCGCACAAUAGAAUCACAUACGCACACCUGCUAAUGAAAUAUAAGAACAAACGGGAAAUUGAACUGACAUGGCUAAGAUACUCCUUCCCGAUAUCUAUUAGAAAGAUAAUGAGCGAUUUAUGAAUCAUGAUGCUUGCUUUACUUUCUGGCAGUGUUAACUUCAAAUUCAAUGAUAGUAAAUGAACAAUGGUUCAUUCAUUAUGAAAGUAAUUGUAAAGCUAGGAAUUUAUAAUAUUCAGAUGUUGGAAUUAGAAAAAUAUUUCUUAAUCGUUUCAAUUGAAGCCAAGGAAGAAAAAGAAAUGAGUCUUCUUUUUUCAGGCCACAAGCCAUAUGAAGAAGGCAGACCAGAGCAUAAGAACGAAUGCUAUUGCCACAGUAAAAGCCUGGAUCAAUGGGUAAUGGCACCUGCCAUGUCAAUUUCAUGACAAACAAAAAUCAAUUAUCAUCCCCAGACCACAACACCACCAAACCAACCUUUUGCAUCUAAAAUAACAAGUUAAUAAAUCAAAGAUUUCAAUUCAUUUAAGUUUGAAAUCAACUAAAAUAGAAAAAAAAAAACCCAAUUUCUUUUUUGUUCAAUAUAACUCAUUCAGCAUCUUCUUCAACACAUUUUUAUCAUUCUUCAUCAUCACAACAAUAAAAAGAACAAAAAACUUUGAGUUCAACAUGCAAUUCUUUUUUUUUGGGAAACUAACCUUUUUUAGGUUCCAAUUCUAGUAGUCUUAAACAGUAGCCGCCGAUGAAAUUCGCUUGGCAACACCCUUUUGCCACCAUUGCAGCUUGUCAUGUUCAUACUCAACUUAAAAUUACUUGAAGGCAGCAGGGAUUUUAUAGUUACAAAAGUUUCUUCAGAGCUUUUCAAGCUUGAAAAUGGAGUUUUCAUUCAUCUUAGAUAAAUUGAAGAUAAUUUGCAUUGUGGGUAAUAAAUUGAUUAUCAGUGUCUAAAUCUGGGUCAUCGACGCAACAUUGGAUUUUGUUUUGAUUUUCUUUGAUUUUUUUUAUGAAACCACUAAUUUACCCUCAUAUACUAACAAUAUACGAAAUGGUAUACUAACGUCAGUUACGUCAGGGAGCUCCCUAUAAUUACAUGAAUACUUUUCAUGAGACUGUCAAUACACAAAACCUCAGGGGAGGUACCUAAACAUUACCCAAUGGUAUCAUUUCUUGUAUGGAUAAUGGAUGAUUAGAUUUUGUUUUUUUGUUAUCCGACGAAGGAUAUUCAGUUGUUCUUUAUGUGUUCAUAGGCAAGAGCAUGAGCAUAUGCAUGAUUUGAUAUAUGCUUCUUGCAUUUUCUAAUUAAGUGUUCUCUUUCCUUGCCUUCUUAGUUUUGAAAGAAAGAUGUGAAGCAAGACAAACCCAGUGAAAUACACAGAGCAACAGAACCAUCAGAGGAAAAACUAAAUAACAGAACUACAAUUAAACCAAACAAAAUCAAAUAAACCGACGCAACAGAUGCCCUGAAUCAGGCAUUCCUUUUUCUCGAAAGAAAAUAUGUUUGCAUGGGUGGGAACCCAGUAUUUACUCAAGAGUUGAGGAGUUGGAAAGAUUUGGUAUUCAUAUCUUCUCAAUUCAUAUGCUUUAAUGCAGAAUCGACAGCUUUAUAUUAUUUUAUACACUUGCACUUGCUUGAGUAUUUGUGCCGACAUUUUCAUAUGUGAUGCUACUUCUUAGCCAGUAGAUAUGUUGAAGUACUACAAAACAGAGUAUUUGAUGAAGUUUUGCUACUUUCGUAUCCCCUUUUUUGUUGAAUUCUUUAUAAACAAAAAUUAGAAAGCUACAAAUAAUACAGUAGCUUGAAUUUAUAUGCUUUUAUGAUUAUUUGAUAGUUUAGUGCUGAUCAUAUGUGAUGAUAAACUUAGCUAGUAGUUUUAUAUUUAUUUUCAUAGUUUCCUUAGCGUUCACAUUUUGAUGAGUAAAUUAAGGAUUUCCAGAUGAAGUACAUAAUUAGAUGAAUGCUAAGGAACUGAAGUUUGAUUAAUUGAAAACAAAAAUAAUAAUGAACGUAAUUACGAAAAUGAACAAUGCAGAAGUAGUCCCUAUAGUAUUUCUAUAUUUUCUCUUGGUGUUUCUUAGUAUUCCUCAAUAUUUUUAAAAAAUGACAUGACGAUCUUUGAGUUGACAAAUCUUGGCCUGCUGCUUAGUACCCUUCCAACAUAUAAAGUACUAGAUGUUUUACUGAGAAAAUGACAAGAUCAUUUUUCAAAUUUCUUGCGCAUAUAUACGUAUGUACACGAGAAAUGAGAAUCAGUGAUUAUAAGACCUUGCAAUGAGACAAUAAUACAUCAUCAAAUCUAAAAAUACACAAGAAAUUCGGGACAUAUAAAUAACAAAAGACCUCUCAUUGAGUCAUCCAUAUUGAGAAUAAAAUGUCAAAAUGCAUACAAAGAGCUUAUACAGAAAAUGAAUGUACACAUAUUUAGAAUAAACUGUCUUUGAACUUUCGAUGGUCAAACAAAAGAAACAGACAGGAUAUAACACACACUAUCAUAGAUGUAGCGACACGGUGAAGUAAAUCACAUGAAGAUGGAAACGGAAACCCUUCACAACAUAAAAUUUGAAUAGAGGGGGAAAAAAAGGCUUCAUUUCGAAUGUUGCACGAAAGAAGAGUGACUUGAAUCUCCAUCAGUAUCCAAACAUUCUGCAAACAUAGUGCUGAGAAUUUUAACAAGAAUAACAGACAAAAUAUUGUGCUUCUAUACUUGUCAAAAAACUAGACAAAAAUAGUUCCCUUUUUGGUUUGUGAAAACUUGAUAUUUUUGAAAAUUCUAUCCAAUGCUUUCAAACAAUAUUUCCAUAAUAUAGUUGUUCAUAGCUAACCUUUGAUGGUGUAAGGAUUUGUUGUAGGCAUAAUGGGCUAAUUAUAUAUAUAUAUAUAUAUUUUUUUUUUUUUUUUUUUUACCCGCUGAAUGAUAUUCAGCUUCUUAAUUAUGUGUUCAUAGGCAGGAGCAUUUUCUUAAGUACUUUCGUUGCCUUCCAAGUUUCCAAUGAACAAACAGAGCACAAACAAAUUUAACGGAACAGUAACGAUGACAAUAAAUAAUUGGCAAGGAAAGAAAGAAAAAAGUUUGCAUGAUUUCAGGGAAUUAUAAAAUCUGAACACUUUCAACAUGCAAGUGUUGCCCCUCUUAAUGAAAUUUCAUCAUAAAAUGCUUGCAAGGAAUUAUAAAAUUUUAGAGAACAAGGGAACUCUCAAAACAAAAUACUCAAAUUAAAUUACAAUAGGCCAAAAGACGCUCAAUGACGCAAAUCUGCCCAUAAAAGCUUGAACGAAUCAUGAAAAGUGCAUUCCAUAUUGAUAGUAAACCAAGUGACCCAUUCUAAACAAUUGAGAUGAAAUUGUGAAACAACCCACGAGAUCAAAUAAAUAAAAUAAGAAUUAAUUACCAGCUGGGACUUUCUUCUUCAAAUUCGUAACUCCAAGUCAUAAGAAGCCUAUGAAAUUAGUCGUAAUCCACAGAGUAUGACGACGACCCCGCCAACAGCUGAAAAUAAAAUUCUUAUUCAUCAAUUUAAACUAACUUUAUAACAAAUAUCUUAUCGAUAUUUUAUUUAAAAAGAAAAAGCAAAUUUUGUAAAAUUUUUCCAUGGGAGAUAGAGAAUAACAUGUAUAUCCGUACCUUCUCAGCAUGUAAUUGUUGUAUGGUCGUCUUAAGAUCAUUACUAGCCCAACGCCGUUGAUUCGAUGUCUCUCCAUACCAAACGUUUACUCUUGGAGGCGUGCUUGAUUCUCCUGUAGUGAAAAUCUUCAAUUUGGGACAACCAAUCACAGAUAGAUCUUGCAAAGAUGGGAAUUUGAAGGUGUAAUUGGCAGAGCAAAAACUUGUGAGGCUAUCUAAAUCAAACAGUUCCAACCUCUUCAAUUUGCGGAAAACAAUCUCUUCUUUUUCAACCCCGUCUUUGUCAUUUAUUACCACCUCUGUCAUUGCUCUGCAUCCGUAUACACAAAGUGAUACGAGUUGCACUAGAGUUUUUGCUGUGGAGGAUGUUACCAAGUGUAUCAAUUCCUUGCAACCGAUAGCUACAAGUUUUGUUAGGUUCCGAAAAGAUACCGAUGAUGAUGGCAAUAGAAUUAACAGACUUUGACAAUGAUGUACUUUUAGAAUUUCAAGAUACUGAAAAAUGGGGCCAAGUUUGGAAUCUUGUUUGCACACCUGCUUCAGAUGAUAGUGCCGGUACAGCUUUAAUUCUUUUAUCAUUGCCAACUUCCCCACAUGUUUCUCUAAGCAUCCUUCCUUCGAAAAUACCUCUUCGUCGAAUGAAAAAAAAAACAGUGAGAGUAUUUCGAGAUUGUGAAAUCUCUCAAGUACGUUCCAGAUUGGAAAACCAGCUGAGUCAUCUUCAGCAAUCACUAGUCGUUUAAGACUGCCAAAAACGUGUUGUGGGAAAUCGGCCUGCAAAAUCAUCUUCGCGUCUUUUCCGCUUAGUGAUAGUUCCGUCAAGUUGGGUAGGAUCUGAUCAUCAUCAAUCAUAAUAACUGAUAAGGUCAAUUGGUGUUUUCUCAAAUGAUUUUAAGUAAUCCAAUCACAUGCAGUGACUUUAUAGUAUUUGUUUUAUAUUAUAUUUUACAAAAAAAAAAUUGAAUUAUUGAUAAAAUUUAUUAAAUGAUUUUUUAUAUAUUAAUUUUAGAGGUAAAAAAGAAAUUAGGGAAAAAAAGAAAUUAUUUUAUUGGUAAUUAAGUGUUUGGUAAAUUUUGUUUCAAGAAGUACUGUAAAUUUUGAAAACAAUUAUGGUCGUUUGGUAAAUUUUACUGUUAAACUGCUGAGAGAAAAUAAAUGACUAAAAUAUCCAUAAUAUAAGAUAAAAUUUACUUAUAUAUCUCCUAAAAGCAAUCCCAAACGGGCCCUAAGGAUUCUUUUAUAAAUGUUAUACCUAAAAAAGUUCAUAUAAUUAUUAAUCUACCACAUUGAUCCCUUAGUCUAGACUAGCAAAGAUUAUUGUAUAAUAAAAGUUUUCAAUUUAUUGAGUAUUAAUUUAUCAUUGCUUUGUCAUAUUUUUCAAAGUUAAAAAUAUGCUAUUGAUAAAAAAAUCUAGAAAAUGGCUUCAUACCUUUUCCAACGGCAAUGGGGGCUGUUGUGCAGGAAUACCAAGUUGAUCAUUCUCAUUAUUCUGCGAUAAAUCUGCAGCGAAUAUCUUUAAUUUGUCACAACGAUACACUAAAAGCAUUUCUAGCGCGAGCCAUUCCAAAGUAUGCAUUCCAGGGCACAAACAUCUAAGUUUUGGUAGAUCUUGGAGUCUCAGAGUGGUGAGCUGUGGAAAGACAGAAUAAGAAUUUGUCACUUGAUCUGCUCUGUUUUCAGAAAUAAUCUCCUGUAAAUCCUCACAGUCUCGUAUAUCUAGGUGUUGGAGCUGCUUGAGGCUUCCGAUCAUAGACGCUGCAAAUAUGUAUUUUAAUUUGUGACAACGCCACACAAUCAAUCGUGUUAAACUUUGAAAGUGAGGAAACACGGCCACCAGAAUUUGAUUGUAGUGCCAAAUCUUGUCGACAUUAAUUUCAGAUAUCUCCAAAGCCUCCAAGUUAGGCAACGCAACCUAAAAAAAUAAGAAUUUCUCGUUAGAUCCAAUAUCCAUAUGGGAAGCACUUGUUGAAAUUUUCUUCUUUGAUUACAAAUUAAUGCAAGUCUGAAUCAAUUUCCAACUGACAGCUGAGUAUGCAUUCUAAUUCAUACUACUUGUUAAGAGCUCAAUUAGUGAGUGCGUGAGAUUCUUUUUAUCCUUUUUUUCCAUUUUCUUUCACUUCUUUAAAUGAUUUAAUUAUUUUCCACGUAUGACAUCAAAAGAGAACGCAUGAUAGAAUAAAAUGUGUUAUACAUUAAAGAAAAUGUUAGCCUACGCACCUUCUCGUUGAAAAGCAGAGUUGAAAUACCCAAAGUGAUUUCGCUGGAGCAAUACAUAGUCGUCGAUUCCUCUUGCGACGCUCGUCUGUUCGGUGAUGCUGAAGGAGUCUCCACCUCACAGCAAAAACUUGUAACCUCUGGAAGAUUCCCCAGACUCAAAGAUCUUAAUUGAGCAAACUCUAUCUUCUCAAUUGCAUUAUCAACUUCUUCCCCAAUUGCAAAAAUCUCUUUCAUCUUGCUGCAAUUAAUAACAGCAAUUCUCUCAAGUCUUGGAAGGCAUUUUGUAGUAGAGAGCCAAAAGAUAUUACUCAACGUAUCACAACUAUAUGCUUCUAUGGUUUUGAGUUUGUUGAAAGACUCUACUUUGAGCCGAUCAACACAUAUCCUCUCCAUGUUGAUCAAAUUGUGAAGGAUAAGUGACUCCAAAAGAGGAAAGGCAUCACAAGCGACCAUCUCCCUUGAAUCGACGAUACAAAAGAUGUCAGGAUUAUUUUGAACCCAGAGAAGCUUCAAUUGUGAAAAGCCCUCCGUGUCCAAAUUGAAAAGAACAUUCUCGAUGCCUUGCAGCUUGUCCAACCAUAAGCAUUCAACGUUGGUGAUGCCCUGCAAUUUCAUGGAGCAAAUGUCCAUAAAAUCAAGCUUGAGCUUCAAUGUUCUUAAACUCUUGCGUUUACUGUUGAUCCAAAAGUGCGGCUGACUUUGGAACCAAUGUUGUCUAACACACUUGGGAGGCGUGAAUGACUCAUUUCCAAUAGAUAUUUUGAACCUUUCGAGCUUUCUGGCCAAAAAACCUUCUGGUAAAAUACUGUCAUUUUUAACGUCAAUUUCUAGAGUGGUUAGCCGAGGUAAAUGCAUCAAUUCGUCAAGGCUAGCAUUACUUCUUUUGCUGCUGGCUCUUUCAACCUCCCAUUCAAUGAAGCAAUUACCCAUAUACAGCUCUUCUAAUCGAGUUAAGCUUGAUAUGAGAUUGGGCGCAAUAACUUUCAGAUGGAAACAAUUGGUUAAAUCUAACAAUCUCAACUUAUUCAAUUGACCUAGUUCUUCUGGCAACUGCAUAAUAUCAGACAUCAGAAAGCUUAGGACUUCUAGAUUCUUCAACUUCCCAAUGAUUGCUAUGUCCCCCAACGCACUUUGAUCCAGACAUAGUGUGUGAAGAUUUACUAGAAGAUCAAUUGAAGAUGGAAAUGAAGAAAACUGCAUUCGAGUAAAAUCUAGAACUCUAAGCUUUUUCAUCCCUACAAAAAAGUUCUCAGGAAUAUUGAUUUCAAGAGAAGAAUCUUUGGGAGAGAUAAAUAAAAAUUCAAGGUUUGGGCAUUCUAAUCCUUCAGGAAAUUCACGAUUACUAUAAUUUCUUAAAGAGAUAGCAUUGCAUUUUCGAAGUGCAUCCUCUUCUGGCCAGUCCCACACAUCCUCAUUCCUCACCGAAAACACAUGUUGGUGGCGGCAUGCAAUCGAUAUUGCGACAUCGCGAACAACAUCAUGCAUUGAAAAUUCUUCAUUGCUAUCAUCCUCAAGCAACAAACAAGAGUCUCUAAGUUCAUGGACCAAUGCAUAUAAUUUGUCUCGUGCAUCUUCCAUCUUAUUGACUCCUUUAAAUAUACCCAAACCCAUGGAGUACUUAAACAAGUCCAAAGUAACAAUACGGUUAUUCAUUAGACUACAGAGCAGAAAAAUUUUCUUGAGUUGCUCACCUCUUAAAUGGUUGAAACUCAGCUCAAUACAUGAAUAAGUCUCUGCAGACACUCCUUCGAAGUUUACCAUUGAAGGCGUUCGGAGUUCUCGCAAGGAAUUCUUCCAUUCAUGCAGACUCUUGCUUCUCAGUGCCAUUGCCACUGUAGUCAAGGCAAUGGGCAAACCUCCACAUGCCCUGGCGACGUCUAUUGCUGUAGAUUUCAACUCACGAUUUUCAACAUCAUCACCGGCCAUCAUCUUAAACAAUCUCCAGGCUUCUUCUUCAUUUAAGUUGUUUAUCAAAAAGUUGUCUUUAGAUCCCAUUUUUAAGAGGACACUACGAUCUCUUGCUGUCAGCAGUAGUUUGCAUCCUUUAUGAUCUUCUCCAAAAGGAAUUNNNNNNNNNNNNNNNNNNNNNNNNNNNNNNNNNNNNNNNNNNNNNNNNNNNNNNNNNNNNNNNNNNNNNNNNNNNNNNNNNNNNNNNNNNNNNNNNNNNNNNNNNNNNNNNNNNNNNNNNNNNNNNNNNNNNNNNNNNNNNNNNNNNNNNNNNNNNNNNNNNNNNNNNNNNNNNNNNNNNNNNNNNNNNNNNNNNNNNNNNNNNNNNNNNNNGGCUUCCAUAGCUUGCCUGGCGACCUCCUUCAUCAAUGUCGUCUUUCCAAUGCCGCCAUGCCGUACACCCCAAUGAUGCUGACAUUAGCAUCGAUCAAUGCGUUUUUUAUGGCCUCCAAAGUAGAACGUCUUGAUUCGAAGGCCUCGCAGUCUUUGUUAGACUUGAGCCAUAUAUCCUCCGGAAUGGUAGGGUCGGAAAUUCUAUCAUCAAAUCUCCCAGCUUCUUCUCGGAGUUUAAAAAGGGCCUCCUUCUCUGUUUCUGCUUUCUUUCCACGCCGAUAGCGAGCAAACCAAUCAGGAAACAGCCCCAUGAGACAUCGACCGUCAUUUGCUGUCUCUUCGUCUUGAAUGAAUUUGGCUGCCUGCUCAAUGCUCUUGUUCGCAUUAACCAGCCAUUUCUCAACCUUCUCUACAAUCUUUUCACUUUUUCUUUCAGCCUCAGAAACUCUGCGCUGAAUCCUUUCUCUUUCAACCCUCAGCCUAUCGAGUUCUGCCUUGAGAUUCUCAAAGUUGGCAGCGGAGUUAUACCAAUAACUAAAUUCGCGUUGUGCGUGGGGAGACAAGCAGUUUACAACUCCUGGAGCAAUGCUUUUCAAAAUGUCCAUUUUUUUUUUUUUAUGGGGAAGUGAACGAAAUGGAAAUAGAACAGGGUCAACGACCGCGCAAUUGAUAAUCAAGUAGAAGCAAAACAAGCCAAAAUGGAAAAAGAAAUGAUAUUUGUACAAAACAAGGGGAAAAUCAGUGUAACAGAAGAGAAUCAAAGUGUUUUUGAGAUCAGAAAAUUGAACCAAGAAAAGGGUUGCUUGAUCCAAUGAAAAUGCAAAAAGCUGAUGGCAAAAGGGAACAAAGCUAAAUAAGAAAACGGCUAGCACGAGCAGUGACCACGAUCAACAGAAGCAAAGUGUGUAUGAGAUCAAAAGACGAAAAUGAGGAGAGGUUUUCUUGAUUGAGAAUUGAAGGCAAAGAGUAGGAGCUGACGAAUACGGGGAUCAAGAGGGAAAAACUGCUUGCUUGUAAAACUACUUUCAAGCGAAUCUGAUAAAAUUAUUUCAGUACUAGUGGGCGACUCCUUUUUAAACUGCAGAAGGGAAAAAAAAAAGUUCUGAAUUUCAAUAUAUUAAUCUCGUAAUCAAUGAUUAAUUAGUAGAUAAUCUUUCUAACAAAUAUGUGUUGAAUAGAUAUAUUUCUUGAUUAUUAGUAGGUUCGAUAUACUUUAGUAUAGGAAUGAAAGUACAAGUUGUGUCGUAUUAGAAUAAAAAUUGGACCUAAAAAUAUUGUUCUAUGGCCUUUUAAUUAUUUGUCAGCUAAUAAUGAAGUCAUAUAAAAAAAUUAAUAAUCUGAAUUAGUCUUUAGUAUUAUAAAUGUUUUUAGAUUUUUAAUUAUAAUAUCAUUAUUUAAAAAUAAUUGCUUGACUUACAUUCGUAACAUUACGAUUGUCAUAAAACAUGUGAUCCUCAUCCAAAGGCCAGGUGAACAACUCUUUGUCAAGUCAGUCAAAUAUAAACGACAAAUUCUUUUCAAUUAAAUAAUCAUCAAGAAAUAAUCUUCUAUUUCAGUACAAAUGGCGAGUGCAGAACAGCUGUCAAGAGAUAAUCAUUGUUUACGGAGCCAUAUAUAUUUUCUAUUAAAAUAGUUGCGUCACUUGCGUGAACAAUUGCCAGAAUCCGUAAAAAUUGUUGAAAGGUCUAUUAGUUUCGAGUAGAAUAUUUUCGAUUAAAAUAGUUGCGUGAACAAUUAUCAUAGAUAGUGUUUAUAUUUUGGAUUGAAGUGAGAAUUUUGAGAAAUAAAAAUCUAAGAUUGAGAGUGUAGAGUGGAAGUGAGUGUAAGUUAUUUACUUACACUGAAAAAUAAGCAUGGAAUGGAGAUCAUAAUCCAAUUUAUGUGUUUAUUUUAUCUUCAAUUGAGAAUAAAUAGUUUCAAAUUACAAUUUUACCUUUAUUUAAAGAAUUAUAUAUAUUUAAUGAAUAAACAUUUAUUUUAUUAUAUUUGUAAAUUUAUAAUAAUUGUUAAUAUUCUUAAUUAUGUACAUCAUAAUUUUUUAUUAAUUUUAAUUUUAAUUAUAUAAAUUAAAAAUUAUUGAUAAGAGCAAUAUAAAUGAAACAUUUUUACUAUUAACAUAGUACAAAAUUAAUAUUUUCUUAUAAUUAACUAUUUAUUAUUACUAAUUAUUGAUAUUAAAUAAAUAUAAUACUAUUAUUUUUAAAUAAAUAUAAUAAUAUUAUAUUUUCAAAUAAAGAUAGUAUAUAGUAAUAUUAUUAAUUCUCUAUUAAUAUAAUAAUAAUAUUUAAAUAAAUAAAAUAUUUUUUAUUUUAUUUUAUUAAUAUAUAAUUAUAGUAAAUUUAAUAAAAGGGGGUUAAAAAAGGAAGGUAAAUAUAAAAUGAAAUAUUAUUUUAUUUAAUUAUAUUAAAUUUAUUAUUAUAUAAAUAAUAAUAUAAUAUUAUUUAGUAUAAAAUUAAUAUUUUCUUAGAAUAAACUAUUUAUUAUUAUUAAUUAUUAAUAUUAAAUAAAUAUAAUACUAUAUAUUUAAAUAAAUAUAAUAAUAUUAUAUCUUCAAAUAAAGAUAACAUAUAGUAAUAUUAUUAAUUCUCUAUUAAUAUAAUAAUAUUAUUUAUUUUAUUUUAUUAAAUAUUAAAUAUUAAAUUUAAUUAAAUAAGGUAGAAAAUGGAGAGGUGGGAAUGGGUUUCCCAUGGGAGUCCCACUCCCACUCCCACUCCCCACUCCAAAAAUGGGUGGAGUUUAUGGAGUGAGAUUCCCAAUUCCUCCUUAAAAUGGUAAAGUAAAUAUUGAAGUGGGAGGAAUUCACACUGCUCACACCCACUCUAGAAAAUAAACACCGAAAAGGCCAAAGGAUGAAGAACCACUAUAAGUUCUUUUAUGAAUUUAAAAUGCUAAAGAAACUUGAUUUUGAUGAUAACAAACUACAUAGGGUACAAUGGUAAAUUUAUUUCUCACAAUCUCACAAGUUUUUGAAGGGCAAAAAUCAUUCAAGUGAGAUCAAGAUCAAGAUACUCAAUGGACAAUGACAAUCAAGGACGAAUACUAAGGGUACUAGUUUAAGCAAUCUUUAUUGUUAAAUUUAUUGUAAAGCCAGUAUAAUUUAAUGUGUGCAUGAUUUAACAUUUAAAAGCUCAAGAUAUUUUUCAUGACAUUUUCAAAUUAAAUCAUCAUUUUCUAUAAUAUAAAAGUUUUAACGAUUUUAUAAAAUUAGUUGCUUUUUCCAAAUUUAUGGACUAACUUGAAAAGUUUUGAGAACUUGGAAAUCAACCAAUAAUGUUUUAAAUCCUAGAAAUUGACAUAUUUGUAAAUAUUUCAAACAUUUUGGGUUGUAAUAUAAUUUCAAAAAAAUUAGGUCUAAUCUAUAAAUCCUGGAACAAUAGUGGCUAAUCGCUUAACCAAUAGCGGCUAACUACUUCAAGUCCAAAAACAUAGCAGCUAACCGCUUAAAUCAAGUGGAAUCCGCUUGAACCAAAGUUUUCAAAUUUGAUUUGCAACUGUAACUUACCAUAUCAACAUAGUGGCUAACCGCCUCAUUUUAACGGCGAUCCAGCAAGUCCCUAGAAAAGCCAAUAAUUGCUAGUUUGAUUGUUUAAACUAUAAAAUUCAAAUUAAACUCAAAUCUAACAAUUUUUUUCAAUCUCAAUUAAGCUAAAACUUAUUCAUAUAUCUUGAGGUUUCAUUUUGCUUAUCUACAUACAUUAAUCAUUAUAGGGCUAUCAUUUGCUUAUACACUCUUAUAGAGUGUAAUCUUUGUAAUCUUCAAUUAAAUAUCAAAAUUGAGUGAGUAUAAGUGUGGGAAACACUUGGGAAAAGAGGCGUGUGUAUACAUAACUACUUGUAAAGGUUUAUUGACACCUUAGAAGUCAAUUGUAAAAUCUUGGAGUCUUGGAAGGUUUAGAUAGUAGAAUUCUCAAGUUUGGAUUGCUUGGAGGCGUAGUCAUAGGCGGGUUUGCCGAACCACAUAAAAAUUCAUGUGUUUGUUAUCUUCUCCCUUAUCUUUUUAAUUUCACGCAUUGUUAAAUUUACCAUUAUUAAAUUUCUUGAAGCAUUUGUUUAAUUUGUAUUGUGUUUUUGUUAGUAUAAUUUUUAAUACCUAAUUCACCCUCUCUUGGGUUGCUUAGCUAGAAUUUUAUUUGGUAUCAGAGGAAGUUCUCUUAUUAUAACUUAACCAUCUAGAGUAAAAGAUCUAUAGUAAUCCAAAAUGAUCCCAGAUUUGGGAAAGGUUAAUCCCUUACUAGAUCACCAUUCUUUGAUGGGAAUGAUUAUCCAUGUUGGAAAAUUAUGAUAAGAAUUUAUUUGCAAGCAUUAUAUUAUGAAAUAUAGGAAGUUGAUUGUGAUGGUCCAUUCAUGCCUACUACUAAAAAUGAAGAAGGGAAAGAAAUUCUAAAACUUUCACAAGAAUGGAAUGUGUCAGAAAAGAGAAAAAAUUCUCUUAAUUUCAAAGUCAUGAAUGCUUUGUUUUGUGCCUUAAGGUUGUUCCAAUGCUUAUGAAAUUUGGAAAAAAACAUAAACUCGUUUAUAAAGCUACAAAUCAAGUUAAAUAGUCUAAAAUUAGUAGAUAUACUAGGCAAUACGAAUUGCUAUAAAUGGAACAAAAUGAGAGUGUUAAUUCCAUAUACACUAGAUUUACAAACAUUAUAAACACUUUAGAAGCUCUUAGAAAGGCCUUUUCAAAUAGCGAGAAGGUAAAAAAAAUCAGUAGGUCUUUACCAAAAGAAUAGAGACCUAAGAAAAUUGCCAUUGAGGAAGACAAUGAUACUUUAUCUAUUGAUGAUUUAAUUAGUUCAUUUAUUUCUUAUGAAAAGGAUUUGACAACUUGAAAAGGCAAUGAAGACGAGAAGAAGAAGAGUAUUUCCUUAAAAGCAUCAAGAUCUAAAAGUGACAACGAAAGUGAGAUCGAAAAUGAAGACAUGGCUAUGAUAGCUGGAAAAUUCAAAAAAAAUUUCAAGAAAUCCAUCGAGCGAAGGAAUUCAAAAAUCAGAAAGAAAAGGAGGCAAUUAUUUGCUUUAAAUGCAGGAAGCCUAGACACAUAACACUAGCAUGUCCUUUUCUCAAUAAAGUAAAGAAGAAAGCUAUGGUAGCAACACGGGAUGAUAGUGAUAAGGAGACUAUAGAUGAAGAGUAGUCUCAUGAAGUGUCAAAUUUGGCACUUAUAGUUAUAGGAGAUGAUUAUAGGAGAUGAACUUGAUGAGGUAAACCUCUUAGGAUGAGUUGUUUGAAGUAUUCUCUAAAUUGCAUAAAGAUUUAAAGAAGAUUGGAAUGUAAAAUGUUUCUCUUGGAAAGAAAAAAGUAGAACUUUUAUAUGAGAAUGACACUUUGAAUAAAAAGAUUAAGUGCCUAGAAUUAUUUGUGAAGAAAUUGCAUCUUUUAAAGAAAAAACAAAGUGUUUCAUCUAAGAAUAAAGGUUUACCUGUAAAUGAUUUGAAAAAGAAAAAUAAAAGAUAUUGCUUUAGAAUUUGCUUAGUAUUAGUCAAUUGUGUGAUAAAGGUUACAAAGUUAUUUUUAUGUGAUAAAGGCUAUAGAGUUAUUUUUUUAUAAAACAAAAUGUGUUAUUAAAAAUGCACGUGAUGGCAAAGUUUUAUUUGUUAGAUAAAGAUAUGUUAAUGUAUACACCAUUGAUAUAGAUUGUGUAUCAACUCAUAAUAAAUGUUUUUUUCACAUUACAUGAUGAUAGUUGAUAUGGCAUGGAAGACUAGGUCAUGCGAGCAUGGAUUUUAUUUCAAAAUUUUUUUAAAAUGAUUUGGUUAUAGGUCUUCCAAAAAUUGGUUCUAAAAUAGAUAGAAUUUGUGAAGUUUGCCAAUUUAGAAAACAAAUAAAAUGUCCUUUAAAAAUAAAAUUCAUAUUUCUACUUCAAAACCACUUUAACUUUUUCACAUGGAUUUGUUUGAAUUUUCUAAAUAUGCUAGUCUAAGUGGUAAAUAUUAUGCAUUUAUAAUUAUAGAUGAUUAUUCUAUAUACACAUGGUAUUACUCUUAACUAAUAAAGAUGACACCUUUAAUGCUUUCAAAAUUUCUAUAAAAAGGUUCAAAAUGAAAAAUGAUAUGUUAUUUCUUGCAUUAGAAGUGAUCAUGGUGGAGAAUUUAAAAAUUGUAAUUUUGAAAAUUUUUACAAUAACUUUGGCAUUGAGCAUCAAUUCUUGUCACCAAGAACUCCACAAUAAAAUGGAGUAGUUGAGAGAAAGAAUUAGUCUAUCCAAGAAAUGACUAGGACCAUGUUAAAUAAAAAUGCUUUACUAGAAUAUUUUUAGGUUGGAGCCGUCAAUAUUGUUUGUUAUGUUUUAAAUCGUGCAUUGAUUAGACCUUACUUCAAUAAAACUCCUUAUGAGCUUUGGAAAAAUAGAAAAACAUUGACUAUUUCAAAGUUUUUGGUUGCAAAUGUUUUCUAUUGAAUACAAAAGAUAAUCUUGGUAAAUUUGAUCUAAAAUCUGAUGUUGAUAUUUUUUCUUGGGUAUUCAAAUACAAGCAGAACUUAUAGAGUGUAUAAUAAAAGAACCUUGGUCGCUAAAGAAUCUAUACAUGUUGUGUUUGAUUAAAUCUAACUUUUCUUCUACGAAGAAAGUUGUUGUUGAUAAUGAUGCAUAUGAAGAGUUACAAAAAAAAAAGUCUUUAAAAGACAAACAAGAUGAUUUACUAGGAAAAAAUCAAGAUGAGCAACAAGAAGAACCAGUUAAAUAUAUUCAAAAUGAAGGUAAUUCACAAACACUCUCUAAGGAGCUAAGGUAUGUCUCUUCAGACCCUAAAGACUUAAUCUUAGGAGAUCCUUCAUGAGGUGUAACUACUAGAUAAUCACUUAGAAAUACAUGUGAACAUACUGUAUUCGUAUCUCAAGUUGAACCAAAAUCCUUUUCAGAUGUGGAAAAUUAUGAAUCUUGGAUCAUAGCAAUACAAGAAGAGUUAAAUCAAUUUGAAUGAAACAAUGUAUGGAAACUUGUUCAUAAACCAGAACAUCAAUCUGUAAUAGGCAGUAAAUGGGUGUUUAGGAAUAAAAUUGAUGAAUCUGGUGUGGUUGUAAGGAAUAAAGCUAGAUUAGUAGCUCAAUGAUGCAACCAAGAAAAAGAAAUUGAUUUUGAUGAAACCUUUGCACAUGUAGCUAGAUUAGAAUCCAUUACAUGCUUUUAUCAUUUGCAUAUCAUAAUGAUUUUAUUUUAUAUUAAAUGGAUGCUAAAAGUGCCUUUCUAAAUAGUUGUAUUAUAAAGGAAGCUUAAGUGAAACAAUCCCCUCGUUUUAAAAACGAAAAAUAUUUUUGGAUCAUGUUUACAAGUUGUCCAAAGUUUUAUAUAGUUUAAAGUAAGCAUCUAGAGCAUGACAUGGUAUACUUAGUAAAUUUCUUGUAGAAAAUAGUUUUUCAAUGGGUAAAGCGAAUACUACUCUAUUUGUUAAAUACAAGGAUCAAGGUAUACUUGUUCAAAUUUAUAUUGAUGAUAUUAUCUUUAGUUCUACUAAUGAGUUUCUGUGUAAGGAAUUUUCAUCUUGUAUGAGUAGAGAAUUUGAGAUGAGCAUGAUGAGAGAAUUGAAGUACUUUCUUGGACUUAAAAUUUAAAAAAAAAAUCAUUAAUCAAGCCAAGUAUUUUAGAGAUCUACUCAAAAGAUUUUGCAUUCAGGACUAAAGACACUCCAAUGAGUACUACAAUCAAGAUCGAUAAGGAUAAAAAAAGUAAAGAUGUUGUAUCAAAAGAUAUCGAGGUAUGAUCAUAUCUUUACUUUACUUUACUGCUAGUAGACAUUACUUUAGUGUAUGUUUGUGUGCAUGAUUUCAACCAUAUCUCAAAGAAUCUCAUUUGCUUGCGGUUAAAAGAAUUUUUCAUUAUUUAUGAGGAACAAUUGAUCUUGGUCUAAGGGAACUCAUAUAGAUUAGUAGCUCAAUAAAUUUGUCAAAGAAUCCCAUUCAACAUUUUAGGACCAAACAUAUUGAAAUUAGGCAUUAUUUCUCACGUGAUCAUGUUUAAAUGAGAGAUAUUGCUUUAGAAUUUGUUUCUAUGGAAAAAUAACUUGCUCAUAUUUUUACAAAGCCUUUUUGUGAAGAAUAGUUUUCAAAGAUUUGGCUUGAGUUUGGAAUGAUGACAUUUUCACAUCAAUAUUUCAUUACAUGAUAUUGAGACUACAAAUUUGCUUGAUUUUCUAUCUUGAUUGAUUGUAUGAUAAAAACUUGAUUUUAAUGUGUUAUAUGCUUGAAUUUACUUCUUUGAAUGUUUAUCAUCAUAUCUUAUGCAUUAAAAAUGGCUUUUGAAAUACUUCGGGAUCACAAAAUGGUCUCAAAAUUAAUUAAAUUUUGGCCAAAAAGCAAAAUCGUGCAAAAUUCAGGGGAACUAGCUAACCGUUAACCACAAGCGACUAGCCAAUUGUGAGGCAGAAACUAGCUGGCCAGCCGGCUUAAAGCAAACGGUUAAUUGCUUGGUUUCUAAAAAUGAAACGGUUAACCGCUUUCUUCAAGUGGCUAGCUGGCUUCACGUUUUCAAAUGUUGUUCAUCUUCUUUUUCCCACUUUCAGUUGUUACCCUCUCUCUAUCACUGUCAUCUCUCAUUUCUUUUACUCUCUCUCUAAAAUCUUCCAUUUUUACAUCACUUUUGUGUCAAAUUAAACUUUCCAAAUCAUUUCCCAUCAAUUAAUCUUCACUCAUUCGCUUUUAAAACACAAUCUAAUCACUCUUUUCUCAAAAUCUUAAAGCCUAAGUCACCAGUUUCAACAUUCUCAAAUUUGAACCAUUAUUUGACCAUUUUCGACCAAAAUAAACCCAUACAUUCCUUAGAUAUUCUCAAAGAAUAUUUUAACAUUUUAAUCGGUUCAAAAUCAUCUAUUUCUUUAAAAACUUACUAAACUCAAAUUUGUGCAAUUUUGGACACAUUUUGAUAAUUUCUUAAUGGCUAGUGGUGAGAAGUCCAAGGGUUAGCAUAUGCCUAAAAUGUAAAAAAAAGAUUCAUAAAGACAUUAUGAAAUUUAUUUCCACCCACUUUCCAAAUCCACCUCAAUAGAAUGAUUCUAUGAUCGAUUUAUGACAAGGUCAGUCCUCCCAUCCUAUAUAUGUUAAUCUUGAUUAAUUAGAAAAUUUGUCAAGUUGUAGCAAAACUUUUAGAACUUUACUUGCUGAAUUGGGUUGGACAAAUGUCUUAGUUCUUAAGGAACAUAUUUGUCCUAAUUUGGUACGAUUAUUUUAUUCGAACAUGCUUAUUUAUACAAUUACUGCCAAUAUGAUUAUUACUAAUGUUGCUGGGAUUCCUAUUAAGUUUACAGUAGAAGAUUUAAACAUGAAUCUCAGGACUAGGAAUGAUAGGUUGCAUUUGUAUACAUCUAGGACUAAAAUUGAUUAUCCCUGGUAUUCAGGACUAGGAAUGAUAGGUUGCAUUUGUAUACAUCUAGGACUAAAAUUGAUUAUCCCUGGUAUUUAGUUGUAGAUGAUGUUUGAAACAUAGAUGUUCGAAAAAUAUGUAGGUGAUCUGAUCUAUCCAUGGAGCUUUUUAAUUCCUCUCUUAGAUCACAAAUGUUGCCUCUUCAAGUUCGGAUCCUACAUAGUGUUCUUCAGCUUGCGAUCAGUCCUCGCAAGGGACAUGGUGCUAAGGUUACACGCUUAGAUGUUACUUUAUUAGAUAGCAUCCUUGAGGGUAAAAGCUAAAUGUGCGAAUAUUAUCAUUCAGCACAUGCUUAAUACACUGAGUAUAGGAAACCGAUCCUUUUCAGUUGAUAGUGUCAUUACCCAUAUCCUUCAAUAUUUUUGGGUCCCUAUAGCUGAACCAUCUCAUGAUGAACCCAAGGAGUUAGGGGAUGAGGUCAUUGCUAGCUUAGGAUUUGGGUGGGUAGAUGACCAAUAGGUUAAGAAUCAGAACUUGUUGAGCAAACCCACAAAGCUGGCUCUUUUUUAUCAUUGCAUCUUUAACGAUGUGCUUCCCAUUACUGGGUUCUUGAUCUUAGCUCUUCCCUGAGGUCACAAGCUCUACAUUGGCCUUCUGAUGCUCCACCACCAUCAUCUUCAGCCAUUCCCAAUAACCCAAUCCAGCAGUUGUUGAAUAAAGUGUGUUCCAUAUCCGAGUAGUAGAGCAAACUUAAGAUACCGUUCGCAGCAUUCCAGGAUCAUUUUCUUUCUGAGCAGCAGCGUCUCUUUCUUCAACAAUAACAAAUUCUAGACCAUCAGCAGCUUAUUUUCAUUGCUCUCAAAUUUUUGCCACCAUCCUUGUUAUCAUGUUUGCCGCCUCAUCAGUGAUUUUCUUUUAUCUCUUUUGCUUCCUUGUUUUAUGCACCGACAUUAUUUAUCAUAUGCAUUUUCGUUUUUAGCAUUAUGGAUACUUGAUGGAUGUUAUUUUACUUAUGCAUUAUAGAUACUUGAGUUAAUAUGGAUUAUCUUUAUGCAUUCUAGUUAUUGAUCGUGGUAUCUUUAUUAGUUAUCUUUAUGGAUUAUCUUUAUUGAUUAUGGAUUAUGUAUAUGGAUACUUGAUUAAUGGUCAUGUGUGGAUUCUUGAUUGAUGAUCUUUGUGGGGGAUAAUUAUUGAUAAUAUUUGUAUAAUAGAGGAGUGAUUUUUCAUGAUGAAGGGAGAGAAGAUAUUGACAUGUAUUUUGAAGUGUUUUGACAUGUUUUUGGCUCAUGGGGGUUGAUUGAGUGUUUGUAGUAUUUUAGUUACUUUAUGAGUCACUCAAGGAGAGUUUACAAAUGUUGUACAAUUAUAUGGAUCAUGUACUUAGAGGGAGUGAGUUUAUAUAUUUGGUUAUAUUUUUUGAAUUAUGUCAUAUAUUCAGGGGCAAUAGAAAUGUCAAAAUACAUAGAGUGUUUGUCAUCAUAAAAAAAGUAGAGAUUGUUGGGGUAAACGACUAUAUGAUCCUUAAUUUUGAUGAUAACAAACCACAUAAGGUAAAAUGGUAAAUUUAUUUCUCACAAUCUGACAAGUUCUUAAAGGACAAAAAUCACUCAAGUGAGAUCAAGUUCAAGUCACUCAAUGGACAACAACAAUCAAUGAUGAAUGCUAAAGGUACUAGCUUAAGCAAUCUUCAUAGUUAUAUUUCUUGUAAAGCUAAUAUGAUUUAAUGUAUGCAUGAUUUAGUAUUUAAGAGUUCAAGAUAUUUUUCAUACAAUUUUCAAAUUAAAUCAUCAUUUUCUAUAAUAUAAAAGUUUUAAACGUAAAUAAAAAUGAUUUUAUAAAAUUAGUUGUUUUCAAAUUUAUGGACUAAAUUGAAAAGUUUUGAGAACUUUGAAAUCAACUAGUAAUGUAUUAAAUUCUUGAAGUGGACCUAUUUAUAAAUAUUUCAAAAUUUUUAGGCCAUAGUAUAAUUUUAGGAACUUUUAGUUUAAAUCUAUAAAUUUUGAAACAGUAGCGACUAACUGCUUAACGAAUAGUGGCUAACUGCUUCAGGUCCAAAAACAUAGCUGCUAACCAUUUAAAUCAGGCGACAAUUCGCUUAGGCAAAAAAGUUUUUAAAUUUUAUUUGUAACGGUAACUUACCACAUCAAUAUAGCGACUAACUUCUUUAUUUUAACAGCAAUCCGGUAGGUCCUCAGAAAGUCAAUUACGACUAGUUUGAUUGUUUAAACUAGAAGAACCCAAAUCAAACUCAAAUCUAACAACUUUUUCAAUCUCAAUUAAGUUAAACUUGUUCAUACAACUAAUCCUGAGCUUUCAUUUUACUUAUCUACAUGCAUUAAAUCAUUAUUGAGUUAUCAUUUGCUUAUACACUCUUAUAGAGAUUAAUCUUUGUAAUCUUCAAUUAAAUAUCAAAAUUUUGUGAGUAUAAGUGUGGGAAACACUUGGGGAAAGAGGUAUGUGUAAACAUCACUACUUAUAAAGGUUUAUUGACACAUUACAAGUCAAUUGUAAAAUCUUAGAGCCUGAGAAGGCUUGGAUAGUGGAAUCCUCAAACUUAGUUUGCUCGGCAGCAUAAACAUAGGCGGGUUUUGCCGAAACAUGUAAAAAUUCGUUUGUCUGUUAUCUUUUCCUUUAUUUUUUUAAUUGCAUUCAUUGUUAAAUUUACUGUUAUAAAUUUCUUAAAGCAUUUGUUCAAUUUGUUUUGUAUUUUUGUAAGUAUAAUUUUAAUACCCAAUUCACCACCCUCUUAGGUUGUGUAGAUAGAAUUUCACAUUUGUUGUACAACAACAACAACAGCAAUAACAAUAAUAAUUGUUAUAAUGGUUGUAACAAUUACUAUUGAAAAAAAUUUAUUGUUAAUAAUAGUAGAAAAUAAGAAAAAAAAAGGAAAUUAUCCACUAACCAUGUAGUCUUUGGGACUUUUUCAAAAAUACACAAAAAAAAACUUUCUUUGUAGAAAUCCACCUAGAGUUUAUUAAUUAUUCAUUGUCAUCUUAGCUCAUUAGAUUCUUGUUGAUGUCAUAAGAUUAAAAUUAUCAUUUUACUUGAACACCUAAGAUUAAAAUUAUCCUUUAGAGUUUCUUUCGCUGGGGCUGGUGACCUUAGUGGUUAGAUUUGCUAGAUAUGGUCGUGAGAAACUCGACAAUGACCGAGGAUUGGCUGGAUUCACGGUGGUUUGGUCAAAAAUCUGACUUGAAUUGGCAUUUGUGGUGCUUCAUUCAUGUUGGAGAUUUUGAUUGCGAUUUGGAUAUCGACAAUGAGAAAGUGGCAUUUGCGGUGGCGCUAGGUGAAGCCCGGGUUUUGGGUUAGCGUUGUGGCGAUUUAUGGCGGUGAUCAUUGUUGGGUUUUGUCAAGUUAUGACCAGUGGAAUGUAGCAAGUUUAGUGGUGGUGUUGGUUGACAGUGAAGAUGGUUGGUUUCACGGUGGCAGCUGGUGGAUGCUCCCAGUUUUAGGUCUAGAUGAUUUAUAGUAGGUACAAGCGGCGAUUGAUGGCAGGAGUGGCUAAGGCUUGGUCAGUAGUGGCUAAUGAGUUUGGUAGAGGGAUUAGCCAAUGGUGAACUAUUAGUGAAGAGUGGCAGUGGCGGUGGGCGGCUGCUAAGGUUUUGUAAUUUUGUAAUAUUUUUUUGUUGGAUAAACAGUUAUGAAUUUGGUGGGGAUGGAUAUGGGUAGCCAGGAAAACUGUGCAAUUGGCAUUGAACCACUCUAAUACAAACUAACAAAUUGGAAUAGCGGAAGUGGAAUUGAUAGAGUAGGAAAUAUUAGCUAUCAUUCUAAUACUGGCUAAGGUAAUGUGGAUAGUUUACGUCCUAAUCGAAACGUGAGUAGAUCUCAUUCUAACAAUGGCUCAAUGAGAUUUUAAUAACGCAUAAAGCAAGAUUAGACGACGUUCUAAUCCAAAUAACUUUGUAAGAGAGAUUUUGAUAAAUAAUUUUAGAGAGAAUUAUUAAAAAGGGCUUUAUUAGUUGAUCAAUAGUUGAAGUUACAAUAAUAAGAUUUUGAUUUAUAAUAUAAUAAACCUACUUCACUAAGUUAACUUAAAAAGAAAAACUAAAUCACAAUUUUAAUAGAAAUAAAAAACUAAGACAUAUACCAUAGUUGACUAUAAUUAAAAUAGAAAACAAUAAAAUAAUAAAAAUUAUAGAAUCCUAAAAUAAUGUCUACAUCGUAUCCUCACUAAAAUAAAAAUAUAAAAGUAAAGCAAAUUGUGGUAUAACAGACUUUAAUUCUAUCACUCUUCAAUUUUUUUGUUUAUUAAUUAAUAUUGGUGUCUAUGGUUAAAUUUGUUAUUUUUUAUAACAAUUUUAUUUGUUAAUUGAAAUAUUUAGUCUAUGUAAACAAAAAAAAAAUGGUUGGAAAGAAUGAGAGACGAAGGGGGAGAGAGAGAGAGAGAACAAAGUCAAACAAAUAAUUUAUUGAAUUAUAUUUUAAAAUUAAAUUUUAAUUUGAUUAAAUAAAUGAUGUAGUGAGAAAAUGAGUAGGUUCAAAUAGCUUUACUUAUAUUUAUUUCAUUAAUGGCUCAAAAUUUAAUGAAAAUAAAUGGUUUUAAAAAAAUUGCAUUUAAGUUGCAUAAUUCAAUGAGUAGUGCCACACAUCCUAAAUCUUUUAUCUUAAAAAAUUAUCUCAAAUGAUAUGGUAUUCAUCAAUAGAUUGAAGAGAUAAUACAAUUAAUUCACUCAAAUCUUGAAAGAAUUACCUACUAUUCAAGUAAUGACACACCAUUUGGGAUAAAAAAAAUUUGGAAUAUCUAUCAUUACUCUAAUUAAAAAUAAACCUAUCACUGGAUGAUUAAUUAUAGUAGGUUGCUUAAUACUAAAAUGUCACUCAUAAAUUUUGUUUUGGAUUUGUAAUUGAUUUAUCUUAAUUCUUCAACUUGACAUAAGGUCGUUCUCCUCGUUUCUGUACACUUAAAAGUCACCAAGAUCAAAACUAGAUCUGUCGUUGCAUUUGCUUGAAAAAUAAUUUACAAGCACUAGGUUCUCCUGAUUAAGCAACAUUUUUAAAGGGUUAUGAUAGUAGUGGAGCACUUUGUAAAUAUUAGAUGGAUUGUUGAAAACAAUAAAAAAUGUUUGUGUGUUUUUUAUAAAGGCUAAAAGAUGAAGUGGUCUAUGGAUAAUUACUUAUUUUUUCCCUUUUUAUCUUAAUCAUAUUUGAACGACAUCCUUUUAUAGUUCCCAGGCAUUCUGCAACUAUAAUAGACAAUUUUAAUAGGAACUACAGAGAAAAUAUUAAUAUUUUUAUACUUAUUUACUUACCUGAUGGAUAGCUAGAUAAGUGUUACUUUUCACACAACUAGACCAAAUUAGUACCCUUUUUGGUUGGUGAAAACGUGAUUUUUAUGAAUAUGCUAUAGAUGCUUUCAAACGUUUCCACAGUUUACGAAUUUACGCAUUAAACGAAAACCUCCAACUAUCAAACAAAAAGGUGAAAAUUCAAUAGAAUCGACAACUUCUCAGACUCACGUAGGUGGUGGUUCAAGUUUCUAAACUACUAUUAUUAUUAACAGUUUUGAAAAGCAAAUAGUAACUUCAUUUCACAGCAUCUGCUUUUGAGAAAGCUCAGAUGUAAUCAAAAUUCCAAAACCACUCUAAAUAUGUUAGGGAUAUGACCAUAAAUAGAAGUUAAAUAUGAUAGGAUAUAUAGUUGUUCAUAGCUAACAUUUGAUGGUUUAAUUAUUUGUUCUAGGGAUUAUGCGCUGAUUAGUGUUUUUUGUUAUCCACUGAAUGAUAUUCAGUUUUUCUUACAUGUUCAUAGGCAAGAGCAUUUUCUAAGUACUUUCCUUCCCUUAAAAUUUUGAAAGAAAGAUAGAUAUGAUAUGUGAAGCAAGCCCAAUGAAAUAAGCAAAUAAAAUAGAAUAAACGAAGCAAAAAUAUUUCUAGAAACAAGAAAUGACAAAGGAAACACGAAUACAACUUUUUUCUUGUUUUCCUUAUUUUCCACUGUUAAGCUCCAAAAUGAAUAACUUUAUUCUACCAUCUCUCAAAUAAUAAAAACAUCAACAGCACAUCAUCGUCAUCAAUAAUAAUAAUAAUAAUAAUAAUAAUAAUAAUAAUAAUAAUAAUAAUAACAACAAUAAUAAUUUAACUUUGUAGUAUGGAGCUCUCGCAAAUCUUCAAGACACAAAAUGUGCCUGACCCCGUUGUUGUUAUUAUAAUUUCAAAAUGAUUUGUAUUAUAUAAAAUUAGGGAAUAAGACAUAGCAAAAUUGAUGGUACAUAUGUUGCAAUAUACUUGUUCAUGUAGCGACACAUUAAAGUAAAGCAAAAGCGAAACAACGAAAAAUGUAACGGGAGAGCUCUUAUUAUGUAGAUUUUCAAUAGAAGUAAUGCAAAUUUCACAAGGGCAAUGGCCUUAUUUCGAAUGUUGCACCGGAGGAAUGACAUGAACCUUCGAUACGUCACAAAUGUAUCAUGAAAGUGUGAUAGAUUUGUGACAUAUAUUUAUUUAUUUAUUUAUUUUUUGGUCUUAACCACGAGGUAUUCUGGGGAGGGCUCCAACUGUGGAAAACAUCUUUAAGCCCGUACCACAACUCAGACUACAAGUUUCCGCUCGAACCGGGAGGCAUAAGUUCUCCCAACAAAAGCGACUUUCCUACAACUCGAACUAGGGAGCAAACCCAGUCAAGCCACUUAAGGGGACUCCAUUGCCAGUGGAGCCAACACUUUGUUGGUGUGGCAUAUAUUUAUAUGUUCAGAGUUUAUGACAUAUUCAUGACUUAUAACUUAACUAACAUAAAUAAAUGAUAGAUAUAAGUGAUGCUCAAGUUUUGUGGAUUUAUAAUAUCAUAAAAUGAUGACUAUUUAAACGACGUCGUUUUUAUGAAACUUAAAACAUACCAACACUUCAGCCAAAUAUCGACAAGUGUUGAAUAAACCCCUCUCUCGCUGCAACCUAAAAUCAAUGAACUUUGAGCCAUUCUCAACAACAUUGUGUAGAACCCUAGCCCUAACCCUCACUUCCACCACCGAUAAAGCUAAGAAAGUUUUCCGUAUAUCAGAACCAUGGCGAAUUGCCUUCAGCUCUUAGGACCCAUAAUAAAUCUUGUAUUCCCUCGCUUUCACUUUGCUAAUUUUUUGUAUUAUUCCAUCUCUUUCACUUUAAUAACCCAAAAUCUUUCUCUGUUUCAAUCGAAAGAAGACCCUAGCUUAAAUUAAGCUGAAAUUUACAUAUCAAAGCUCUCGCUCAGCUUCCCUCCUUCAAUUGAAACAAAACGAAGCCAUAAGACCCCAAUAUGCCACGCCCUUUUGUCUCAGGCCAACAUUCAUUUAAACCCUACCUUUCGGUUCAAUGCCAUUUAAUGCGAUUGCAGAUGCCGUUUCAACUCAUUAUUUAGUUAACGCCAUUCAGUUCUUUGCGGUAAGCCUUAACCCUAAUAACUAAUCAACUGUGGUAGCACGUUGCUGACUGGGGUGGGAAUACAUUAAUUGAAUAUAUGAAUUGGGUGAUGUCAGUGAUUCAUCCCCCUAUUUGCCGUUAAUGGAGAUUUGUGUAUAAUGUUUGUAAGAUUGUUAAAAAUUUCAUGUUCCAGUCGAAUUUCUUGCUUGUGGAAGAUAAAACAAAAGUUUAAUCUAUAUAUAUAUAUAUAUAUAUAUUAGCUUCUUUAUAGUCAGGCUCUGGCUUUGCUGCUAUGCUUAGUGCAGUUUAUGGUUUCAAGAUUAAAUUAGGUUUAUUUGACGACAUUGAUAUCUUAUCUAGCUCCGCUUGAAAAUGAAAAUGUUGUACUAGUAAUCAUAGACUUUGUUUAUUCAGUUGAUAUUUUAAUUAUACAUAUAAGAAUGAAGGUUUAUUUGGGAAAAAAAGAAAUAAAGAAAUAGGCUCUGUUGAAGCUAAUUAAUACUUCAUUCUUUCUAUACGUGCGACCUGUGGUGGAAACAUGAUAUGAAAAUGUGUUACUGGUGAGGUUGCUGCUUGAGAUGAGAAUGAUGAGAAUGCCUUCUAUUCGGAAAUCCUUGGUAGGUAUUAUAUAAUUAUAUUUGAUGGAAUAUUAAAUAGCUAAAGAAUCUGUGAUAUUGUCUUUGUUCAAUUGUUACUGUAGUAGUGUUUGUUGGUCUUUUUCUGGUUGGCGUUUGGAUGUUAAUGUCAUCAUCAGUUGUACUGGUGUGGGAUCCAGGAUGUUGUCCUCUUAAGAGCCUAUAAGCAAAGUGAAACAGAGAGUAUCUGAGAUUUUUCUGGGCCUUUCGUAGAAAAUCAAGGUGAUGAAUGACAGGAUUCAACAAAUGGGGAUGGGGAUGAUGUUCCUGUUGAAAAGUUAGAGAAUAGAGUGGAAGAUAAUCACGAAGAGAUGAAUAUGUAUGAGGGUGAUGGUGAGACGAGUGAAUCUAAGAAUAUGGUUAAUCAAAACCAGGAAGAGAAUUUAGUGAAGGAGAGUUUUGAUGAGAAUACUGAGUCUGAAGAGGAAUCUAGGGCGGUGUCUAAAAAUUAUGAUGUUAGAAAAAAGGAAGAUAAGGAAUCUAAAAGUGAAGGUGGAGAUUUGAAUUAAGAAGCUGGAGAAACAGAAGGCGGCGAAUUGAAUAAAAUUGAGCAAAUUGAAUCAGAGAAGAGCUUGGAUGAAAAUAAAUGGAUCAGGCUAGUCAGAUUGAAAAGGAGAAGGAUUCUCAAGAUCAAGAUAAUGACACUGAGAGUCGUUGAAAGGAUCAGGCUUCAACUGAGAUUUUUCCUUUUGGUGACUAGUCAGAAAUUCUGAAGGAAACUAAUGCUCAGAAUGGGGCUUGCUCAACUCAACCUAUUGAGUCAUAGAAUCAGAAAAUAUCACAACAAUCUUCUAUAUCUAAGGACCAGUAUGGUCGUCGCUGGAAAGUGUGUAAUGCCACUGCUAGGCCAGAUUGCAUCCCUUGCCUGGAUAAUUUGCAAGCAAUUAGAAUGCUUUCCAGCACAAAAGCAUUAUGAACAUCGAGAGAGGUAUUGCCCUGAAGAAGCUUGUACCUGUAUUGCUCCUUUACCGGAAGGAUACAAACACUCAAUUAAGUGGCCCCAAAGCAGGGAUAGGGUAUGAUCUUAUAUUAUGCAUUAUAAAAUAUAUACUUGACUACUUUUAAUUCACUUGGGCUAAGAUUUGUUCUCAUGCUGUGUGGGAUAGAUUUGGUAUUAUAAUUUUCCCCACACAAAGCUUGCAGAAGUUAAGGGUUAGCAAAAUGGGGUUAAAGUUACUGGUGAAUACCACAUUUUUCCAGGUGGCAGAACUGAAUUUGAGAAUGGUGCUCUUCAUUACAUUGACUUCAUUCUGAAGGUGAGCAUUUUUCAUUUAUCAUUUUAUGUCUGUUGUUAGCUUCAAUUAAUAGGUGGCUUAUUCUUUUCUUUGUAUGAACCAUGGGCGGUCCAUUUCAUCUUAUAAGCUAUUUCUUGGGUUUUAGCAAGACAACUUAUGGAGGGUAUACAGAGGCUCAAGAGCUCGAUUGCCAUUCAUUUUACACUUGGCUGGGCUAUAGUAUACCAACUAGUGAUUAAUAAAGAGAAGGUAUGAAGGUCCUGUUGCUGGUGGUAUUAUCAAUCAGAAUUGUUAUUUUACUUAGUCAUACUUACCAUGUAUACUAUUCGUAGGCUUUUUCAUUUUCAUGCAUUCGCAUCAUCUUCUGGUUAAGCUACAGAUGGUUGAUUUGUGUACUCAUUUGUAUCACUUGUAGCUCUUGAGGAAUAAAAUUUAAAAUUAUGUUGCAUCCCUUGUACUAAAUAGUAAUUUUGUUGGCUUUAUGCAUGGGAAAUGGUUUGUUGUCUUAUUUCUUUGAUGUGUAUGGUGUUACACUGUCUAAAGUUAAGAAGUAUUUCUAUCACUUGUGUAAAAAACAACCUACUUUUUUCAUUCUUCUUAUAUUGAAUAAAAGAGGGACACCAAGAUUGAACGAAAUUUGAUUCAGAAAGCAUAGCAAUUAGGCCAGUUCAAAACAGCUUCCUUCUGAUUCUUUGAUAUUUGACUUAAAUCUUUUGUUUGUUUCAUUUAUCAAAGUCAUUUUGGAAAGUAACGGGGGUGAUUUGAUAUUUUCAUUGCAUUCACAUCCCUUAGGCACCAAAACAAGCAUGCUGGUACUAACCAACAAUUUUUUAUUUUCAGUAUACAAAUUAUUUUUUUCUAAAUUAGGGGUAUUAAGAAAAGGUAUACUAGCACCAGGGGAGGUAUUUGAGAAUACACAAAUACAAUCUAUUAAACUAAGAAUAUGUCAAACUUCAGGGGAGGUUUCUGAUAAAUCUCUUUUACUUUUUCCUCCAUUCACCAUAGGUUCAAUUUAGAACAGUUGACCAAACCGAAGGUUUAGGUUGGUAAACGCACUAGUGUUAAUGUCAACAACCCAAGGGGCUUCAUGGUCCUCUGGGCUGAAAUAGCGUAAUUAUUAAUUCUCCUCCAGUGAAAAUCUUCAUCUUGGGACAAAUAAUUACAAAUUGACAUUAUGGCUAUGCAAAUUUUGAGGUGUAAUAACCGGAAAAAUAAAAAUCUUAAGAGACUUUUUAAAUAAAAAAGAUACAACACCUUUAAUUUGCUAAAAGUAAUGAUAUCAUUACUUGUAUGGAAAAUGGAUGAUUAGAUUUUCUUUUUUGUUAUCCGACGAAGGAUAUUCAGUUGUUCUUUAUUUGUUCAUAGGCAAGAGCAUGAGCAUAUGCAUGAUUUGAUAUAUGCUUCUUGCAUUUUCUAAUUAAGUGCUCUCUUUCCUUGCCUUCUUAGUUUUGAAAGAAAGAUGUGAAGCAAAGCAAACCCAGUGAAAUACACAGAGCAACAGAACCAUCAGAGGAAAAACUAAAUAACAGAACUACAAUUGAACCAAACAAAAUCAAAUAAACGGACGCAACAGAUGCCCUGAACCUAGUAAUUACUCAAGAGUUGAGGAGUUGGAAUGAUUUGGUAUUCAUAUCUUCACAAAUCAUAUGCUUUAAUGCAGAAUCGACAGCUUUAUAUUAUUUUAUUCAAAAAACGAUAAAGCAGGAAAACCACAAUAAUCCACCAACUUUUGAUACUUGUAGGAAUUUUUUUUAGUCAAAUUAAGUUUCAUGAUAACACAAGUGGCUCGUCCACACACUUGCACUUGCUUGAAUAUUUGUGCCGACAUUUUCAUAUGUGAUGGUACUUCUUAGCCAGUAGAUAUGUUGAAGUACUACAAAACAGAGUAUUUGAUGAAGUUUUGCUACUUUCGUAUCCCAUUUUGUUGCAUAACUAAAUUCUUUAUAAACACAAAUUAGAAAGCUACAAAUAAUACAGUAGCUUGAAUUUAUAUGCUUUUAUGAUUAUUUGAUAAUCUAGUGCUGACAAUAUGUGAUGAUAAACUUAGCUAGUAGUUUUAUAUUUAUUUUCGUAGUUUCUUUAGCAUUCACAUUUUGAUGAGUAAAUUAAGGAUUUCCAGAUGAAGUACAUAAUCAGAUUAAUGCUAAGGAACUGAAGUUUGAUUAAUUGAAAACAAAAAUAAUAAUGAAGGUAAUUACGAAAAUGAACAAUGCAGAAGUAGUCCCUAUAGUAUUUCUAAAUUUUCUCUUGGGGUUCCUUAGUAUUCCUUAAUAUUUUUAAAAGAUGACAUGACGAUCUUUGAGUUGACAAAUCUAGGCCUGCUGCUUAGUACCCUUCCAACAUUUCAAGUACUAGAUGUUUUACUGAGAAAAUGACAAGAUCAUUUAUCAAAUUUCUUGCGCAUAUAUACAUAUGCAUACAAGAAAUGGGAAUCAGAGUGAUUAUAAGACCUUGCAAUGAGACAAUAAUACAUCAUCAAAUUUAAAAAUACACAAGAAAUUUGUGACGUAUAUAUAACAAAAGACCUCUCAUUGAGUUAUACAUAUUGAGAAUAAAAUGUCAAAAUGCAGACAAAGAGCUUAUACAGAAAAUGAAUAAACCGUCUUUGAACUUCCGAUGGUCAAACAAAGGAAACAGGCAGGAUAUAACACACACUAUCAUAGAUGUAGCGACACGAUGAAGUAAAUCACAUGAAGAUGGAAAGGGGAACCCCUCACAGCAUAAAAUUUGAAUAGAAGGGGGAAAAAGGCUUCAUUUCAAAUGUUGCACAGAAGAAGAGUGACUUGAAUCUCCAUCAGUAUCCAGA
rnacentral:lncRNA from 1 species